AAUGAUCUCAUACCACUUUUUGUUGCUGAGAAGGAGGUAAAAGCUAUCUCAAUGAAUGACACACUCACACGAUGAAAUGUUACAAGACACAAAAUUCUUGUGCGGCAUUCAACUAGCAGAAUUUUUGUUUUUGCUUGUCUAUUCAUUUAAUUGGCCACUACUUGAGCCGUUCAGCUACAAAUAGGAAGGGAGAAAGACAUUAGUUGGACCGAGCUUCAUGGCAAUGCCAUCCCGAAGCCACUCACUCCACAACCCCAACAUUGCUGCCGCAAUCGCUAGGCCUCAUGCCAUCCCAUAUAGUAACCACAACAGUCUACAUAUAAAGAAAUAAACCAGCAGCCAAGUCGUGUACAUACACACACAACAUGGCGCAUUAUUUGCUAGCCGAGGAAUAAAGCGAAACUAGGGUUCAUGCGAUGUUGACUAACACAGAAGACGCUGUGCUUAGUCGCGGGUAAAUUGGGGCCUCAUGCUGAGUUCUUUAAGAUAGGCGGUGGCACGGCGGAGUUCUUCCUUGAGCCUCAUAUUCUCUGUACAUAGGCGUUGGUGCUCCGAGGUAUCCUGAGUUUUUAGCCUCACCCCUGCACAUUUGAGGCAUGUCUUGUUUUCAACGACCCACUUGAUGGCUUGGUUUUCAUCUUUUAGCAUCUGGUUCUCUCCCAGAAGAUUCUUGGUGUCCUGUAGUUGCCUCUUGCCCUGCAUUUAUUAAUUUCAGUUAUGCGUCAUUUUAGGGGUUAGCAAUGUAUGCAUGCUACCAUGUUCACGAGGGGAUUAUAGUACUACAUUGUAAUAUUAGAUGACCAAUAAUGCUACUAUUUUUAGUGGAGUUUGUAUUGUUUAACAGUAAAACUUGCAUAGCUGCAUGUCUUAGGUGACCCAUGUGGCCAAAUCUCAUUUAAUUCAUUGUGGAAAAUUCACUGUGGAAAAGAAUGGAAUACAUACCUUGCUAGAGGAGCGUUUGUUUUGGAACCAAAACUUGACCUGCAGGGCACUCAUGUGAAGCCUCUCGCUAAGGUCUUUCCGGAGUUCUGCAUCUGGAUAAGGGCUUUUCUGGAACACACUACAUAUCACGUUAAAGAAAAUGGAUUAGUACACAUGUUUUUUGAUAGGUAAGAAACACUGAUUGAGUAUGUAUUGUACGCUUCAAGUUGUUGGAUUUGUUCUCCACGGAGACGGUUAUAAUUUGCACGCCUUGUCACCAUUCUCUGCACAUGAUUGGUCUCUUCAUCGUUAUUGUUGCCUUUGUCUGCAGCAGCAGCGUUGGCAUCGUCAGUGUUGCCCAUGUUGGUAGUGGCUCCCAGCAGGUCAUGCAUCUCAUCACCAUGCUCGUGCGGGGGUAGGUGGCCCUGUUCGCUUGUGAUGAAGUGAUCCAACAUAUUUUGCACAUCACUGUCGUAUUCUGGCAACUCCCCAUCCAUGGUGAUCUGUUAUCAUGAAACAAAAUAUAUAUUCUCAUGUGUAGAGUUAAAGGUAACAAUGAACAAAUAUCUUAAGAAAAAAGAAUGCAGUAGUGAAAAAAGAAAUCAAGUAGACUUUAGUUGGCAACGUAGUACAUUUAGAUUUAGAUUUUAAUUUCCAACGCAGUCGGAUGUUACUCCACAUUAAGAAUACUUAAAAUUCAUCUGUAUGAGUUUCCUAGACCAAGAUGUAAUCAAGUAGACUUAAAUUACUCUCAGAAAUAUAUUGACAUAAUUUCCUGAAUUCACUAUCACAUAUUCAUGAUUAUCUACCGCUGAUUACUUCAAUAAUUUCUAAACAUAUAUGCCCUACAUAUUCCUGAAUUCACUAUCGCAAAACUAUUACUUUCUAUCUCAUCGUGUUCUUUUAUAUGUAUCAGAAAAACCUUACUCUAUCUAUAUAUACAUUGGUAUCUAUCUACAGAUUCCGUAUGUGAUAUAUUUAAACAAGGCCUUACAUACAAUAAGAUAAGUACCAACUACUCCUACAAUUGUAGAAGCAAGAAAUUAAAAUAUACUAUGCGAGGGAAAUCAUAUUAGAAUAAAUAAUAGCAUCAUAGGCAGAAUAAUACGAUCAGAUCUAUGAAUAUAUACAAUCAGAUCUAUGUUAGCAAGAUCCUAGCCAUCUCCCAAGCAAAAUGAUGAAAUGCUACUUUCUUUGUGUAUCCACUCAUUCCAUGGUGGAUCUACCUUUCUUCCAAGAAUACAAGGGAUAAGAGAUGUCAUGGAGGAUUCCUGCUCAACUUUAGAAGCUAUAUAUCCAAGGAUAACUAGAGUAGAAGGGUAUAAACAUUACUAGAUGAACGGCUUAAGGAAAUACCGCUGGCUUCGGUUGUCGACCUCCUUAGAACUUCGGUAGGCGAAAAAGUACACGAAUCUGUUUUGUUCCUACUGAUAUAUCAAACUCAUUCAACAAAGUAGCUAUGACCGUCCGAAUUUAAAGCCGUGAGCAGCAUGCAAAAUUUAUGCCAUAACCCAUGAUUAAUGCAAGCAAUUACUUGUAUCCAAAUAUAAGGCUCAUAUAUCAUGGAUUUUGCAUUGGCCUAUAUAUAGGUCAUAUUUAAUACUCACUAAGCAUAUUUGUGGAGUGAAUAUUGGCAUAUUGAUACAAUAUAUUAUGAUAUUAAAACAAUAUAAAUUGCUUCUUCAUAAAAUUAAUAGAAAAGAACGACUUUGAUCAAUAAUAUAUUUGUAAAUCUAAAUGAUAUACAUGGACAUAAAGAUUUCUUCAGUCAAUAAUACGUAUAGAGUAUGUUUUUCUUGGAAGAAACACUUUCUAUGCACACAAUAGAAAAGAACACCAACAAUAACUUGUAUCCAAAUAUAAGGCUGAGAUGCCAUGGAUUUUGAUAGUUGCCGCAUGUCCUAUAUAUAGGGCAUAAUUAAUACUAAUUAAGCCUAUUUGUGGAGUGAAUAUUGCCAUAAUUAUAACAAUAUAUUAUAUGAUCAAAAUAAUUGAAAAAGGGUGGUUCUCAUUAUAUAUAUACAUAAUAUACAUGGACAUAAACGGGUGGUUCUGAUCCAUUAUAUGUUGUAGACCAACAAGAUAUACAUGGACAUAAAGAGUUCUUCAGCCAAUACAACAUACAAUGUAUGUUAUUUUUGGAAAAAAACUUCCGAUUUAUUCAUCCACUAUUAAGGGAGCACAAAUAAUACCAGGACUAAUAGAAAUUACAUCUUGGUCGGCGACAACAACAAGCACUGGAGUGAGCUGAAGACGUGCCACCAUCAUCGCCCCUCUCUCACUGAUGUCGGCCAAACCUUGUUGUAGUACUUAGACGGGAGUCCUCAUGGGAAGGCCUCAUAGGACCACUAAACUAGAGCAGCAACCAUCGCCGAUGAAGAGAAGCGUAUAUCAUGAUUCACUAAUCAAUUUCUAGCACAUUUCCCUCCCCGGUCACACCACCAGUGUCAAUGUUCAAGUCACUCAAGCAACCCGACCCCAAUAACGAUGGCCCUGGAUGCGCUGGCUGGCCCACCUGUCAUGCACUUACCAGCUGAUUCACCUGGGCCCGCCAUGAUCUGACCCAACAACGUGGCUUUGGCCCGGCGGCGGGCCUUUGUUCCCCCGCGCGGGCAAGAAUCAACGGGCGCUGGCGAAUGAGAGUGGCCCCGGGCAGACCCGGCGGUCCACCUGUCAAGGACCUCCCAGCCGGGUCUCCCGGGUAUGAGCCGGCCGAGAAGAUCACACGAAUCAGAUCGUCCCCGAGAGGCUACCGCUGCAUGCCACAAAGCAACCGAUGACACGUAUGCUCUCAUAGCCCGUGGAUCUCUCGCGUGAUCCGACGCCAAUGACGAUGGCCCCUGGCGCACUAAGAGGUCCACCUAUCAUGGACCAUCCAACCAAGUUAAUCGGAUCAGACGCUACCCGACUCAGCCCCAUGGCUUUGGCCCGACAGGGGGUAUACACACCGCCAGGAGUGUCCGGAUAUGCCACCACACGGGGGCGGGUCCAUGUCGAGAACCACCCAAGGCGGUGACCUCGGUCUGGCAUGCGGUCCAUCCGUCAUGGACCAUCCAUCCAGGUCGCCCACGCGCAAGCUGUCCGGCCAGAUCGGACGGCUUGCAUCGGCCCUGAGAGGCUCCCGCCGCAAGCCAAAUGAUGACCGACGACCAUGAGCCUCUCUUCGCCGCGAGGAGCCCAAGGAUGCGGGUAUUCCAGCAUCCUUUAUAGGAGUAAUGACUAUGAUCAUUCAUGGCAUGAUCUUGCAUAGGCAUUACGUCCGUGAUUUGUAGAUCGUUAUCCAACUUCAUCUUCAACUAAUACUCCACCCAAGCCUACUAUCCAACAUUAAGUUUAUAAUAAAAAAAGCAUUGCAAUUAGUAUGAGGGAAGAGUGUAGACAAUAAAACUAUCAUAUAUAUGUAAGUGAUAAAGAAACUAUCAUUUUAUCCUUAGUGGCAAUAACACAAUAUGUGUCCAAUCCCUUAUCAACAGGAUCAAAUUCACCGCAAGGUUGAGCUCACUACCAUGCACAAAUAUCUAUGAAGAACUACCAACCAAUCAUGGCCAGAGACGACAAAUAGAUUGAAAAGCAUACACUUGUGGAGCAAAGAAACUUCAUAAGAUUCAAUAUAAUUCAAUGAAGAAUCUGAUAAUAAAGUAUCAAUUCAUCAUAUUCUAACAAACAUAACCACCGAUUACAUUUUAUUGAUGUCAAUCAUGUCAGGAACCUCACCAGAACUUUGUAUUGAAUUACUUGAGAGAGAGGAUGCCAUCCAGCUACGGCUAUGGACCAUAACGUCCUAAGGAAACUACCCACACAUGUUCUUGGUGGUAGCAAGGUUGAUGAGAUGGCUGUAGCAAUGGAUUCACCCUCUGGCAGGAUGCCGGAAUAGGCCUCCAGAUUAGAUCUCCCCGGAACAUAAACUUGCGGCGGCGGAAAAAAUCAUGGUAAUAUGGUACAGACGUUUUCGAAAAAUAUGGGGUUUAUGGGCAAAGGAAUCAUCGCAAGGCGGUGCUAGGGGGCCCCACGUGUCUACUCCAUGAGGGUCGGCCCCUGGUUGCAUAGCUUGGAUUCAUGGAGGGCUAGGGGUGCCCCCCUGGCCUCUCCCAUCACUUAUUGGAAUCUUCUAGAGUACCGCUGUCCUGGUUUAUUAGUCCCCUAUGUAAUUUGUGCUAAACUUUUACCAAUUUAACUGACAAAAUGUUAGUCCAUGUCAACAAAAAUUAUAUCGUCGGAUUCGUAUUUGAACAUAAUUUUCAAUGAUAUAAUGUUUUGGGGUUAAUUAUCCUUUUGCCCUCAGUGGUGUCCAUGUGCUUAGUUUUGCCUUCAGUGGCGAAUCGUGCUCAAUUUUGCCCCUAGUCCAUGCGCAGCUACUAUGACAAGGUCAAACGGCCAGAUUUUAAUCCAUUCCAUCCGCCAGCAUAACUGGUAGUGGGUUCGGAGCUUACACGUGGGACCGCGUGGAUGUGGGUUCGGAGCUGACAUGUGGGACCGUGAAACAAAAUCCGCAAAUCAAUCCUAGGGUUCUAACCUGCGAACUCGACGCCCACUCCGUCCCGUCCGCCGGCCGGCCGUCCUGCUCCGCCACCGCCACCAGCGUAGCCGCCAGCUACACUGCUGCGGCCGCGGCUGCGGCCGUCCUGCUCCACCGCUACCUGCUCUGCCCGCCACCUUCCUGCGAUGUCACAGGUGGGGCGCCCGCCACCUGCUCUACCUGUGGCGCGGCCUCCUUCCGUGCGCCCGGCCAGAGCGCUGAUAGGUGGGGGGUUCGUGGACCUAUUUGAAGUACGUUGGUGAAACCCAGGGAAAAAUCGCGAGCAGCGGCGACCCCGGAGUAUUUGGUGAGGCAGGCAUCAGGCUGGAGAUCCGCAACAUCCACGACUAGGUUCCUGAGGGGUAAGUCAUGCCUCCUCUUUGGAUUGAGCUUAGUUGUGCAUUUCAACAGUUCGAGUUGGUUUGCCCGGUUAGUGUGCUUUUUGCGUCUAUAUUUUUCAUCGGUUAGGAUGGAGUUGCGAUUUGCUUUCUUGGUGCACAUUAUAAGGGACCGGUACAUGUUGAAUGCAAAGAAUAAGAAGAAAUUCCAAGGAGGUUUUGAUGAUAUGUUGCCAAUGGCUUGUAAUUGGAGUUUCAGACAAUUUGGGGAGGUAAUUUGUAGCCAAUAUCCUUGGGGUUUGCUUGAUGAAGUGGAAUACAAAUACUAUGAUGGGGAAAAGAAAUGGCUGACAGUUAGUAAUGAUGAAGAGCUGGCUAUCAUGUUUGCUAGGCAUAAAGAGAAAGAGAAUUUUCAUGUGAGGCUACAAAUUGAUGUGCUUGAGCAGGGAUUUCGACCUAGGAUGGCGGGUGCAACAUCUCGGGGAGAACCAAGUCAUUGUAAUGGCAUCUCUAGCCAAAAUAGUUCAGUUAGUGCACGACGACGUGGUGGCUCGACAAGCGUGGGACCGGCAGUAGGGUCCCCCUUGAAGUGGAGCCUGAUGCCUACAAUUUUGGGGUUGAUGAAGAGAAGCUAUAUUCUGAUGUUAUUCAGAAUUUACGACGGGCACCUCGGGCUGAAAACCAAGAUGAGGCUCACAAUGCAGUCCGUGUGGACGAUGACAUGGUGGGUGAGGAUGAAGACCUUGUAGUUGUUCAAUGAGACCCUUUGAACCCUCAUAUGGAAGAAGGUACCGUUUUUGAAUCCAUGACUGAGUGUAGAAACGCACUUGUGACAUACUGCAUCAAGGUAGAACGUACUUUCAAAGUUGACAAGAGCGAUCAAGUACGUUACAGAGUGCACUGUCCAACUGAGAGUUGUCCAUGGAGGUUGCUCGCAUCUAAAAUGCGAAAUAGCAUGAAUGUUCAUGUCAAAGUGAACCAUUUUAAGCACACAUGCCAGGAAUCAACCCUUAGGAAGGAUACAAUCAGUAGAUCCAAGUCAAGAUGGGUGGCAAAAGAAGUAAAGAAGUGGGUGAAAGAAAACCAGCAAGUGAGUCCAAAGGAAUGGCAGAAGAACAUCAAAGACAAGUUCAAGAUAGAUUUACCAUACAUGAGGUUGUUCAAUGGUAAACAACAUGCUAUGGAUUCUAUUUAUGGUAACUGGCAGGAAAUUUUUCAAUUGUUGUAUUCAUUCAAAGGUGAAGUGGAGAGGACCAACCCAGAUAGUAUUGUAGAUAUUGACCACCACACCGUGGAGUACACAUUCAGGGGAGUGACAAAGACCAAGGAAUGCUUUAGGAGGGUUUUUGUCUGCUUUGAGGCUUGUCGCCAGGGUUUUCUGGCAGGCUGCAGGCCUUAUUUGGCUAUUGAUGCUACUUUUCUCAUAGGGAGGUUUAAAGGACAGUUAGUAGCAACUUGUGCAGUUGAUCCACACAGUUUUGUAUUUCCAGUUGUGUACGGUGUGCUGGAGACAGAGUGUGAGGAGCGCUAGACUUGGUUUUUACAUAAUCUGCGCCGGGCUAUUCCACAUCCCAAUGGGUUAGUAAUUCAUACAGAUGCCUGCAAAGGUUUAGAAGUGUCCGUGGAGAAUGUGUUCCUUGGAGUAGAGCAUAGGGAAUGCAUGCGUCACCUUGCUGCAAAUUUAGUGAAGAAAUUCAAAGGAAAGGUGUAUACCAACAAUUUAUGGCCACUAUCUUUGACUUGCAGUGUGAAGAAGCUCAACUACCACUUGAGAGAGUUAUACAUGAAUCUCAAAGUGAAAGAAUACUUGGAAACACAACACUCCAAGCUAUGGGCCAGAAGCCAAUUCAGUGAACUGAGCAAAGUUGACUAUGUGCAUAAUAAUCUAGGAGAGUCUUUCAACUCAACAAUAUGGAAACUAAAGGGUCAUUAUGUGGUUGAUUUUCUUGACAUGAUAAGGAUAGAAUACAUGCAUAAAUUUCAUUAUCGUGCAAGAAUAGCCGAUGCAAAAUUCCUGGGCCACAUUAUCAUCCUUGUCGUGAUGAAUGAACUGAAGCAGAAAACAACAUGCUUGGAAAUGAACAUGACUCUUUGCUCGGGUACCACAACAGAGAUAUCAUAUUUGGAUAAAGAGAAGAGGGAAUGUAGAUAUCUAGUGGAUUUAGAAGAUAGAACUUGCAGAGCUAGGCAAUGGUAGAUAACUGGGUUGCCAUGCAUUCAUGCCUUGUUUUUCAUCACUUCUAUCCCAAGUCCAGCAGGCAACAUACAACAGUAUGUGCAUGAUUACUACUCUGUUGCAAGGUUCAAAGCCACAUAUGCGUAUGCCUUGCAUGCUAUGGAGGGAAAAACAAUGGGACAUGGUGGACCCUGGAUUCAAGCUUUGCGCUCUAGUUCUGAAGAGAGCAGCAAGUAGACCAAGGGAGAGUCGAAUCAGACCUCGCCGCGAAGGAUAUGGACUUGGAGCGAGGAAUUGUAAGUGCACAAGGUGUGGUGGGUCUGGUCAUUUCAGUAAUAUUGUGAUAACACAGUAGAUAGCGUUCGGAGAGAGUUUCGAUGAAGGCUUCGAUGAAAAUUUUGGUUAGCAGCCGGUUGCCUCAACAGAUGAUGAAAAUGAUGGUCAACAGCCGGUUUCAUCAAAUGAGGAUUUUCACGAGGUUCCAAAUGAUGAUGGUCAACAACCGCAUGAUUUUGAUGAUGAUCCAAAAUAUCCUCCAAAUGAUGAUUCAAGUGAGGCUCUAAAUGGUGAUCCAAGUGAGGCUUCAAACGGUGAUCCAAAUGAGGCUCCAAAUGGUGACCAACCUUCUGUUGUUGUGAGUUCUGCUAGGUAUGUAAAUCUUGCAAAUACUACUGUACAUUUAUCACAUGACAUUAUCUCAUUACCCUUUAUGUUUUGCACGGCUCUACGGUAGGUUCGAAGAAGGCGUGCAAGGUAUCGACAACCAAGAAGAGAAGAGAAGAAGCAAUGGGCACAAGGUGUACAAGGAGCAAAGUGAUGGCAAGAAGCUCAAGGAACAAACAGAAGCCCCAACGCUAAUUAUGAAUACUUAUGAGACAUUAUGAAUAAUGUUAUAUUUCUAUUGAAUGAUGUUGGACUAUGUUAGAACUAUGUUUGAAUGAUGUUGGACCUAUGUUAGAACUUCAAAUUUGACAUGCUAUAUGGAUGUUGUAAUUCUUUCAAAACAUUGGUAAACUCACAUUCAUGAAAAAUGUGCUAAAAAAGAGCUCCAAAGGUAGGGUAAACGGCCUCAUUUCUAAGCAAGAUUUUUUGAACUUGUCUAAAUGCGCCAAAUAACUUCCGUACACAUAUAUUCUAUAUACACAAACUAUGUGCGCUGAUUUUUCCUUUUUUUGAUUUUUUUUUUUAAAAAUUUGCUCAUUUAAUUUCUAGUCAAACCUAACUUUGACCAAGAUUUAAACAAGUCUAAAACAUCAACAUGAAAAACUAAGCCUGGAUCCUUCUUAGUCACUCCAAAAUGAAGCUCAUCAUGUUUUAGUUUUAUCGUUUUUAUUUUGUUGCUUUUCUAUGUCGUGCUUGCCAUGUCGUGUCAUGCCGUGUCCUUGGACUUAUCUAUCUAUGUAGGGUACCCAUCUAUGUAAGGGUAUGAUGUGCUACAUCUUAUCAAUCCAAGUUAUUAUGUGUGUUCAAAAAUGUUUGCGGCCAAAGAUAUCAUUUCUUCUCUAAACCAAGUUAUGAACUAACAUGCACAUUUAUUCCCUUCAAAUCCUAAACCAAGUGCCACUCUAACCACAAUCAUGUGGCAAUGCAAACAUAUGUUUCCAACCCUCCAAAAGUUCUGUGCAAAACAAAGGAAAACCACUCUCACACGUGUGCAAACAUUCAGUACAAACAUGCGUUUUUAAACCCUAAACCAAGUCAGGUCUCACUAUGUAUAGCUUCCUUCCCAAGCCAUGUCAAAGUCUUUCCAUCUUCCCUAGCGGUUACCAGCGCAGCCCUAAACGCCACAAACCCAUGCGGUCCUGGGUUUGAGUCCCAGUCGCACAUAUUUUUCGUGCAUUUUCCACCCAUCAUUUUUUGGACAAAUUAUUUUUUCUCAAUGUAAUGCCCUUCAAAAAUGUUCAUUAAUUUUGGCAUCAGGUGUAAACCUCUACCACAGCUUUGGCACAUUUUCCAUGACAUUUUUGUCUUUGAUUUAAAUCACGAGGUAUUUGAAUUGGAGUAAUUAAAUUGUUUAAAUAUUUAACAGCUCCAAAAAAAUUCUAAACUUAAUUGUUUGGCUCUGGAAUAAUUAAAUUAGCUUCCAAAAAUAGUUUCAGCAUUAAAUAAAAUGAACUACUGCCUAAAUUAAAUCAGAAUAGAAAAAGAAAAACAUGCAAGAGAUCUCAUUUUCCCACCCCGGAAUGGGCCUAAUUGGAUGCAGUUGGCCCAUUAGUCUAGCCUUCACUUGGCUCUCCGCUCUGAUUUGGCCCACAGAGGAACCUUUUUUGACAGAAAGGCAGAGCAGAGAGCUGCAUUUCAUCGAUCAAAGUUUCUGAAUUUCUCAUUUCUUCUUCCUUUUUUCAACAUAUUUAAAUGUUGCUCAUUUCUUUUCUCUUUUUUCAACAUUUAAACAACUUUGACCAACAUUUAAACAAGGUGAAUUUCUCAUACAAUUUCAGGCUUACAAAUCCCUCCAUAAUUCAUGCCUUUCCAUACAAUUUCAACAUUACACCCAGUGCGAUUACCAUAGCUACAAAUGCCCAAAAGUAAUUGCAAAUGAGUAUUUGUGCUUGAUCUUCAAACUUCCUAACCUUCUUAUUCAGCAUCCUAAGCUCAACAGCUAGCUCUCUGUCAGUGUGUGGUUCGCCCUCCAUCUCUUCUUCCGGAGCUCGUGCUGCGGCCACUACCAUUCGUGGCAGCAUGCGCAACCAUUCUUCAUGCUCUUCUUGUAGUUCAUUCAUCAGAGUCUUGGCCAGAGCAUCGACCCAAAGGAAGAAACAUUCCACCUACAUGAAUGCCAAACAGAUCAACCCAUUGCUCAAAGAUCCCGACCACGAAAAUGGUGCAAUUGCCCCGAUUCUUACCCCAUUCUCGCUGCACACGUAGAACAGACGAUUCUGGUUCCUUGAUGUGUGAGAAACCCUCCAAUCAACGGCCUCCCGACACCGCAGAUAGACGAAGAUAGGCAUCUCCACGCUCGCCGGGCUCUGCAUCCGCCAGGUGCCGCGGGAGCUUGAAGAAGACAUGGAGCUCAGAGCCGAAGGGGAUCUCAACGCGGCCGCACCCUCCACAUCUAUCUUCCCACCGCCGCUCUCUCUGUCUCCAUGGUCACCACCGUGCUCUAUCUCACCCGCUCUCUGUAUCGCCGUGGUCACCGCCGCUCUCUAUCGCCCGCUUAUAUAACACACCCGCAACAGCUCUCCGCUCAACGGCUCUUUGUUGGGUCCCACAAGCCACGCGUGCAACAGUCUGAUUGUCUAGCGCAUCUCUGCCGCCUGGUCCCACCUGUAAGAACCGAGUCAAAAGGUUGACCUGACGGAGACGACAAUUUUCAUGGAACGAGUUGGUGCGGACACACUAGGGGCAAAACUGGGCAGAAUUCACAACUGAGGGCGAAACUAAGCAAAUGGACACCACUAAUGGCAAAAGGAUAAUUAACCCAAUUUUUUCUGACAUGCAUGAACAUUUUGCUAGUUAAAUUUAUGGUCAAAAAUUGGCACAAAUUACAAUGGGGACCAAUAAACCAAGACGAAGGUAGUACUUGCAAAAAAUCACCAUAAGUUUCUAUGGUAUUUUGAGUUCAUAGAUAUUGAUUUUCUGAAAAGUCAAAACAUGCACAAAACGGUAACUGGCUCUGUGCACUUAAUUAAUAGGUUCAUCCGGGAAAAAUUGCUAUGAAAGGUAUUGAAAAGUGAUAUUAUAAUAUCAUGAAAUAAAAAAUUAUCGAUAUGUUUGAGAUAUAUUAGUGCCAUAAAAAUCUUACAGUCGAAUCGCACCAGUAACGUAUGCAAUUUGUCGUGGCUAAUGUACACGUUUCUUUCGGGACGAAUCCAUAGUUUUCAUGUCAGCAUCCCACAAAACAGUGUUAUUCUUCUUCCUCUCCUCUCGUUAUCUCGACACCUUUAUCAUCGCCAUUGUUAGCUAGCCCCCUCGUGUUGUGGCAUUCUAUUUUGCAAUACAUACAAGAAGGCAUAAUUAAUAAAACUCACCGCAUCAUUGCAUUAACCAGUUAAAUCAAUAAACAUGUCUAUGCACAUGAGCAUUCAUAUUCAUAUAUUCAUGUGAAUUGGGUAUUUGUAUUGAAAUGGGUUAUUCAUGGUUGUUAUAUCAUCUUGGCGCAUUGCAUUGUAUGAAGGUGUUAAUACGUCCAAAAACAGUCAUGUCUUCUUCUACCUUUAUGAUGUCUAUUCAUGUCAUUUUCACCGGACAUUCAUAGGCGCACACACCUGCCCGGUUGGGCCUCACCGCACAAUUUUCUCACGAUACACAAACUCGUUUGACUCCUCAUAGUUCCCUCCAUGGUUUGGGGUUUUAUCUUCUGAAACUUAGUGAAUUUAUCAUUCAUUCCUACCAUGUUUUAGCAUGUGUAACAUAGUGAAGUUGUAAAAACAUGGUAUAACAUAUUCAGAAGUGAUUUUAUUUCAAUGCCCUCAUCACUAGGACCCAAUAUGCAAAUGAAACAUAAAUUGCACUUUUGCUUCAAAAGAUAUAUAAUAUAUUCAAAUUGGAAGUCCAAAUAAAAAGCAUGAGUUGGGGUCGGUGCCCGCACAUGUGUGCCACUAUGUGUCUUUUUUAUUAGUUACAUUACUUUGUUUCCAAUUUUGCUGCCAGAUAUGACAAUUUAUAUCGUCUCCCUUUUGAGAAAAGUCAAAGAAUGACGACAAUAAAUAGAAAAGCCUAAAUAUAAAAGAAUAGGAAGACAAAGAAAUUCAUACAAAAUUACACUCAUGGGGUGUAGCAAGAGGGCACGAUAGGGCUUGUAGGGCCCACCACUACUAGGAAAAGGCCUACUAAUGGCGCACCGGUUUUGCCUACUAAUGGCGCACUACCGGUGCGCCAUUAGUAGCAUGCCAUUAGAAUUUUUUACUAAUGGCGCACCACUGGUGCGCCAUUAGUAUCUGGUAUACUAAUGGCGCACCAGCCAGUGCGCCAUUAGUAUGUAACACCAUGCGCCAUUAGUAUGCCUCCUAGGGGGCCAUAUGUAACCAUGUGCUUUGUCACACUAGUGGCGCACUCUGCCACGAUGCGCCAUUAGUAUCCUUUGGCAUACUAAUAGUGCACUCUGCCUUGAUGCGCCAUUAGUAUGAAUAUUUUUUUUUGAUUUUCUGAUUUUUGCAUAGGUUACAAAAUAUAUUAUUGGACAGAAUAUAGACAGCAGCACACAGCAACAUCAGAUUCAUCGAAUACAAUAGAAGAUUAGUCUCCGAAUACAAUUCAUCAUAUUAGUCUCCAAAUUCAAAAGACCGAACAAAGAUAAAACAUUACAAGUCUCAAGACCGCGAGUAUCGAGUUUGUCUUCACAUUACAAGUUGAUAUCGAUCAUCUAAACUACCAUCACAUAAAAGAGAGUUGUGGUCAUCACGAUGAGCAUCAUCGCGAUCAAACUGCUCCUCAUCCGGUUCCUCCAACGCUCCCUCCUCUCUCCCGCUAGAUAGCGGGCAUAUCUAGAUUCGGCCUCCGCCCUAGUGGUGUACCCUUUGUAACUGUUACCGCUGAAAUGGUGAACCUGUCUCCGACACUCCUCCCAGUCGUCGUAGACUCCGAGAACCUUACCCUUGUAAACGACAUACGACAACAUCUCUAUGCACAAGCCAAACAACAGAUAAUACAUAAGCAAUAUGUAAGUAUGCAACAAAAGGAUUGAAAGGGAAAAGCAAGACAUUAAUAGCACGAUUCAUGGUCCUACUAAUAGAUAGCAUCGAUUACAUCUAAGUUGAACGACUGUCCAAACCAAAGAGACAUACGAAUUCAUUAAAGUUUAAUUACAACAUGAGCUAAUCAAUGUUUCAGAACUACACAUCACUACUUUCGACUCGACUCAUCGGACAGGAGCGUGGAUGAAGCCGCCGUCUGUCGUGAUGGUCAUGAAAUUGCGGUCGUUGUCACCCUGCAUUUGUAGCGUUUCAUCUAUCUCACUGUUGGACGGUUGAUAUCUGACGAAGAACUGCCCCGAGGUAUGAAGGACAUCUUGAUGGAUGAUGUCCGCAAACUCCAACUGGAUGCGAAAGAAUUCUUGUCUGAGGUCCGCGUCCUGGACUGCCGAUAACCUCGCGGCCCAAUCUUUGAGAUUAUCUGGUAGCAGAAGUUGAUGAUGGUCCCUUACGAUCACCCGCAUGUGAUGGAGGGUGUAGUAGGCAUCCUUCUGACCGCCAGGCGGCGGCUUGACACAGCAGAACUUCGUAUUGUGUGAGAACAUGUGCUUGCCGUACUUACGAACUGCCCUGGUGAAGGUGCCUCCAGAUUUGGCGUAGCCGGGGAAAACAUCAUCAAGAACUUUCUUGACAUUUGUGUAGUCUAUCUUGGAGUUACGGUUCGGGUCGAAAUACGUGGCCAUGGAAUAUUUCGGGCUUAAGAGGAUGAGUGUGCAACGUGUGUCACUGCACAGAACACGGAAUGUUAGAAAAAAAAGAACGAUCAAAAUCUAAGAAAUCAUAUGUUACGGGGCGGUUAAGGGAUGACUUACUCGGGAAAGUUAGCCACAAGGAAGUUAUCCUUAUCUGGGUUUGCCAGAAUGACGCCUUCGAGGUGUGAACUCGCAACUUGGCGGUCCCCAGCGCUGUUCAAGUGCUUGGCACGCAUGUAGAAGGGGUCGACUAUCACGAUGUCCGGGGUCUUGUCUCUAAUGAUCCGCAUCUCCAUACUCAGCGAAAACAGCCGAACGAAUGUGUAGUGCAGCGGAUGAAGGUUAAACAUAGCAAAGAUGUCAUCAAACCGCAGGACGAUCGUACCCCCGAUGUCGCCAUCCGCAAAGCCCUUGCCCUCUGGCACCUUGGCCACGAAAACCGGGUAUGCCACAUCAUUCUCUCUCAGACGCCGCUUCUCCAAAGAAAGAACACUGUCGUGCAGACUCCGCAUAGCACCGGUUGUAGCAUUUAGCAUAUUUGGCGGUAGCAUCGCCCUACCCACCACAUGCACCCUCCUCGAGAUAUCCUUAGGUGAAGGUGGCCCGUCCUGAGCACGGAUCGAACUCGGUGCCGGCUGGCUCGCACCGGCGCCCUUGUUAGUCUUUCAUUUCCGUCCCUUCUUCUUGAUCUCCUGUAAUGGGACCGAGUUCUGCUCACAGACCGCUUUCUUGAGCGUGUUGGGGCUGAUAAUAUUUCGCACCUCAGCUAUCUGAGGCUCGGUGAAGGCGGGAGCUGGAGGCGUCUCCUGAGAACUGAACGGCAGACGACGCCUAUUGCAAUUGGAUUUCUCCGCCGUACCAGCUAGAUUGCGGUCGUCUUGGUUGGGUUCUUGAGAAAGAGGCCCGCAGAACUCGUCAGCGUACCCAUGUUCGGCAAAGUACUUAUCGACUUUGGUAAAUGUACCGUCGUCGUUGUCGUCGUCGUCCGGAUCCUGUGCCAUAGGGCUGUCUGGAUCCUAUGCCAUAGGGAUGUCUGACAUAGGGAUGUCCGGCAGGUCCGGUAGCGUUGCGGCGUUCUUGCCAUGGCUUGGCGCUGGCACGACUGGCGGUCUUGUUUGUCGGGUGGUGUCCCCCGCCCCCAAACGAAUCUGACUCUUCGGCCAAAGCAGCGGCCAGUUUACGCAGGCGCUGAGGGUCAUCUCAUCUUCUUCGUCGGCCCCAGCGGAUCGAACCGGAGGUAACAGCUCGUCGCAGCCUAGCAGCACCCGAACCACUUCAACCCUAUACACUAUGGGUGGCAUCGGAUUACCGUGGAACAUGCGAUUGCCCGGUUGAACGAUUCUGCCCUUGGCGACAUCGACCAACUCGGCGCCCACGAAGUGCAGAAGAGUGCAAGGAACGUCGGCGGUGCCCUGCGAAAACAUGUACAGGGCGUCAGGGAUGCCCAGUCAAAGGCAAGGAGAUGAAGUCAUCGGCCGAAAGGCUUAGUUACCGUGAUGCCAUCGAGCUCGGCUAAUGUCGAGGCACCGCCAACGGCGGGCAUGCAACUGACGGAGGGGGAGCUUGCUGGCGAGGUGCCGGUCGGCGUACACCCGGGUGCAUUAAGCUCCAAUGCCCGUGCCGGCGCCGGAGACACGAAUACCGCCUCCGCCGAAGACACCAAUGGCGCCGCCGCCGGAGACACCAAUGGCGCCGCCGGAGACACCAAUGGCGCCUUCUGCGUGUUGUGCGAGUUGCUGGCCGUGAAGCUGGGAACCGGGGGAGGCCCCUGUUGGCCGCCCGCAAUCCACGUCGUCAGCCCAUGAAUCAACGUAGGCACCAUGGCGUUGAGCUUCGUUCCCAGUUGUUGUUCCACUUUCUCUUGGACAAGCUCCGGAAUCCGUGCCACUUGUGCCUUGAGUGCUUCAACCUCGCACGUCUGGCUUUCCGAGCUGGCCUUUUUCUCCUUCCGCACACCACCGGUAUAGUAUGACCCCCUUUUUGUGGACAAGCCUUUGCCGGCCACACGACCAGCUGACGUCGGCUUAGUGAGCUUAUCCUUGCUUUUCAUUAUGUUCAACGCCCUAUUUAAAGGGCUGUCGAAAGGGGAGCUCUGAGACGACCCCGCGCUACUACUUUCAGUUUCCUGCGAAAGGAACGUGAACCAUUUAGAAAUAUUGGGGAUUAGUUAGAGUGCAACCAUAUGGAGCUAAUCACGCGGGGGUGUAUUCCUUACCAGAACAAGCUCAAGCGCCCUGGUCUUCGGAUCCGUGGUAAGCUCCUUUGUUAUCGGGUCCUCCUUGUACCGGGCCCUGACAUAGUUCCUGGUCUGCUUGUUACCGCUGUAUUUCUCGAAGAAGGGCGAUAGGCCUUGCUCGGCACGCUCCGCGUCCUCCUUGUCCCAUAUAGGCUCUGCCACUCUGUAACCGCCGGGACCGAGUUUGUGUUCCACUAAGUUCAACUCCCGCAUUUCUUUCCCCCACUGACUUGAUUCGGUGGUUGCACUGCUCUCGCACUUUAUCUUGAACUCCUUGUAGUCAUCUUCGCUCAUCAAAGGAUAUUUCGCCUUGAUCUUCUCAUAACUAUCACCUUUAUCAAUCAUUCUCCUCACCGCGCUUCUCCAAGUAGAUAGGGCCGUGCUCAUCUUCGUGAGGGCGGCACUGUUCACUUUAUUCCCUGAGAGGCGUGUGUUUUGAAAUUCGGCGGGGAACUUGUAUCAUUCGUGCAGCUUCGUGAAGAGGAGGUUGCGCAAAUUCCCUCAGUCCUUAUGCCUAAGGUUCUCGGUGUUGAUCGAGACGGUGCUCCGGAGAAUGCACCCGAGCUAAACCGAGUACCCCUUGACUAUAUGUUUGGGCUCCGUUGGAUUCCCGUCGGAGUCCACUUGAGUGAAUUCCUCCUUGAGGGUGCGGAGCGCAUUCGGGCGCCGGUCCUUGCUUUGCUUCUUCGGUUGGCUGCCAUCUGUGUGUGCGCCGCCAUCAUCAGUGGUGGCAUCCUCGGCGGCACCAUCAGUGGUGUCAUCCCCGACGCCACUAGGGGUUUUGUAAUCAGUAUCGGUGUCUUCCGCGACGUCCUCAUAGCAGUGAGGUUGUUCCUCCAUCUCUUGGGACAGCUCCCAGAAUUGCUUGCCGCCCGAACCGCCAGCCUCAUCAUUGUUGGCCAUGUUUCGCUUUAAAUAGGAAAACAGUUUGGUCAAAAAGUUGGUUAUUGUCAAGGAACAAGAUCAUGGUCUCAUCAUUUAGGGUUUGUCGAUAGCGAGGCAUCCUAAAAGCUAAACUUUUAUCAUUUAGGGUUUGUCGACGCCAAGGCACCCUAAAAGCCUAAGCCGAGGCACCCUAGGUUGGGCCUAAUCACUUGGCACUAAUCACUUGGCUCUAUUGCUACCUAUGGUUUAAUGCAGCAAGAAUGGCGGGGCAUUUGAUCCUACUUAACUAAGUACUAAGAUACCCCGGACCAUGCAUUAGUCGCAAGUACCCCAUAUGUCCUAUUUUUAGCAAAGUCAUGCUAAAAUUUCGGCAUGACCUUUGCUGAAAAUAGGACAUAUGGAGUACCCGAAUUUGCCGGAACAGAAGUUAAUCAACAUUCCGGCAAACUCAAGGGCCACUCGGGGUACCUGCAAAUUCAUCACGACACGAUGGUCGGAGACAAAACCCAGCAAACUAGCAAGAUGAUCAUCAUCUUUGCAAGAUAGUAGCUCAAGGUUUUGACAGUAGCCUCUGAAGAAAACAACAUUGCAACAUUCAAGUUCACAGGAUAAAAAAAUCAUCCACAUUCACCAACCCACAUGAUGUUAAAAGCCACAUGAGCUGUAAACAGACUUAAAAAACCCACAUGAUGUUAUAACUGUAUACACUGAACAUGAUGAUACCAAAUGGGAAGGAAAAUUGUAUCACUCUAGAUUAGUGUAGCCACUAUCUAACAAAACCAGGAUGUUAACAAAAUUACACCAUGAUGGCCCCUUACGAAGCUUUGUAUGGAAGGAGGUGCAGGACACCGUUGCUAUGGGAUGAAGUUGGAGAUCGUCAGUUGUUUGGACCAGAUUUAAUUAAAGAGUCUGAAGAUAAGGUUAAGCUGAUUUGCGAUAGACUCAAGGUAGCCCAGUCCAGGCAGAAGAGCUAUGCGGAUUCUAAACGCAAAGAGAUAGUUUACGAAGUCGGAGACAGAGUAUAUCUUCGUGUGUCCCCACUUCGGGAAGUUAAGCAUUUUGGAGUUAAGGGAAAGUUAGCACCACGUUUUGUGGGACCAUACAAAGUUUUGGAGCGUAUGGGAGCGUAUGGGAUAAAAUGACUUCUCCGAAAUAAAGAAAUAUUGGAGGAAAAAUAUUAAAAUCAAAUAAGAAUUUUAUUCGGAGUUUUAUUGCUAUUUCAUUCGAAGUUGGAAAAAAAUGUGUUUUUCAAAAUUGCAUUAGAGGCCCAAAUAAAUGUUCACUUUGUCUGCAAUAUUAUUAGAGGAUCGUCAAAAUGUUUUUCAGGAUUUGUGGAGUCCGUUAAGUAUUUCUUUGAUUAGUUUUUCUACGUCGGGAUUAUUUAAAAAAAAGUGAAUCGACCUAACCGGGCCGUGUCCGGCUAGGACUCCCGACCCGGCCGGCCUUAUAAGCCGCCAGCCCACCCCGCCCCNNNNNNNNNNNNNNNNNNNNNNNNNNNNNNNNNNNNNNNNNNNNNNNNNNNNNNNNNNNNNNNNNNNNNNNNNNNNNNNNNNNNNNNNNNNNNNNNNNNNNNNNNNNNNNNNNNNNNNNNNNNNNNNNNNNNNNNNNNNNNNNNNNNNNNNNNNNNNNNNNNNNNNNNNNNNNNNNNNNNNNNNNNNNNNNNNNNNNNNNNNNNNNNNNNNNNNNNNNNNNNNNNNNNNNNNNNNNNNNNNNNNNNNNNNNNNNNNNNNNNNNNNNNNNNNNNNNNNNNNNNNNNNNNNNNNNNNNNNNNNNNNNNNNNNNNNNNNNNNNNNNNNNNNNNNNNNNNNNNNNNNNNNNNNNNNNNNNNNNNNNNNNNNNNUGCCACUCACCGCCGCCGCCGCCGCCACCGCCGCCACUCGCCGCCGCCGCCGCGCACAGCCCCGCCGCCACUCGCUGUCGGUACCCUCUUGAUCGGCGCAAUGCCAAAACCAUUAGGGGGCUUCCUGAUCAUAUUUGAAUCCUAGUUUAUCCCCUUUUGGUCCGGAUUACUGAUCGAAUUCGAAUCAGAAGCCUCGCCUUUUCUCUCUGUUUGACUUAAGUUUUUGAAAACAGUCUUUUGGGUUUGUCUUGAGACUUUUUGCUCAUAUCUGAAGCAUAUAUGUGUGGUUUCUAUUUAACCCGGCUCGACUUUGGAUGAUAAGUCGCCAGCAUAUGACAAUAUUAAUACUUGGAAGGUUUGGCUUCUAAGUUUUGGGUUAUCACCCUUACUGCACAGGUAUCAUAAAUCGGCAGUGCGAUUCAAUAUCACAGGUAUGAUAUUGUUUAUACAUGAUUAUGUUUAAACCGGUCCUCACUAUGGACUUUAAGUCGCCGGUAUAUUUUGGAUUGCGCCAUUCGAAUCAUGCGCUUAUCAAUCAUUGGAUUAUUGCCCUUAUUGGAUACGGCGAUGUAAGCCGGCAGUAUGAGCCAAUUUCUACAGGUAUGUUUUCAUGAUUAUAUAAAUAUAUGAGGUUGGAUAACCAGCCUUCGCUGUUGACGUUAAAUCGCCAGUAUGUUUAGGCUUGAAUGGCCUUAAUCCUAGUCUUUUCCAUAAUUUCAUAAAGAUUAUAUUAUGUUUGGGUUGUUACCCGCCCUGGCUUUGACUGUAACACCCCGAGUUCGAUGCGACAGGUGUCUGCCAGUUAUUUGCCGUUGUUGCCAUGUCAUUUGCUUGCGUGUUGCAUUUCAUCUUGUCAUCAUGUGCAUUGCAUUGCAUACGUGUUCGUCUCAUGCAUCCAAGCAUUUUCCCCGUUGUCCGUUUCGCGAUCCGGCACUCCUAUGCCCUCCGGCAUUCCCCUUUUUGUCUCUCAUUGUGAUUGGCUGUUAAAAUUUCUCGGAAUAGCCCGAGGCUUGCCAAGUGGCCUUGGUAUAGCACCGGUAGACCGCCUGUCAAGUUUCGUGCCAUUUGGAGGUCGUUUGAUACUCCAACGGUUAACCGGGUAACCGUAAAGCCCCCUCUGUAUUUGCAGCCCAACACCACUUCCAAAGUGGCCCAAAACCAAUAUAACUCCUCUCCAUGCUCUCGGUCGUUCGAUCACGAUUGUGUGGGCGAAAACCGCUCCUCAUUUGGACUCUCCUAGCUCCCUCUACCUAUAAAUUAGUCCACCUCCCUCGAAUUUGCGGAUGAAGCCCUAGAUCUCCUCCCUCUCCGCCGCCGGACAUGUCCGCGUCGCGCCAGACAUGUCCGCCCCGCCCGCCGCAGCCAAUCGGCAAGCGCCACCUGUCCCCGCCGCCGUCCUGCGCCGCCCGGCCCGUCGGGGCCCGGAUCCGACCCACCGUGGGGCGAAUCGGGCCCGANNNNNNNNNNNNNNNNNNNNNNNNNNNNNNNNNNNNNNNNNNNNNNNNNNNNNNNNNNNNNNNNNNNNNNNNNNNNNNNNNNNNNNNNNNNNNNNNNNNNNNNNNNNNNNNNNNNNNNNNNNNNNNNNNNNNNNNNNNNNNNNNNNNNNNNNNNNNNNNNNNNNNNNNNNNNNNNNNNNNNNNNNNNNNNNNNNNNNNNNNNNNNNNNNNNNNNNNNNNNNNNNNNNNNNNNNNNNNNNNNNNNNNNNNNNNNNNNNNNNNNNNNNNNNNNNNNNNNNNNNNNNNNNNNNNNNNNNNNNNNNNNNNNNNNNNNNNNNNNNNNNNNNNNNNNNNNNNNNNNNNNNNNNNNNNNNNNNNNNNNNNNNNNNNNNNNNNNNNNNNNNNNNNNNNNNNNNNNNNNNNNNNNNNNNNNNNNNNNNNNNNNNNNNNNNNNNNNNNNNNNNNNNNNNNNNNNNNNNNNNNNNNNNNNNNNNNNNNNNNNNNNNNNNNNNNNNNNNNNNNNNNNNNNNNNNNNNNNNNNNNNNNNNNNNNNNNNNNNNNNNNNNNNNNNNNNNNNNNNNNNNNNNNNNNNNNNNNNNNNNNNNNNNNNNNNNNNNNNNNNNNNNNNNNNNNNNNNNNNNNNNNNNNNNNNNCCAGCCUCCUCUGCCCCGCGGGUUCCCAUGCCCGGCCUUGCCGAUCCUCGCCGCCGCGGGUGGCCGCGCCGCCCGGCCUCCUCCGCCCCGCGGCCGGAUCCGCCCCUCUCCGGUCGCCCCGGCCCCGUCUUCCCCGCCUCCGGCCCCGUCCACUCCGGCGAGAAGACCGGCGAACCUCGGGUUCCGUGCCGAUCUGGAUCUGGAAGGUUGACCUCCCCCCCCCUCCGUUUGCACUAACUCCCCAGAUUCUGUAAUUUUCAUGCCAUGUUCGUCAUGCCGUAUCUUUGCAUCCGUAUCUCUGUUUAGUGCGUGUAAUAUGUCAAAUUGUUCGUCUCAACGAGUACAUCAUUUCAUUGCUUUGCAUCAUAUUCAUUUGAGGUCAUCUUGAUGCCUGAAUCAUCGUUGUAAGAGUGCUUCAUGAUGUUUUCUGCUGCCUGUUAACAGAACGAGCUCUUUUGUCAUUUUUUCCAUGAUUGAUGUGUGCAUCCUAUGAGGUUGAUGUCUAGAUGUGUUUUGAACUAUGCCAUGUCUUCUUUACAGAGGUGCUUACCAUGUAUUUUUGUGAUCAAUGUGGUGACUAGCACAAGCAUGCAAACUAGGCGUCGUGAUGUUACUGAUUUUAGUCCCUGUUCUACUGUUGUUUUGAUGCCAUGUAAACUUGAUGCUACAUAGAGAUCCAUGCAUAUUUUGAGAUACUUCAGUAAGGGUGUUCUAAACAUGUGGUUAAUGUCUAUCCAUGCAUGCCCUUUGUUGCAAUUAUGGAGUAGUCUAGCAUGUCAUUUUUGUGCUCUACUUUUGCUUCAAAAUGUUUCCUGGCAGAUUGUUUACAUGUUAUUCAAUUUGGCCAAGCUUGCUAUAGUUGAUCCUUGCAUGCUAUGGACUUGUACUUGCCUUGGUUGGUUGCACAAACAUGUCUUCUUGAUGAUGCUAUGCUUAUCUUGUCAUGCAAUGGCUUGUGGUGAGUGAAUCGAGCUUGUUAAGUAGUGUUCAUGAUGUUGCUGUUUUGCUAGGCUGAAUCUGUUAUUUCGUGAUGCUAUAUAAACCUGCUCCUACUAGUCAUUCUAUGCAUAAUCUGGAGAUGCUCUAUAAACAUGUUUUGAUCUACAUGUCAUCCUCUAACCAUACAUACCCCUGAUUGCAUUUAUAGCUUGCUGUAGAUUAUUCAUAUCUUGCUCUAAAGUUGCUUCAUAAUGUUGCUGUCAGCCUGUUUACAUUAAGUUCACUUGUUCCCAUGUGUUUUGCUAGUGUUCCAUGUACCCUAUGACCUUGCUCUUGCCAUGCCUAGCUUCUCAAAUAUGCCUUCUUACUGUUGGUUGCCUUGCCAUGCCAUGUAUUGCUCUGUAGUGAGUUGCACAAGCUCAUCUACAUGCCUUAAUAAUUAUGUUUCUGCCAUGCUUGAAUCUGUUUAAUAACUUGCUAUGUUUACAUGAGCGCCAUCAUAUCUUCUGAUCCUUUUUGGCUUAUGGUCAGUAAGGGACUCUUGAUCUAUGCAAUUAGUAGAUUCAUGCCAUGCCUUUGUUUGUCAUAAUAAGUUCCUGUAACAUGUCGUUUGAUAGCUCUAAACAUUGCAACCUGAUAUUAUUUUCUGCAAAGUCUGAAAUUGUUAUAACUUGCAAUCUUAUCAUGUGUGUUCGAGCAUGUUCUAGUGAUUUAUGGAGAUAUCUCAGUGUUCAUGUUUUGUUAUGCUUUACAUGUACUUCAUGCCCAUGCCUUUUGUUAUUAUAUUGUGGUGUUGUAGCUUGUUGUUUUGAUGCUUGCAAUAUGCCUAGUUGCUGUUUUGGACAGCUUGUCCCUUUAAACUUGUAUAGUGUGUGUGUGUUGCACCAUUGCUCCGUUUUGAGUGUGCUCUAUAUCAAACUUGCUUGAUUUUGCAUGUACUUUCAUAUUAUCAUGUUGCAUCCUUGUUUUGAGGUGUUUUCUUGAUGUUUGGGUGCAUUUUGCAUAAAUGCCAUGUUUAACUUGUUUUGCUCAUAUCUUCUAGGCCGUAGCUCCGAAUUAAAUGAACUUUAUAUGUAACUUGACUAGAAUCUCGUGUAGAUCAUCUUUGUGCAUCUUAACUUGAUGUUUAACUACUUGAACAUAAGGUUUAUUCAGAUCUGGACCAAUUUCGAAAUAUGCAUAUGAGGACUUACCGGAAUUGUUAUAUGUUGUUCCCGGCCUCAUUUAAACUUGCCUUAAUGUGCUGCUCUUGUUUGCAUCAUCUCUUGCCAUGAGUAGCUUCAUUUAGCUUGGUCAUGCAUCAUGCUUGUUCGUGCAUCAUGCCUUGUUCAUGCGUGGUGUGUUUACCAUGUUGUGUGCUUCUUUUUGAUAGUUCCUGUUUCGUUGCGAUCGUGAGGAUUCGUUCGUCUACGCUUGGUUCGGCUUCAUCCGUUCGUCUUCUUCAUGGACUCGUUCUUCUUCCUUGCGGGAUUUCAGGCAAGAUGACCGCUACCCUGGAUCUCACUACUAUCAUUGCUAUGCUAGUUGCUUCGUUCUAUCGCUUUGCUACGCUACCUAUUACCUGUUUAUCAAGCCAUCCCAAAUUGCCAUGAACCUCUAACCUUUGACACCUUUCCUAUGCAAACCAUUGUUUGGCUAUGUUACCGCUUCGCUCAGCCCUCUUAUAGCGUUGCUAGUUGCAGGUGAAGUUGAAGAUUUCUCCAUGGUGGACAGGAUUUUGGUUGGGAUAUCACAAUAUCUCUUAUAUUAUUAAUGCAUCUAUAUAUUUGGUAAAGGGUGGAAGGCUAGGCCUUUUUCCUGGUGUUUUGUUCCACUCUUGCUGCCCUAGUUUCCGUCAUACCGGUGUUAUGUUCCCAGAUUUUGCGUUCCUUACGCGGCCGGGUGAUUUAUGGGACCCCCUUGACAGUUCGCUUUGAAUAAAACUCCUCCAGCAAGGCCCAACAUUGACUUUUACCAUUUGCCUCACCACCACCUACUUUUCCCUUGGGAGUCGCUCUCUCAAGGGUCAUCUUUAUUAUAGCCCCCCCGGGCCAGUGCUUGUCUAAGUGUUGGUCCGAACCAGAGCCACUUGCAGCGCCACCUCGGGGAAACUUGAGGGUUGGUUUUAGUUGUACGUAGUGUUCAUCCGGUGUUGCCCUGAGAACGAGAUAUGUGCAGCUCCUAUCGGGAUUGUCGGCGCAUCGGGCGGUCUUGCUGGUCUUGUUUUACCAUUGUCGAAACGUCUUGUAAACCGGGAUUCCGAGUCUGAUCGGGUCUUCCUGGGAGAAGGUCUAUUCCUUCGUUGAUCGCGAGAGCUUGUCAUGGGCUAAGUUGGGACACCCCUGCAGGGUAUAAUCUUUCGAAAGCCGUGCAUGCGGUUAUUGGCAGAUGGGAAUUUGUUAAUGUCCGGUUGUAGAUAACUUGACACCAGAUCCGAUUUAAAAUGCAUCAACCGCGUGUGUAGCCGUGAUGGUCUCUUUUCGGCGGAGUCUGGGAAGUGAACACGGUUUCUGGGUUAUGUUUGACGUAAGUAGGAGUUCAGGAUCACUUCUUGAUCAUUGCUAGUUUCACGACUGUUCUGCUUGCUCUCUUCUCGCUCUUAUUUGCGUAUGUUAGCCACCAUAUAUGCUUAGUCGCUGCUGCAGCCUCACCACUUUACCCCUUCCUUUGCCUUUAAGCUUUGCUAGUCUUGAUACCCAUGGUAAUGGGAUUGCUGGGUCCUCGUGGCUCACAGAUUACUACAACAACAGUUGCAGGUACAGGUUAUGCGAUGAUCAUGACGCGAGAGCGAUGCUUGCUUGUGUUGAGUUCUUCUUCUGCUUCUUCGAUCAGGGGAUAGGUUCUAGGUCGGCAGCCUGGGCUAGCAGGGUGGAUGUCGUUUGAGUUUCUGUUUGUGAUUCAUCCGUAGUCGGAUGAUGCUCUUAUGUAUUGUGAUGUUGUAUUCGUGUGGCAUUGUAUGCCUCUUGUAUGUAUCCCCAUAUAUUAUCUAAUGUUGAUGUAAUGAUAUCCACCUUGCAAAAGCGUUUCAAUAUGCAGGUCUAUCCUUGGUGGGACCUUCGAGUUCCUUUUGGAUAGGGUCGCAUAUUGGGCGUGACAUUGACGUUAAGUCGCCGGGGCAUAUGUCGUUUAAACUCUAUGCAGGAUUUGCAGAAAUAUGACUUAUAUAAUUGAUUAAGUUCAAGCUCAUCAUCAAAAUGAUUACCCGUUCUGGAUUUUCUAAAAGGCUAUAAGCCGCCGGUUUAUAAAAAUUCCGGCUUACAAUGGAGGCGUAUUAAAAUGCCAUCGGCUAAGAGCCGUCGAGUAUUUAAACUCCGGAUUUACUUGUCAACCGAUAAGUGUUAUGAUUGAGGUUUUCAAAGUUGCUUUAGCGCAAUGGCUAUUAGUUUAUCAAUGGAUACGAUUUAUUCUACAAUGGAAGGAGUAGUCCCGAGUCGCUGCAGGCUUACGACCCAGCAGUUGGGGGCUACAUUACUCAGAUUGAGAUUACAUCAAAUAUGCAAGUCCCAUGUCACUGCCAUCAUGCACCAUGGCACUUGGGGGCUAAUGCAAAGUCAUUUUUUGGCUCCACUUUACUGAAGAUCUGACUCAUCACAUUGUAAUGAGCCGGCCCUUGGGGAUUACCAAUUGCCCCUAUCAAAAAUUCAAGGUACACAAGCCUUGGUCCAUUAUAUUGAAAGAUCCACUACUUAGUUGGUAGAGUACAAAGCUCUUAAUCUCUUAUGAACGUGGGUUCAAGCCCCUGGAGAUUACAUCAUAUGAUGUUAUUAUCAAUGAAUUAUAUACAAAGUCCCAGCUCAGUAUUAUCUUACUGAGCCGGCCCUUGGGGGCUACAUGUUGCUGCUCAAGUCUACAUGAUCAUAUUUAAAAAGUCCCUGCUCAUUAUUGCAUAAUGACCCGACAGUUGGGGGCUACACUGGUUGAAUUCUUUAUGAGCAUAAGGCAAUUACAAGUCCCAGGUUGCUGCAAGCAUGACAACCCAGCACUUGGGGGCUGUAGGUGAUAUACAUAUAAGGGACAAAAAUCUUCAAAUUCUCAGUUUUGAGCAGACAAUAUUGACCCGGUGUCUGCAACAAUCAUGACCCGGCGUCAACAAUGAUUAUGACCCGGCGUCGGCAACAAUUAUGACUCAGCAUCAUCUAUUUAUAACCCGACAAUUUUGGUAAUCAUAAAUUGGCAAGUUUCUAAAUCUUUAAGCCGACUAAAAAUCAGAUGAGUAUUUCAAGACCAAUAUUUUUGUCAAGUCAGAGCAUUGAAGGCCGACUCAAAUGGAUUAUUUCUUAUAAUAUUUCUCUACAAGAGCCAAUGUCAGCAAAUUGACUAUGAAGCUGGCCUAUUGACCCAGAUUUUUCAGAAGAAGUGCCCGGAUUUUUUGCAUUGGCAAAGUUUGAAUAUAUCUUCUAAAAUAGAUUUUCUAUGAGAUCAUGGACACGCUUCCAGGAGGAAAAUAACAAGGAAUUUAGGUUGAUCAGGUGCCGGCUUAUAAGAACUCUUAACUCGGAGCACAACCUGUCAAAUUUGUUCUUGAGUUAUUCCGCAGGAUGAGUUUCACAUGGAUAAAUCCAAAUUAAAUUGGGGGCUAAUGUCGGGGAUAUACCCCGAGGUAUGAACUGGCCAGAAAUAUGACCCGACCGGACUUGGCGGCUCACCAGAGACCCGGCUGACACUUGGCGACUCACUGGUCUGACGAAACUCAUGAUCCUGACGACUCACUAAUGGCCCCGAUGGCGGUUCAUAUAGAGUACUAGGCCCAAGGCCCAGAAGGCCGGCUCAUGUUAUGAUGGGUCGGCUUAAGAGGAAAGCAUAAGAAAUAUUCCCUUACAAAGGAAGCAAGACUAGGACUGCACUUGUAAUAGACUAAUCCUAAUCAUACUAGGACUAGUCAUGUAACCCGCCCCUUCAACUUAUAUAAGGAGGGGCAGGGCACCCCAAGAGGGACAAGCAAGAAAAUAAUCGCUAAGACUAGACACAACUAAAGGGGAGCCGGCUUAUGCAGCGACUCCCUCAUGAGCAUAAUGAGAGGCGUGCAUGAUGACAUAAACCUAACCUUCUCAGCUUUUUACCAGGGCAUGGUGAGGCCAUACCAUGGCACCAUACCAGGUGUCAUGUUUUUCAAGCACGCAUUUCAUUUUUCUAUAGUUGAUAACAUAGUAAACGACGUGUUUGUGGUUGAGUAUUGACACACAUUCCCUUGAAAUCUCUGCCCAUUCCUUGUAAAAGGCAUGAGAAUUUACUAAAUACCAUGAGCAUGGUUUUCCACACCAUUCUUGUUCACCUUUUUAUGCACCGAUUGUUCGAAUUUGAAUUAUGUGGAUUAAUGCCUAGAAAAUGCACAUAAUCCCCUAAAUAUGGUAAAUGAGCCCGGAAAAAUACCAAAUUUGAACACAUUGCAUUGGAGGGGGUAUGUUGAUUGUAGAAAAAACUGAAUGACAAACUAGGAAGGAAAUUUGGAAUCCCGGCCCCUACAAUCUUGGUAAUUUCCCCCUUGAGACCAUGAAACUUCCUCGGUGAUGGUUCGAUUUAUGAAGGGCGUGCACGACGACAUAAGCCAAACCAUCUCAAAUAUUUACCAGGGCAUGUUGAGGCCAUACCAUGGCACCAUGCCAGCCCUCAUGUUUUUCAAUCAUGUAUUUGAUUUUUCUACAGUUGAAAAACCAAUAAACGACGUGUUUGUGGUUGACUAUUGACACACAUUUCCGUGAAAUCUCUGCCCAUUCCUUGGAAAAGGCAUGAGAAUUUACUAAAUAGCACGAGCAAGGUUUUGCAGACCGUUCUCGUGCACCUUUUCAUGCAUCGAAUGUUUGAAUUUGAAUUAUGUGCAUUAAUGCCUAGAAAAUGCACAUAAUCCCCUAAAUAUGGUAAAUGAGCCCGAAAAAAUACCAAAUUUGAACACGGUAAUUUGCAGGGUUUAUGUUCAUCAUAAAAAAACUCAUGGACAAUGGACAAAGGAAAUUUGGAUUCGCCUUCAAUCUCGGUCAUUUACUAUAACACAUGAUUCGGUGUAUGCGAGAUUACCGUCCUAUCGCCAACCGACUAAUAUUGUUGUGAUGUAGGAAAUUUGAAACAGGGGCUAAGUUUGUAAAUUUCCUUGCAUUUCAGACAAGCGCGCCCUAAAGACAUGGUUCCCCCCUUCCUCUCUACCUCCAUUUCCCCAUUCGUACUCCGUAGGCGCCAAAACACCCUUUCCACCCCAGCCUCCUCCGUCCUCCACCCCAUCCACCACCGUCCUCCUCCACCAUGCCAGAGUUGAUACCCCGACGCCGCUAUCCAUUAGAAGAGAUCGACCUCUCUCAUCCAUGGCUUCGGACAAAGGAUCCUUGCAUCCUGUCCUCUCGCUUCAUCCCCGCCGUCAUCCACCUUGUCGGCGCCGCUCCUACGACCAUCUCGUCCACCGCACCCCGCCGCCACCGUCUACCCUCCUAGAUCUGCUUCCACGCAGCCAACAGCCAUCGCUACCGCAGCACCGUCAAAUUCUCAGCAGAUGCAUAGACGGCGCCGCACCAGAGGCGGUACUCUUUCGUAUCUGCUCAACUUAUUUAUCGCGGCAAUAAAAUAGAUCACCACUGCUUUACUCUGAUUUCUUGUCCAUCACUUACUUGCUAGUUGAAAGAAAACAUUGGUUGCAAAGUUGCCUUUGUCCGGUUUGCACCUUCAGAUCCGCCAUGGCACACUCAACACCAUACUCCCAAUGCUUAUGGUUUUCCCCUUUUAUAUUCCAGACUAGUUAAAUCACAAUAGACUAAAUUUCAAAAUUGGGUUAGUCGAUUUUUCAGAGCUCACCAGAGGUCGCCGGCGCGAAGGAAGGGGCUCGAGUGGGGACGGUGGUUGUGGGGUGCGGUGGUGGGGCCUCACCGAACGAAGAAAACUCGACGCGGGUGGGGACGGGGUGCGGGUGGGGGUGGUGGAGGACUAGAGAUGUUGGGGGCCGGUGGUCCGGCCGGCGGCCCGUGCGGUGUUCUGUAUGGGAAGAAUCAGAGACGAGGAAGAAGAAGGGUUAUGUGACACUCUAAAAUUUUUAUUUGGUUUUUAUCAAAAACUUUGUGGUUUUUGAGGAGAGGCUAUUUAAAAUUUUGCUUUUUCAAAAAAAAAACUUCCACUUAAAAACUUCCUUUGCCUUGGCAAGGAUUUUAUUUUUUUCAAACCUUGGUGUUUGAUCUUUUGAAUCUUCUUCUCUGUUGGUUGUCUCAAAUUUAAUUUUUGAGUUUAAUUUUUUUUUCUUUUAAAAUAAAGCUCUAUGAAAAUUUGGGAUUUCCAUAUCUUGGAACCAUCCUUGACUUGGCAUUCUUGCCCGUGUGAUAAAACCUCUCCAAAACCUCCCCUACACCUUGUGAUCAACCCAAGUUCUCUGUCCCAACUAAUCCAAACAAGUUUUGGAUUUUAUUCUAAUUAUUUUCCCUCUCAAAUCAAUUCUGAAAAUUAUUUGGAGCCUUAGUGAUUUUCAAAGCAAGUACUCUUUUUCAUUUGAGUUUUGACCUCACACCAACUCCCCUGGAUAGUCCUUUGUACCCACAACUCAGAACCAUCUUGAUCCACACCUUCUCUUUUCAAAAUUUUCAAAAUUCAGCCUCUGCAAGUUUGGACCAGAUUUGCCAAAUUUGAUGAAAUUCAUAUCUACACUCCCCCAAAAAUUCCACCAAAAUUCAGGCAACCUAUUUGAGCAAUGAGAAGCCACUCCACCAAGUAUCAUCUCAAGGAAAAAUCACCAGAGGCCAAUUUCAUUCUGUCGAACACCUUGCAAGCACUGCUGCUGUUCAAAAUUCAGAAACAUUCAGAGUUUAGUGUUGAUCUUCGACAGAGUUUCUGUCACGCGGCCACAGUGCACUUGGCGCGUUGCACGCGGCUCUUUCUCCCUGGCCAGCACCCCUGCACGCGCGCUUGGCGUCUUCCCGGCGUCGGUGGCGCCCCUGGCCGCCCGCGCCGGCGUGUCUUGCGGCGGCCGAGACCCCGUUACAGCCGUCAGGGGGCAAGAACGGUGGCUCAACGCCGUUCCGCGCCGCCCAUCGCUCCCUGGCUCUCCGCGUGGCCUCAUGCACGCUAGCGCACGCCCGUGCACCGCCACCGCGACCGGCAAGCACAGGACGCGCUCCCUGCCGCCGACGGGCCCGCGCCGUCCCGUUCUGUCGAACUCCCUCCUAAGCACCAAUCUCCAGCUCGUUUAGCACCAAAACGGACCCAGUAGACUCCCACGACGGUGCUCGACUCCCUAAUCACCCCCGACCGAGCACUGCGCCGCCGUAAUCGCUCGCCGGAGACCCCGUUCACGGCAACCGCCUCGGGCCGCCUAUAAAAAGGGCCCCCGAGCUCAACCUCGUGCACGCCUCAUCCCCACUCCGCACCAGCGCCACGCCAGGCCACUCGGAGGACCUCGAGGAGGUCUCCUCCCCCAGCUCCGGCCGCCCCGAUCCGCCUCGGCCUCCACCUCGAUUCACUCCGGUGAGGCCAUCUCCGGCGCCCAAACCCCGUCCAUUACCCUCUCUAGCUACCAGGAGCCUAACCCCUCUUCAAUUUAACCCUUGCAGCUCUCUCCGACCAGCCCCUCGACCACCCGAGCCGCCGUCCGCCAGAGCAAAGCUCGCCGUCGACGUGGUGCUCGCCGACCGCCUCCACCACCAUCAACCGACGCCGAAGGGUGCCCUGAGCACGGAGGUAUCCUCCGAUCUCUCUGCCUCGUCGUGGAUCGCCGCCGGCGACCACCGCGGCUCUCGGGCACCGGCGAACUCUGCCGCCCCGUUUGAACAUUUGAACCUGACGAGUGGGACCCCACCGUCAGCCUCUUUGCCCUUUCUAUCGAACCAUUUUCUGGAAGCGCCUUCGGGCAAAUACGUCUUUCCUCUGGGCUGGCGUAGUCGCUACCGAAGCGCUUUCUGUUUUUAUAAACUAGCCCCUGGAAAUCUUCUGUUUCAUUACAGAUGAGUCCCUGGACAAAAACCUUUAUAUCUUUUAAACAGAAAGGUAUUUUUGGUUGAUUCUUUUUCUGUUCUCUUUAAAAUUUUGUCUAGUUUUUUAUCAGAUUUAUUUGGAAAAUAUUUGGUGUACUUUCUGUGCACUCCUUGGUAUUUACGAUAGCACAUAUAUUUUCUUUAUAUCGUAGAUACCGAAGGAGGUGACGGAGCCGCGUACUUCACCGAGCUAGGCUCCGACUACUCCGAACCAGGCAAGCAUGUUUGAACUUUUGAUAUGAUGAGUGUCUUGGCAUGUUCUGCAUUUAGCUAGUUUCAUGUCAUGUUGAUGAGCAUACCGAUGAACGUCAUUUUAUGCAAUGUUGAGGUAAGUGAGUUCGAUGAUCCAUAAGUGGAUGAAUGUGAGUAAGAAUGGCCAUGUGUUGGCAUGAGGAUGGGUAAGAUGGCAGUGUUGUAGCAUGCCAGGCUUAUGCCAGACUACGUGACUUCAAUGUCAGCUCGUAUCACACCAGUUCCUUUCAUUCCGCCUUCCCUGUACUACCACAUGUUUUCCGCAAGGAAUAUGGUUUAGUAAGUUGCAAACUGCUUUUCUGGUACACACCAAAAGGAGAGGCCGUGAUGAUGGUUCCAUGGCCCUGGAUUAAAGCCAGUCAUCCGGUAGGGGGCAUGGGUGUUUCCGGUUGGGACCGAGAGGGGGGCACCCCUUAGAGCGCGCGUAUAUAAAUUUGAUCCCAUGCUAUUCGAGAUUGUGAUCUCCCCGUCUCAAAAGUUUUUCUUGGACGAUGUCUAGGGUGAUUCCUAGCAUCGAGAGGUAUGAUGGGUGUGUACUGGUUAGCUGUGUUUUCUUACGAAAUACCGGAAAUGGAACUAGUCCUUCGUGACUACGGAAAUCCGUUGGCUGUGGGAAUAAUUUUGUACAAACUCUGCAGAGUCAUAUAUCCCCUCCAAAUCAUCUAUUCCAUGUCCAAAUUCGUGUUAUCUUGUCCUAACAAUGACAGUUUUGAUGGCAGAGACUCCGGUGAUUCGCAUGAGUGCUAAUUCCGGUUAAAUGAAUAUUCCUGUGGAUGGACUAACCCAUUUAUUCUCAUGAAUUAAAUGUUUAUUAUGAGUAUUAUUUACUUAUGAAUCAAAGCCUUUUCUGUGAUGUCGCCCCGACGUCCGACUGUGGCAUUUCUUUUAAAGCCCUUCCUGUGAUGUCGCCCCGACGUCCGACUGUGGCAUUUCUUUUAAAGCCCUUUCUGUGAUGUCGCCCCGACGUCCGACUGUGGCAUUUCUUUUAAAGCCCUUUUCUGUGAUGUCGCCCCGACGUCCGACUGUGGCAUUUCUUUUAAAGCCCUUUCUGUGAUGUCGCCCCGACGUCCGACUGUGGCAUUCCUUUUAAAGCCCUUUAUGUGGUGUCGCUACGACGCCCGACUGUGGCAUCUUUUCCCUAUAUUUAUUUGUUCACCUUUCGAGGUGUCGCUUCAGACACCCGAUCGGUAAUUAUUCAUGCUUUGUUGGGGUUUCAGGCGGACUACCGCUGUUUCCCUUUUACUUACCUUGUUAUGCUAAUUUUGAAUGUACAUUGGUGAAUUUAUUCAUGUCGCAUCCAUGCACGCAUUUGUUAUAUCUUACGUCCGAACUGUCUUGCGAGUACUUUCAAAGUACUCACUGGCUUGUUGAUUUGGCCAGAUGCUGACGAAGGCGAUUUCAUGGAUGAAGAGUUCGAUAGUGAGUCCAACACUUAGAGGAGUCCCAGUCAGUCUCGUGCGACCCUGGAUUUGGUCACUGUUUUAUAUCCGCUUCCGCUACCAAAUAAAUUCAUCGAGCCUCACCUCGACGCUCGAUGAGAUGAUAGACUUAGAGUCUUGUAUUUCUCUCCCCACUGUGUUUUUCCACCACCGCCCUAUCCUCGAGUCAGUAGUAUGUCUCCACACCACUGUGUCAUGUCCGCCAUUAUGUAUAAUUAUUGGCGUGCUUGUAAUAAUUUGGUUGAGCAACCGCAGUUCGACCCUGUAAUAUAUUUUAUGCUACUGGCUUAUUGUAUCAAGAAAUUGUCUACCAGUGAGGAGGAUUUCUCUCAUACUAGACUCAAAAGAUUGGUUUCUCAAUAAAUAUUUUUAUUGGAAAACCGGUCGUGACAAGCUUGGUACCAGAGCCAGGCUGACUGUAGGAAGCCACUAGGUGCGAUCGCUAAUUGGUUAUUACCAUGAUAGAGCUAAUUUAUAUUUUUGCAAUUGUAGUCAUUUUCUGUCAGUCAGCAUAAAUUUAUGAUCUGACCAUGCAGAAUUUUUGCCUACUUUUGUAGAUGGCCGACAACAGCUGCGAGUCUCAGACCUUCGCCAACGUGCCCGAUGGGUUCGUCAAACUUCUUUCUUUCAUCGUUCAGGUCGCGAUGGGGCCAUCCGUGCGCCCAGUCUUCACACUCUGCCAGCACCGAGUCAACGACAGUCUGACCAUGCACCAGGCCGCGGUGCAGUUCAAGGGAGGGCGUGGUGAGUUACGCCGCUUCCGGUUCGUGGGAAGAGCAAUGCCUACGGAGAGGCAUGCUAUGCAGAUGGCAGCCCGCGAGGCGAUAGCUCGUCUCAGGGAUGUCCUUCCCGUGAUGAAGACUCGUCGUUACCGUUAUCUUCCGUGCCAUGUGCCUUACACCUGUCACUACGCAUACUCCUGCCCCAGAGGAGAACGAGACGAGGCUUUUGAGAUGCUCAUUGAGUAUCUCCGGGCCUUGGAGGCAGCCUUCGACAACCUGGUGGACGACUUCGUAGCUACCCGCAUGGACUCAGUUCAUGGCUGUGCUGCCAACAGCAGGGAGCUCCUACCAAUCGCACCGCCACUGACUUUUGUCUCGUCAUCAGCAUCUUUUACUCCUGCUCGUCGCCUGCCUUCUACCGAAGAAUUCAACCAGGUCAUUGCGCCCACUCCAGCGCGCACUGCACCAACCUUCGCGCCCACUCCUGUACGCGUUGCUUCGCCCCUGGCAACCGCUCCGUCCGCUCUGCGCAACACUACACGUAUGGAGCCCAUUAGCGAGGAGGAAGUCGAGUUCCCAACCUCGCUACGCCUCGCCCUCGGCAGGGCAAAGGAGGUCGUCAACAUCUCCUCCUGAGUACGCUUAGCUGCCGUGUAUUAUACCGCUUUGUAAGAUAUGUAUAUAGGUUGUGAGAAGUAGCCUGUUUGCGCAUCAUGUAGGAUCUGGGGAAGUGCACUAGCCUAAAUAACAUGUCAGGAUUAUGUAUGCAUAUCCUGAGUGAUGUAUUGUAUAAUUACCGCCCGCGUGUAAGAUAUGUAAUGAGUAGUCCUUCUUCGUGCGCACGUCGAUUUGUUUUCUUAAGUAAGCUGAGUUAUUUAAUUCUAUUUGCCAGCUUUAUGAAUUUAUGGUUUUGUUUUGCGACUCUUUCCGCUUUUCUUAUGAGUUUUACAAAAAUAUAUCCCCAGAGUGAAAAAUGUCUCGUCCUUGGACACGUUCCAUGCCAACUCCACCAGAGGAAAUUUAUGAUGCUCAACCCAACAACGAGUUCACUCAGGGACAGUCAAGCCAACAGGGCAGUGAAUCGGCACUUUCACAAAUGUGCCGCCUUUAUGAGCAGAGUCAGCAACAACAUCGCGAGAUGAUGAACCAAGUCAUCAACAUGGGGAAUCAUCAUGGACAGUAUCAGCAGCAUUCCAAGUUAUCUGAGCUACAGAAGACACGUCCUCAAACAUUUUCUCACACUGACAAGCCUCUUGAAGCCGAGGACUGGCUUCGAGAUAUGGAGAGGAAAUUAAUUAUUGCAAAGUGUUCAGAUCUCGAGAAAGUACUAUAUGCUCCACACUAUCUCACAGGAGCAGCCGCAUCGUGGUGGGAGAAUUUUCUGCACAUGCAUCCCAACGAAAAUGACAUAACGUGGGAGGAUUUCAAGGAAGGUUUCCGUGGUGCACAUAUUCCUAAAAGUAUUAUGAAAAUCAAGAAGAGAGAAUUCGAUGACCUCAAACAAAGGAACAUGACAGUGUCAGAUUACAACAGUCAAUUUACCCUAUUAUCCCGCUACGCCAAUGAGGAGCGUAUGACUGAAAUCAAGAAGAUGGAGAAAUUCCUUGACGGUCUAGCGCCCGCACUUAAAUGCCAACUGGUCGUGCACACUUUUCCUGAUUUUAAAACACUGGUGGACAAAGCCAUUACUCUGGAAAAUGAGAGACGCGGUCUGGAAGAUAUCCGCAAGCGAAAAAGGGACCAGACUACUCACGCUCGCAAUCACCGAAGUAAGACAGAUUUUCAAAAGGGUGGGACACACAAAUUCACAUCCAAUGUCUUACGCCCAAUCAAGAAUUUUCAUGCAAGGGACAAGGAAUUCACCUAUCGCCCCGGCGUUACUUGUUACGCUUGUGGAGAAGAAGGGCACUAUGCCAAACAGUGCCCCAAGCCAAGGAGUUCAACCCCAAAGCCGAACAACGGCGGCAAUAAUUCAGCGCCCAAGCGAAACAAUUUCAAUCCCAACAAUAACCACAGGAAGGGUCAUCUGAACCACGUAACCAAAGAGGAGGCACAAAAUGCUCCAGAUAUCGUACUCGGUACGUUUCCUGUCAACACAAUACCUGCAAUGGUUUUGUUUGAUUCUGGAGCUUCUCACUCUUUCAUUUCGAAAAGUUUUACUUUGCAAAAUAAGUUUUCGAUACUUCCUUUGGAGAAAUCCAUGAUCAUUAAGUCCCCUGGGAUUCAGCAAGUUUCUCAGAAUUACUGUCAGAAUGUGGUCAUUGAGUUCGAAUGAUUGGAGUUUCACGCAAAUCUUAUUGUAUUGGAAAAUAAAGGACUGGAUGUCAUCCUAGGGAUGGAUUGGCUAACCACCAAUAAAGGUUUUAUCGACUGUUUCAACAGGACCGUGAUUCUCACACACCACCAAGGGAAGACAAUAAGAGUAUCAACCAAGGAAGGAAAAAGACCCCGGCAACUGAGAUUAAAUAAGGUGGACGUUUCUGAGCUAAACAAGGUUCCAGUAGUGUGUGAAUUUCCAGAUGUAUUCCCUGAAGAGCUGCCAGGCAUGCCACCAGACCGAGAAAUAGAAUUCCGCAUUGAGCUAGCACCAGGAACCGCCCCCAUAUACAAGAAACCAUACAGAAUGGCACCAUCCGAGUUGGUCGAGUUGAAGAAGCAAAUAAAGGAAUUACUGGAAAAAGGAUACAUUCGAGCCAGCUCCUCACCUUGGGGAUCACCAAUUUUAUUCGCCAAAAAGAAGGAUGGAACACUAAGAUUGUGUGUUGACUAUCGAGCACUGAACAUGGUCACAGUCAAAAAACAAAUAACCGAUGCCAAGAAUAAAUGAUUUAUUUGAUCAGCUCGCUCAGGCCAAGGUAUUCUCAAAAAUUGACUUAAGGUCAGGAUACCAUCAAUUGAAGGUGCGAACGGAAGAUAUCCCCAAAACAGCCUUCACCUCCAGAUAUGGACUGUACGAGUUCACAGUGAUGCCAUUUGGAUUAACUAACGCCCCAGCAUAUUUUGUUCACCUCAUGAACAAAGUAUUUAUGAAGUUUAUGGACAAGUUCGUCGUGGUAUUCAUCGACGAUAUACUGGUAUAUUCCAAGACACCAGAAGAGCACGCAGAACAUCUCAGGAUUGUGCUAGGAGAGCUAAGAAAACACAAAUUGUAUGCCAAGUUCAGCAAGUGCGAAUUUUGGCUAAGACAAGUAGGCUUUCUAGGCCACGUACUGACCCAAGACGGUAUCGCAGUGGACCCAGAGAAAGUCAAGGCCGUACUUGACUGGAAGUCACCGGCCAGCGUAACGGACAUACGGAGUUUCUUGGGAAUGGCAGGAUAUUACCGCAGAUUUAUUGAAGGAUUUUCCACCAUAGCCAAGCCUAUGACACAGUUGCUCAAGAAAGAUAAGAAGUUUGAGUGGACAGAAGCCUGCGAGAAAAGUUUCCAAGAGCUAAAGCGGAAGUUAACAACAACACCGGUAUUAAUUGUACCCGACAUACACAAGAAUUUUGAAGUAUAUUGUGACGCGUCCAGAAAGGGUCUCGGAUGCGUGUUGAUGCAAGAAGGCAAGGUUGUCGCCUACGCUUCAAGGCAACUUCGCAAGCAUGAGGAAAAUUAUCCCACUCAUGACUUAGAAAUGGCAGCAGUUAUUCAUGCACUCAAGGAAUGGAGGCAUUUCUUACUUGGGAAUCGAUGUGAAAUAUAUACGGAUCACAAAAGUCUCAAAUAUAUUUUCACGCAGCUAGAACUAAAUUUACGGCAACGACGCUGGUUGGAAUUGGUAAAGGAUUAUGAUGUUGGGAUCCGUUACCAUCAAGGGAAAGCAAAUGUAGUGGCCGAUGCCCUGAGUCGGAACCUCAGCUCCGACGGGAACUAUCUGCACAGAUUGAGGGCCGAAUUCCAUCAAGAAUUUGCCAACCUCAACUUGAUGAUGGUAGCAGAAGGCACCAUAUCAAACUUGGUAAUACAACCCAACCUUGUGAAGAAAAUUAAAGAAGCUCAUCCCGGUCACCCCAGCAUUGAAGGAAUUAAAAGAAAGUUGAGUAUGGGCAAAGCCUCGGAAUUCUUCAUAGACAAUGAAGGAAUAUUAUGGUACGGAGAAAGGCUAUGCGUGCCAAACAUAGAAGACCUUAAACAACAAGUUUUAGCUGAAGCACACACCACUCCAUAUUCGAUCCACCCUGGAGGAACCAAAAUGUAUAAGGAUAUUCAGGAAAGAUUUUGGUGGCACUGUAUGAAGAGGGACAUAGCCGCCUUCAUUGCAUGUUGCGACUCAUGUCAACGCAUAAAAGCUGAACAUCAGAGACCAGCCGGACUACUGCAACCUAACAAAAUACCUGAGUGGAAAUGGGAUGAAAUAGGGAUGGAUUUUAUUGUCGGACUACCUCGGUCACGGCACGGGAAUGAUGCCAUAUGGGUCAUCACUGACAGGUUGACCAAAGUGGCACACUUUAUUCCAGUGAAGACAUCCUACACCACUCAGAGGCUUGCCAGGAUUUAUCUUUCCCGCAUAGUUUGUCUGCACGGUGUCCCGAAGACUAUAAUAUCCGACAGAGGCACUCAGUUCGUCUCAAGAUUUUGGGAGCAUUUACAACAGGCUCUGGGAACCCAACUAGCCUUCAGUACCGCAUACCAUCCACAGACUGAUGGACAAACAGAACGCGUAAAUCAGGUUUUAGAAGACAUGCUGAGGGCAUGUGUCCUCACCUACGGAACCAGUUGGGAAGAAAGCCUGCCAUACGCCGAGUUCGCAUACAACAAUAGCUACCAGGCCAGCCUACAAAUGGCACCAUUUGAGGCUUUAUACGGGCGAAGAUGUCGUACCCCGCUAAAUUGGUCAGAGACCGGAGACAACCGCAUAUUCGGGCCAGACCUGCUCAGAGAAGCCGAGGAAAAGGUCAAGCUAAUCAGAGACCGACUUAAGACCGCUCAAAGUCGACAGAAGAGUUAUUAUGAUCAGAAACAUCGUAGGGUCAGCUUCGAACCCGGUGAGUUCGUAUACCUGAGAGUAUCCCCUAUGAGAGGAUUGCAACGAUUUAAGAUUAAAGGAAAGUUAGCACCAAGAUUCAUUGGACCAUUCUGCAUAGUGGCACGAAGAGGCACUGUAGCCUACCAGCUAGACUUACCCGAAGACUUGUCCGACAUUCACGACGUGUUCCACGUCUCUCAAUUAAGGAAGUAUGUAAGCAACCCAGAGAAACAAGUAUCCCAUGAAAACAUUGAUAUGCAGCCAGACCUCACUUAUCGAGAACGUCCCGUAAGAAUAUUAGAGGAGUCUGAAAGGAGGACCCGACAGAAGACCAUCAAGUUUUUCAAAGUCCAGUGGAGCAAUCACACCGACAGUGAAGCAACUUGGGAAAGCGAGGAUUUUCUUCGGACUGAGCAUCCACACCUAUUUAAGGAUCAGCUGAAAUCUCGGGGACGAGAUUUUUCCUAAGGGGGUAGGUGUUGUGACACUCUAAAUUUUUUAUUUGGUUUUUAUCAAAAACUUUGUGGUUUUUGAGGAGAGGCUAUUUAAAAUUUUGCUUUUUCAAAAAAAAAAACUUCCACUUAAAAACUUCCUUUGCCUUGGCAAGGAUUUUAUUUUUUUCAAACCUUGGUGUUUGAUCUUUUGAAACUUCUUCUCUGUUGGUUCUCUCAAAUUUAAUUUUUGAGUUUAAAUUUUUUUUUCUUUUAAAAUAAAGCUCUAUGAAAAUUUGGGAUUUCCAUAUCUUGGAACCAUCCUUGACUUGGCAUUCUUGCCCGUGUGAUAAAACCUCUCCAAAACCUCCCCUACACCUAGUGAUCAACCCAAGUUCUCUGUCCCAACUAAUCCAAACAAAUUUUGGAUUUUAUUCUAAUUAUUUUCCCUCUCAAAUCAAUUCUGAAAAUUAUUUGGAGCCUUAGUGAUUUUCAAAGCAAGUACUCUUUUUCAUUUUAGUUUUGACCUCACACCAACUCCCCUGGAUAGUCCUUUGUACCCACAACUCAGAACCAUCUUGAUCCACUCCUUCUCUUUUCAAAAUUUUCAAAAUUCAGCCUCUGCAAGUUUGGACCAGAUUUGCCAAAUUUGAUGAAAUUCAUAUCUACACUCCCCGAAAAAUUCCACCAAAAUUCAGGCAACCUAUUUGAGCAAUGAGAAGCCACUCCACCAAGUAUCAUCUCAAGGAAAAAUCACCAGAGGCCAAUUUCAUUCUGUCGAACACCUUGCAAGCACUGGUGCUGUUCAAAAUUCAGAAACAUUCAGAGUUUAGUGUUGAUCUUCGACAGAGUUUCAGUCACGCGGCCACCGUGCACUUGGCGCGUUGCACGCGGCACUUUCUCCCUGGCCAGCACCCCCGCUCGCGCGCUUGGCGUCUUCCCGGCGUCGGUGGCGCCCCUGGCCUCUCGCGCCGGCGUGUCUUGCGGCGGCCGAGACCCCGUUACAGCCGUCAGGGGGCAAGAACGGCGGCUCAACGCCGUUCCGCGCCGCCCAUCGCUCCCUGGCUCUCCGCGUGGCCUCAUGCACGCCAGCGCACGCCCGUGCACCGCCACCGCGACCGGCAAGCACAGGACGCGCUCCCUGCCGCCGACGGGCCCGCGCCGUCCCGUUCUGUCGAACUCCCUCCUAAGCACCAAUCUCCAGCUCGUUUAGCACCAAAACGGACCCAGUAGACUCCCACGGCGGCGCUCGACUCCCUAAUCACCCCCGACCGAGCACUGCGCCGCCGUAAUCGCUCGCCGGAGACCCCGUUCACGGCAACCGCCUCGGGCCGCCUAUAAAAAGGGCCCUCGAGCUCAACCUCGUGCACGCCUCAUCCCCACUCCGCACCAGCGCCACGCCAGGCCACUCGGAGGACCUCGAGGAGGUCUCCUUCCCCAGCUCCGGCCGCCCCGAUCUGCCUCGACCUCCACCUCGAUUCACUCCGGUGAGGCCAUCUCCGGCGCCCAAACCCCGUCCGUUACCCUCUCUAGCUACCAGGAGCCUAACCCCUCUUCAAUUUAACCCUUGCAACUCUCUCCGACGAGCCCCUCGACCACCCAAGCCGCCGUCCGCCGGAGCAAAGCUCGCCGUCGACGUGGUGCUCGCCGACCGCCUCCACCACCAUCAACUGACGCGGAAGGGUGCCCUGAGCACGGAGGUAUCCUCCGAUCUCUCUGCCUCGCCGUGGAUCGCCGCCGGUGACCACCGCGGCUCUCGGGCACCGGCGAACUCUGCCGCCCCGUUUGAACAUUUGAACCUGACGAGUGGGACCCCACCGUCAGCCUCUCUGCCCUUUCUAUCGAACCGUUUUCUGGAAGCGCCUUCGGGCAAAUACGUCUUUCCUCUGGGCUGGCGUAGUCGCUACCGAAGCGCUUUCUGUUUUUAUAAACUAGCCCCUGGAAAUCUUCUGUUUCAUUACAGAUGAGUCCCUGGACAAAAACCUUUAUAUCUUUUAACCAGAAAGGUAUUUUUGGUUGAUUAUUUUUCUGUUCUCUUUAAAAUUUUGUCUAGUUUUUUAUCAGAUUUAUUUGGAAAAUAUUUGGUAUACUUUCUGUGCACUCCUUGGUAUUUAUGAUAGCACAUAUAUUUUCUUUAUACCGUAGAUACCGAAGGAGGUGACGGAGCCGCGUACUUCACCGAGCUAGGCUCCGACUACUCCGAACCAGGCAAGCAUGUUUGAACUUUUGAUAUGAUGAGUGUCUUGGCAUGUUCUGCAUUUAGCUAGUUUCAUGGCAUGUUGAUGAGCAUACCGAUGAACGUCAUUUUAUGCAAUGUUGAGGUAACUGAGUUCGAUGAUCCAUAAGUGGAUGAAUGUGAGUAAGAAUGGUCAUGUGUUGGCAUGAGGAUGGGUAAGAUGGCAGUGUUGUAGCAUGCCAGGCUUAUGCCAGACUACGUGACUUCAAUGUCAGCUCGUAUCACACCAGUUCCUUUCAUUCCGCCUUCCCUGUACUACCACAUGUUUUCCGCAAGGAAUAUGGUUUAGUAAGUUGCAAACCGCUUUUCUGGUACACACCAAAAGGAGAGGCCGUGAUGAUGGUUCCAUGGCCCUGGAUUAAAGCCAGUCAUCCGGUCAGGGGGCAUGGGUGUUUCCGGUUGGGACCGAGAGGGGGGCACCCCUUAGAGCACGCGUAUAUAAAUUUGAUCCCAUGCUAUUCGAGAUUGUGAUCUCCCCGUCUCAAAAGUUUUUCUUGGACGAUGUCUAGGGUGAUUCCUGGCAUCGAGAGGUAUGAUGGGUGUGUACUGGUUAGCUGUGUUUUCUUACGAAAUACCGUAAACGGAACUAGUCCUUCGUGACUACGGAAAUCCGUUGGCUGUGCGAAUAAUUUUGUACAAACUCUGCAGAGUCAUAUAUCCCCUCCAAAUCAUCUAUUCCAUGUCCAAAUUCGUGUUAUCUUGUCCUAACAAUGACAGUUUUGAUGACAGAGACUCCGGUGAUUCGCAUGAGUGCUAAUUCCGGUUAAAUGAAUAUUCCUGUGGAUGGACUAACCCAUUUAUUCUCAUGAAUUAAAUGUUUAUUAUGAGUAUUAUUUACUUAUGAAUCAAAGCCUUUUGUGUGAUGUCGCCCCGACGUCCGACUGUGGCAUUUCUUUUAAAGCCCUUUCUGUGAUGUCGCCCCGACGUCCGACUAUGGCAUUUCUUUUAAAGCCCUUUCUGUGAUGUCGCCCCGACGUCCGACUGUGGCAUUUCUUUUAAAGCCCUUUUCUGUGAUGUCGCCCCGACGUCCGACUGUGGCAUUUCUUUUAAAGCCCUUUCUGUGAUGUCGCCCCGACGUCCGACUGUGGCAUUCCUUUUAAAGCCCUUUAUGUGGUGUCGCUACGACGCCCGACUGUGGCAUCUUUUCCCUAUAUUUAUUUGUUCACCUUUCGAGGUGUCGCUUCAGACACCCGAUCGGUAAUUAUUCAUGCUUUGUUGGGGUUUCAGGCGGACUACCGCCGUUUCCCUUUUACUUACCUUGUUAUGCUAAUUUUGAAUGUACAUUGGUGAAUUUAUUCAUGUCGCAUCCAUGCAUGCAUUUGUUAUAUCUUACGUCCGAACUGUCUUGCGAGUACUUUCAAAGUACUCACUGGCUUGUUGAUUUGGCCAGAUGCUGACGAAGGCGAUUUCAUGGAUGAAGAGUUCGAUAGCGAGUCCGACACUUAGAGCAGUCCCAGUCAGUCUCGUGCGACCCUGGAUUUGGUCACUGUUUUAUAUCCGCUUCCGCUACCAAAUAAAUUCAUCGAGCCUCACCUCGACGCUCGAUGAGAUGAUAGACUUAGAGUCUUGUAUUUCUCUCCCCGCUGUGUUUUUCCACCACCGCCCUAUCCUCGAGUCAGUAGUAUGUCUCCACACCACUGUGUCAUGUCCUCCAUUAUGUAUAAUUAUUGGCGUGCUUGUAAUAAUUUGGUUGAGCAACCGCAGUUCGACCCUGUAAUAUAUUUUAUGCUACUGGCUUAUUGUAUCAAGAAAUUGUCUACCAGUGAGGAGGAUUUCUCUCAUACUGGACUCAAAAUAUUGGUUUCUCAAUAAAUAUUUUUAUUGGAAAACCGGUCAUGACAGGUUAGGAGACGUAGGAUCUUCAUCCAACCGCCUGAAAUGGUCGAGAAACAAUAGGGAGUUGCAUUCUUAAUGCGCUCUGGUUCAUCAUGUAUGGGCACUGCACAACUAACAUUUUAUUAUCCAAAAUCUGCUUGCUCUUCUUUAGCAUGUUCCUCUUCCAUUCUUCUUUAAUAAGUACUCUCUCCGUUCCUAAAUACAAGUAUUUGUAUAGAUUCCACCAUGGACUACAUAUGGAGAAAAAUGAGUGAAUCUACACUCUAAAAUGUAUCUGGAUACAUCUGUAUGUGAUCCAUAGUGGAAAUCUCUACCAAGACUUAUAUUUUGGAACGGAGGGAGUAUAUAUGAUAGUGGUACAGUAUGUUCCUUAUAGUGAAGAUGAGCUGGGACAUUUGCAGUGUAGAGGUCUAUACGGUCGAUUGUGAUGGACAAUUUCAACUCUUCGGGCCUCUUUGAUUUGUAGGAUUUUGUAAACACGGGAAUAGGAUUUGUAGUGGUGUGCCCACUUGAAUCCUAUAAGAAUAGCAAGGAAAUGCGGGGAGCUAUCUCGCCUUUGAGAGUUACACUAAUAUUAACAGUACCGCACCUUCAAUUGAAGAGAGUUGGUAUCCGAAGCCUUUCUAGUCGUACCGGCAAUACUAGCACAUAUUCUAGCAAGUUCCACUUUGCUGAUUUUACUCUGAUGCUUAAGGUUUUCCCGUUAUAUCUACACUAUGAUCUGUGUAGCUACUUUGUGUCGCACUAGCAACAGUCCACUCUUGAAGUUAAACACUCAAUGACUUACAAAAUUGGCACCAAGGCAUUGAGUGCCAUUCUGGAUGAAAUGAAACUCAUACGCUCCCCACCUGUUGACUCUUGUUCAGAAUAUGAUCAUAAUGACUCUUGUUCAAAAUUGCCACAUAUAGAGAGACAUCAUGGAAUUGCAUUUCUUUGGGCGCUGUGAUUCAUCAUGAGUGGGCAACCAACAUUGUAUGCAAUGAAGCGGAACCUCAAGAAUAUGCUUCCUCUUCUGUUCUUUAACAUGUUCCUCUUUUGUUAUUCUUUAUUUAGUACAUACAAUAUGUUCCUUGUCAGGAAGGGGAGUAGGGACAUCUAUAGUCAACAGUUGAUAGAGCGAGCCUGUACAUGAUCGAUAGGCUUUCAAUUACUAACGGCAAUACAACACCAUCUUUUCAAGCCAGUUCCACUUUCCCGAUUUAUAUAUCGUGGUUAUGGUGUACCCCUUUUAUGUACACUAUGAUCUGCCUAGUUGUUUGUGUGCUCUUGUUACCAUGGUUUGGCAAUAAACUCUCUAUACAGUAUAUUAUGAACCUAUCAUCUGCCAACUAUCCUUACUUCUGGAGCCUAUUUUUUGUGUACUUGUGCCAGAUUAUAUUAAUGCACGCACCAUAUUACAACACACAUGAGCUCUCUCAUCAGAAUCCAGUGAUAGCACACAAGUGUUUACAGGGGCUCCCCUAUAUUAGAAUAUCCUCUGCAUUACAAAGAUAAUCUCACUACUAUUUAUGUUUUCAUGGUUCUCAGAUAUUAUAUGUAAUUACAGUGAAUAUUGGAAUCCGUGUAUCUGAAGAAUAUUGUGGAACACUGCAAUGACUUACAAAAUUGGCACCAAGGCAUUGAGUGACAUUCUAGAUGCAAUGAAACUCAUACGCUCCCCACUUGUAGAUUCUUGUUCAGAAUAUGAUCCUAAUGACUAUUCUAACCUCGAGGAGUCAAAGGCAGAUGGCCUGUCCUGUUCACCCAUCAAGGUGCAUGUUCUAAUUUGGAAAGGUUUUAUUGAUUGCGCGUAUCUUGCAUAUGUUGUCUUGCAUUUCUUCUACUGUGUUGCACCUCCAUCUGCUUAGUUUACUCAUCAUAUAUGUCGAGAUGCCAUGCCCAUCCAUUAUCAAUACAUAUUCCAUUUGUCAUCAUACCAUGUUUUUCCACUCAAAUGAUGUUCUUGUGCAUCAAACAUCAAAAAGGAAGAGGGUGAUUGCCGAACCUGAAGGAGCACCAGCAAAGUCCUUGAAAAACGUGGUAGUGCCGGAGAAAUCAGACAGCACCCCACUUAUAUUGGCUGUACAACCAAUGACACAAAAUGUAGGACCGACUCCAGCAGACUGUUCCCAUACUUCACUGGCCACACCAUUAGCCCCACCACACAGGACCUGCACUCUAGCAAAAGGUAUGCCGAUUUCAGUUGCCAUAGCACCAGCCGUACAAAAGAAAAAUCCCACUCCAGCAAAAAGUACAACAAGUCCACCGGCCGAAGACCUAUCCCAACUGCAAAGACGGCCAAUUCCUGCAGAUUGGAACCCCAUUCCAGUUAAUCCAAGAUUAGAAGACAAUGCUUUCAAUGUUUUUAAGGACUACGUGCAUAUAAUCCCAUCAUGGAAAAAUUAUAGUGAAGACAAACACCAUUUUCACAUCUUCCUGUCCCACUUACGUGUAAGUGCUAUUAUUCGUGGUGAUUAUUUUCCUGUUUUCUGCUAAUUGAACACAUCAAUGAUUUACAUUACAUUAUUGUAAGUAGGCGAGGGUCAAUCUGGAUAGUCACGACGAGCAAAGCUUGCUUGCGCUUUUCAAGGAAGCAUUGCAGCAGUAUCGGUGUUACCUGAGGAAAUCACACUUUCAUGGCAUGUCAAUAAACAAAUUCCCGAUGAAGUCUCCUAUUCUAAAUUUAGAAGACAUAGAAUGGAAAAACCUUGUUAUGCACUGGACUCAUUUCAAGGAUGAGGUACUAUAUGUGAUAUCGCAUGACAAUUUGAACUUCUACUUUUCCGCAUGUGCCUUACGGAUCUUUUUUGCAGGAAGUCUGCUUGAAGAAGAAUUCCGGUUUGAAAAGAACAACAGGAUAUCGUAAAUAUGUUGCCCGCUGCUUUGCUCUUGUUAGUACCUGUUGUCCUGUAUCACUGUACUUGCAUUCAUACCUGGUUCAUUAUGUGACAAAAGUAUGCAUGAUAGCUUGCUUAUCAAUUGUUCGCUCCAAAUUAUCUGAUUUGUAUGAAUGGUUACAUUAGUGUAGAAUAUAUCCAAUGCCAAUGAAAAUUUUUAGCUCUGCAUUGUUCUUGUAAGUACCUACUGUCCUUUAUCAGUGUACUUAUAUUGACACGUAGUUGUUCAUGUACCAUCACUCUGCAGCUUAUUUUCCUUUUCCCUCCACUUUCUACAUAUCAUAUCUAUAUUUACUCUUACCAUUGGAUAACACUGAUGGUACUGAAGAAGUUUAACUCUGCAUUGCUCUUGGUUGUACCUUUUCCCUGUAUCGUUGUACUUACAUUUAUAGCUACUUCGUUAUGUAGCAUCACUCUUCAUCUUAUCUUAAACAUUCUCCAUUUUUCCUUAUAUUGUACAUCUAUAUUUACUCUUAACAAAAUAGAGAAUAAAGGCAAUGCUUAUGAAGAAGAUUAUGUGGUAAACUUCUUGAAUUGCCCCCCCCCCUUAGCAUUGACAAGGGCUUUAUAGAGCCUGUCUUCACCAAUAAUGUAAGUUUGUCCUUCUCAAGCCUUCAAACUUUGUUGUGUAUAUUUGGUUAGGCAUGACUGCAAAAGCUGUUUAUUUUCGGUGUUUGCAUCAAAUUGCAUGUUUAAAGUUUAUUAUGUAGUUCAUAAACAAAAGUUUGUCCUUCUCAAUUUAAGUUUUCAGUUGUACAACCAAGUUGCUUCUUCAUACCAUAUAAAUUAAACUAUACAGAGCAAGUGAUCUUCUUUUGCACCGCAUGUAUGCUUCUGUUCUUGAUCUGUAAUCCAGUGGUGUGGUGAACCUACCCACUACACCACAAUGCAUAUUCUGCAAUGUCUUAACAAUGAACAAUGUCAUAUCGUUCUACUAUUAUUUAAACCGUCUCUUUAUUUGCCAAUCUGAAAUGGGAUAAAUUGACAGCACACUAACCAUUGAUACUUAUGAGUUCUUGAUCCGUAAUCAAGUGGUGUCGUGAAGCUGUCAACUCCUUAACAAUGUCAUUUCCUGCCAUGUCUUGACCUGAACAAUACCAUAUUGUGUUCAUGCUAUUAUAAACUGUGUCACUUUAUUCAUGAGUAAGAAAUGUGAUGAAUUGUCAGCACUGAUACUUAUAUGUGCAAAACCUGUCAUCUAUCUGCUUGUUUAUCUUUUAGAGUGAGGAGGAUAUAAGUGUCAAACAAGAGCAGUCUCAUCAGCUUGCUCAGCUGCUUGCGCUGCAGCUCCGGAGCAGGGCUAACCUUUCUUGAACUCUAUUGAAGUGCUGUCUGUUCUGUAUAUUAUUUUGUCGGCGUGUUUAUUUGCACCGGUGGCGAUCUUUGAUGCCCAGUGUAUGUAAUCUGCUGUCUGCUUGUGCUUUAUUAUCAUAGUGGCGAACUUUGAUGCCUAGUGGAUGUAAUAUGCCGUAAUUCCUUUUAUAUAGUCUAGGUUUUUUCUUAUUCACGAUGUUGCGGUUAUUUUACUAUAUAUAUAUAUAUCCUAUCUUCGCAGUAAACCGGCCAAACUGUAAAAUUACGGUACAUAAUCGGGUCGUCAUGCAAAUCACUAUGUAUGAUCCGCAUCAUGGGCCCCGUCAUCUUGGCCCGUUAACAGGCCUAAAUGUAAACUGGCCCACUAGUAGAUUCGGGCCUUUAACAGGCCGAGUAAACCGCCGGCCCUAUUUUCGUAAGAAAACUCAAUGGGCUUUUAGGAGGCAGAAAUGUAGGUUGGGCCUGAAACGUGCCAAACAACUAACGGGCUGGCAGCAGGCCGAAAUAGACCUCGGCCUAUGAUUGUGCCAAUCAAAUCACGGGCUUGUAACAGGCCAAAAUUGUCUCGGUCCUUGUUUUACCCAAUCAGAUUAUUGGCUGUGAGCAGGCCGGAUGCAAACCGAGCCAUAGUUAGGCCCAACUAUAUGACGGGCUUUUAACAGGCCGAAAUAAAUAUAUGGCCGAAAUGUUAAACGGGCCUUUAACAAGCCGAAAAUAAUAUCAUGCCGAAUUACUAAAUGGGCCUUUAUCAAGUGGGCCCAAAAGCAUAGCGUCCGGUUGACGGGCCGAAUCUGAUAUGCGCCAUAAAUUAGCCCAAAGCCUCUCAAAGGGCCGGACCUGAUCUGGGCCAUAAUUUGGCCCAGAACGUGGUAGGCUUUUAACGGGCCAGAUUUCAUAUGGGCCUAUAUUAGGCCCAGAUCAUGGCAGGCUGUUAAUAGACCGGAUCAAAUAUGGACCGGCAUUUGGCCUAAAACAUGGCAGCCUAUUAAUGGGUCGGCCUACUAGUGUCAUCGAAAUCUUGUGGGCCUUUAGCUGGGCCGGCCCAUUAUGGUCGGUGAAAUCUCGUGGGCCUUUAGCUGGACUGGCCCAUUAUGGUCCGCAAAAUCUUGUGGGCCUUUAGCUGGGCCGACCCAUUAUGGUCCGCAAAAUCUCAUGGGCCUUUAGCUGGGCCGUCCCGUUAUGGCCCGCAGAAUCUUGUGGGCCUUUAGCCCUGACGGUCCAUUGUGGUCCACAAAAUCUAGUGGGCCAUUAGCUAUGCCGACCCAUUAUGGACCGCAAAAUCUUGUGGGCCUUUAGUUGGGCCGGCCCAUUUAAACUUUAUGGGACACUUUUGGGCCGGUCCACGUGUCAACAUUUCAUAAGCGCAUCUCGCCCAUUGGAUGAGUGACACCUGUGCCAACGCAGAGCUGACAUGUGUUUCCUCUAGCCAAUGAUGAUUUUACACGUGGGAAAUCCCCAUUUGUCCGGGCUGUUAACGGGUUAUCGGAUCCAAAACCGGACCCAAUAGCUUAACGGCAUUCCGUUACGGUGGAUGCCACGUGUCGGUCACCCUUGACGAAAGCACAUGGAAGUCGACACUUCCGUGAUUAUAAUUUUGCUAAUGCCAUGGAACACUUCUACGACAGCACAUGUAUGACUAUCUUAAUUCUGUCAUAAAAUUGUCAUGGAUGGACAUGCAUGAUAAAAAACGUGACCUACUGUGACAAACACGUAUCAUCACAGAAGUGUAUUUUUUUUGUAGUGAUAGUAUACCACAUCCAAACCAUAAACCGAAUGAGGACCGACGGGGACGGAUAUCAAAACCAUGAAACUAUAUAUAACAAACAAUCAUACAAGUAAGCAAAUUAUACUAGUAAUUAUCUAAAUCAUACAAAUAAGAUUUUUUUUACAAAAAUGAUAAGAACAAGAGGCUCACCAAGGUGGUACCGGCGCUGGGACGAUGCGGGCGAUCGACGGCGGUGAGGACGGGGACGGGAAGGCACUAAAUAAAACACAGUUAGACACAUGCAAACUAAGAAGUUAAUUUGAGCUCCAAUUGCAUAUAAAUCAAAUAAACUCCCACAUAAUUACUCCUAAACUAAAACUCAACAAAUCACUAUACUUAUAGAGCAUGAAACGAGCUAAAUAGCAAUGACAGAUGAAAGGAUGAAGUUGCUAACUUUUUAGAACCCAUGGAUAGAUGGGGUGCCUCCAAUCUUGACAAAUCUUGGAAAAAAUGGAGGAUGAACUCGAGCUUGGUUAAGGAAACAGAGAGAAGAGAAAGCUUGGACUCGGUCUGGAUGAAGCAACUUUAUAUAGGGGGAAGACUUUAGUCCUGGUUGGACAUACCAACCGGGAGUAGUCCCGAUUGGUGAGACCAACCGCGACAAAAGGGGCUCGUAGGGGCCCAGCCUGCCGCAACCCCUUUAGUCCUGGUUGGUAUCACCAACUGGGACUAGAGGUCCUGUUUGAACCGAGACUACCCCGUCCGCUCCUAGCCAUUAAAACUGGGACUAAUGCUCACGUUAGUCCCGGGCCCAAACCCGACCGGGACUAGUGCUCCGGAUGAAAGGUUAGUUUUCUACAAGUAGACACCUGAGUUUUCUGGAGACAAUGAGGACCCCUGGUGUGGGGGUUGCUGCUAGAAACUCUUAUAGCAAAGUCAUCAUCUCUUCCACAUGAUUUUAUUGGACGGGUUAAAAGUCUUAAUGAAGCUAAGUUUCGGGUUUCAUGUCGGGCAUUAUAUUGGUAUCACUCUUCACAAGUCUAUUAUUCUGGGGAAUGAUUGUGCUUUUGUAGUUUCUUUUCUUACAAAUGGAAACAUUGAAAGGUCUCCUCUCGUUGAUCUCAAUAAGAAGGCAUUGAGGAUCGGCUUCUCCAGAACUACAAAAUUUCAAAAAAUUAACCGGUUUACUGAUGGAAUGACACACAAGAUUGCGAAGUAUUGUUUCGAUAGUAGGUCUGAUGGUGUUCUUCUUAAUAUUUUGCCGACCUAUGUGGUGUAUGCUUUAAUUAAUGAUUCACAAUAAUUUUUUUAUUAAUUAAUAUAUAGGGUGUUUUAAUGAACACUAGAAGUUAUAAUAGAAAUCAUUUGGUUGCACCACAUGAAAAGAUAGAAACUUUCUAUCAUGAUGCAAUACAUGACAUGGUUGGCGUAGACACAAAUGAAAAAUCCCCAAAGGUCACACAAUUUGCUGGAUAUCCUAUAGCAUCCUACUGUAGAAUAAAAAUUGUAGGAUUUUCAAGGGAUUCAAUCUUUGACAUUUUGUAAUCUCUGCGGGAUUUCCUAGAAAAAAUUUAUGGUUCUCGAAACUUAAUGUGUAGAGCUGAUACUAGCAUAAAUAUCUGAGAGUUGAGGAAACUUAUAGAAAUUUUCUCGGCUAAUAUACAAUUCUUAUUUCAGGUCGAAUAUGUUAUUUCACGUCGGUGGCCCACCAAAUGGGUGCAUAGUUAUCCGUCCUCCCGCCUCCUCCCCGACGUCAGCUCCUUCAUCAUCCUAAUUGUUAGCUAGCCCCCUCAUGAUGUGGCAUUCAUUUUGCAAUGCCACAAGAAGGCUUAAUUAAUACUACUCACUGCAUUAAUUUAUGGACUAGUUAAAUCGGGAAACUUUUCUUUGGACAUGGACAAUCAUAUUCAUGUGAUCUGAGUAUUUGUAUUGAAUUAUCUUAUUCUUGGUAGUUACUCCAUCAUGGUGGAUUGUUGUACAAAGGUGUUAAUACGUCCAAAAGCUAUCACAUUUACUUCUAGAUUUCUGAUGUCUUUUCGUGUCAUGUACUUAUUGUAUACUUAUAUUUUCAUGUAUUACAUUACUUAAUUUCAGGUAUAACUGGUAGACAUUACAAUUUAUAUGAUCUCCCUAACAAUGCCAAUAAAUAGAAAAGGCCCAAAUAUCAACGAAUAUGAUGACAAAGAAAAUCAUACGUACGCAAGGUACAGUUACGGGGUGCAACGAGACGACACCACAUGGUUUGUAGGGCCCACCAGUUUCUCCACUGCCCUCAUCCAACCGUUAUCGCUACCAUUCUAGAUUGAAUACAUCAUAAGACUCCAUUUAUGGUUGUAUUUAUUGAGGAAUGGGCGGAAGAUGACCAACCAACAAAGAAAAUGAAUGUUCUUCGGGGACAAAAUAUUGCCCAACUCUCUUCUCCACCGGAAUCCACGAUAGAUUGCAAAGGAUUGGUUUGUACCCAUGGUAAUGAUAGUCACAUAUCCUCCAUGAUGAUCCCAUAAUGAGUGAGUAGUCCAUCGAGACUAUGGGGGUUAUGUAGCAGUAGACAUGUCAAUUUCUCCUACAUUUGGUUGGAUCUAGGAUUAUUUGUGAUUCUGCUAAAGUGAUACUAUUAUGGUUGUGCCAUUGAUACAUUGUUAUUUUAACAAGGAUGUGUAAUGAUUGAGAGUUACAUAUUGGUCAUAUCAUUGAGUCUUAUACCCUUUAUAAAUACAUUGGAUGAGUGUCCAUCAAUUGACUCCAUCCUGCUAUUAUGGGAUGAUAUAUUAUGUGCAUGUAUAAUGUAUUUGGCAUGGGUUUGCAUGGACUUCAUUGGCCCCUCAUUUCGUGUGAUUUGUGAAAACCCUGAGAAGGAAAUAGUAGUGUGACAAAAUCUAUGUCAUGUUUUGCUUUGCGCCUAUCAUUAGUAGUACAUGGAAGCAUCCUUUUUGGUUAGCCAAUAACAUAAUUAGCUGGAGAGAGAGAGAGAGAGAGAGAGAGAGAGAGAGAGAGAGAGAGAGAGAGAGAGAGAGAGAGAGAGAGAGAGAGAGAUUGUGAAACUGUUGAACUCCUUGCUGCUUAUCUCUUAAAAUUGUUUUUUAUUUUACGUGACAACCAUUUUUUUGUAAGUUAGUUAAUUGAGAAAUGGAUACUUGAAGCUUUUGCUUGCACACCAUCUUAUUAGUUUAUCUUGUUUUAGGUUAAAGGAGAAAAGUCAACCUAAACUUCCAUGUGUUUGGUACUCAUUGCGGUGCUAUUUUCCAGACAAUAAUCAUCCAGUGCAGCGUACCAAUCGGUGAUCCUAAUAGUGCACAUAAGGAGAGAUUUACAUUGAAUCUUGGAUCGAGGUAAUACCCUACUUCCUGCUUGUCCGGAUUGAUUUCCCUAGACUCAUAUGAGAACUAUGGUUUAUGUGUACAUGGGGGUUUGGUCGCUAGAUCAUAAUUGGUGUAUGAAGCUGAGAUGAUUCUGAAGCUAUUCGAGGGAGGGGUGUGGUGGUGGGUAUCUUCCACACCUAAUGUACCUACCCAUGGCUACUGUUGCAUGAGUCCCGACUUGGUUGAUAUGCAUAAUACAGUAGACCUACUGUGGAUGGAAAGUAGAGUCAUUGUAUUGUACAUCAUGGUGGUGAUCCGCCCUCUAACAUCUGAGGACUUUGAGGAGCAGGCCUUGGACACCCUGUGAUUGUUGGGCUUCGUCCAUCCUCCAUGUCUAUAGGCAGUGGAGCAUGGCAUCAUGACUCAUCUAUUAUAUAUAAGAUGUACUUAGUGGGCUAACAAGAAUAAAGUGAAUUAUGAUAGAAAUUUCCACAAAAGUUAGAAACAUCUAACCUUUAAUUGAGUUUAUCAUAAAACUACAACCGUUAGAUCAUAAUAUAAUUAUAGAAAAUUACCCACCAAUACCAUCAUCAAUGAGGCAACUCCUAUACGCUAAACUAAUUUGCUUGUUCGUUCAAUCUCACAAAAAAGUCACCCAUAUGUUCUCUCUCGUCCACAUCUAGCAAUGCCCAUAAGCCAAUCCCCAAAGCAAAGCCGAUCAGCCGUGGCCCUGCGGUGUAUUCUUUUCCCAAUAGGCAUCCACCCCAAUCACAACCAAUAUAUCUCAAUCACCGCCUUUACCACUCAUAUUAAAGCAGCUCACGACCCGACAGUACAAAGCUAAUGAAAAUCUACAAUUUUCUAACCCUAAUUUAUUUUUCUGAUGUCGCUCUCUCAUAUUUGUCUAGCAAUGUUACUUUAACCCUAACAUUGUCUCAUGUUUGGAAAGUAAAGCUGGGGCAAGGCAAGUUGCAUCCGUCGCCUCCCCGACAUCUUCUCUAAAACCUCAAGAUGCAUGUCCUCCGUGUCCUGCGAUCUCCUCAUAUUGGGUGCUUCAAAGGGGUAUCCAACAUCCAGCCGUGCACGUACCAUGACAUAACAUUCGACUGAUUGGUGGUCGGCAAUCGAUCAAACCACCAUGCACUCUCAUAAAGGCAGCUAGCACAAUUAGAUGCUUAUCUGGCUGCUAAGAUUCUGAAUAAACAUGAGUACAUAUACGCUUGCACGCGUUGUUUCUUAACGUGUGGCAUGCAGGAGUGCGCAACUAUAUAAUUUGAGGGCAAGCAAUAUUUGUACAAAGGCUCCUCUCAUAGGUACGUAUGUACACACAUAACUAUAGAAGUACAGUGCACACAUCCAUUGAUCAUUGCAUGAAGCAUUAAUUAAUACCGUAAUUUUGUCUUCUGUCUUUUCGCACAGACCUAAAUUUUGUUUUGCACAUUCAAAGGUGUAGACCUAAGAUUUCAUGUUAGCUCUGCAAGUAACAAUACUGGAUUGGUGUAUCUUUCUACAGUACACUAUGUGGUGACAUGCUGAAAUACUGCUUGUAAGGUUCAGUUAAGACAAGAGCUCUGUUUCGUCAGUGGUGUAUUCUAUUCAGGAUGCCAUGCUUCAAAGAUUCCAUCAGUUCUGAUGAUUUGUAUUUUGUCGGAAUCUGAAAGACAAAUAGUUGAUAAAGAAAUAUUUAUGUGUAUUCAGACCAGUUGUCAAAUAAGUACCAGUGGCUGCACUUUAAUCAAGAAAAUAUGCACAUGGUCGUUUAUUUUAUUUUGUAUAUUACAUCGAUAAUAUCUCAUUCACUAUUUAUGUGAUUAGAUAACUUUACACAGAUAAUGUUGGACAUCACCCUACACUUUACAUUAAUACUGACAAACUAGCAAUGUUGUGAUAUUAACUUUAUAAGCUACACAAUUUGAUGGUUGACAUAAACGUGCAAAUAUUUUCUAUUAUGAUUUUCAAGGAGAUAUAUAGGCCACGAAGCACUAAAAUUUAAUGAAGACUUACGCACAUGUUUGUGGUUGCUUUGAAAUUUCUCUGAAAUGUAGCAAUUUGUAUAUUAAUUCUGCUAUAUUUUUUCCUUGCUUGCUACUUCAUUAGUAUGAAUACUUCAUUUCUAAUACUCUAUGAUGUUGCUCCUUACCGGCAAGGCUAUUUUUUCAUUUAUUAUCUAUGAUUCCGGUUCGCCAGAUAAUAAUAGUUCAAUGUACGUUUCAGUUUAAUAAAAACCAAUUGUAAGUUGUAACUGAUGUGACGCUCAAAUUUUCUUGUAGUAAAUCUAUCUAAAGGUGCAACUAUACUAGCAUGCUUAUUAUAAGGAGGACACUGAUGGUGCAAAGGGGAGACAACAAUGAUAUGAUAUUAUGAUGUGUCACAUUGGUAAUCGUUUGAAGUUCGAGUAACAUAUUUGUAUAAGACAAAAUGUGAAUCUAUUAUUUAUUUUUGUUUAGACCUAUCAUGUAGCUUAUUUGGGACAAGUUCUUCUCAUAGAAUGUGUGUGGAAUCAACAAUAAAACUAUACAAUUACGAAAUGUUAACCAGCCUGGAUUUUAAAUGUAAGCUGCACUUGAUAAUAUGGACUUAGCUAGAGUGUUCAAUUUGAAUUAUACAUGUUCAUUCAGUUUCCGCGUCAAGGAGCCGUGGAUCCAUACAAAGGAUGUUGGCAACCUCUAUUUUUUGAAGAAAAAAAAAACCGAGUAUGUCCUUACAUUCUCCUCUUUCCAAUAUAUAUGUGUUGAUGCUGCAUUUAGUUCUAAUAGCUUGUCAAAGGUAACUGUGAAAGCUGAAAGUUAUGUACAACCUUCACUCAAUUCUAAAAGAACUUCAGGGAAAUUUGUACCUGAUCCCGUCUUUCAUCAACCUUCCUUAAUAUGUUACAUUUCUCUAUUCUUGUAUAUAAAAGUAAGUUUGUUUCUUUCAUUUGAGUUGAUUAGGAACGAUAAGGUAAACAUAAUUUGAUAAAUUCUAUUGUUUGCAUAGAUGUGAAAGAUCAUGCAUUGGCACUUGGCACUGGGAUGAUCUAAUCAUAACUGCCUUCUUUUAUAUUCCAAAUAACAGAAGUUGCAUAAAAUGUUUAUAGGUGAUGUACAAUGGAGGCAAUUGAGGGAAAAUACACUCUCUCAAUGGCAAUAUGUUGCAGCUUUCACAAACAAUCUUGAUGUUUCAUGUGUACAUAUCGCCAGACAUGGUAUUACCUCAUAGUUUUUACCCUUAUAUAAUAUUGCUAUGAAAGAAUAAUUUGUGCUUACUUCCAAAUGCAGGUACUACUGCCUAUCUGUGGGGUGUGUGUAUCAAGUGACAUAGGAUAGUGGGUUUCAUCCGUAAGCUAAAUUUUAUUGGUCUUCUUUUUCACUAUUUACAGGUUAUAUUCAACUUAGGGUUGUAACUCUCAUUCCUUUAAAUACAUUACUAUACAUAAUUAACUUUUUCAUAUGUAUCACUUCUCAUAAAUGAAAAAAUUGUAUGUUCAAAACCCAGCCUACUAGACUCUAAGUUGCUCUUGUGUAUACUCCACAGUGUUCUAAUCUUCAGAAGGCCUUUGUGAGUACGAAUAAAAUAUUUCUAAUGGUCUUUUCUGAAAUGUAAUCCUUCAUAAUUUUGUAUGGAAAUAUAUAAUGAUUUUUUCACUGUACAUCUUAUCUUAAUAGUUUCUAUCAUCAUAAUUUUUGGUUUUCCUACUACUAGCUUUUAGUAUAUCAUCACAUCCCUAAUUCUACUUUCUUAUAUUUAAAAUUAUUAGAAUCCUAUGUUCAAACUAAUUCUUUCAAAAAGAUCUGUACCCUAGGAACAUUUUUGGUUGGAAUAAUUUCAGAAAGAGGGCUGAUAUUAUGGAUAAAUAUGUACGUUUUUAUGUUCUAAUAUAUCCAAAAGAUCAUAAGCGUGUCGAGAUGAGUGCGUGAGAAAUAUCAUUAAAGAGAGGUGAAAAUGUGCCCCAGUAUUUGUUUGCUCACUUUCAGCGAAUACGUCCUUUAAUUCACAUUAAAAGCCUGGAAAAAAAGUUCACAAGCAGCCAUAAGAUACUUAAAAGGCAUUAUUUCGUAAUUUUGCAUUCUAAAUUUCAUAGUCGUAAUGAAAAGAUAAUUUCAUAUACAAAUAUAAUAUAAAUACUACAUAUGUUACCAUCUUCUCUACCCAUUAAAAUGAUGCCCUCGUAUUUGCGGGGGCCACUGUGCUAGUUCUAAUUAAAGAGAAGAUGUACAACAACCCUGUGGACUUGCAGGAAUGAUUGUGGGUCACAUAAUCAAGCUCUUUUAUAGUGCAAUUGCUAGGGAAGAAUACAUUAAUUAAGUCUGCGGUCAUCACAACCAGUGCGAUCGAACGCUGGCUUCUCAGCCUCUUCAUGUAGAAGUCUUCCACGCCGAUGCAUGGCGGCGAGUGACAUGCACGCUACGUGUAGGCAGAAGUUGCUCUGCCAGAGAUGAAAAUAAGCAACACCCAUGUGAGCCGGGCAUAUGCACAUACUAUGAAGACCUUUUUGCCUAUUCCCUAGCCCCUUGCGUGUCAUGAUCGCCAUCAUCAUAUCUGAUCUUAGAAUUAGGUGUUGCGGUCAUACACAUACGAGCAAGUCCAUAACUAGUUCAUUUUUUAAUUAUUUUGAGUACAAUUUCAUUUUAUUUAAUCGCAUACUUAACUACAAUUUUACCACUAUCAAGAAGGUACUCCCUCCUAUUUGUAAGUGGUACAUCUUAAAACUUAUGUUCGAGUACCAUAUAAGAUUGGCUAUUAGAUUAGGAUGGAUGUGUGGCUCAUAUCAAUUUUGAGGUACUGUAAAAGAGCAUGGUUCAUAUGGAUUAAUUAGAAUCCACCAAAAGUCUUAUUGUUAAAAAUCCUCCAAACCAAAGAGAACCUAAGGUGACAAUGACAUGCAAGAUAGUGAAGGAAGGAAUUUUCUUUCUAGUUGAAGAGUCUUUCCCUAUUCAGAAUCUUUUUUGACCCUAUUUAAAAUGUGAGAAUUUCACAUGAAUUCGGUAGGACAGUACAAGCCAUAAUGAACGAAUCCAAGUCUUCCAUUUUUCUUUUUAAGAUUGCUAUUGGCAAAGACACAAAUUCUUUUUCCAUGUGCAAAUAUGCAUUGACAUUAUAGCUGUUCUGAAAUCUGAUGUUCAUUUCAUGUACUGUAGUCUAGUCUGAAACUUGUAGCUUUCAACUUGUCACCAUAUGGUUAGUAUAAUCUAUGUGGUGAGGGCGGAGAUAAAACAUUAGGAUGCUGCAAGGUAGAUAGCGGGGGACAAAAAGUAGCACAAAAGGUUCGACUGAUAUAUGAGAGUGCAGUCAUUUUCUGCUCGGCCAGGGUCGCCUUUGUAAUAAGUGGACCAGUAUCAAAGUGGCGAUGCGGUCAUCGGUGCUUCCCUCGUAGAGGCGCAUGGGAUGCAUGCAUGAAUGAGCUGAACGAUAAUCUAAUGAGUGCCGUGCAAAUGGCAGGAACAAGAGAAGCGCGUGUUUCAUCUCACACCAACGAUCGAACAAAACAUAUCACCACCAACAGUUGACCGUGGUGUCAGCUUUCGAAAAAAUAUAGAUCCAUGAUCCAUGAUCCAUCUCCACCGCAGUGCAAAAUGGUUUCGUUGCAACCCACCCACUGAUUCUUAAUGCUUUUCGGGUACUUUAAUGAAAUGUGUUUCACAUGGACAAUUAUCGUACGAAUGGUAAAUCAUCGUGAAGCAAUAUGGUAGUGGAUUAUGAGAAAAGAUUCAUCUCCAACCCGCUGCCAAAACGGUUAGGAAGGUAGCUAGCUAGUUUUCUCAAUUCACUAAUGAUCGACCAUUCAAUCACCAUUAACUGAUCUACUUGCAUCUAGGAGAGGCCCAGUGGAGUCUGCACAAAAAAGGUUGAGUUACACAUGAAAGGGCGUACGUACAAGUUAACUGAUGUGUCAAGCUCGUGCAUAAAUUGAUCAUAAAAAACUAAAUCAAUUGUAUCGCUUUUAUUUGUCGGGGAACUAACCAAUGAUCUUGAGGGUCACCUUUGGCUCUUGUUCAUAUCUGCUCUGUAGCUCUGGAAAGCCCCGAGUAAUUGGUGUCUUUCCUUUGCCGCUGCAGUGAUUGUACUCCUAUAUAACAUUAAGAAUGCACGCACUGCAGCCAGAAGCUGGCUGCUCGCUCUGACUGCUUUCUACCAACCGCUGAGUCGAUCCGAUCCAUGAACCGUUGGCUGCCGGCAUGCAGGGAAAUUCCUUCCUUGUCUAAAAAUAUGACAGUGCCUGCUAGAAGCAGUGCAUGUCCGUUGGGGCCAUUGAUGGCCAUGUCGUAUUCUUCUUCUUCAGCACAUAAUCCGGGUGCGUAGCUAGCUGGUGGAUGGUCGCCAGUGCGUUCCCGUCGUCACGCUCCCUGACUGUGAUGUGCUCCACGGCCUUGCAGCAGCCCAACACUUGCCGAUUCAUUCACGACAAAGGAGCCAACUUGGCAUAAUUGUUGGGCAUGACCAUCCGGUUCACCGAAUUCUGUACUACUACUUGUAGCUCGCCGCAGGUCCGUGUCAUCCAGCUCCGGGCACGACUCUCUAGGUGCACGCACCGAGAAGUAUGUGUGUGGAUGGCAAGCAAAGGCUCCAGAACAGGAUCAAUGAUCUCAUACCACUUUUUGUUGCUGAGAAGGAGGUAAAAGCUAUCUCAAUGAAUGACACACUCACACGAUGAAAUGUUACAAGACACAAAAUUCUUGUGCGGCAUUCAACUAGCAGAAUUUUUGUUUUUGCUUGUCUAUUCAUUUAAUUGGCCACUACUUGAGCCGUUCAGCUACAAAUAGGAAGGGAGAAAGACAUUAGUUGGACCGAGCUUCAUGGCAAUGCCAUCCCGAAGCCACUCACUCCACAACCCCAACAUUGCUGCCGCAAUCGCUAGGCCUCAUGCCAUCCCAUAUAGUAACCACAACAGUCUACAUAUAAAGAAAUAAACCAGCAGCCAAGUCGUGUACAUACACACACAACAUGGCGCAUUAUUUGCUAGCCGAGGAAUAAAGCGAAACUAGGGUUCAUGCGAUGUUGACUAACACAGAAGACGCUGUGCUUAGUCGCGGGUAAAUUGGGGCCUCAUGCUGAGUUCUUUAAGAUAGGCGGUGGCACGGCGGAGUUCUUCCUUGAGCCUCAUAUUCUCUGUACAUAGGCGUUGGUGCUCCGAGGUAUCCUGAGUUUUUAGCCUCACCCCUGCACAUUUGAGGCAUGUCUUGUUUUCAACGACCCACUUGAUGGCUUGGUUUUCAUCUUUUAGCAUCUGGUUCUCUCCCUGAAGAUUCUUGGUGUCCUGUAGUUGCCUCUUGCCCUGCAUUUAUUAAUUUCAGUUAUGCGUCAUUUUAGGGGUUAGCAAUGUAUGCAUGCUACCAUGUUCACGAGGGGAUUAUAGUACUACAUUGUAAUAUUAGAUGACCAAUAAUGCUACUAUUUUUAGUGGAGUUUGUAUUGUUUAACAGUAAAACUUGCAUAGCUGCAUGUCUUAGGUGACCCAUGUGGCCAAAUCUCAUUUAAUUCAUUGUGGAAAAUUCACUGUGGAAAAGAAUGGAAUACAUACCUUGCUAGAGGAGCGUUUGUUUUGGAACCAAAACUUGACCUGCAGGGCACUCAUGUGAAGCCUCUCGCUAAGGUCUUUCCGGAGUUCUGCAUCUGGAUAAGGGCUUUUCUGGAACACACUACAUAUCACGUUAAUGAAAAUGGAUUAGUACACGUGUUUUUUGAUAGGUAAGAAACACUGAUUGAGUAUGUAUUGUACGCUUCAAGUUGUUGGAUUUGUUCUCCACGGAGACGGUUAUAAUUUGCACGCCUUGUCACCAUUCUCUGCACAUGAUUGGUCUCUUCAUCGUUAUUGUUGCCUUUGUCUGCAGCAGCAGCGUUGGCAUCGUCAGUGUUGCCCAUGUUGGUAGUGGCUCCCAGCAGGUCAUGCAUCUCAUCACCAUGCUCGUGCGGGGGUAGGUGGCCCUGUUCGCUUGUGAUGAAGUGAUCCAACAUAUUUUGCACAUCACUGUCGUAUUCUGGCAACUCCCCAUCCAUGGUGAUCUGUUAUCAUGAAACAAAAUAUAUAUUCUCAUGUGUAGAGUUAAAGGUAACAAUGAACAAAUAUCUUAAGAAAAAAGAAUGCAGUAGUGAAAAAAGAAAUCAAGUAGACUUUAGUUGGCAACGUAGUACAUUUAGAUUUAGAUUUUAAUUUCCAACGCAGUCGGAUGUUACUCCACAUUAAGAAUACUUAAAAUUCAUCUGUAUGAGUUUCCUAGACCAAGAUGUAAUCAAGUAGACUUAAAUUACUCUCAGAAAUAUAUUGACAUAAUUUCCUGAAUUCACUAUCACAUAUUCAUGAUUAUCUACCGCUGAUUACUUCAAUAAUUUCUAAACAUAUAUGCCCUACAUAUUCCUCAAUUCACUAUCGCAAAACUAUUACUUUCUAUCUCAUCGUGUUCUUUUAUAUGUAUCAGAAAAACCUUACUCUAUCUAUAUAUACAUUGGUAUCUAUCUACAGAUUCCGUAUGUGAUAUAUUUAAACAAGGCCUUACAUACAAUAAGAUAAGUACCAACUACUCCUACAAUUGUAGAAGCAAGAAAUUAAAAUAUACUAUGCGAGGGAAAUCAUAUUAGAAUAAAUAAUAGCAUCAUAGGCAGAAUAAUACAAUCAGAUCUAUGAAUAUAUACAAUCAGAUCUAUGUUAGCAAGAUCCUAGCCAUCUCCCAAGCAAAAUGAUGAAAUGCUACUUUCUUUGUGUAUCCACUCAUUCCAUGGUGGAUCUACCUUUCUUCCAAGAAUACAAGGGAUAAGAGAUGUCAUGGAGGAUUCCUGCUCAACUUUAGAAGCUAUAUAUCCAAGGAUAACUAGAGUAGAAGGGUAUAAACAUUACUAGAUGAACGGCUUAAGGAAAUACCGCUGGCUUCGGUUGUCGACCUCCUUAGAACUUCGGUAGGCGAAAAAGUACAGGAAUCUGUUUUGUUCCUACUGAUAUAUCAAACUCAUUCAGCAAAGUAGCUAUGACCGUCCGAAUUUAAAGCCGUGAGCAGCAUGCAAAAUUUAUGCCAUAACCCAUGAUUAAUGCAAGCAAUUACUUGUAUCCAAAUAUAAGGCUCAUAUAUCAUGGAUUUUGCAUUGGCCUAUAUAUAGGUCAUAUUUAAUACUCACUAAGCAUAUUUGUGGAGUGAAUAUUGGCAUAUUGAUACAAUAUAUUAUGAUAUUAAAACAAUAUAAAUUGCUUCUUCAUAAAAUUAAUAGAAAAGAACGACUUUGAUCGAUAAUAUAUUUGUAAAUCUAAAUGAUAUACAUGGACAUAAAGAUUUCUUCAGUCAAUAAUACGUAUAGAGUAUGUUUUUCUUGGAAGAAACACUUUCUAUGCACACAAUAGAAAAGAACACCAACAAUAACUUGUAUCCAAAUAUAAGGCUGAGAUGCCAUGGAUUUUGAUAGUUGCCGCAUGUCCUAUAUAUAGGGCAUAAUUAAUACUAAUUAAGCCUAUUUGUGGAGUGAAUAUUGCCAUAAUUAUAACAAUAUAUUAUAUGAUUAAAAUAAUUGAAAAAGGGUGGUUCUCAUUAUAUAUAUACAUAAUAUACAUGGACAUAAACGGGUGGUUCUGAUCCAUUAUAUGUUGUAGACCAACAAGAUAUACAUGGACAUAAAGAGUUCUUCAGCCAAUACAACAUACAAUGUAUGUUAUUUUUGGAAAAAAACUUCCGAUUUAUUCAUCCACUAUUAAGGGAGCACAAAUAAUACCAGGACUAAUAGAAAUUACAUCUUGGUCGGCGACAACAACAAGCACUGGAGUGAGCUGAAGACGUGCCACCAUCAUCGCCCCUCUCUCACUGAUGUCGGCCAAACCUUGUUGUAGUACUUAGACGGGAGUCCUCAUGGGAAGGCCUCAUAGGACCACUAAACUAGAGCAGCAACCAUCGCCGAUGAAGAGAAGCGUAUAUCAUGAUUCACUAAUCAAUUUCUAGCACAUUUCCCUCCCCGGUCACACCACCAGUGUCAAUGUUCAAGUCACUCAAGCAACCCGACCCCAAUAACGAUGGCCCUGGAUGCGCUGGCUGGCCCACCUGUCAUGCACUUACCAGCUGAUUCACCUGGGCCCGCCAUGAUCUGACCCAACAAUGUGGCUUUGGACCGGCGGCGGGCCUUUGUUCCCCCGCGCGGGCAAGAACCAACGGGCGCUGGCGAAUGAGAGUGGCCCCGGGCAGACCCGGCGGUCCACCUGUCAAGGACCUCCCAGCCGGGUCUCCCGGGUAUGAGCCGGCCGAGCAGAUCACACGAAUCAGAUCAUCCCCGAGAGGCUACCGCUGCAUGCCACAAAGCAACCGAUGACACGUAUGCUCUCAUAGCCCGUGGAUCUCUCGCGUGAUCCGACACCAAUGACGAUGGCCCCUGGCGCACUAAGAGGUCCACCUAUCAUGGACCAUCCAACCAAGUUAAUCGGAUCAGACGCUACCCGACUCAGCCCCAUGGCUUUGGCCCGACAGGGGGUAUACACACCACCAGGAGUGUCCGGAUAUGCCACCACACGGGGGCGGGUCCAUGUCGAGAACCACCCAAGGGCGGUGACCUCAGUCUGGCAUGCGGUCCAUCCGUCAUGGACCAUCCAUCCAGGUCGCCCACGCGCAAGCUGUCCGGCCAGAUCGGACGGCUUGCAUCGGCCCUGAGAGGCUCCCGCCGCAAGCCAAAUGAGGACCGACGACCAUGAGCCUCUCUUCGCCGCGAGGAGCCCAAGGAUGCGGGUAUUCCAGCAUCCUUUAUAGGAGUAAUGACUAUGAUCAUUCAUGGCAUGAUCUUGCAUAGGCAUUACGUCCGUGAUUUGUAGAUCGUUAUCCAACUUCAUCUUCAACUAAUACUCCACCCAAGCCUACUAUCCAACAUUAAGUUUAUAAUAAAAAAAAUAUUGCAAUUAGUAUGAGGGAAGAGUGUAGACAAUAAAACUAUCGUAUAUAUGUAAGUGAUAAAGAAACUAUCAUUUAUCCUUAGUGGCAAUAACACAAUAUGUGUCCAAUCCCUUAUCAACAGGAUCAAAUUCACCGCAAGGUUGAGCUCACUACCAUGCACAAAUAUCUAUGAAGAACUACCAAGCAAUCAUGGCCAGAGACGACAAAUAGAUUGAAAAGCAUACACUUGUGGAGCAAAGAAACUUCAUAAGAUUCAAUAUAAUUCAAUGAAGAAUCUGAUAAUAAAGUAUCAAUUCAUCAUAUUCUAACAAACAUAACCACCGAUUACAUUUUAUUGAUGUCAAUCAUGUCAGGCACCUCACCAGAACUUUGUAUUGAAUUACUUGAGAGAGAGGAUGCCAUCCAGCUACGGCUAUGGACCAUAACGUCCUAAGGAAACUACCCACACAUGUUCUUGGUGGUAGCAAGGUUGAUGAGAUGGCUGUAGCAAUGGAUUCACCCUCUGGCAGGAUGCCGGAAUAGGCCUCCAGAUUAGAUCUCCCCGGAACAUAAACUUGCGGCGGCGGAAAAAAUCAUGGUAAUAUGGUACAGACGCUUUCAAAAAAUAUGGGGUUUAUGGGCAAAGGAAUCAUCGCAAGGCGGUGCUAGGGGGCCCCACGUGUCUACUCCAUGAGGGUCGGCCCCUGGUUGCAUGGCUUGGAUUCAUGGAGGGCUAGGGGUGCCCCCCUGGCCUCUCCCAUCACUUAUUGGAAUCUUCUAGAGUACCGCUGUCCUGGUUUAUUAGUUCCCUAUGUAAUUUGUGCUAAACUUUUACCAAUUUAACUGACAAAAUGUUAGUCCAUGUCAACAAAAAAUAUAUCGUCGGAUUCGUAUUUGAACAUAAUUUUCAAUGAUAUAAUGUUUUGGGGUUAAUUAUCCUUUUGCCCUCAGUGGUGUCCAUGUGCUUAGUUUUGCCCUCAGUGGCAAAUCGUGCUCAAUUUUGCCCCUAGUCCAUGCGCAGCUACUAUGACAAGGUCAAACGGCCAGAUUUUAGUCCAUUCCAUCCGCCAGCAUAACUGGUAGUGGGUUCGGAGCUUACACGUGGGACCGCGUGGAUGUGGGUUCGGAGCUGACAUGUGGGACCGUGAAACAAAAUCCGCAAAUCAAUCCUAGGGUUCUAACCUGCGAACUCGACGCCCACUCUGUCCCGUCCGCUGGCCGGCCGUCCUGCUCCGCCGCCGCCACCAGCGUAGCCGCCAGCUACACUGCUGCGGCCGCGGCUGCGGCCGUCCUGCUCCACCGCUACCUGCUCUGCCCGCCACCUUCCUGCGAUGCCACAGGUGGGGCGCCCGCCACCUACUCUACCCGUGGCGCGGCCUCCUUCCGUGCGCCCGGCCAGAGCGCUGAUAGGUGGGGGGCUCGUGGACCUGUUUGAAGUACGUUGGUGAAACCCAGGGCAAAAUCGCGAGCAGCGGCGACCCCGGAGUAUUUGGUGAGGCAGGCAUCAGGCUGGAGAUCCGCAACAUCCACGACUAGGUUCCUGAGGGGUAAGUCAUGCCUCCUCUUUGGAUUGAGCUUAGUUGUGCAUUUCAACAGUUCGAGUUGGUUUGCCCGGUUAGUGUGCUUUUUGCGUCUAUAUUUUUCAUCGGUUAGGAUGGAGUUGCGAUUUGCUUUCUUGGUGCACAUUGUAAGGGACCGGUACAUGUUGAAUGCAAAGAAUAAGAAGAAAUUCCAAGGAGGUUUUGAUGAUAUGUUGCCAAUGGCUUGUAAUUGGAGUUUCAGACAAUUUGGGGAGGUAAUUUGUAGCCAAUAUCCUUGGGGUUUGCUUGAUGAAGUGGAAUACAAAUACUAUGAUGGGGAAAAGAAAUGGGUGAGAGUUAGUAAUGAUGAAGAGCUGGCUAUCAUGUUUGCUAGGCAUAAAGAGAAAGAGAAUUUUCAUGUGAGGCUGCAAAUUGAUGUGCUUGAGCAGGGAUUUCGACCUAGGAUGGCGGGUGCAACAUCUCGGGGAGAACCAAGUCAUCGUAAUGGCAUCUCUAGCCAGAAUAGUUCAGUUAGUGCACGACGACGUGGUGGCUCGACAAGCGUGGGACCGGCAGUAGGGUCCCCCUUGAAGUGGAGCCUGAUGCCUACAAUUUUGGGGUUGAUGAAGAGAAGCUAUAUUCUGACGUUUUUCAGAAUUUACGACGGGCACCUCGGGCUGAAAACCAAGAUGAGGCUCACAAUGCAGUCCGUGUGGACGAUGACAUGGUGGGUGAGGAUGAAGACCUUGUAGUUGUUCAAUGAGACCCUUUGAACCCUCAUAUGGAAGAAGGUACCGUUUUUGAAUUCAUGACUGAGUGUAGAAAUGCACUUGUGACAUACUGCAUCAAGGUAGAACGUACUUUCAAAGUUGACAAGAGCGAUCAAGUACGUUACAGAGUGCACUGUCCAAGCUAUGGGCCAGAAGCCAAUUCAGUGAACUGAGCAAAGUUGACUAUGUGCAUAAUAAUCUAGGAGAGUCUUUCAACUCAACAAUAUGGAAACUAAAGGGUCAUUAUGUGGUUGAUUUUCUUGACAUGAUAAGGAUAGAAUACAUGCAUAAAUUUCAUUAUCGUGCAAGAAUAGCCGAUGCAAAAUUCCUGGUCCACAUUAUCAUCCCUGUCGUGAUGAAUGAACUGAAGCAGAAAACAACAGGCUUGGAAAUGAACAUGACUCUUUGCUCGGGUACCACAACAGAGAUAUCAUAUUUGGAUAAAGAGAAGAGGGAAUGUAGAUAUCUAGUGGAUUUCGAAGAUAGAACUUGCAGAGCUAGGCAAUGGCAGAUAACUGGGUUGCCAUGCAUUCAUGCCUUGUUUUUCAUCACUUCUCUCCCAAGUCCAGCAGGCAACAUACAACAGUAUGUGCAUGAUUACUACUCUGUUGCAAGGUUCAAAGCCACAUAUGUGUAUGCCUUGCCUGCUAUAGAGGGAAAAAACAAUGGGACAUGGUGGACCCUGGAUUCAAGCUUUGCGCUCUAGUUCUGAAGAGAGCAGCAAGUAGACCAAGGGAGAGUCGAAUCAGACCUCGCCGCGAAGGAUAUGGACUUGGAGCGAGGAAUUGUAAGUGCACAAGGUGUGGUGGGUCUGGUCAUUUCAGUAAUAUUGUGAUAACACAGUAGAUAGCGUUCGGAGAGAGUUUCGAUGAAGGCUUCGAUGAAAAUGUUGGUUAGCAGCCGGUUGCCUCAACAGAUGAUGAAAAUGAUGGUCAACAGCCGGUUUCAUCAAAUGAGGAUUUUCACGAGGUUCCAAAUGAUGAUGGUCAACAACCGCAUGAUUUUGAUGAUGAUCCAAAAUAUCCUCCAAAUGAUGAUUCAAGUGAGGCUCUAAAUGGUGAUCCAAGUGAGGCUCCAAAUGGUGAUCCAAAUGAGGCUCCAAAUGGUGACCAACCUUAUGUUGUUGUGAGUUCUGCUAGGUAUGUAAAUCUUGCAAAUACUACUGUACAUUUAUCACAUGACAUUAUCUCAUUACCCUUUAUGUUUUGCACAGCUCUACGGUAGGUUCGAAGAAGGCGUGCAAGGUAUCGACAACCAAGAAGAGAAGAGAAGAAGCAAUGGGCACAAGGUGUACAAGGAGCAAAGUGAUGGCAAGAAGCUCAAGGAACAAACAGAAGCCCCAACGCUAAUUAUGAAUACUUAUGAGACAUUAUGAAUAAUGUUAUAUUUCUAUUGAAUGAUGUUGGACUAUGUUAGAACUAUGUUUGAAUGAUGUUGGACCUAUGUUAGAACUUCAAAUUUGACAUGCUAUAUGGAUGUUGUAAUUCUUUGAAAACAUUGGUAAACUCACAUUCAUGAAAAAUGUGCUAAAAAAGAGCUCCAAAGGUAGGGUAAACGGCCUCAUUUCUAAGCAAGAUUUUUUGACCUUGUCUAAAUGCGCCAAAUAACUUCCGUACACAUAUAUUCUAUAUACACAAACUAUGUGCGCUGAUUUUUCCUUUUUUUGAUUUGCUCAUUUAAUUUCUAGUCAAACCUAACUUUGACCAAGAUUUAAACAAGUCUAAAACAUCAACAUGAAAAACUAAGCCUGGAUCCUUCUUAGUCACUCCAAAAUGAAGCUCGUCAUGUUUUAGUUUUGUCGUUUUUAUUUUGUUGCUUUUCUAUGUCGUGCUUGCCAUGUCGUGUCAUGUCGUGUCCUUGGACUUAUCUAUCUAUGUAGGGUACCCAUCUAUGUAAGGGUAUGAUGUGUUACAUCUUAUCAAUCCAAGUUAUUAUGUGUGUUCAAAAAUGUCUGCGGCCAAAGAUAUCAUUUCUUCUCUAAACCAAGUUAUGAACUAACAUGCACAUUUAUUCCCUUCAAAUCCUAAACCAAGUGCCACUCUAACCACAAUCAUGUGGCAAUGCAAACAUAUGUUUCCAACCCUCCAAAAGUUCUGUGAAAAACAAAGGAAAACCACUAUCACACGUGUGCAAACAUUCAGUACAAACAUGCGUUUUUAAACCCUAAACCAAGUCAGGUCUCACUAUGUAUAGCUUCCUUCCCAAGCCAUGUCAAAGUCUUUCCAUCUUCCCUAGCGGUUACCAGCGCAGCCCUAAACGCCACAAACCCAUGCGGUCCUGGGUUUGAGUCCCAGUCGCACAUAUUUUUUGUGCAUUUUCCACCCAUCAUUUUUUGGACAAAUUAUUUUUUUCUCAAUGUAAUGCCCUUCAAAAAUGUUCAUUAAUUUUGGCACCAGGUGUAAACCUCUACCACAGCUUUGGCACAUUUUCCAUGACAUUUUUGUCUUUGAUUUAAAUCACGAGGUAUUUGAAUUGGAGUAAUUAAAUUGUUUAAAUAUUUAACAGCUCCAAAAAAAUUCUAAACUUAAUUGUUUGGCUCUGGAAUAAUUAAAUUAGCUUCCAAAAAAAGUUUCAGCAUUAAAUAAAAUGAAUUACUGCCUAAAUUAAAUCAGAAUAGAAAAAGAAAAACAUGCAAGAGAUCUCAUUUUCCCACCCCGGAAUGGGCCUAAUUGGAUGCAGUUGGCCCAUUAGUCUAGCCUUCACUUGGCUCUCCGCUCUGAUUUGGCCCAUAGACGAACCUUUUUUGACAGAACGGCAGAGCAGAGAGCUGCAUUUCAUCGAUCAAAGUUUCUGAAUUUCUCAUUUCUUCUUCCUUUUUGCAACAUAUUUAAAUGUUGCUCAUUUCUUCUCUCUUUUUUCAACAUUUAAACAACUUUGACCAACAUUUAAACAAGGUGAAUUUCUCAUACAAUUUCAGGCUUACAAAUCCCUCCAUAAUUCAUGCCUUUCCAUACAAUUUCAACAUUACACCUAGUGUGAUUACCAUAGCUACAAAUGACCAAAAGUAAUUGCAAAUGAGUAUUUGUGCUUGAUCUUCAAACUUCCUAACUUUCUUAUUCAGCAUCCUAAGCUCAACAGCUAGCUCUCUAUCAGUGUGUGGUUCGCCCUCCAUCUCUUCUUCCGGAGCUCGUGCUGCGGCCACUACCAUUCGUGGCAGCAUGCGCAACCAUUCUUCAUGCUCUUCUUGUAGUUCAUUCAUCAGAGUCUUGGCCAGAGCAUCGACCCAAAGGAAGAAACAUUCCACCUACAUGAAUGCCAAACAGAUCAACCCAUUGCUCAAAGAUCCCGACCACGAAAAUGGUGCAAUUGCCCCGAUUCUUACCCCAUUCUCGCUGCACACGUAGAACAGACGAUUCCGGUUCCUUGAUGUGUGAGAAACCCUCCAAUCCACGGCCUCCCGACACCGCAGAUAGACGAAGAUAGGCAUCUCCACGCUCGCCAGGCUCUGCAUCCGCCAGGUGCCGCGGGAGCUUGAAGAAGACAUGGAGCUCAGAGCCGAAGGGGAUCUCAACGCGGCCGCACCCUCCACAUCUAUCUUCCCACCGCCGCUCUCUCUGUCUCCAUGGUCACCACCGUGCUCUAUCUCACCCGCUCUCUGUGUCGCCGUGGUCACCGCCGCUCUCUAUCGCCCGCUUAUAUAACACACCCGCAACAGCUCUCUGCUCAACGGCUCUUUGCUGGGUCCCACAAGCCACGCGUGCAACAGUCUGAUUGUCUAGCGCAUCUCUGCCGCCUGGUCCCACCUGUAAGAACCGAGUCAAAAGGUUGACCUGACGGAGACGACAGUUUUCAUGGAACGAGUUGGUGUGGACACACUAGGGGCAAAACUGGGCACAAUUCACAACUGAGGGCGAAACUAAGCAAAUGGACACCACUAAUGGCAAAAGGAUAAUUAACCCAAUUUUUUCUGACAUGCAUGAACAUUUUGCUAGUUAAAUUUAUGGUCAAAAAUUGGCACAAAUUACAAUGGGGACCAAUAAACCAAGACGAAGGUAGUACUUGCAAAAAAUCACCAUAAGUUUCUAUGGUAUUUUGAGUUCAUAGAUAUUGAUUUUCUGAAAAGUCAAAACAUGCACAAAAUGGUAACUGGCUCUGUGCACUUAAUUAAUAGGUUCAUCCGGGAAAAAUUGCUAUGAAAAGUAUUGAAAAGUGAUAUUAUAAUAUCAUGAAAUAAAAAAUUAUCGAUAUGUUUGAGAUAUAUUAGUGCCAUAAAAAUCUUACAGUCGAAUCGCACCAGUAACGUAUGCAAUUUGUCGUGGCUAAUGUACAUGUUUCUUUCGGGACGAAUCCAUAGUUUUCAUGUCAGCAUCCCACAAAACAGUGUUAUUCUUCUUCCUCUCCUCUCGUUAUCUCGACACCUUUAUCAUCGCCAUUGUUAGCUAGCCCCCUCGUGUUGUGGCAUUCCAUUUUGCAAUACAUACAAGAAGGCAUAAUUAAUAAAACUCACCGCAUCAUUGCAUUAACCAGUUAAAUCAAUAAACAUGUCUAUGCACAUGAGCAUUCAUAUUCAUAUAUUCAUGUGAAUUGGGUAUUUGUAUUGAAAUGGGUUAUUCAUGGUUGUUAUAUCAUCUUGGCGCAUUGCUUUGUAUGAAGGUGUUAAUACGUCCAAAAACAGUCAUGUCUUCUUCUACCUUUAUGAUGUCUAUUCAUGUCAUUUUCACCGGACAUUCAUAGGCGCACACACCUGCCCGGUUGGGCCUCACCGCACAAUUUCCUCCCGAUACACAAACUCGUUUGACUCCUCAUAGUUCCCUCCAUGGUUUUGGGUUUUAUCUUCUGAAACUUAGUGAAUUUAUCAUUCAUUCCUACCAUGUUUUAGCAUGUGUAACAUAGUGAAGUUGUAAAAACAUGGUAUAACAUAUUCAGAAGUGAUUUUAUUUCAAUGCCCUCAUCACUAGGACCCAAUAUGCAAAUGAAACAUAAAUUGCACUUUUGCUUCAAAAGAUAUAUAAUAUAUUCAAAUUGGAAGUCCAAAUAAAAAGCAUGAGUUGGGGUCGGUGCCCGCACAUGUGUGCCACUAUGUGUCUUUUUUAUUAGUUACAUUACUUUGUUUCCAAUUUUGCUGCCAGAUAUGACAAUUUAUAUCGUCUCCCUUUUGAGAAAAGUCAAAGAAUGACGACAAUAAAUAGAAAAGCCUAAAUAUAAAAGAAUAGGAAGACAAAGAAAUUCAUACAAAAUUACACUCAUGGGGUGUAGCAAGAAGGCACGAUAGGGCUUGUAGGGCCCACCACUACUAGGAAAAGGCAUACUAAUGGCGCACCGGUUUUUCCUACUAAUGGCGCACUACCGGUGCGCCAUUAGUAGCAUGCCAUUAGAAUUUUUUACUAAUGGCGCACCACUGGUGCGCCAUUAGUAUCUGGUAUACUAAUGGCGCACCAGCCAGUGCGCCAUUAGUAUGUAACACCAUGCGCCAUUAGUAUGCCUCCUGGGGGGCCAUAUGUAACCAUGUGCUUUGUCACACUAAUGGCGCACUCUGCCACGAUGCGCCAUCAGUAUCCUUUGGCAUACUAAUAGCGCACUCUGCCUUGAUGCGCCAUUAGUAUGAAUAUUUGUUUUUUUUUUAUUUUCUGAUUUUUGCACAGGUUACAAAAUAUAUUAUUGGACAGAAUAUAGACAGCAGCACACAGCAACAUCAGAUUCAUCGAAUACAAUAGAAGAUUAGUCUCCGAAUACAAUUCAUCAUAUUAGUCUCCAAAUUCAAAAGACCGAACAAAGAUAAAACAUUAUAAGUCUCAAGACCGCGAGUAUCGAGUUUGUCUUCACAUUACAAGUCGAUAUCGAUCAUCUAAACUACCAUCACAUAAAAGAGAGUUGUGGUCAUCACGAUGAGCAUCAUCGCGAUCAAACUGCUCCUCAUCCGGUUCCUCCAACGCUCCCUCCUCUCUCCCGCUAGAUAGCGGGCAUAUCUAGAUUCGGCCUCCGCCCUAGUGGUGUACCCUUUGUAACUGUUACCGCUGAAAUGGUGAACCUGUCUCUGACACUCCUCCCAGUCGUUGUAGACUCCGGGAACCUUACCCUUGUACACGACAUACGACGGCAUCUCUAUGCACAAGCCAAACAACAGAUAAUACAUAAGCAAUAUGUAAGUAUGCAACAAAAGGAUUGAAAGAGAAAAGCAAGACAUUAAUAGCACGAUUCAUGGUCCUACUAAUAAAUAGCAUCGAUUACAUCUAAGUUGAACGACUGUCCAAACCAAAGAGACAUACGAAUUCAUUAAAGUUUAAUUACAACAUGAGGUAAUCAAUGUUUCAGAACUACACAUCACUACUUUCGACUCGACUCAUCGGACAGGAGCGUGGAUGAAGCCGCCGUCUGUCGUGAUGGUCAUGAAAUUGCGGUCGUUGUCACCCUGCAUUUGUAGCGUUUCAUCUAUCUCACUGUUGGACGGUUGAUAUCUGACGAAGAACUGCCCCGAGGUAUGAAGGACAUCUUGAUGGAUGAUGUCCGCAAACUCCGACCGGAUGUGAAAGAAUUCUUGUCUGAGGUCCGCGUCCUGGACUGCCGACAACCUCGCGGCCCAAUCUUUGAGAUUAUCUGGUAGCAGAAGUUGAUGAUGGUCCCUUACGAUCACCCGCAUGUGAUGGAGGGUGCAGUAUGCAUCCUUCUGACCGCCAGGCGGCGGCUUGACACAGCAGAACUUCGUAUUGUGUGAGAACAUGUGCUUGCCGUACUUACGAACUGCCCUGGUGAAGGUGCCUCCAGAUUUGGCGUAGCCGGGGAAAACAUCAUCAAGAACUUUCUUGACAUUUGUGUAGUCUAUCUUGGAGUUACGGUUCGGGUCGAAAUACGUGGCCAUGGAAUAUUUCGGGCUUAAGAGGAUGAGUGUGCAAUGUGUGUCACUGCACAGAACACGGAAUGUUAGAAAAAAAGAACGAUCAAAAUCUAAGAAAUCAUAUGUUACGAGGCGGUUAAGGGAUGACUUACUCGGGAAAGUAAGCCACAAGGAAGUUAUCCUUAUCUGGGUUUGCCAGAAUGACGCCUUCGAGGUGUGAACUCGCAACUUGGCGGUCCCCAGCGCUGUUCAAGUGCUUGGCACGCAUGUAUAAGGGGUCGACUAUCACGAUGUCCGGGGUCUUGUCUCUAAUGAUCCGCAUCUCCAUACUCAGCGAAAACAACCGAACGAAGGUGUAGUGCAGCGGAUGAAGGUUAAACAUAGCAAAGAUGUCAUCAAACCGCAGGACGAUCGUACCCCCGAUGUCGCCAUCCGCAAAGCCCUUGCCCUCUGGCACCUUGGCCACGAAAACCGGGAAUGCCACAUCAUUCUCUCUCAGACGCCGCUUCUCCAAAGAAAGAACAUUGUCGUGCAGACUCCGCAUAGCACCGGUUGUAGCAUUUAGCAUAUUUGGCGGUAGCACCGCCCUACCCACCACAUGCACCCUCCUCGAGAUAUCCUUAGGUGAAGGUGGCCCGUCCUGAGCACGGAUCGAACUCGGUGCCGGCUGGCUCGCACCGGCGCCCUUGUUAGUCUUUCGUUUCCGUCCCUUCUUCUUGAUCUCCUGUAAUGGGACCGAGUUCUGCUCACAGACCGCUUUCUUGAGCGUGUUGGGGCUGAUAAUAUUUCGCACCUCAGCUAUCUGAGGCUCGGUGAAGGCGGGAGCUGGAGGCGUCUCCUGAGAACUGAACGGCAGACGACGCCUAUUGCAAUUGGAUUUCUCUGCCGUACCAGCUAGAUUGCGGUCGUCUUGGUUGGGUUCUUGAGAAAGAGGCCCGCAGAACUCGUCAGCGUACCCAUGUUCGGCAAAGUACUUAUCGACUUUGGUAAAUGUACCGUCGUCGUUGUCGUCGUCGUCCGGAUCCUGUGCCAUAGGGCUGUCCAGAUCCUAUGCCAUAGGGAUGUCUGACAUAGGGAUGUCCGGCAGGUCCGGCAGCGUUGCGGCGUUCUUGCCAUGGCUUGGCGCCGGCACGACUGGCGGUCUUGUUUGUGGGGUGGUGUCCCCCGCCCCCAAACGAAUCUGGCUCUUCGGCCAAAGCAGCGGCCAGUUUACACAGGCGCUGAGGGUCAUCUCAUCUUCUUCGUCGGCCCCAGCGGGUCGAACCGGAGGUAACAGCUCGUCGCAGCCUAGCAGCACCCGAACCACUUCAACCCUAUACACUAUGGGUGGCAUCGGAUUACCGUGGAACAUGCGAUUGCCCGGUUGAACGAUUCUUCCCUUGGCGACAUUGACGAACUCGGCGCCCACGAAGUGCAGAAGAGUGCAAGGAACGUCGGCGGUGCCCUGCGAAAACAUGUACAGGGCGUCAGGGAUGCCAGUCAAAGGCAAGGAGAUGAAGUCAUCGGCCGGGAGGUUUAGUUACCGUGAUGCCGUCGAGCUCGGCUAAUGUCGAGGCACCGCCAACGGCGGGCAUGCAACUGACGGAGGGGGAGCUUGCUGGCGAGGUGCCGGUCAGCGUACACCCGGGUGCAUUAAGCUCCAAUGCCCGUGCCGGCGCCGGAGACACGAAUACCGCCUCCGCCGAAGACACCAAUGGCGCCGCCGCCGGAGACACCAAUGGAGCCGCCGGAUACACCUAUGGCGCCGCCUGCGUGUUGUGCGAGUUGCUGGCCGUGAAGCUGGGAACCGGGGGAGGCCCCUGUUGGCCGCCCGCAAUCCACGUCGUCAGCCCAUGAAUCAACGUAGGCACCAUGGCGUUGAGCUUCGUUCCCAGUUGUUGUUCCACUUGCUCUUGGACAAGCUCCGGAAUCCGUGCCACUUGUGCCUUGAGUGCUUCAACCUCGCGCGUCUGGCUUUCCGAGCUGGCCUUUUUCUCCUUCCGCACACCACCGGUAUAGUAUGACCCCCAUUUUGUGGACAAGCCUUUGCCGGCCACACGACCAGCUGACGUCGGCUUAGUGAGCUUAUCCUUGCUUUUCAUUAUGUUCAACGCCCUAUUUAAAGGGCUGUCGAAAGGGGAGCUCUGAGACGACCCCGCGCUACUACUUUCAGUUUCCUGCGAAAGGAACGUGAACCAUUUAGAAAUAUUGGGGAUUAGUUAGAGUGCAACCAUAUGGAGCUAAUCACGCGGGGGUGUAUUCCUUACCAGAACAAGCUCAAGCGCCCUGCUCUUCGGAUCCGUGGUAAGCUCCUUUGUUAUCGGGUCCUCCUUGUACCGGGCCCUGACAUAGUUCCUGGUCUGCUUGUUACCGCUGUAUUUCUCGAAGAAGGGCGAUAGGCCUUGCUCGGCAUGCUCCGCGUCCUCCUUGACCCAUAUAGGCUCUGACACUCUGUAACCGCCGGGACCGAGUUUGUGUUCCACUAAGUUCAACUCCCGCAUUUCUUUCCCCCACUGACUUGAUUCGGUGGUUGCACUGCUCUCGCACUUUAUCUUGAACUCCUUGUAGUCAUCUUCGCUCAUCAAAGGAUAUUUCGCCUUGAUCUUCUCAUAACUAUCACCUUUAUCAAUCAUUCUCUUCACCGCGCUUCUCCAAGUAGAUAGGGCCGUGCUCAUCUUCGUGAGGGCGGCACUGUUCACUUUAUUCCCUGAGAGGCGUGUGUUUUGAAAUUCGGUGGGGAACUUGUAUCGUUCGUGCAGCUUCGUGAAGAGGAGGUUGCGCAAAUUCCCUCGGUCCUUAUGCCUAAGGUUCUCGGUGUUGAUCGAGACGGUGCUCCGGAGAAUGCACCCGACCUGAACCGAGUACCCCUUGACUAUAUGUUUGGGCUCCGUUGGAUUCCCGUCGGAGUCCACUUGAGUGAAUUCCUCCUUGAGGGUGCGGAGCGCAUUCGGGCGCCGGUCCUUCCUUUGCUUCUUCGGUUGGCUGCCAUCUGUGUGUGCGCCGCCAUCAUCAGUGCUGGCAUCCUCGGCGGCACCAUCAGUGGUGUCAUCCCCGACGCCACUAGGGGUUGUGUAAUCAGUAUCGGUGUCUUCCGCGACGUCCUCAUAGCGGUGAGGUUGUUCCUCCAUCUCCUGGGACAGCUCCCAGAAUUGCUUGCCGCCCGAACCGCCGGCCUCAUCGUUGUUGGCUAUGUUUCGCUUUAAAUAGGAAAACAGUUUGGUCAAAAAGUUGGUUAUUGUCAAGGAACAAGAUCAUGGUCUCAUCAUUUAGGGUUUGUCGACAGCGAGGCAUCCUAAAAGCUAAACUUUUAUCAUUUAGGGUUUGUCGACGCCAAGGCACCCUAAAAGCCUAAGCCGAGGCACCCUAGGUUGGGCCUAAUCACUUGGCACUAAUCACUUGGCUCUAUUGCCACCUAUGGUUUAAUGCAGCAAGAAUGGCGGGGCAUUUGAUCCUACUUAACUAAGUACUAAGAUACCCCGGACCAUGCAUUAGUCGCAAGUACCCCAUAUGUCCUAUUUUUAGCAAAGUCAUGCUAAAAUUUCAGCAUGACCUUUGCUGAAAAUAGGACAUAUGGAGUACCCGAAUUUGCCGGAACGGAAGUUAAUCAACAUUCCGGCAAACUCAAGGGCCUCUCGGGGUACCUGCAAAUUCAUCAUGACACGAUGGUCGGAGACAAAACCCAGCAAACUAGCAAGAUGAUCAUCAUCUUUGCAAGAUAAUAGCUCAAGGUUUUGACAGUAGCCUCUGAAGAAAACAACAUUGCAACAUUCAAGUUCACAGGAUAAAAAAAUCAUCCACAUUCACCAACCCACAUGAUGUUAAAACCCACAUGAGCUGUAAACAGACUUAAAAACCCCACAUGAUGUUAUAACUGUAUACACUGAACAUGAUGAUACCAAAUGGGAAGGAAAAUUGUAUCACUCUAGAUUAGUGUAGCCACUAUCUAACAAAACCAGGAUGUUAACAAAAUUACACCAUGAUGAUACCAAAUUCUUGUAGCAGUACAAUGAGUUCACAGGAUAAAAAAAUCAUCCACAUUCACCAACCCAAACUGGUGGAGAUACAGCAAACCAGAACCUCCCAGGUUUCUGCCAUUUUAUUUUUCCCACCGUAUAUGUUUUUUGAUUCAUGUCAUGGUACUUGCUGUCAAACCAAGUAUUUUCUUUCUACAUAAUCUAGGAAGUUUCCUUCUUACUGUCUCACUAUCUUAUUGUCUCACUACAAAAAACUAGUAUGCUUAGUUGAGACUAGUAUGCUUAGUUGCAUUAUGACAGACAAAAACUACAAAUAUUUGUGUUUUUAGUUGAGAAAUACAGCGACUGUGUGAUAGGCAAGGUUCAGCUGGCAAAGUGUCAUGAUUCAGACAACAGAGCAGGUAAGCAUAGCAAGUGGAUAGUUUAGUCAGUAUACUAGUACUCUUUAGAAAGCAUGAGACAUAUAUUACUUGGAGGAGACUUCGUCGGAGAGUUGCCUGUGCAUUGAAAAUACAACGAGAUCAGCAAAGGAUAGUAAGAUAUAUACUGAAAUUAUCAUAACAAAAUGCCAGCUACUGCCAUGGUCAAAGAAUAGAUUAUGAUAGCUGGACAAGUACAGGUCAAACUAGAUAAUUUUCAGAACCGGUUUAACCACCGCAGGAUAAAACAAUGCAUCCAAGACUGAGCUUAGACGAAUAUCCUCAUAGCAUAAUCUGACAUCAAGCAAAUAUUAUAAGAACAGUGAAAAUGUAUGUUCAUUGCAAAUGAAUAUGGACCAAGUAUCCUCUAAAAUGCAUCUAAAUGCAAGCUCAGAGAUUUGAACAUUUGGAAAAUCCUAGCUACUUAAUUCUCCAACCCCCUUUCCUUGUCCAAAUUUCUCCAACCCCCAACCCUAGAACACAUCAGAAGGAAAUAAAGAGGGGGAAGAGGGGGGAAGUGGCUCGGGUGCUCACUUGGGAGGUCGAGGGCGACUCGGGACAGCCGGAGCUAGUCGAGGCGGUGCGAAUUCGGUGUCGAGCGUUGGCGCUCCUCCUGGUCAGGCCGCACGGUCGAGGGCGUCGAGCAGUGGCGGUCCUCCUGGGCGUCCAAGCUCGUCCGGGUCCCCGUAGUCGAAGAGGAAGAAGGUGGCGGUCCUCCUGGGCAGGCCGCGCGGUGUUGGACGGCGAGCACAUCGAGGGCGCAGGCGGGGCCACGGGGGGAGGGGGCGCUUGGGCAGGAGGACGUCGAGGGAGGCGGCACUCGGCUCGGGGACGGCGAGGGAGGCGGCGAGGGAGGCGGCACUGGGCUCGGGGAUGGCGAAGGAGGCGAGGGGGCGGCAAGGGGGACGGCGAACACGGGGGGCAGCGGGUGAGAUCGAUGAGGCAGGGGAGAGAUUGGGGAUUUAGUGUGGGGGGAAGCUUUCUAAUGGCGCACCACCCCCUCGUGCGCCAUAAGUACGGCUAUUCUAAUGGCGCACCACACCUCGGUGCGCCAUUAGAAUUUUGUUUUAAUCUAGCCCACUAGCCCUAUCUACAACCUAGCCCUAUCUACAACAGAACCCACCCACUAGCCGGACUGGUCAGCACGCAGCACACACACCAGGAGGUCCUGGGUUCGAUUCCUAGGCUCCCCAAUAUUUUUUUAUGCAUUUUAAGUGCUGUUUUUUAUAUUUAUUUGUGUUUAAAUAUGUCCUCCUGGAAUCGAGAUCGAGAUGGAGGGGGAUCGAGAUCAAGUGUCCUCAUGAUUUCAAAAAGUGCCCAUGAAAUUUAAAAAUAUUCAUGAUAUCAAAAAGUGCCCAUGAAAUACAAUCGAGAAAUGAAGACUACGAUUUAAAUACAAUCGAUCUUAGCUAUCUAUCUGUUCACAAUCUUCCUGCCCUUCUUUUUCGCAAAUGGAGUUCUUCUGUGGAACGGACGUCCUUUAGGUAGGGUGGUCCUGCUUCUUCUUGUGGUGUGUGCUGCUACUUCAUCGUCGUCGUCAUGUUCGAUCUUCGGGUCGCUGUACUUGUCGAAGGCUUGCUCAUUGGCUACUCCAUCCAUUCCGAUGAUCUUCCUUUUGCCUCUCCUCACGAGAACACGACUGGGCUUUGGCGGGUCGGUAAUGAAGAAGCAUUGGUCCACUUGGGAAGCCAGUACCCAUGGCUCAUUUUUCGCGGUGACGUUUGCGCCCGCGGUCUUGGAUUUGGCUUCUGGUAUAACCAUGGUGGUGAAAUAUCAGUCUUCUUUUAGGACUCUCUUGGCCCAUUUGACACGGAACAUUGGCACCUUCUCUCCAGCGUAGCUCAGCUCCCAGAUCUCCUCGAUCCUUCCGUAGUAUCUGUCCUUGUCCUUACCGGUGUAGGAUUCCAUCGUUACCCCGGAGUUCUGAUAAACAUCGCUCUUCAUGUCGUUGUCCUCAGUGUAGAAUGUGUAGCCGUUGAUAUCGUACGCCUCAUAGGUCAUUAGGUUGUGCUCGGCGCCCUGUGACAAGGAGAAUAUGAGUUGUUAUUCCGCGGAAGAAUCCUCAUGUAAAGGGUACGACAGAAGCUUCUGCUUGAACCAACGCGUGAAACAUGAGUUGUGCUCUUUGAGUAUAUCUUCGUCCGUCCUCAGUUGGCCACGGUCAUUGUACGUCUUCUCAAUAAAGGUUUUGUGCUCUACCACCCAAGGAUCGACCACAUCUAUGUGUUGUAGCGCGACUAGGUUUGCUCUUUCAAAGUCGGCGAGUCGACCCUCGAAGUCGACAUGCAUUUCGCAGCGACCCUCACGGUGACCCCAUCCAGCGAGCCUGCCGAGGUGCCUGUUGACGGGCAGACCAACGGGGUUCUCGAUGCCUAGAUAAUUCGUGCAGUAGGAGAUGCACUCUUCGGUCAGAAAGCCCCUGGCUAUACUUCCCUCUGGACGUGACAUGUUUCGAACGUAUCCUUUGAUGACACCAUUCAUCCUUUCGAACGGCAUCAUGCUAUGCAGGAACAUCGGCCCGAGUUGGAUGAUAUCCUCCACGAUAUGGACCAGCAGAUGCACCAUAACAUCGAAGAAUGCGGACGGGAAGUACAUCUCAAGCUCGCAUAGUAUCACCACGAUCUCUUCCUGUAGCCCUCUGAGUUGCCUCACGCCAAUCGACUUCCGAGAGAUGACGUCGAAAAAGUUGCAUAGGCCAAAUAGCAUUUCACGGACGUGCGCGUCCAUGAUCCCACGGAUUGCAACUGGAAGUAUCUGCGUCAUCAGCACGUGACAGUCGUGAGACUUCAUCCCGUUGAACUUCUGCUUCGCUGGGUCUAGGUAUCUGCUUAUCUUCCCCACGUAAUCGUAAGGAAGUUUUACUCCUAGGAGGCAGGUGAAAAACUGUUCGAUCUCCUCCUGACUUAGAGUGAAGCACGCGGGAGGGCAGUCAUUUCUGGUCUUCUUGGCCCUUUUACCUUUGCGAUGACUUUUUGUGUCCUGCUUCGCCUCAUCAUCAUCAUCAUCAUCAUCAUCAUUAGCGUGAAGCUCCUGCCUGAUGCCCAUUGAUUUCAAGUCUGCCCUUGCUUUUGGCCCAUCUUUGGUCCUCUUUGGCAUGUUGAGCAGGGUACCAAGCAGACUCUCGCACACGUUCUUCGUGAUAUGCAUGACAUCAAGGCUGUGAGGCACACGGUGGAUCUUCCAGUACGGCAAGUCCCAGAAUACAGACCUCGUUUUCCAUACCUUCAGCAGCGGCUCUGGCGCCUUUCGCUUCUUUCCCGGCUCUGGCGCCUUUUGCUUCUUUCCCGGCAAUGGGCAGUCUUUCCAAUUUUUCAAUAGCUCAUCUAUUUCCUCGCCGCUCCUCGUACACGGGAUUUUUCGGAGUUCGGUUUCACCAUCGAACAGAUCCUUGCGUUUCCUCCACGGGUCAUCGUCGUGAAGCCACCUUCGAUGUCCCAUGAAAACGGUUUUUGAAGACCCGGGAUCUCUAUCUAGCUGGCGAUACGUUGUGUCAUCCAUGCACCUUACGCAUCCAGAAAAUCCGUGGACUACCUGCCCCGCGAGAUAUCCGUAACCAAGAUAGUCGUGCACCGUCGUGAGUAGUGCGGCUCUCAUAGGGAAAUAUUCUUUCUCUGUGGCGUCCCACGUAUUGGCUGGCGUUUUCCACAGCGUGUCUAGCUCCUCCUUCAGCAGCCCCAGAUACAGAUUGAUGUCGUUCCCUGGUUGUUUCGGCCCUUCAAUUAGCAUACUCAUGUGAAUGUACUUCCUCUUCAUGCACAACCAAGGGGGAAGGUUGUACAUCCACACAAACACAGGCCAGGUGCUAUGUGUGCUUCUCUGGCUGCCAAACGGAUUGACUCCAUCGGUGCUCGCGCCCAACACGAUGUUCCUUGGAUCCUUCCCAAAUUCUGAGUAUUCGAAGUUCAACGCUUGCCACUGGCUCGCAUCCUUAGGGUGACUCAGCAUCUUGUCUUUUUUAUUUAUCUAUGGAUAAUUUCCGUCAUCUUCCCGCUUCUUCUCCUCUCUAUCCGGGUGCCAGCGCAGGAGCUUUGCUACCUUAGGGUCCGCGAAAUACCGCCGCAGACGAGGAGUGAUCGGAAAGUACCACACCGAUUUUCGAGGAGCUUUCUUCCUCUUCUUGUAUCGAGUGACGCCGCACACCGGACAUAUGGUAGACUCCGCGUGCUCGUCCCGAUAAAUGAUGCAAUUGUUCAUGCACACAUGGUAUUUCACGUGCGGUAAAUCCAAAGGACACACGAUUUUCUUCACCUCCUCGAAACUGGUCGGGGACUUGUUCCCCUUAGGAAGACGUUCGUGCCAGAAUGACAUGUUCUCGUCGAAGCAUGCGUCGGUCAUUUUGUGUUUUACCUUCAUCUCCAGAGCCAUGAGCGUUACUUUCAGGCGGGUAUCCUCGGGCCUGCAUCCUUCAUACAAUGGAGUAACCACGUCUAUCUCCGGUUGAUCCAGCUUGGCUUUCUCUCGGGCGGCAGCUCUUGCGUUAUCCGUCUGCUUGCGAAGCAGCUCUUGAAUAUGAGGGUCCUGCACCCAGCCUCCAUCGUCGUCUGCUCCGGCAUCUUCAUCUUCAUGAUCAUGCCCUUCGUCUUGAUCUUCCUCAUCAUCAUGUACGACAUCUUCUACAUGAUGAUUAUGUACAUCAUCACCGUCGCGAUCAUGUCCUGGAGAUUCUUCGUCUUCUCGCCCGCCCUCGCCGCAGUGGUUGUCUUGUUGCCCUUCCUCAUUUCUUGCCCGGCCUCCAUGGACGACUUCAUAGUCAUCUUCAUCACCUUGCCACCGAUAGCCAUCCAUGAAACCACGCAAGAGCAGGUGGUCCCGCACCUGCCCGGAAUCCGGGUCCGCAAUAAGGCUCUUCAGCUUGCAUCUUCGACACGGACAUCUUAUCUCCGUCUCGUUCUUUUGAAGCAUCUCGGCCUUCGCGGAGCUCAAAAACCUAUUCACGAUGCCUUCGGUCAUUGUGCGGACCAUGGUCGCCUGCGGGGUAGAGCAAAACGAUAUUUUAGAACCAAGAAAUUUUUUGGCAUGACCUUCCCUAAAAAUAGGACCAAAAAGAAUGCAUAGUGCCAAAAUUCUCGCCAAAACGGAAAUGAAUCAACAUUCCGGCAAAAUAUUGGCAAACACAAACAUAUAUGCAACACCACAAACACAAGCAACACCACAAACAUACAUAGAUCUAGCUAGGACACAAAAAGUGCAUGUGCACGUUGUUGGAGCGAGCUAGGGAGAAAAAAAGUAGAUCUACAUCAUGAAGAUAGCUUUCCCCUUACUUACCUAUCAAAAAAAGGUGAUGUCACCACUUAAUUUUGAUGAAUCUAUGGUGGAAAUGAGGUGAGGAGGAGGAGGCAGCCGAGACAAGUUUGGAGGAGGAGGUGGAGAGAAUGAAGUGGGGAAAGUGAGUGGGUAGGUGGGCUGUCCAAAAUAUCUUGUUCGUCCCAGGUUACUAAUGGCGCACCACCACAGAAUGCGCCAUUAGUAACCCUGGUUACUAAUGGCGCACCGGCAGGUGGUGCGCCAUUAGUACUUUUUGCAGAAAAGUAAAAAAAAACAUAUGUAUACUAAUGGCGCACUAUGGAAAAGUGCGUCAUUACUAGUUUAAACUAGUAAUGGCGCACUUUGGCACAGUGCGCCAUUAGUAGGUUUGCAAAAAAGUAAAAAAAAUAUAUACUAAUGGCGCACUGUCUUGGUCGUGCGCCAUUACUAGUUCUAACUAGUAAUGGUGCACUUUGCCCUCCAUGCGCCAUUAGUUUGUAUGGAAAAAUGGGAAAAAAAUCAAUAGUAGUGGCGCACCGUGAGCACGGUGCGCCAUUAGUGUGGAGUGUCUUCCACACUAAUGGCACACGAGCAACCGCUGUGCCAUUAGUAUAUAGUAGUGGUGCGCCAUUAGAAUCAGUCCUAUCUAUAGCCCUUUUCCUAGUAGUGCACCAGUCGCUCCACCCCUCUCAUCCAACCAUUAUCGUCACAAUUUUGACCCUAGAUAGCAUCCGUCAUAAGAAUUUAAUUUAUGGGUGUAUUUAUAGAGGAAUGGAGGAGGACGAGCCACCGACAAAGAAAAAUUAUUCGGGGCCAAAAUACUUCCCAACUCUCUUCUCCACAAAAUCCAUGAUAGAUUGCCAAGGAUUGGUUUGUACCCAUGGUAAUGGAUCCAAUCUACAUAUCCUCCAUGAUGAUCCCAUAAUGUGUGAGUAGUAUAUCAAUGCUAUAGAGGUUAUGUAGUAGUAGAUAUGUCAAUUCAUCCCUCAUUUUCGUGGACCUAGGAUGGUUUUGUGAUUUCACUAAAGUAGUAUAUAUCUUAAUUUGUACUAACAAGGUGUGUAAUGAUGAUAGUUACAUCUUGGUCCUAUCAUCGGUUGGUAUACACUUUACAAAUACAUUCGACGAGUGUCCAUUAAUUGCUCCGUCGUGCUCUGGGAUGUUAUAUUAUGUGCAUGUAUUAAUGUAUUGGCAUUGGCAUCGGGUUUCGUGGACUUGGUUGUCCCCUCAUUUCUUGUAAUCCGUGAAAGCCCAAAGAUGAACACGGUUGUGUUAAAAAAGCUAUGCAAUCUUUCCUUUUGCGGUUAUCACUAGUAGUACAUGCCAAAAUCUUUGUUGGUUAGCCAACACCAUAAAGAGCAUAGGAGAGAGAGAGAGAGGACUUCAUUUAUUGGAGUAUUUAUAGAGGAAGGGACGAGGACGAUCCACCGACAAAGAAAAAUAAUUCUUCAAGGCAAAAAUACCGCCCAACUCUCUUCUCCAUUGAAAUCCACGAUAAAUUGCCAAGGAUUGAUUUGUACCCAUGGUAAUGGAUCCAAUCCACAGAACCUCCACAGUUAUUCGAUAAUGUGUGAGUAGUCCAUCGAGGCUAUGGUGGUUGUGUGGUAGUAAUAGAUAUAUCAAUUUCCCCCUCAUUUGCUUAUUACUAGAAUGAUUUUGUGGCUUCAUUGUAGUACCAUUAUGGGUAUGAUGUGGAUCUAUCUUAAUUUGUUCGAAUAGGGAUGUAUAAUAAUGAUAGUUACAUCUUCAUCCUAUCAUUGAGUGGUAUACGCUUUACAAAUACAUUGUAUGAGCGUCCAUCAAUGGCUCCGUCAUGCGCUAAUCUCGGAUGUUAUAUGAUGUACAUGUAUUAAUGUAUUUGCACUGGCAUAGGGUUACAUGGACUUGGUUGGCCCCUCAUUUUUUUAAUCCGUGAAAGCCCAAAGAUGAACACAGUUGUGCGACAAAAGCUAUGCAAUUGAUCCUUUUGUGCUUAUCAUUAGUAGUACAUGCCAGCAUCUUUGCUGGUUAGCGAACACCAUCAAGAGCAUAUGGGAGAGAGAGAGAGAGAGAGAGAGAACUCGCGAAACAGUUGAACUCCUUGUUGCUUAUGUGUUAAGUGAUAAUGCUGCUCUUUACUUUACAUGACAGCCCAUGUUUGUAUAAGUCGGUUAAUUGAGAAACGGACAGCUGAAUCUUUUCCUUGCACACCCACUUUUUAUUUAGCCUGUUUAGGUCAAAAGAAGAAAUGUCAACCGACACUUACAUGUGUUCAACACUCAUUGUCACUGUAUUUUCCAAACAAUAAUAGUCUGGAGCAGGCGUACGUGUCGGUCAUCCGGAUUGCGCACAUGAGAAGGGAUUUACCCAGGUUUAGGCCCUCGGUUUGAGGUAAUACCCUACUUCCUUCUUUUCUAGAAUUAUUUAUAUAACCAUAUAUGAGAACUAUGUUUUGUUUCUACAAAGUGGUUCUAUCGGUAGACCGUAUGUGGUGUACCCUGCCACACCUUAUAUGCUUGGUCCCUUCUCAGCCUCUUCAGGUAUAAUAAGUCUUCCAAGCCGAUGCAUGGCGAUAAAUGACUUGCAUGUUAUGUGUGGGCCUAACUUGCUCUGCCAUAGAUGAAACCAUCAAGCAACACCCAUGAGAGCGAGGCACAUGCACACACUAUGAAGCCCAUUUUGCCUAUUCCCAAGCCCCUUGCAUGUUACGAUCGCCAUCAUCAUCUCUGAUCUUGGGACUUGGCAUUGCAGUCACACAUACGAGAAAGUCCAAUCCUAGUUGAUAAUUAAUUAUUUCAGUAUAUUUUUAUUUUGUUCUAUCACAUUUGAUUACAUUUUUACAACUAUCAUGAAGGCACUCUCCCCUAUUUGGCGGUGGUACUACCAUAUAAGAUUGACUAUUAGAUUAGGAUGGAUGGGUGGCUCACAUCAAUUUUGAGGUACUGUAAAAGAGCUUGGUUCACAUGGAGUAAUUAGAAUCAACCAAAAAUAUGUUAAAAUUCCUCCAAACCAAAGAGAACCUAACAUGACAAUGACAUGCAAGAUACUCAAGGGAGGACUUUUCUUCCUGGUUGAAGAGUCUUUGCCUACUCAAACUAUUUUUAUACCCUAAUUAAAAUGUGAGUAUUUCACAUGACUUUGAUAGGACAAUAGAAGCCAAAACGAAGGAAUACAAGUCUUCUGUUUUCUUUCAAGAUUGUCAUUUGCAAAUACAUAAAUUAUUUUUGCCAUGUGCAAAUAUGCAAUGACAUUAUAGCUGUUUCGAAAUUCUGUGUUAAUUUCCUGUACUGUAGCCUUGUCAAACUUGUACUUUUCAGCUUGUUACCAUAUGGCAGGUAGUAAACGGGAGAGGAUUUGCAGCAUGGAGGCACGGGGCACUGAGUCCCUUGUGUGUGAUUUUUCUUUUGGCUUUUCAUUUUCAAACUUAAAUCUUUUGAAUAAAAAGUUCAAAUUAAGUUCUAUUUUCAUAUUCGUGUUUCUUGGGUUGAGGGCUUGCAAAUAAGAUCCGUUUUGAAUAUGUUUGACAAAUUUUAAAAAUAAAUGUUAAGUUUCAGCUCUUGAAACAUAGUACGUGCGACCGAUAAAAUCUCGAUUUUUUUGCCUACGACCCAGAAAAAUAUGCUUUCAGUUUUAUCUAUGGAACUUGACAAAAGCGAGAGUGAAAAUCACAAUUAUCAUAUAAAAAAUUGUAAGUUUCAACAAUUAAAACUUAAAACUUACUAUGCACUCGUGCGGGAUCCAACUACUUCGCCAAUCGCGAGGCAAUUGAGCUGUCGGGCAGGGCUGGGCAGCUGUGUGCACGUGCGAAUUUCCGGUACUUAGUCUACAUGACCAGGAAGGAUAUACAACUGCAGGGUAGCGGGGGACAAAAGGAAAAAAACGAAGUAGCACAAAAGGCUCGAUCUAAAUAUGAGAGUGGUCGGGCUCGUUUUCUGCUCGGCCACGAUCGCCUUUGUAAGUGGAGCAGUAUCAGAGUGAUUGAGCAUCCAUUCAAAACAAAUGGAAACCAUGUAUGGCUAUGGCUGCAUGCAUCGUAUUUUCCCUCAAGAGUGGAAAGCGCCAAAUGGGAAGUUGACUGCAAGUUCGGUACGUUCUUAGAUGUACGUUGCUUUCUCGAUGAAGGUCGCAUAUCUCAAGUCGCAGUCGUGGGCGUUAACGAUCAAAUGCGCGUGCAUGCAACUUGCUCAAUGGUUGCUUAGGACUAGCUAGGGUCAGGGCACGAAUCAUUUGCAUUUCUUUGGUACUCCUAUCGCGACACACGAACCAUAUGUGCGAAACCGGUUGGUGAAAUGGCGAUACGGUGUGCGUGUGACCCUUGUGACUUAUUUGUGUACCUGUAGACCUUCGUGUGUGUGUGUGUGGUCUUGUUUGGAACCUUGUUGGAUGCUUGGUUUGGGCGGUUGCUUUAUAAUAUAAAACGGGGCGAAAUCCUUUUUUGAUAAAUGGCGAUACGGUCAUCGGUGCUUUUGUCAUGAGAAGACCAUGUUUCAUUUACACCAACGAUCUAUCAAAAAAUAUUAGCAGCAGUGGCAAAGAGGUUGGGUUGUAAUCCGUUCACUGAUUCUUAACGCUUUCCAUAUGCUUUUUCAAAAUGUGUUUUACACGGAUGGUAUCAUCGUGAAGCAAUAUGUGAUAGUGGAUGUCCAGAAAAGAUCCAUUUCCAGCCCGAUGCUAAAACGGUUCGGUCGGGCAGCCUCUCCUAGCUUGCUAGUUUUCUCGAGUCGCUAAUGACGAUUGACCAUUCAAUCACCACUGACUGAUCAACUUGCAUGUCGACGGAACCCCUUUUCAGUUUAACACAUGAUCUAGGAGACGCCUAGCUGAGCUUUCACAAACGAGGUUGAGUUACACAUGCAAGAGCGUCCGUACGAAUUCAGUGGGGGUGACGAACAGCAUUGGAGAUGUGUCGAUCUCGCGCAUGAAUUGAUCAUCAGAAAACGAAUCAAUUGUAUCUUUUUUGUUUGUCGGGGAACUAACAAAUGAUCUUGAGGGUCACCUUUGCGCUUGUGCAUAUCUUAGGCAAACUGAUAAUUCGCACAUGUGCUUGCCCGGAGUAACUGGUACCAUGCCUUUGCCCCCGCAGUGAUGUAUCACUCCAGUAUAACAUUGAAAAUGCACGCACUGCAUGCAAACGGAAGCUAGCUGCUCGUCGCUCCGACUGCUUUCUGCCAACCUCUGAGUCAAUCCGAUCCAUGAACCGUUGGCUGCUUGCCCAACUAACCGUGGCCAACAAAGGUUCAAAAAGUAAAAAAAAAAAACGUGCCUAACUACUUCAGCACAUCAUCUCUGGGCCACAGGCUGGAGGAUGCUCGUCAGUUCGUUCAUAUAUUCACGCUCCCUGACUGUGCAGUGCUCCACGGCCUUGCAGUAGUCCUGCACUUGCCGAUUCAUAUGCGACAGAGUUGCCCAUUUGGCAUAAUUCUUGGGCAUGACCAUCCAGUUCACCGAAUUCGGCACUACUACUUGUAGCUCGCCGCAGGUCCUCAUCAUCCUGCUCCGCUCAUGACUCUGCAGAUGCACGCACCGAGGAGUGUGCAUGGUGGAUGGCAAGCAAAGGAGUGGGAACUCGGGUGGUGUCGGAUAAAAUUCGCAUGUAAAUAAACAUUGUAAACGUGGCCUCAGGGAGCUUCAUCCCCUUUCUUCUAUAAUGAAUAUUACGCACACUCGUGCGUAUUCGAAAAAAAGGACCAAUGGAAAAGCUAUCUCAAUGAAUGACACACUCACAUGAUCAAAUGUCACAAGGCAUACAAAAUUCUUGAUGCGGUAUUUGACAUGCACAUUUUUUGUUUUUUGCUUGUCUCUUUAUUUGGCCACUACUUGAACCGUUCGGCUACAAAUAGGAAGAGAUAAAGACAUGAGGUGGACCGAGCGUCAUGAAAAUGCCAUCCCAAAGCCACUCACUCCACGAUCCCCACAUUGCUGCCGCAGUUGCUAGGUCUCGUGCCAUCUCACGUAGCAACCAGAACACUCUGCCGAAAGAAAUAAACAAGCUAGCGGCCAAGUCGUGUACAUACACACACAUCAUGGCGCGUUAUUUGCUAGCCCAGGAAUAAAGCGAAACUAGGGUGCAUGUGACGUUGGCUAACACGGAAGACGGUAUGCUUAGUUGCGGGUAUAUAGGGGCCACAUGCCAUUUUGGUGGAGACCCUCUUUAUGAGGCACACGUUGAAUUUCUUCCUUGAGCCUCAUAUUCUCGGUACAUAGGCAUUCGCACUCCGAGGUAUCCUUAGUUUGUAGCAUCACCUGCACAUUUGAGGCAUGUCUUGUUUUGCACAACCCGCUUGAUGGCUUUGUUUUCAUCUUUUAGCUUCUGGUUCUCUCCCUGAAGAUUCUUUGUCUCCCGUAGUUGCAUCCUGCCCUGCAUUUAUUAAUUUCAGGUAUGUGUCAUUUUAGUGGUUAGCAAAGUAUGCUACCAUGUUCAUGAAGGGAGUAUCGUAGUACAUUGUAAUAUCAGGAUGACGAACAAUGCUACUGUGUUCUGUGGAGUUUCUACUGUUUAACAGUAAAGCUUGCAUAACUGCAUGUCUUAGUGACCCAUGCGGCCAAAUCUCAUGUACUUCACCGUGGAAAAGAAUUGAAUAUAUAUACCAUGUUGGAGGUAUGUUUGUUUUGGAACCAGAAUUUGACCUGCAGGGCACUCAUGCCAAGCCUCUCGCCAUGGUGUUUCCGGAGUUUCGCAUCUGGAUAAGGGCAUUCCCGGAACACACUACAUAUUACGUUAACGAAAAUGGAUUAGUACACAUCAUCUUCGAUAGGUAAGAAACAUUGAUUGAGUAUGUAUUGUACACUUCAAGUCGAUGGAUUUGUUCUCCGCGGAGACGGUGAUAAUUGGCACGCCUUGUCACCAUUCUCUACUCAUUAUGAGUCACUCCAUCGUUGUUGUUACCUUGGUCUGCAGCAACAGCGUGCGCAUCAUCAGGGUUGCACACGUUGUUAGUGGCUCCAACGAGGCCACACAUCUCAUCUACAUGAUUGUACUGGAAUAGGUGGUUGUAUUCGUUCAUCAUGAAGAUGUGAAGCUCAUUUUGCAUAACACUGUUGUAUUACGGCCACUCCCCGUCCAUGGUGAUCUGUUAUCAUCAUGAAACAUAAUCUUUAUUCUCCUAUGUAGAGUUAAAGGUAGCAGUGAACAAAUAUUUUAAGAAAAAACAAUGUAGCAGUGAAAAACGAAACCGCAUGGAAGUAAAUGCCAUCGAACACUCUAAGGCUUAAAGUACAUACAAGUUUAAAUUGCCAACAUAGUUGGAUGUUACUCCACUUUAAGAAUACUUGAAAUUCAUCCGUAUGAGUUUCCUAGACCGAUGUGUAAUCAAAUAGACUUUAAUUACUCUCUAUAAAUAUAUUGACAUACUUUCCUGACUUCAGUGUAAGAUAUUCAUGAUCAUCUGUGGCUGAUUACUUCAAUAAUUUCCAAACAUAUAUGCCCUAGCUAUAUAGUGAUGCAAAACUUUUACUUGCCCAUCUCAUCGGGUUCUUUUAUAUUUAUCUCAAGAACUAUACUCUAUCUAUAUAUACAUUGGGAUCUAUCUCUCUGAUUCCAUAUGUGUGAUAUAUUUAAAUAAGGCCUCUUUGUGCAGGUCUGGAAGGCUCGGAACGACGCUACCUUCAACAACGCCGGGCGCCACGCCGGCAACAUACUCACUAAGGAGGAGGAUGACCUCCUCCUCUGGAGACGCCUUUUGAUGGAUCGGAUACCGUCGAUCCAUGUUUUCUUUCUGUCGGCAGUUUAGCUGCCCCCCCUCCCACCAUCUCUCUCUCUCUCUCGUUGUGUUUGUUGUUUCUCUUAUCUUGCUGUUUUUUAUCCUUUAGAUGAAAAACUUUGUAGGACUGCCCAGUCGCUUCAAGAAAUAUAACAACCGGUGGGGUUUUGUGCCCCCCGUCAUUCUAAAAAAAGGCCUUACAUACAAUAAAAUAAGUACCAACUACUCCUACAAAUUAUAGAAGCAAGAUAUUAAAAUAUACUAUGCGAGGGAAAUCAUAUUAGCCAUAAAUAGUAGAAUCAUAGGCACGAUAAUACAAUCAGAUCUAUGAAUAUAUGCAAUAAAAUCUAUGAAUAUAUAAAUGUUGGGGAACGUAGCAGAAAUUCAAAAUUUUCCUACGUGUCACCAAGAUCUAUCUAUGGAGAAACCAGCAACGAGGGGAAGGAGAGUGCAUCUACAUACCCUUGUAGAUCGCUAAGCGGAAGCGUUCAAGAGAACGGGGUUGAAGGAGUCGUACUCGUCGUGAUCCAAAUCACCGGAGAUCCUAGUGCCGAACGGACGGCACCUCCGCGUUCAACACACGUACAGCCCGGUGAUGUCUCCCAUGCCUUGAUCCAGCAAGGUGAGAGGGAGAGGUUGAGGAACACUCCAUCCAACAGCAGCACAACGGCGUGGUGGUGAUGGAGGAGCGUGGUAGUCCAGCAGGGCUUCGCCAAGCACCACGGGAGAGGAGGAGUAAGAGAGGUAGGGCUGCGCCAAGAAGGAGAGGUUCUCGCGUCUCUGGCAGCCCCAAAACCCCACUAUUUAUAGGGGAAGGGGAGGGGGCUGCGCCCCCUCUAGGGUUCCCUCCCCAGGGGUGGCGGCAGCCCCCAGAUGCCAUCUGGUGGCGGCCAAAAGGGGGGAGAGGGCAGGCGCACCUGGAGUGGGCCUUAGGGCCCAUCUGCCCUAGGGUUUGCCCCCUCCCACCCUUCCCUGCGCCUUGGGCCCUGUGGGAGGGGGCGCACCAGACCAUCUGGGGCUGGUCCCCUCCCACACUUGGCCCAUGCAGCCCUCCAGGGAUGGUGGCCCCACUUGGUGGACCCCCGGGACCCUCCCGGUGGUCCCGGUACGUUACCCGAAAAACCCGAAACUUUUCCGGUGACCAAAACAGGACUUCCCAUAUAUAAAUCUUUACCUCCGGACCAUUCCGGAACUCCUCGUGACGUCUGGGAUCUCAUCCGGGACUCCGAACAACAUUCGAUAACGACAUACAAACUUCCUUUAUAACUCUAGCGUCAUCGAACCUUAAGUGUGUAGACCCUACGGGUUCGGGAACCAUGCAGACAUGACCGAGACGUUCUCCGGUCAAUAACCAACAACGGGAUCUGGAUACCCAUGUUGGCUCCCACAUGUUCCACGAUGAUCUCAUCGGAUGAACUACGAUGUCAAGGACUCAAUCAAUCCCGUAUACAAUUCCUUUUGUCUAGCGGUAUUGUACUUGCCCGAGAUUCGAUCAUCGGUAUGCCGAUACCUUGUUCAAUCUCGUUACCGGCAAGUCUCUUUACUCGUUCCGUAACACAUCAUCCCGUCAUCAACCCCUUGGUCACAUUGUGCACAUUAUGAUGAUGUCCUACCGAGUGGGCCCAGAGAUACCUCUCCGUUUACACAGAGUGACAAAUCCCAGUCUCGAUUCGUGCCAACCCAACAGACACUUUCGGAGAUACCUAUAGUGCACCUUUAUAGCCACCCAGUUACGUUGUGACGUUUGGUACACCCAAAGCAUUCCUACGGUAUCCGGGAGUUGCACAAUCUCAUGGUCUAAGGAAAUGAUACUUGACAUUAGAAAAGCUUUAGCAUACGAACUACGAUCUUUGUGCUAGGCUUAGGAUUGGGUCUUGUCCAUCACAUCAUUCUCCUAAUGAUGUGAUCCCGUUAUCAACGACAUCCAAUGUCCAUGGUCAGGAAACCGUAACCAUCUAUUGAUCAACGAGCUAGUCAACUAGAGGCUUACUAGGGACAUGGUGUUGUCUAUGUACCCGCACAUGUAUCUGAGUUUCCUAUCAAUACAAUUAUAGCAUGGAUAAUAAACGAUUAUCAUGAACAAGGAAAUAUAAUAAUAAUAACUAAUUUAUUAUUGCCUCUAGGGCAUAUUUCCAACAGUCUCCCACUUGCACUAGAGUCAAUACUCUAGCUCACAUCGCUAUGUGAUUAACACUGACAGGUCACAUCGCCAUGUGACCAACAUCCAAAGAGUUUACUAGUGUCUAAACUAGUUCACAUCAUCAUGUGAUUAAAACUCAAUGAGUUCUUGGGUUUGUCAUGUUUUUCUUGUUAGAGAGGUUUUAGUCAACGGGUCUGCAACAUUCAGAUCCGUGUGUACUUCACAAAUCUCUAGGUCAUAUUGUAAAUGCCGCUUCCACGCUCCACUUGGAACUAUUCCAAAUGGUUGCUCCACUAUACGUAUCCGUUUUGCUACUCAGAGUCAUUCGGGUAGGUGUUAAAGCUUGCAUCGACGCAACUCUUUACGUCGAACUCUUUAUCACCUCCAUAACCGAGAAACAUAUCCUUAUUCCUCUAAGGAUAAUUUUGACCGCUAUCUGGUGAUCUACUCCUUGAUCACCUUUGUACCCUCUUGCCAGGUAUGUAGCAAGGUACACAUCAGAUGCGGUACUUAGCAUAGCAUACUAUAGAGCCUACAUCUAAAGCAUAGGGGACGACCUUCAUCCUUUCUCUCUUUUCUGCCGUGGUCGAGCUUUAAGUCUUAACUUCAUACCUUACAACUCAGGCAAGAACUCCUUCUUUGACUGAUCCAUCUUGAACACCUUCAAGAUCAUGUCAAGUUAUGUGCUCAUUUGAAAGUACCAUUUAGCGGUUUUGAUCUAUCCUCAUAGAUUUUGAUGCUUAAUGUUCAAGCAGCUUAAUCCAAGUUUUCUAUUGAAAACACUUUUCAAAUCACCCUAUAUGCAUUCUAGAAAUUCUACAUCAUUUCUGAUCAACAACAUGUCAACAACAUAUACUCAUCAGAAAUUCUAUAGUGCUCCCACUCACUUCUUUGGAAAUACAAGUUUCUCAUAAACUUUGUAUAGACCCAAAAUCUUUGAUCAUCUUAUCAAAAUGUACAUUCCAACUCCGAGAUGCUUACUCCAGUCCUUAGAAGGAUCGCUGGAGCCAGCAUACCUUUUAGCAUCCUUAGGAUCCACAAAAACUUUCUGAUUGUAUCACAUACAAUCUUUCCUUACGAAAACUGGUAAGGAAACUCAUUUUGACAUCCAUCUGCCCGAUUUCAUAAAUGCAGCUAAUGCUAACAUGAUUCCGACGGACUUAAGCAUCGCUACGGAUGAGAAAAUCUCAUCGUAGUCAACUCCUUGAACUUGUGAAAAACUCUUUGCCACAAGUCGAGCUUUAUAGACGGUGACAUUACCGUCCACGUCCGUCUUCUUCUUAAAGAUCCAUUUAUCUCAAUGGCUUGCCGAUCAUCGGGCAAGUCCACAAAAGUCCAUGCUUUGUUCUGAUACAUGGAUCCUAUCUCGGAUUUCAUGGCUUCUAACCAUUUGUCGGAAUAUGGGCCCACCAUCGCUUCUCCAUAGCUCGCAGGUUCAUUGUUGUCUAGCAACAUGACCUUCAAGACAGGAUUACUGUACCACUCUGAAGCAGUACGCAUCCUUGUCGACCUACGAGGUUUGGUAGUGACUUGAUUCGAAGUUUCAUGAUCACUAUCAUAAGCUUCUACUUCAAUUGGUGUAGGUGCCACAGGAACAACUUCCUGUGCCCUGCUACACACUAGUUGAAGUGAUGGUUCAAAUAACCUUAUCAAGUCUCCACCAUCCUCCCACUCAAUUCUUUCGAGAGAAACUUUUCCUCGAGAAAGGACCCGUUUCUAGAAACAAUUCCUAUUGCUUUCGGAUCUGAAUUAGGAGGUAUACCCAACUGUUUUGGGUGUCCUAUGAAGAUGCAUUUUAUCCGCUUUGGGUUCGAGCUUAUCAACCUGAAACUUUUUCACAUAAGUGUCGCAGCCCCAAACUUUCAAGGAAUGAUAACUUAGGUUUCUCCAAACGGUGUCGUCUCAACGGAAUUACGUGGUACCCUCUUAAAGUGAGUGCGGUUGUCUCUAAUGCCUAGCCCAUGAACGAUAGUGGUAAUUCGAUAAGAGACAUCAUGGUACGCACCAUAUCCAAUAGGGUGCAACUAUGAUGUUCGGACACACCAUCACACUAUGGUGUUCCAGGCGGUAUUAAUUGUGAAACAAUUUCCACAAUGUCUUAAUUGCGUGCCAAAGCUCGUAACUCAGAUACUCAUCUCUAUGAUCAUAUCAUAGACAUUUUAUCCUCUUGUCACAAUGAUCUUCAACUUCACUCUAAAAUUACUUGAACCAUUCAAUAAUUCAGACUUGUGUUUCAUCAAGUAAAUAUACUCAACAUCUACUUGAAUCAUCUGUGAAGUAAGAACAUAACGAUAUUCACUGCAUGCCUCAGCACUCAUUGGACUGCACACAUCAAAAUGUGUUACUUCCAACAAGUUGCUAUCUUGUUCCAUCUCACUGAAACCGAGGCUUUUCAGUCAUCUUGCCCAUGUGGUAUGAUUUGCAUAUCUCAAGUGAUUCAAAAUCAAGUGAGUCCAAACGAUCCAUCUGCAUGGAGGUUCUUCAUGCGUAUACACCAAUAGACAUGGUUCGCAUGUCUCAAACUUUUCAAAAACGAGUGAGUCCAAAGAUCCAUCAACAUGGAGCUUCUUCAUGCGUUUUACACCAAUAUGACUUACAUGGCAAUGCCACAAGUAAGUGGUACUAUCAUUACUAUCUUAUAUCUUUUGGCAUGAAAAUGUGUAUCACUACGAUCGAGAUUUAAUAAACAAUUUAUUUUAGGUGCAAGACCAUUGAAGGUAUUAUUCAAAUGAAUAGAGUAACCAUUAUUCUCCUUAAAUGAAUAACCGUAUUGUGAUAGACAUAAUCCAAUCAUGUCUAUGCUCAACGCACACACAAAAUAACAAUUAUUUUGGCUUAACACCAAUCUUGAUGGUAGAGGGAGCGUGCGAUGCUUGAUCACAUCAACCUUGGAAACACUUCCAACACAUAUCGUCAGCUCACCUUUAGCUAGUCUCCGUUUAUUCCGUAGCUUUUAUUUCGAGUUACUAACACUUAGCAACCGAACCGGUAUCUAAUACCUUGGUGCUACUAGGAGUACUAGUAAAGAACACAUUAACAUAAUGUAUAUCCAAUAUACUUCUAUCGACCUUGCCAGCCUUCUUAUCUAUACCAAGUGUCUAGGGUAAUUCUGCUCCAGUGGUUGUUCCCCUUAUUAGAGAAGCACUUAGUCUCGGGUUUGGGUUUAACCCUGGGUUUCUUCACUGGAGCAGCAACUGAUUUUCCGUUUCAUGAAGUACCCCUUCUAGCACUUACCCUUCUUGAAACUAGUGGUUUUCACUAACCAUCAACAAUUGAUGCUCCUUCUUGAUUUCUAGUUUUGCGGUGUCAAACAUCGCGAAUAUCUCAAGGAUCAUCAUAUCUAUCCCUGAUAUGUUAUAGUUCAUCACGAAGCUCUAGCAGCUUGGUGGCAAUGACUUUGGAGAAACCUCACUAUCUCAUCUGGAAGAUCAACUCCCACUCGAUUCAAGUGAUUGUUGCACUCAGACAAUCUGAGCACAAGCUCAAUGAUUGAGCUUGUCUCCCUUAGUUUGCUGGCUAAGAAAAUCGUCGGAGGUCUUAUACCUGUUGACGUGGGCACGAGCCUGAAAUCCUAAUUUCAGCCCUUGAAACAUCUCAUAUGUUCCGCGAUGUUUCGAAAACGUCUUUGGUGCCUCAACUCUAAACCUUUUAACUGAACUAUCACGUAGUCAUCAAAACGUGUAUGUCCGAUGUUCGCAACAUCCACAGACGACGUUUGGGGUUCAGCACACUGAGCGGUGCAUUAAGGACAUAAGCUUUCUACUGUCCGCAUAAUCGCUACUGUCAACUUUCAACUAUAUUUUCUCUAGGAACAUAUCUAAACAGUGGAACUAAAGCGCGAGCUUACGGCAUAAUUUGCAAAGAUCUUUUGACUAUGUUCAGGAUAAUUAAGUUCAUCUUAUGAACUCCCACUCAGAUAGACAUCCCUCUAGUCAUCUAAGUGAUUACAUGAUCCUAGUAAACUAGGCCGUGUCCGAUCAUCACGUGAGACAGACUAGUCAUCAUCGGUGAACAUCUUCAUGUUGAUCGUAUCUACUAUAUGACUCAUGCUCGACCUUUCGGUCUCUUGUGUUCCAAGGCCAUGUCUGUACAUGCUAGGCUCGUCAAGUCAACCUAAGUGUUUCGCGUGUGUAAAUCUGGCUUACACCCGUUGUAUGUGAACGUAAGAAUCUAUCACACCCGAUCAUCACGUGGUGCUUCAAAACGACGAACUUUCGCAACGGUGCACAGUUAGGGGGAACACUUUCUUGAAAUUUUAAUGAGGGAUCAUCUUAUUUACUACCGUCGUUCUAAGCAAAUAAGAUGCAUAAACAUGAUAAACAUCACGUGUAAUCAAAUAGUGACAUGAUAUGGCCAAUAUCAUUUUGCUCCUUUUGAUCUCCAUCUUCGGGGCUCCAUGAUCAUCAUCGUCACCGGCAUGACACCAUGAUCUCCAUCAUCAUGAUCUCCAUCAUCGUGUCUCCAUGAAGUUGUAUCGCCAACUUAUUACUUCUACUACUAUGGCUACCGGUUAGCAAUAAAGUAAAGUAAUUACACGGCGUUGUUUAAUGACACGCAGGUCAUACAAUAAAUAAAGACAACUCCUAUGGCUCCUGCCGGUUGUCAUACUCAUCGACUUGCAAGUCGUGAUUCCUAUUACAAGAACAUGAUCAAUCUCAUACAUCACAUAUCGUUCAUCACAUUGUUCUUGGCCAUAUCACAUCACAUAGCAUACCCUGCAAAAACAAGUUAGACGUCCUCUAAUUGUUGUUUGCAUGUUUUACGUGGCUGCUAUGGGUUUCUAGCAAGAACGUUUCUUACCUACGCAAAACCACAACGUGAUAUGCCAAUUGCUAUUUACCCUUCAUAAGGACCCUUUUCAUCAAAUCCGUUCCGACUAAAGUGGGAGAGACUGGCACCCACUAGGCAGCUUAUGCACCAAGUACAUGUUAGUCGGUGGAACCUAUCUCACGUAAGAGUACGUGUAAGGUUGGUCCGGGCCGCUUCAUCCCACAAUACCAUCGAAACAAGAUUGGACUAGUAACGGUAAGCAUAUUGAAAAAAAUCAACGCCCACAACUACUUUGUGUUCUACUCGUGCAAAGAAUCUAUGCAAUAGACCUAGCUCAUGAUGCCACUGUUGGGGAACGUAGCAGAAAUUCAAAAUUUUCUUACGUGUCACCAAGAUCUAUCUAUGGAGAAACCAGCAACGAGGGGAAGGAGAGUGCAUCUACAUACCCUUGUAGAUCGCUAAGCGGAAGCGUUCAAGAGAACGGGGUUGAAGGAGUCGUACUCGUCGUGAUCCAAAUCACCGGAGAUCCUAGUGCCGAACGGACGGCACCUCCGCGUUCAACACACGUACAGCCCGGUGACGUCUCGCAUGCCUUGAUCCAGCAAGGUGAGAGGGAGAGGUUGAGGAAGACUCCAUCCAGCAGCAGCACAACGGCAUGGUGGUGAUGGAGGAGCGUGGUAGUCCAGCAGGGCUUCGCCAAGCACCGCGGGAGAGGAGGAGUAAGAGACGUAGGGCUGCGCCAAGAGGGAGAGGUUCUCGCAUCUCUGGCAGCCCCAAAACCCCACUAUUUAUAGGGGAAGGGGAGGGGGCUGCGCCCCGUCUAGGGUUCCCUCCCCAGGGGUGGAGGCAGCCCCCAGAUGCCAUCUGGUGGCGGCCAAAAGGGGGGAGAGGGGAGGCGCACCUGGGGUGGGCCUUAGGGCCCGUCUGCCCUAGGGUUUGCCCCCCUCCCACCCUUCCCUGCACCUUGGGCCCUGUGGGGGGGCGCACUAGCCCAUCUGGGGCUGGUCCCCUCCCACACUUGGCCCAUGCAGCCCUUCAGUGAUGGUGGCCCCACUUGGUGGACCCCCGGGACCCUCCCGGUGGUCCCGGUACGUUACCGGAAAAACCCGAAACUUUUCCGGUGACCAAAACAGGACUUCCCAUAUAUAAAUCUUUACCUUCGGACCAUUCCGAAACUCCUCAUGACGUCCGGGAUCUCAUCCGGGACUCCGAACAACAUUCGAUAACCACAUACAAACUUCCUUUAUAACCCUAGCGUCAUCGAACAUUAAGUGUGUAGACCCUACGGGUUCGAGAACCAUGCAGACAUGACCGAGACGUUCUUCGUUCAAUAACCACCAGCGGGAUCUGGAUACCCAUGUUGGCUCCCACAUGUUCCACGAUGAUCUCAUCGGAUGAACCACGAUGUCAAGGACUCAAUCAAUCCCGUAUACAAUUCCCUUUCUCUAGCGGUAUUGUACUUGCCCGAGAUUCGAUCGUCGGUAUGCCGAUACCUUGUUCAAUCUCGUUACCGGCAAGUCUCUUUACUCGUUCCGUAACACAUCAUCCCGUGACCAACCCCUUGGUCACAUUGUGCACAUUAUGAUGAUGUCCUACCGAGUGGGCCCAGAGAUACCUCUCCGUUUACACGGAGUGACAAAUCCCAGUCUCGAUUCGUGCCAACCCAACAGACACUUUCGGAGAUACCUGUAGUGCACCUUGAUAGCCACCCAUUUAUGUUGUGACGUUUGGUACACCCAAAGCAUUCCUACGGUAUCCGGGAGUUUCACAAUCUCAUGGUCUAAGGAAAUGAUACUUGACAUUAGAAAAGCUUUAGCAUACGAACUACGAUCUUUGUGCUAGGCUUAGGAUUGGGUCUUGUCAAUCACAUCAUUCUCCUAAUGAUGUGAUACCGUUAUCAACGACAUCCAAUGUCCAUGGUCAGGAAACCGUAACCAUCUAUUGAUCAACGAGCUAGUCAACUAGAGGCUUACUAGGGACAUGGUGUUGUCUAUGUACCCACACAUGUAUCUGAGUUUCCUAUCAAUACAAUUAUAGCAUGGAUAAUAAACGAUUAUCAUGAACAAGGAAAUAUAAUAAUAAUAACUAAUUUCUUAUUGCCUCUAGGGCAUAUUUCCAACAAUAAAAUCAGAUCUAUGUUAUCUCCUUUGUUUUACAUUUCAAAGAUCAACUUCAUCUAUAACAAGAUGCUAGGCAUCUCCCAAGCUAAACGAUGAAACACUACUUUCUUUGUGUAUCCAGUCACUCCAUCGUUGAUCUACCUUUUUUCUAAGCAUACAUGGAAUAGCAGAGGUGAUGGAGAAUUCGUGCUCAAGUUUAGAAGCUAUAUAUCCUAGGAUAACUAGAGUAAAAGAGUAUAAACAUUACUUGACAAACGAUUUCAGGAAAUGCCGUUCGCUUCAGUAGUCGUCUUCCUACUGAGAUAUCAAACUCAUUCAGCAAAGUAGCUAUGACCAUCAAAAUUUUAAGUCGUGAGUAGCAUGCAAAAUUUAUGCCAUGACCCAUGAUUAAUGCAAGAAAUUUCUACUAUCCAAAUAUGACUCAUAUAUAAUGGAUUUUGGCAUGAUGAAUAUAUCGGUCAUAUUGAAUACUCAUUAAGCAUAGUUGGAGUGAAUAUUGGCAUAUUUAUGACAAUAUAUUAUGUUAUUAAAACAAUAGGAAGUUGGUUGCUCAGAUUAUCAAUAGAAAAGAAUGAUUCAGAAUGAUAAUAUGUUGUAGAUCUAAAUCAUAUACAUGGACAUAAAGAGUUCUCCAUCCAAUCCUACAUACAAAGUAUGUUUUUCUGCAAGAAAAAACUUGCAAUGUAUUCAUCAACCGUCAAGGCAACACAAUAGAAAAGAACACCAAUAAUAACUUGUACCCAAAUAUAAGGCUCACAUGUCAUGGAUUUCGACCGCUAUGGCAUGGACUAUAUAUAGGGCAUAUAUAAUUAAUAAUCAUUAAGCAUAUUUGUGGAGUGAAUAUUGUCGGUGCUAAAUCUGGCAGCUCGGGUAGUGGGUCCCAAGCUUAGUGAUCUGAGCUAGAUGGUAACAGAAGAAGUAGGGACACAAUGUUUUACCCAGGUUCGGGUCCUCUUGAUGAGGUAAAACACUACAUCGUGCUUCUUAUAUAUUUGAUUGUGAUGGGAUGCAAAGUACAAUGUGAUUUACGGCGAGAUGGUACGAGGGAGUUCUAAGCUCUAAACAGCAUAUGUCUGUCUCUAUAGGCUAAAAUCCACGUCUUAUAUAGGCACCGGAUGUAUCUAGGGUUUAUAAAUGGUUGGUGGUGAUCUAGCAAUUAGCAUGCCGAUCCUUUAAACGCUUCGUGAAGUGUAGACCAAGUUUUCGAAGAUCUUCAUUGGAAUGACAAUGAGGGCUAGGCCAGUUGAGACCCAUUCAUCGAUCACCGGUAGGUCCUCGGCGCGGCCCAUCAAUGAUGGGCUAUCGUGAUGCACACCCCCUAGUGCGAGAUACCGUUAGUAGCCCCGAACUAGUCUUCAAGCCGAGGAUACCACACGCUGUAUUCAGAAUAGUUCCACAAGUUUGGGUCUUUUGCUUGGCAGACGAGUUCAAUCCCCUAUGUCGGGUCUCGAUUCCGAGGAUAUGCUUGGCUCCGAGGUAUUUUUACUUGCAGCAUUGAUAAUCACAUAACAAAUGGUCGCUUGGAAAGACCUCCCUCCUUGACACAUUUCAACAAGGCCGCAUAGCCACGAAGGAGCGCCGUAAGAAGUUUGACCAGGUCAAAAAUCGUGACAACUUUUGAGCCGAGAACCGAAGCGUCACCUCCCAUGGAAGAUAUGAUCUGUCUAGUCAACAGUCAUUAUUGAGGAUGCCGUGGCCCCAAGGUGUUUUUAUUGGCUCACCACGUCAAUGAAAAUAUUGUGCUCCCGGAUUUCUAGCGAUGCCAUCAACGCACCUGCUUUAAUAUUGGUGCCCAUUGGCUGCAGAGCACAUCGGGAAGCGCCGAUUCAUUCCCUAUGGUGGGGUGACCAAUGGUCUUUGAUUGCCCUAUAAAUACAGAAGGCUAGUGAACCUAGUUUACCCAUACUUUCACCCUCUGCUCUAGUGCAAAGGACGGGCCUCACAUCUAAGUGUCUCAAGAUCUAGCUUUUUAGCCCUUCUUUAUCCUACUUCUUCUCUGUAUAGGAUGUGGAUGACUUCUCCUCGUCCCCUCUCCGCUCCCGACCCACCACCUCCGCCGCCUCCGGCGACUCCUAGCCUCCCCUCCGGUGCUCUCUGCCCUCCCCUGUCACCUCAUCGCCCUCCAACUCCGCGCUUCGUUCAAGCUGGCCAAGUCGCGCUCCGCAAUCUCCUGCGCGUCCACGAUUCCACCGGCCUCGCUCUCGAGGACGCGGUGUUUAACUGCUUCCACCUUCCGGUCUCCUCCACAAACUCACCCUCCUCCACCCCCUGCUUUCGCACUUCUCCGGCUCUGCUCUCCGGCUCGACGACACGCUCGCCGCAACCUUCAUCCAAGCUUGCUGCGGCGGUGUCGCCAGCGACUUCUUUGUCGACAAAGAAUGCGACAACCUCUUCCAUUUUUAUGUUACCUUCCCGGAAGUGGCAACGAUGCUCCUCGGCCUCCAGGUUUCCAUCCGGCCACCGGCCUCCCUCUCCCUAGCCAUUGAACCGUACGAUGUCACCAGAGCCACCGCCGCUCCUCACCACCAUCUCAGUUUCUCGAGUUGUCCCUCCCUUGCCGACCUUCUCCUUGUUCGCCAUGACCUGGGUAGUUCUUUCGCGUCCUUGUCCUGGACGUGUCUCCGCUCGCCCGUCAACGCGCCCCCCGGCGUUCUUUGGCAUGGGUGCCGCUCGUUUGCGCGCGAGAUUCAGUUCCCCUUUGAUCUCGACGUCGGUUCCUUCGCCCUUGUGCUGGCCUGUCUGUUUGGAGGAAACCAUAUCGCCUUCAAUGUCUCCAUCGAGGAUGAAGGCCGUUUCUCCUUCACCGUCGCCAGCCAUGCUGUGGCUUGCAUCAUCGCCAGCUUCGGCGAUUUCUGACGGCCGGGGAUCCUUCUCCGCUUCUCGUGGCCCUUGGCGGCGGCGGCGGCCCCCUUCCAGGAUCCCGCGAUUCCUCCCGGUGCUGCGCCCGUGCCCCUGGAUCACCUGCUGUCCCCAUCCGUGCUGCUUCCAGCUACUGAUGGCCUUGCAUCUGCCAAGAGCGUGCAGCUUCCUCGCCGUCGCUCCAAGGUACGCCUCGUUCGCCCUGGUAUUUGCUUCCGCAACCUAAUGCUGCAUGACCAUGCCCUGGAUGUCGCAUGCAACCCAGUAACUACCCCGUGCUCCGAUCAAACCCUAGUUUGGAUAGCUGUUUACCCUAUUAAGCCAAUUUUUCCUUCUGUUAAGCUAGUUGUUGAUGCUUUAGACCACCUUUUCGCAAGUUCCAACGUUUUUCACGUGCAAUUUUUUCACUCUAGGCUGUUUUGCACCUAUGUUACCUCACCGAUCAUUCAUGACCAUAUGAUCUCACACUCCCCAUGUGUGCUCUCCCAUUUUGAACUUAGCAUGUUUGCCUCUCAGACCGAGGCCCAGCUCGAUCUCGAUAAUCCCUUACGUAACGACUCUGCGGGUCAAACAACUAUUCACUGCCCCGAACACGCAAUGGAUGAUAGAACCAAGUCUAUCCUAGGUCCUUUCUCCAUCCCUCUUGCUCUUGGCCAUUCUCAUCACAACACGCAAGCCACCACCUUGCCCUCGCCCACGUCCGUCUCGCAGUCCACCCAUGCAAAACCGGGCCCACAUCCAUGCAUGCAUGAUGACACAUCCCUUUCGCAUGUGCCCCCGGCCCCAAUCUCAGGCACGAUCGUUUCCAUGCCUCUGUCUCCACCCGAUGCAUCCCCUCGUGACAUGGUUGACUGCACAGUUCAGCCACCCUACCAUGCAUGCACUUCGAUUAGCCCUGUCAACCACCCGUCCCAAAAAGCUGACACCUUUUCAAUCCUUGCAUGCAACAUCCCUUCGGCAACGGCAACAAAUCCGCCCGUCCUGCUCCGUAUCUCUUCGGUAUCUACGCCAGCCCCUGCCCAGCCUCACCUGUCAAUCCCCCCGGCUCUACCCAAGAACAAAAAGGCUAAUCCUAGCCAGCCCAUUUUUCCAUCACCUACACCCACUUCAGACUAUGAGACUCCGCUUCCUCGUAGCACACUAUCCUCACCACCUCCCCAAGCCGCUGACUGCUGGGGCCACCCGUCUCUGUUGCCCCCCUCUCCCUCGGUUCCAUCGCUCGACUCGUUUCUGCACCCUUCCCUCGCCUUGUUUGACCGCGCUUCCAAUGACGCUGACAGGGAGGGCCCUUCAUCGACGUCAGCAGGCCCCAUUAGGGAAGAUCUCGAGCCACCCACCGGCCCUCCACCUACCCAAGACACUGACAACGGGCCCUGGCCUCCUCGUGACCCGCACUCUCCUCCCUCUCUCCUCACAUGCACGGAGCAAACCUUGGUCUCGCACGCAUGCGCUUAUCGCGUCCCGUUCGCCCCACUCCCCUCUAAUCUGAGCCCCGUGUGCCAUGACAUGCCCCCCUUCACGCUUCCCCUGGUACGAUAGAUUCCCUCGCCCCCUGCCAUGCGCCGCGCCAUGCAUCAACUAGCGCCCCACUCUCCUACAAGGCUGCCCUCCUCACGCCCACCCUACCCUCCCUGCCACCUCCUCCUCUUUAUAUACCUACCCUCCCCCCUUCCCACCCUCGUACAAACCCGCCUCCUCUCCCACUCCUUCAGCCUGGCGCUGCGACGAAGAAGAAGAAGAAAUGUCGGUGCUUCCACUGCCUGGCGCAAGACCACCUAGUCUUUGACUGUCGGGACCCAAUCCGUUGCUCCCGCUGCUGGAGAUCCGGCCACCGCAGCUUCAGGUGCAAAGCUUCUCGCCUAGUUGCUCUCUUUCCUCUGCUCCCCCAUCUCCAUGUCCUAGCCUUAACCUAGCCUUUGUUCCUGCCCGCAGCAUGGAUGCCUCGACCAAUGCUGCUCCUGCCUCCCUCGACGCUGUGGAGCCGGCGACGCUACGGAUUGGCUCCUUCCUCGUGCCUGUCGCCUCCUGUGGCUCGUCCUCCUUGCUCCCGCCUUGCAAUGGUGCCACCACUAGCAAGGCAGACCUCCUCUGCCCGAGGCUGCGAUCUACCUCAACUCGGCCCCGCCGGACCUCUCCCACCCCGUCGACGCCAUCGCAGUCCAACUCCGGCUCCACCUCAUCAAGGCGAUCCGAGACCUUGACGCCGCUGUGGCGGCCACGGGUGCUCGCCAUUCCUUCCCUCUGCCUAUGCCAACCCCCACCCCUCGCUCUGCUCGCACCUAGCCACCUAGCUUCUAUCGAGGGCCCCCUACCUUUGCUCCGAUCCCACAGCCACCAUCUUAGCCCCUCAUCGUUGUCCCUCCUCAGCUAGUCCACGACGACGUUGCUCGCUACACUUUCGUGCACUUUGGCAUCCCAGUGCACAACCCCUUCCCAGAUAUUCGACGUGCCAUCCGCCAGCUUGGCAGCAACCCCACCUUCCGCGUCGCCGCCUCCUUUCGUGGGGCUGGCCUAGUUGCCUUCCCCAAUGCCUUUGUCCGCCAUGCUGUUCUCGCCCGUGGCCCCGUGCACAUCGACGACAACUCCAUCUCAUUUGAGCCUGCUAAAACCAUGGCCGCUCCACUGCCUCUUCGAGGACGACAUCACCGAGAUCGAAGCCAUUGGUUUUCCCCUAGAGCUGUGGCACCCCUCCGGUUUCCACUUCAUCCUCAACUUCCUUGGAGAAAUCUACUCCAUCGACCAGUACUGCCUUCUCUCUGAUGAUCGCACUUCCAUUCGCGCCCAUAUCGCCCUGUUCAAGGGCACCCGUCUUCCCGACGGCGUCACAGUGCAACUCCCUAAUCUAGACAUCCUGGUAGUCCAACUACUUGAGCAUGGCAGAGUCACUCGUAUUGGGCCAAAUGACCCCUCCCCUUUCUCAUCCGAUGAUGGUUCUGCCUCUGAUUCCGCCUCAGACUAUGGUUCUGAUGAUUCUGGCCGCGCGCUUGGCCUAGAGUGCGCUGAGGCUGCCAUGGCCGCCUUCGGGCCAGUAGUUGUGUCCCCGGAGUUCCCGUAGGGCCCUGCUUCCUCCCCUUCCAGAAAUGCUACGCUGACUGCCGAUCAAUUCCUUGACCUCGCUAUCUCCUCCUCUGAUUAUGAUAUCUCGAUGGCCCGCAUUGGCAUAGCCCCACCUGUGCUCCUCAACUCCAUCUUGCACCACCUUCCCUCCGCCCCCACCUCAGGCCCUCUAGCCUCACCUCCGGAGCCCGCCCUGCCUGCCCAGACAAUUUGUGCUCCUCCCCAACCCCACCCGGUGGCUUCUAUUCCGUUCACCUCCAUUGCAGCCGCUUUUGAGGCCAUCGCCGAGCAGCACGCUCUGCCGAUGGCCUCCCCCGUGGUUGCCUCCCCUAUUCCUGACGCGCCUGCUUCCUCUCCUCUGUUGCGCACCUACUCACGCCGCCCUCGCUCCGGCAUCUCGCCGGGGCUGGUCAUCCCCGCCGUUCCGCUCCCUUCAGAGCCCGCUCAUGCGGUUCAUGAGGCCGUCGCUCAGAAGAGGCGCGGCAAGGCCAAGCGCGCCAAGGACGUUCUGCAUGUCUGUCGCAGUGCCCGUCUCGCCUUGGCCGAGCCAUAUGCCAAGGAGACAAUGGCAGAUAAGGCAUCCCGUGCCAAGGCCAAGCGCCUGUUCAUGGCAAGCUCAGCCCAAGACUUUGACGAUGCAGUCCGCUCCGCUUCGCUUGUUGCUGAUGACUCAGAACUGGGCUCGCCGCUGGCGCAUGCUGCCCUGGCCAAAGAGUGUGGCUCCUCUACUGACGAGAUCGACCUUGUCGGAAAGGCCGUUGGUCACAGUUUAUUAGGUUGUCAAGGCUACUGCUUAUCUAUGUCUGUUGUCUCUAUGUCUGUAUGCGUGCCUGCUGGUUUAGUGAGUCCUGGUGUCUAUGUUAGUGUUUAAAAUGACGACAACGACUAUGUAUCUCUGCUCCUAGAAUGUUAGGGGCUUGGGUGAUGUGGACAAAUGUAAUGAUGUUCUAUCUGAACUUCUAUCUAUCAAAACUCAUAUGUUGUUACUCCAGGAAACUAAACUUGCCACACCCUCUGUCCCAAAAAUUCGGUCUUUUCUGCCAACUUUCCUCGAUUUCUAUGCCAUCUCAACAGAUUCGGGCACCGCUGGGGGCCUGCUAUCCGCUGCCAACACCAGCUCCCUUCACAACACAAACCACAUAAACCAUGGUUUCUGCUCCACUACCUCCCUCACAUCUCUCGCUCUCCCUUCCCCCAUUUGCGUCACAAACAUUUACAGCCCAACUAGCAGGGCGCAAAAACCACUUUUCCUUGCGGAAUUAAAAGCCAUAGCCCCCUAUGAGAACACCCCGUGGCUAGUUGUAGGUGAUUUUAACAUGAUUCGCUUCCCCCAUGAGAAAAACAAUCCCAACUUUCACCAACGAGAAUCCCACUUGCUCAAUGACACGAUUGAUGAGUUAGCUCUCCUAGAGCUGCCUCUCCUAGAUCGGCAAUUUACUUGGUCCAACAACAGAGAAGCCCCUGUCCUCGAACGGCUUGAUCGCGCUUUCUUUAAUUUAGCUUGGAAUCAUGCCUUCCCAAACACCUCCUUAUCCUCUCUCACUCAGGCCAUCUCGGAUCAUGUGCCACUAAUCAUCUCCAUAUCCACGUCCGUACCCCGCUCCCGCCUCUUUCGGUUCGAAUGAUGCUGGGCCUACAACCCGACCUGCAAACGUCUAAUCUCCCAGAUCUGCCAACCACCAGCUAUGGCCCACCUCUCCCCCUCAGCCCACUUGGCCCACUGCCUUCAAACCUGCCAUUCCCGCCUAAAAUAGUGGACCAAAACCUUGCUUCCUGCCGAUACAAGAGAACUGCGCUGCAAACGCGUCAUAUCUCUAAUCGACUUAAAGGAAGAAUCGAGGACUCUCACCCCCUCCGAGUUUCAACUACGCGUAGUUGUUAAAGCCACACUGCUAAGAGCCACACGCGACCGCAUGCUCGCUCUUUGGCAACGAUCCAAAAUCAAAUGAGCGAUCUACGGUGACGAGAACUCUAAAUUCUUCCACGCCUCAGCCUCUCAACGCUUCCAAUAAAACCAAAUCCCGGUCCUACGACACCUUGGGCGCGACUUUUUCUCCCAUGACCAGAAAGCCAAAAUUCUAAAAGAUUACUACCAACUUUUGCUUGGCACUCGGGCCACUACCCACUGGAACUUCAACCUAACAAAUAUCUACCCAACACAAAUCCCAUAGCUAAGGCACCUCGAGGCCCCUUUUUCCGAUGACGAGAUAAAACUAGCUUUCUUGCACAAGAACCCUAAUGCCAGCCCUGGCCUUGACGACUUCGGUCCUAGUUUCUACCGAUCCUUCUGGCAAAACCUUAAACCCCUCAUCAUUCCAUUCUUCCAGGAGUUCGCAAAUUCAUCCUCCCAAACCGAGCGCUUCAACCAAUCCAUCGUCAUUUUACUCCCAAAAAAAGAGGGUGCCAACAAUGCCAGCGCCUUCAGGCCCAUCGCCCUGCAAAACUGCCCUGUCAAAGGGACCGCCAAGCUUCUCACCAAUCAGCUAAAAUAGUACAUUCCCUUGCUUGUUCAUGGUGAUCAAACAGGCUUCAUCACUAGUCGAUGCAACACCAAAAACUUCAUCCACGCUACAGACUCGCUAAAUUGCUGCCACAAACGCAAGGUUCCCACCAUGGUCCUUAAGCUUGACUUCAGAAAGGCAUUCGAUUCAAUCUCCUGGAUAUCCUUAAUUAAAAUUCUUCCGCGUCGUGGCUUCCCAACCCGCUUCUAUAAUUGGGUUGAUGACCUACUCACCUCCGAAAAAACUGCUAUCUCUCUCAAGGGUAUCCCUGGUAGCUGGAUGCAAUGCAGGAAUGGCCUGUGGCAGGUUGACCCUAUAUCUCCCUACCUUGUCAUCAUAGUAGCUGAUGUACUCCAGCAGAUGAUCCUUAAAUCUUCUUCGACUGACGAUAGUGUCCUGCACCACCCUAUCUACCCGGACCACCCUCCGACCGUACUCCAGUAUGCCGAUGACACGCUAAUCAACGCCCACGCCUCAGUUGCAGCCACAAAAACUCUCAAAAAGAUCCUCGACGACUUUGCUUCGGCGACAGGCCUAUGCAUCAACUUCUCCAAAACAACUUUUGUGCCUAUGAAUAUCGACCCUGUCGUUUCUGACCUAAUCGCCCAAUCACUCGAAUGUGAGAUUGCCACCUUUCCUCAAACCUACCUAGGCCUCCCUCUCUCGCUGCACAAGCUACCACCCUCAGCCUUUCAACCAAUCAUCUCCAACUGCAGAAGCCUUCUUCCUGGCUGGUGUGCAAAACUACUAAACCAUGCAGGGCGCCUCGUCCUGAUUUCCUCGGUCCUUGACUCCCUGGCUACUCACUUUAUGUCCGUUUUUAAGCUGCCAAAAAAGGUUAUCAAAUUGUUAGACUCCAUUCGUAGAGCCUUCUUCUGGGCUGCGGAGGAAAUGCGCACCGGCUCCAGAUAUUUAAUUGCAUGGAAAAACAUUUGCAAACCUAAAGUUUAUGGUGGUCUAGGCAUCAAACAUCUCGCUUUCUAGAAUGAAGUUUGCCUUUAAAUACCUUAACCACAAUAACAGCUCCACACCGAUACCGUGGAUCUCCUGGCUAGACAUGCAGCACCUUUGUAGCCUACCUCGUAUAGCCACAUGCUCAAACCCAUCCUUCCUUACGAAAAUCAUCCAAACCCAGCUCCCAAAACUGCUAUCCUUUACCUUUGUGCUCACAAAUAAUGGCCAAAAGACCUUUUUCUGGCUUGACUCUUGGCUACAAGAUACACCACUAGCAACUACCUUCCCAAGCCUAUACUCACACUCCACAAACACCCACAUCCCGGUGGUGCACAUCAUGCGGUAUGGGGUGCAAGAAAACCUGGUGAACAGGCUAACCUCGGCCUCCUCGCGCAAGCUUGCUGCUCUCUCUUUGUUGUUGCAGGACUUUCAGCUGUCUGAUGCUCUGGACGAAAGAUUUAUGAUCAUUGGCACUGGCUUCUCAGCCAGGAAGGCCUAUGGAAUGAUUCUGGAUGAAGAUGUCGAAGAUGAUCAUGACCCUCUGAUUUGGAGAUCUAGGCCCCCCCACAAGAUAAAAAUCUUCGCUUGGCUGCUGUUUAGAGGAAGGCUAAACACUAAAUGCAAUCUGCUCCACAAAAAGAUCACCACCGAUGUCGCAUGCCCUUGAUGUGGCGCCCCCUCCGAGGACACUUCCCACCUGUUCCUCAGUUGUCCGCGUGCAUUUCAUGUUGGGGAACGUUGCAGAAAAUUAAAAAAUUUCCUACGGUUUCACCAAGAUCCAUCUAUGAGUUCAUCUAAGCAACGAGUCACGGGAAAGAGAUUGCAUCUACAUACCACUUGUAGAUCGCGUGCGGAAGCGUUCAAGGGAACGGUGAUGAUGGAGUCGUACUCGCCGUGAUUCAAACCACCGAUGACCAAGUGCUGAACGGACAGCACCUCCGCGUUCAACACACGUACGGUAUGGACGACGUCUCCUCCUUCUUGAUCCAGUAAGUGGGAAGGAGAGGUUGAGGAAGAUGGCUCCAGCAGCAGCACGACAGCGUGAUGAUGGUGGAGAGGCAACACUCCGACAGGGCUUCGCCAAGCGCACAACGGAGGAGGAGAGGUGUUGGGGAGGGGAGGGGCUGCGCCUUGGAUCAGGUGUUUAACCCUCCCCUCACCCCUCUAUUUAUAGGGGAAGGGGGAAGGGGGCCGGCCCCCUCUAGAUGAUAUCUAGAGGGGGGCAGCGGCCAGGGAGGGGGCUUGCCCCCCAAGCAAAGGGGGGCGCCCCCUUUAGGGUUCCCCCCCCCAAAACCUAGGCGCAUGGGCCCAAGGGGGGGGGGCGCCCAGCCCUCUAGGGACUGGUUCCCUGCCCCACGCGGCCCAUGUGGCCCACCAAGAGGGGUAGCCCCUCCCGGUGGACCCCCAGAACCCCUCCGGUGGCCGCGAUACAAUACUGAUAUGCCCCCGAAACUUUCCGGUGUCCGCAUGACAACUUCCCAUAUAUAAAUCUUCACCUCCGAACCCUUCCAGAACUCCUCGUGACGUACGGGAUCUCAUCCGGGACUCCGAACAACAUUCGGUAAUCACAUACAAGUCUUCCUAAUAACCCUAGCGUCACCGAACCUUAAGUGUGUAGACCCUACGGGUUCGGGAGACAUGCAGACAUGACCGAGACGGCUCUCCGGUCAAUAACCGACAGGGGGAUCUGGAUACCCAUGUUGGCUCCCACAUGCUCCUCGAUGAUGUCAUCGGAUGAACCACGAUGUCGAGGAUUCAAUCAAUACCGUAUACUAUUCCCUUUGUCAAUCGGUACGUUACUUGCCCGAGACUCGAUCGUCGGUAUCCCAAUACCUCGUUCAGUCUCGUUACCGGCAAGUCACUUUACUCGUACCGUAAUGCAUGAUCCCGUGACCAGACACUUGGUCACUUUGAGCUCAUUAUGAUGAUGCAUUACCGAGUGGGCCCAGAGAUACCUCUCCGUCAUACGGAGUGACAAAUCCCAGUCUCGAUCCGUGUCAACCCAACAGACACUUUCGAAGAUACCUGUAGUGCACCUUUAUAAUCACCCAGUUACGUUGUGAUGUUUGGUACACCCAAAGCACUCCUACGGUAUCCAGGAGUUACACGAUCUCAUGGUCUAAGGAAGAGAUACUUGACAUUGGAAAAGCUCUAGCAAAACGAACUACACGAUCUUGUGCUAUGCUCAGGAUUGGGUCUUGUCCAUCACGUCAUUCUCCUAAUGACGUGAUCCCGUUGUCAAUGACAUCUAAUGUCCAUAGUCAGGAAACCAUGACCAUCUGUUGACCAAUGAGCUAGUCAACUAGAGGCUUACUAGGGACGUAUUGUGGUCUAUGUAUUCACACGUGUAUUACGAUUUCCGGAUAAUACAAUUAUAGCAUGAAUAAAAGACAAUUAUCAUGAACAAGGAAAUAUAAUAAUAAUACUUUUAUUAUUGCCUCUAGGGCAUAUUUCCAACAGUCUCCCACUUGCACUAGAGUCAAUAAUCUAGUUACAUUGUGAUGAAUCGAACACCCAUAGAGUUCUGGUGUUGAUCAUGUUUUGCUCGCGAGAGAGGUUUAGUCAACGAAUCUGCGACAUUCAGAUCCGUAUGUACUUUGAAAAUAUCUAUGUCUCCAUCUUGAACAUUUUCACGGAUGGAGUUGAAGCGACGCUUGAUGUGCCUGGUCUUCUUGUGAAACCUGGGCUCCUUGCCAAGGCCAAUAGCUCCAGUGUUGUCACAGAAGAGUUUGAUCGGCCCUGACGCAUUGGGUAUGACUCCUAGGUCGGUGAUGAACUCCUUCACCCAAAUUGCUUCAUGCGCUGCCUCCGAGGCUGCCAUGUACUCUGCUUCACAUGUAGAUCCCGCCACGACGCUCUUCUUGCAGCUGCACCAGCUUACUACUCCACCAUUCAACAUAUACACGUAUCCAGUUUGUGACUUAGAGUCAUCCAGAUCUGUGUCGAAGCUAGCAUCGACGUAACCCUUUACGACGAGCUCUUCGUCACCUCCAUAAACGAGAAACAUGUCCUUUGUCCUUUUCAGGUACUUCAGGAUAUUCUUAACCGCUGUCCAGUUUUCCUUGCCGGGAUUACUUUGGUACCUUCCUACCAAACUUACGGCAAGGUUUACAUCAGGUCUGGUACACAGCAUGGCAUACAUAAUAGAUCCUAUGGCCGAGGCAUAGGGGAUGACGCUCAUCUCUUCUUUAUCUUUUGCCGUGGUCGGGCAUUGAGCCGAGCUCAAUCUCACACCUUGCAGUAUAGGCAAGAACCCUUUCUUGGACUGAUCCAUUUUGAACUUCUUCAAAAUCUUAUCAAGGUAUGUGCUUUGUGAAAGAGCUAUGAGGCGUCUCGAUCUAUCCCUAUAGAUCUUGAUGCCUAAUAUAUAAGCAGCUUCUCCAAGGUCCUUCAUUGAAAAACACUUAUUCAAGUAGGCCUUAAUGCUGUCCAAGAAUUCUAUAUCAUUUCCCAUCAAAAGUAUGUCAUAAACAUAUAAUAUGAGAAAUUCCAUAGAGCUCCCACUCACUUUCUUGUAAACGCAGGCUUCUCCAUAAGUCUGCAUAAACCCAAACGCUUUGAUCAUCUCAUCAAAGCGAAUGUUCCAACUCCAAGAUGCUUGCACCAGCCCAUAAAUGGAUCGCUGGAGCUUGCAUACUUUGUUAGCAUUCUUAGGAUCGACAAAACCCUCCGGCUACAUCAUAUACAGUUCUUCCUUAAGAUGCCCGUUAAGGAAUGCCGUUUUGACGUCCAUCUGCCAUAUCUCAUAAUCAUAGUAUGCGGCAAUUUCUAACAUGAUUCGGACGGACUUAAGCUUCACUACGGGAGAGAAAGUCUCAUCAUAGUCAAUCCCUUGAACUUGCCGAUAACCCUUAGCGACAAGUCGAGCUUUAUAGAUGGUGACAUUACCAUCCGCGUCCGUCUUCUUCUUAAAGAUCCAUUUGUUUUCUAUCGCUCGUCGAUCAUCGGGCAAGUGAGUCAAAGUGCACACUUUGUUUUCAUACAUGGAUUCUAUCUCGGGUUUCAUGGCUUCUAGCCAUUUGUUGGAAUCUGGGCCCGCCACCGCUUCUUCAUAGUUCGAAGGUUCACCGUUGUCUAACAACAUGAUUUCCAGGACAGGGUUGCCAUACCACUCUGGUGUGUUACGUGUCCUUGUGGACGUACGAAGUUCAGUAGCAACUUGAUCAGAAGUACCUUGAUCAUCAUCAUUAAUUUCCUCUCCAUUCGGUGUAGGUACCAUAGGAACGUUUUCCUGAGCUGCACUACUUUCCGGUUCAAGAGGUAGUACUUCAUCGAGUUCUACUUUCUUCCCACUUACUCCUUUCGAGAGAAACUCUUUUUCCAGAAAGGAUCCGUUCUUGGCAACGAAGAUCUUGCCCUCGGAUCUUAAGUAGAAGGUAUACCCAAUGGUUUCCUUAGGGUAUCCUAUGAAGACGCAUUUUUCCGACUUGGGUUCGAGCUUUUCAGGUUGAAGUUUCUUGACAUAAGCAUCGCAUCCCCAAACUUUUAGAAACGACAGCUUAGGUUUCUUCCCAAACCAUAAUUCAUACGGUGUCGUCUCAACGGAUUUAGAUGGUGCCCUAUUUAAAGUGAAUGUAGCUGUCUCUAGAGCGUAUCCCCAAAAUGAUAGCGGUAAAUCGGUAAGAGACAUCAUAGAUCGCACCAUAUCCAAUAGAGUGCGAUUACGACGUUCGGACACACCGUUACGCUGAGCUGUUCCAGGCGGCGUGAGUUGUGAAACGAUUCCACAUUUUCUAAAGUGUGUACCAAAUUCGUGACUUAAAUAUUCUCCUCCACGAUCCGAUCGUAAGAACUUUAUCUUUCGGUCACAUUGAUUCUCUACUUCAUUCUGAAAUUCCUUGAACUUUUCAAAGGUCUCAGACUUGUGUUUCAUCAAGUAGACAUACCCAUAUCUACUCAAGUCAUCAGUGAGAGUGAGAACAUAACGAUAUCCUCCGCGAGCCUCAACGCUCAUUGGACCGCACACAUCCGUAUGUAUGAUUUCCAAUAAGUUGGUUGCUCGCUCCAUUGUUCCGGAGAACGGAGUCUUAGUCAUUUUACCCAUGAGGCAUGGUUCGCACGUGUCAAAUGAUUCAUAAUCGAGAGACUCUAAAAGUCCAUCAAUAUGGAGCUUCUUCAUGCGCUUGACACCUAUGUGACCAAGGCAGCAGUGCCACAAGUAUGUGGGACUAUCGUUAUGAACUUUACAUCUUUUGGUAUUCACACUAUGAAUAUGUGUAACAUUACGUUCGAGAUUCAUUAAGAAUAAACCAUUGACCAUCGGGGCAUGACCAUAAAACAUAUCUCUCAUAUAAAUAGAACAACCAUUAUUCUCGGAUUGAAAUGAGUAGCCAUCUCGUAUCAAAUGAGAUCCAGAUACAAUGUUCAUGCUCAAACUUGGCACUAAAUAACAAUUAUUGAGGUUUAAAACUAGUCCCGUAGGUAAAUGUAGAGGUAGCGUGCCGACGGCGAUCACAUCGACCUUGGAACCAUUCCCGACGCGCAUCGUCACCUCAUCCUUCGCCAGUCUCCGCUUAUUCCGCAGCUCCUGCUGUGAGUUACAAAUGUGAGCAAUGGCACAGGUAUCAAAUACCCAGGAGUUACUACGAGUACUGGUAAGGUACACAUCAAUUACAUGUAUAUCAAAUAUACCUUUACUGUUGCCGGCCUUCUUGUCCGCUAAGUAUUUGGGGCAGUUCCGCUUCAAGUGACCCUUCCCCUUGCAAUAAAAGCACUCAGUCUCAGGCUUGGGUCCAUUCUUUGACUUCUUCCCGGCAACUGGCUUACCGGGCGCGGCAACAUCUUUGCCGUCCUUCUUGAAAUUCUUCUUACCCUUUCCCUUCUUGAACUUAGUGGUCUUAUUGACCAUCAACACUUGAUGUUCUUUCUUGAUUUCAACCUCUGCUGACUUCAGCAUUGAGAAUACUUCAGGAAUGGUCUUCACCAUCCCCUGCAUAUUGUAGUUCAGCACAAAGCUCUUGUAGCUUGGUGGGAGCGACUGAAGGAUUCUGUCAAUGACCGCCUCGUCUGGGAGGUUGAUCUCCAACUGGGACAAGCGGUUGUGCAACACAGACAUUUUGAGUAUAUGCUCACUGACAGAACUGUUUUCCUCCAUCUUACAACUAUAGAACUUGUCGGAGAAUUCAUAUCUCUCGACCCAGGCAUGAGCUUGGAAAACCAUUUUCAGCUCCUCGAACAUCUCAUAUGCUCCGUGCUUCUCAAAACGCUUUUGGAGCCCCGGUUCUAAACUAUAAAGCAUGCCGCACUGAACGAGGGAUUAAUCAUCAGCACGUGAUUGCCAAGUGUUAAUAACGUUUUGGUUUUUUGGGAUGGGUGCUUCACCUAGCGGUGCAUCUAGGACAUAAUCUUUCUUGGUUGCUAUGAGGAUGAUCCUCAGGUUCCGGACCCAGUCCGAAUAGUUGCUGCCAUCAUCUUUCAGCUUGGUUUUCUCUAGGAAUGCGUUGAAGUUCAUGUUGACAUGAGCGUUGGCCAUUUGAUCUACAAGACAUAUUUUGCAAAAGUUUUAGACUAAGUUCAUGAUAAUUAAGUUCAUCUAAUCAAAUUAUUUAAUGAACUCCCACUCAGAUUAGACAUCCCUCUAGUCAUCUAAGUGUUACACGAUCCGAGUCGACUAGGCCGUGUCCGAUCAUCAUGUGAGACGAACUAGUCAUCAUCGGUGAACAUCUCCAUGUUGAUCGUAUCUUCCAUAUGACUCAUGUUCGACCUUUCGGUCUCUGUGUUUCGAGGCCAUGUCUGUACAUGCUAGGCUCAUCAAGUUAACCCUAAGUGUUAUGCAUGUGUAAAUCUGUCUUACGCCCGUUGUAUGUGAACGUAAGGAUCUAUCACACCCGAACAUCACGUGGUGCUUCGAAACGACGAACUUUAGCAACGGUGCACAGUUAGGGGGAAGACUUUCUUGAAACUAUUAUAAGGGAUCAUCUUAUUUACUACCGCCGUUCUAAGUAAACAAGAUGCAUAAAACAUAAUAAACAUCACAUGCAAUUAUAUAGUAGUGACAUGAUAUGGCCAAUAUCAUAUAGCUCCUUCGAUCUCCAUCUUCGGGGCUCCAUGAUCAUCUUCAUCACCGGCAUUGACACCAUGAUCUCCAUCAUCAUGAUCUCCAUCAUUGUGUCUUCAUGAAGUUGUCACGCCAACGACUACUUCUACUUCUAUGGCUAACGCGUUUAGCAAUAAAGUAAAGUGAUUUACAUGGCGUUCUUCAAUGACACACAGGUCAUACAAAAAUAAAGACAACUCCUAUGGCUCCUACCGGUUGUCAUACUCAUCAACAUGCAAGUCGUGAUUCCUAUUACAAGAACAUGAUCUCAUACAUCAAAAUAUAUCAUUCAUCAUUCGUCACAACUUCUGGCCAUAUCACAUCACAUGACAAUUGCUGCAAAAACAAGUUAGACGUCCUCUAAUUGUUGUUGCAUCUUUUAUGUGGCUGCAAUUGGGUUCUAGCAAGAAAGUUUUCUUACCUACGAAUAACCACAACGUGAUUUUGUCAACUUCUAUUUACCCUUCAUAAGGACCCUUUUCGUCGAAUCCGCUCCAACUAAAGUGGGAGAGACAGACACCCGCUAGCCACCUUAUGCAACUAGUGCAUGUCAGUCGGUGGAACCUGUCUCACGUAAGCGUACGUGUAAGGUCGGUCCGGGCCGCUUCAUCCCACAAUACCGCUGAAGCAAGAAAAGGCUAGUAACGGCAAGCAAGUUGACAAGAUCUACGCCCACAACAAAAUUGUGUUUUACUCGUGCAAUAGAGAACUACGCAUAGACCUAGCUCAUGAUGCCACUGUUGGGGAACGUUGCAGAAAAUUAAAAUUUUUCCUACGGUUUCACCAAGAUCCAUCUAGGAGUUAAUCUAAGCAACGAGUCAUGGGAGAGAGAUUGCAUCUACAUACCACUUGUAGAUCGCGUGCGGAAGCGUUCAAGGGAACGGUCAUGAUGGAGUCGUACUCGCCGUGAUUCAAAUCACCGAUGACCAAGUGCUGAACGGAGAGCACCUCCGCGUUCAACACACGUAUGUUACGGACAACGUCUCCUCCUUCUUGAUCCAGCAAGGGGGAAGGAGAGGUUGAGGAAGAUGGCUCUAGCAGCAGCACGACGGCGUGAUGAUGGUGGAGAGGCAGCACUCCGACAGGGCUUCGCCAAGCGCACAACGGAGGAGGAGAGGUGUUGGGGAGGGGAGGGGCUGCGCCUUGGAUCAGGUGUUCAGCCCUCCCCUCACCCCUCUAUUUAUAGGGCAAGGGGGAAGGGGGCUGGCCCCCUCUAGAUGAGAUCUAGAGGGGGGGGGGCGCCGGCCAGGGAGGGGCUUGCCCCCCAAGCAAAGGGGGCGCCCCCUUUAGGGUUCCCACCCAAACCCUAGGUGCAUGGGCCCAAGGGGGGCGCCUAGCCCUCCAGGGGCUGGUGCCCUGCCCCACGCGGCCCAUGUGGCCCACCAAGAGGGGUGGCCCCUCCCGGUGGACCCCCGGAACCCCUCCGGUGGCACCGGUACAAUACCGAUAUGCCCCCGAAAAUUUCCGGUGUCCGCAUGACAACUUCCCAUAUAUAAAUCUUCACCUCCGGACCCUUCCGAAACACCUUGUGAUGUCCGGGAUCUCAUCCGGGACUCCGAACAACAUUCGGUAAUCACAUACAAGUCUUCCUAAUAACCCUAGCGUCACCGAACCUUAAGUGUGUAGACCCUACGGGUUCGGGAGACAUGCAGACAUGACCGAGACGGCUCUCCGGUCAAUAACCAACAGCGGGAUCUGGAUACCCAUGUUGGCUCCCACAUGCUCCUCGAUGAUGUCAUCGGAUGAACCACGAUGUCGAGGAUUCAAUCAACCCCGUAUAUAUUCCCUUUGUCAAUUGGUACGUUACUUGCCCGAGACUCGAUCGUCGGUAUCCCAAUACCUCGUUCAGUCUCGUUACCAGCAAGUCACUUUAAUCGUACCGUAAUGCAUGAUCCCGUGACCAGACACUUGGUCACUUUGAGCUCAUUAUGAUGAUGCAUUACCGAGUGGGCCCAGAGAUACCUCUCCGUCAUACGGAGUGACAAAUCCCAGUCUCGAUCCGUGUCAACCCAACAGACACUUUCGGAGAUACCUGUAGUGCACCUUUAUAGUCACCCAGUUACGUUGUGACGUUUGGUACACCCAAAGCACUCCUACGGUAUCCGGGAGUUACACGAUCUCAUGGUCUAAGGAAGAGAUACUUUACAUUGGAAAAGUUCUAGCAAAACGAACUACACGAUCUUGUGCUAUGCUCAGGAUUGGGUCUUGUCCAUCACGUCAUUCUCCUAAUGACGUGAUCCCAUUGUCAAUGACAUCUAAUGUCCAUAAUCAGGAAACCAUGACUAUCUGUUGACCAACGAGCUAGUCAACUAGAGGCUUACUAGGGACGUAUUGUGGUCUAUGUAUUCACACGUGUAUUACGAUUUCCGGAUAAUACAAUUAUAGCAUGAAUAAAAGACAAUUAUCAUGAACAAGGAAAUAUAAUAAUAAUACUUUUAUUAUUGCCUCUAGGGCAUAUUUCCAAAAUUUCGCACUUGGGAAAGGCUGGGGUUAAACCCCCCUCCCAGGUUUCAAGAUCUCUGGCUUCUCCAACCUCCUGGCGCCUUGGAUGGACGGGUGUGGCCUGAAGUUCUUCUUAUGAUCAUGUGGAAAAAUCUGGGACUCUAGAAAUGCUGCUGCAUUCCGCAAUGAGAUUCAAUCCCCUAUAGCCACUGUUAGGAACAUACGUAAUGAGUUUGAGAUCUGCCUGAACAGAUUCCAGGACACGUCUGACAAGGCAGCAGCCAAUUCCUGGCUCCUGUUCCUUACCUCACAGCUCGCCGUGACCCUGUAAUCCUGCUUGCCCAUGCUGGCUUUUGAGUAAUAUACAUACCGGUGGGGAUCCUCUCCCCCUGGUGAUUCCUCAAAAAAAACUAGCACGUGGAAGAGAUCUGCAGUCAAAAGCCAACGGUAAAUGGGUGCAGUCGCUGCAUUAGGCUCAAAGCCGUCACGUACCUUCCUACCAUGGCGCAGUGCCACUCCCCCGUAGAGGAGGGUGCAAGCCACUCAUCAUAUGUUAACCCUACUCCCCACGAAGGAGAUUGGGUGAUCUUUAUUUCUCAUCUUAUCCGAGGUUUAGGUUUUCCCCUUCACCCUUUUGCUCAGGGUUUCUUGUUCUCUUACGGGCCCGAUUUUCAUCAUCUGGCUCCGAAAUCUAUUCUCCACAUUGCUUCUUUCAUAAUUUUCUGUGAGGCCUUUCUUCGUGUUGAGCCACACUUCGGGUUGUGGCUAAAAGUGUUCCAUGUCAAACCGUACAACAAUGGACCCAAACUUGCGGAGUGUGGAGGGGCCACACGAUUAGCUGACUCACCAACACGAUUUGGCCCGAGGGCUCAUUUAUGUAAACGAAGCAGCUCUGGCAAAACAACAAUGCACUGGUAUCGUAAGGUGCUAUACAAACGGGGUUUAACCCCUUUCCGCGACGGCAUUCUCAACCGUCGCCAAGUGAGUGACUGCGAUAGGGGGUCCUUCCCACACGACCCAAAAACCGUAGGUGAUAGGCGAGCGGCUACUAACGAUCGCCAUAGAAUAAACGUAUGAGAAGUCGCCCCAUUCCCACACGUUACGUCUGGACGUUACGUUUCUGAUCCGAGAGACAUCACAAACAAUUACGCCGGUAUAGUCGUGUGAAAAAGGUGAACAUUAACAUUUAAUCUACCGAUAUGUUUGCCAUAGGUACGUUAUCACACACAGUUUAAGAAUGUAAAAUGUGUGCGGUGCCUCUACUAACGUCAACAUGUCCAUUUUCAUAACUGUGUACAAUAGAUAUAUUCCUAUCACACAUGCACACAGGUUUGAAACAUUUGCCGUAUUACCAUGAAUUACACACGCAUAUGAGACAAAACCGUGUGUGCAUCCGUCGGGCAUCGCAAACGUUUCACGUCAAAAAAUCAUUUGUUCUCUAUUUUUCAUUGCACACGCUAUUUUCUUUCUAACCAUGUGCACAUUAUUUUAUUUGCUCUUGUAUAAUUUUAUUUUCCCUAUAAUUUAUUAUUCUAAUUGGAAAUUUUGAAAUAUGAAACGUGGAAUUCAAAUUCUCAACACAAUGGUUCAACAACGAAUCCAUGAAAAAAAUCUCAGUACAAUAUGUUCGGUAAUUACAGGACUAGACAACAAGUAACUAUGAUGAACCACAAUAUUUAGAGGCGGUUAAGGUGAAGAGACAAGUGUAAAUAAUUUUGACUGCCGAUGGUGUUGAAGAAGCGGAAUGCCCAUAAUGUGCCCUCCUGCAUGCCAUAGGCAUGAACAACUUUUGUCCAACCCCCUCUGACGAUCGCCCGCCCAUCCAGCACCGCCUUCAGGAAGACUUCUAGAGCAUUAUGAUGGUAGCAUGACUUAUAUACUUUAACCUUUGUUGCUUCCACUCCGGUCAUGUAGUUUGCAAGGUAAUCAUCUUCCGAAAUCACUGAAAAGAGAAAAAUUUCAGGUACUAAGGUCCAAUAGAGUAACUUGUUGUGGGCAGCGGGAAAAGGCAACACAUUACUUAAUUACCAUCCUAAAGUUCACUUUUAUCUUGGACAAAGUGUAAAUAAAGAGCUUAAUUCCCAUCACCCGUUUCUUUCGCCUAACAAUUUUUCUUAGGUUUCUCACUUGAUACUUGUUCAUGAAUAUCUCAUUGCCCCAUAUGCAAAAGGGAUCGAAGCGUGGAUCAGUACCGCUCAUAUAUGUACCUACAAGCAACCAGUAAAUGUUAGAAGCUAAACUGAGAUUGCACAAAUGAUGUAAAAUACAACUACCUACGAUCCUAAGUACAAGUAUUUUUUAAGAUUUCAAUGAACUACAUACAGAUGUAUAUAGAAUUAUAGAUAUAGUUUGGAUUAGAAUCUAGAUUCAUUAAUUUUGCUCCAUAUGUAGUUUAUAUUAGAGUCUCUAAAAAUGCUUAUAUUGAGGAACGGAUGGUGUAUAAAACAUGGGAUGCAACUAAACUCGACGGCAAACAACAACAUCACCCAAUGUAGCCCUAUGUAAGUAUAUGGAAAGCCAAUGUUAACUACACAUGGUUAACAUCCACCAAAAAUAGAAAAUGGUAAUAAAACAGCAACAUCUGUAGUGAUAUCUUCAUUGCGAAAGAGUAGCAUGGUAUGAAAGGGACGGAUUAAAAAAUGGAUGUAAUUGUUUACUGCAACAGACAAACUAGUAUAACCAUUGAAACUGGUAUUGAUAGAAAUUAAAUUGUCAGAGUUAAACAUCGCAAGGCAGGUGCUACUAGAGCAGAGUAUGGCUUUGUUGUGUAUUAAAAGGUAGAGAAAAUAGGCAAGACGGGCUAGGCGUGUUUACAGCAACAUGCUUAAUACAUGAACUGUACAAAACAUGCCCAUUGCAACUGGUAUUGGUAAGAUUCAACUGGUGAGUUCAUACUUGGUAAGUCCUGAAGGGUAGUGGCUGGGGCACUUCAUAUGGACAAGAGCCCGACCCAAGUUGGCCGCAGCGGAGGCGAGGUGUUCCUCCGGGUCGAAGAGUGGAUCAGUACCGCCGACAUGUGUACCUAAAAGAAGCAAGUAAAUGUUAGAAACCAAACUGCAAUUGCACAAAUGAUGUAAAAUAUUGUAAGACAUGGGAUGCAGCUCACCUUGAUGGCAAACAGCAACAUCGCCCAUUAUGGCCCUGCGUAAGUACAUGGAAAGGCAUGUUAAGUACAACAGGGUUAGCAUCCACUAAAAAUAGCAAAUGGUCAGCUUCUCUAGUAUAUCUUCAUUACGGAGAGUAGCGCAUUAGCAAAGGGACAAAUUAAAAAAUGGAUGCAACUGUUAAUUGCGACAGGCUUAACAGCAUCCUAAAUCAUGUUUUGUAAGUUUGUAACCAUUGAAAUACAACUAUUUAAAAAUAGAUACAACUGUUAAUUGCAACAGGCUUAAUAGCCAUUGAAACUGGUACUGAUAAAAAUGCAAUUGGUAGAGUUAAACAUCACAAGGCAGGUACUGCCAGAGCAGAGAAUGGCCAGGUUGUCUAUAAAAAGGUAGGGAAAAUAUCUAAAACAUGUUAGGCAUGUUUACUAGAACAUGCUUCAUACAUCGACCGUACAAAACAUAGCCAUUAAUUGCAACUAGUAUUGAUAAGAUUGAACUCGUCAGUUCAAUCUUGGUAAGUCCAGAGAGGUAGUUGCUGGGGCACUUCAUCUUGGCCAUUAGUAGCACGCCACUAGUAUAUUUUACUAAUGGCCCAAAGUCAGCGGCGGCGGCACUACUAGGAAAAGGCCUACUAAUGGCGCAUUGGUUUUGCCUACUAAUGGCGCAUUACCAGUGCGCCAUUAGUAGCACGCCACUAGUAUAUUUUACUAAUGGCACACCACUCGUGCGCCAUUAGUAUCUGGUAUACUAAUGGUGCACCAAGCAGUGCGCCAUUAGUUUGUUACACAAUGCACCAUUAGUGUGCCUCCCGGGGGGCCAUACUUAAGCAUGUGCUUUGUCAUACUAAUGGCGCAUGCUAUGUUGAUGCGCCAUUAGUAUCCUUUGGCAUACUAAUGGCGCACCUAGUUGUGAUGCGCCAUUAGUAUAAAUAUUUGGGUUUUUUACUUUUCUUAUUUUUGCACAGGUUACAAAAUAUAUUAUUGGACAGAAUAUAGACAGCAGCACACAACAACAUUAGAUUCAUCAAAUACAAUAGAAGAUUAGUCUCCGAAUACAAUUCAUCACAUUAGUCUCCGAAUUCAAAAGACCGAACAAAGAUAAAACAUUACAAGUCUCAAGACCGCGAGUAUCGAGUUUGUCUUCACAUUACAAGUCGAUAUCGAUCAUCUAAACUACCGUCACAUAGAAGAGAGUUGUGGUCAUCACGAUGAGCAUCAUCGCGAUCAAACUGGUCUUCAUCCGGUUCCUCCAACGCUCCCUCCUCUCUCCCGCUAGAUAGUGGGCAUAUCUAGAUUCAGCCUCCGCCCUAGUGGUGUACCCUUUGUAACUGUUACCGCUGAAACGGUGAACCUGUCUCCGACACUCCUCCCAGUCGUCGUAGACUCCGGGAACCUUACCCUUGUACACGACAUACGACGGCAUCUCUAUGCACAAGACAAACAACAGACAAUACAUAAGCAAUAUGUAAGUAUGCAACAAAAGGAUCGGAAGAGAAACGCAAGACAUUAAUAGCACGAUUCAUGGUCCUACCAAUAAAUAGCAUCGAUUACAUCUAAGUUGAACGACUAUCCAAACCAAAGAGACAUACAAAUUCAUUGAAGUUUAAUUACAACAUGAGCCAAUCAAUGUUUCAGAACUACACAUCACUACUUUCGACUCGACUCAUCGGACAGGAGCGUGGAUGAAGCCGCCGUCUGUCGUGAUGGUCAUGAAAUCGCGGUUGUUGUCACCCUGCAUUUGUAGCAUUCCAUCUAUCUCAUUGUUGGACGGUUGAUAUCUGAGGUAGAACUGCCCCGACGUAUGAAGGGCAUCUUGAUGGAUGAUGUCCGCAAAGUCCGACUGGAUGCGAAAGAAUUCUUGUCUGAGGUCCGCGUCCUGGAUUGCCGACAAGUUCGCGGCCCAAUCUUUGAGAUUAUCUGGUAGCAGAAGUUGAUGAUGGUCCCUUACGAUCGCCCGCAUGUGAUGGAGGGCGUAGUAGGCAUCCUUCUGACCGCCAGGCGGCUGCUUGACGCAGAAGAACUUCGUAUUGUGUGAGAACAUGUGCUUGCUGUACUUACGAACAGUCCUGGUGAAGGUGCCUCCAGAUUUGGCGUAGCCGGGGAGAACAUCAUCAAGAACUUUCUUGACAUUUGUGUAGUCUAUCUUGGAGUUACAGUUCGGGUCGAAAUACGUGGUCAUGGAAUAUUUCGGGCUUAAGAGGAUGAGUGUGCAAUGUGUGUCACUGCACAGAACAUGGAAUCUUAGAAAAAAAAGAACGAUCGAAAUCUAAGAAAUCAUAUGUUACGAGGCGGUUAAGGGAUGACUUACUCGGGAAAGUAAGCCCCAAGGAAGUUAUCCUUAUCUGGGUUUGCCAGAAUGACGCCAUCAAGGUGUGAACUCGCAACUUGGCGGUCCCCAGCGCUGCUCAAGUGCUUGGCACGCAUGUAGAAGGGGUCGACUAUCACGAUGUCCGGGGUCUUGUCUCUAAUGAUCCGCAUCUCCAUACUCAGUGAAAACAGCCGAACGAAGGUGUAGUGCAGCGGAUGAAGGUUAAACAUAGGAAAGAUGUCAUGAAACCGCAGGACAAUCGUACCCACGAUGUCGCCAUCCACAAAGCCCUUGCCCUCUGGCACCUUGGCCACGAAAACCGGGUAUGCCACAUCCUUCUCUCUGAGACGCCGCUUCUCCAAACAAAGAACACUAUCGUGCAGACUCCGUAUAGCACCGGUUACAGCAUUCAGCAUAUUUGGCGGUAGCAUCGCCCUACCCGCCAUAUGCACCCUCCUCGAGAUAUCCUUAGGUGAAGGUGGCCCGUCCUGAGCAUGGAUCGAACUCGGUGCCGGCUGGCUCGCACCGGCGCCCUUGUUAGUCUUUCACUUCCGUCCCUUCUUCUUGAUCUCCUGUAAUGGGACCGAGUUCUGCUCACAGACCGCCUUCUUGAGCGUGUUGGGGCUGAUAAUAUUUCGCACCUCAGCUAUCUGACGCUCGGUGAAGGCGGGAGCUGGAGGCGUGUCCUGAGAACUGAAUGCUAGAUGACGCCUAUUGCAAUUGGAUUUCUCCGCCGUACCAGCUAGAUUGCGGUCGUCUUUGUUGGGUACUUGAGAAAGAGGCCCGUAGAACUCGUCAGCGUACCCAUGUUCGGCAAAGUACUUAUCGACUUUGGUAAAUGUACCAUCGUCGUUGUCGUCGUCGUCCGGAUCCUGUGCCAUAGGGAUGUCCGUAUCCUGUGCCAUAGGGAUGUCCGGCAAAGGGAUGUCCGGCAGGUCCGGUAGCGUUGCGGCGUUCUUGCCAUGGCUUGGUGCCGACACGACUGGAGGUCUUGUCUGUGGGGUGGUGUCCCCCGCCCCCAAACAAAUCUGGCUCUUCGGCCAAAGCAGGGGCCAGUUUACGCAGGCGCUGAGGGUCAUCUCAUCUUCUUCAUCGGCCCCAGCGGGUCGAAUCGGAGGUAACAGCUCGUCGCAGCCUGGCAGCACCCGAACCACUUCAACCCUAUACAUUGUGGGUGCCAUCGGAUUACCGUGGAACAUGCGAUUGCCCGGUUGAACGAUUCUUCCCUUGGCGACAUUGACGAACUCGGCGCCCACGAAGUGCAGAAGAGUGCAAGGAAUGUCGGCGGCGCCCUACGAAAACAUGUACAGGGCGUCAGGGAUGCCCAGUCAAAGGCAAGGAGAUGAAGUCAUUGGCCGAGAGGCUUAGUUACCGUGAUGCCGUCUAGCUCGGCUAAUGUCGAGGCACCGCCAACGGUGGGCGUGCAACUGACGGAGGGGGCGCUUGCUGGUGAGGUGCCGGCCGGCGUACACCCGGGUGCAUUAAGCUCCAAUGCCCGUGCCGGCGCCGGAGACACGAAUACCGCCUCCACCGGAGACACCAAUGGUGCCGCCGCCGGAGACACCAAUGGCGCCGCCGGAGACAUCAAUGGCGCCGCCUGCACGCUGUGUGAGUUGCUGGUUGUGAAGCUGGGAACCGGGGGAGGCCCAUGUUGGCCGCCCGCAAUCCAAGUCAUCAGCCCAUGAAUCAACGUAGGCACCAUGGCGUUGAGCUUCCCAUGUUCCCAGUUGUUGUUCGACUUGCUCUUGGACAAGCUCUGGAAUCCGUGCCACUUGUGCCUUGAGUGCUUCAACCUCGCGCGUCUGGCUUUCCGAGCUGGCCUUUUUCUCCUUCCGCACACCAGCGGUAUAGUAUGACCCCCAUUUUGUCGACAAGCCUUUGCCGGCCACACGACCAGCUGACGUCGGCUUAGUGAGCUUAUCCUUGCUUUUCAUUAUGUUCAACGCCCUAUUUAAAGGGGUGUCGAAAGGGGAGCUCUGAGACAACCCCGCGCUACUGCUUUCAGUGUCCUGCAAAAGGAACGUGAACCAUUUAGAAAUAUUGGGGAUUAAUUAGAGUGCAACCAUAUGGAGCUAAUUACGCGGGGGUGUAUUCCUUACCAGAACAAGCUCAAGCGCCCUGGUCUUCGGAUCCGUGGUAAGCUCCUUUGUUAUCGGGUCCUCCUUGUAUCGGGCCCUGACAUAGUUCCCGGUCUGCUUGUUACCGCUAUAUUUCUCGAAGCGGGGCGGUAGGCCUUGCUCGGCACGCUCCGCGUCCUCCUUGUCCCAUACAGGCUCCGCCACUCUGUAACCACCGGGACCGAGUUUGUGUUCCCCUAAGUUCAACUCCCGCAUUUCUUUCCCCCACUGACUUGAUUCGGAGGUUGUGCUGCUCUCGCACUUGAUCUUGAACUCCUUGUACUCAUCUUCGCUCAUCAAAGGAUAUUUCGCCUUGAUCUUCUCAUAAGUAUCACCUUUACCAAUCAUUCUCUUCACCGUGCUUCUCCAAGUAGACAGGGUCGUGCUCAUCUUCGUGAGGGCGGCACUGUUCACUUUAUUCCCUGAGAGGCGUGUGUUUUCAAAUCCGGCGGGGAACUUGUAUCAUUCAUGCAGCUUCGUGAAGAGGAGGUUGCGCAAAUUCCCGUGGUCCUUAUUCCUAAGGUUAUCGGUGUUGAUCGAGACGGUGCUCCGGAGAAUGCACCCGAGCUGAAGCGCGUACCCCUUGACUAUAUGUUUGGGCUCUGUUGGAUUCCCGUCGGAGUCCACUUGAGUGAAUUCCUCCUUGAGGGUGCGGAGCGCAUUUGGGCGCCGGUCCUUCCUUUGCUUCUUCGGUUGGCCGUCAUCUGUGUGUGCGCCGCCAUCAUCAAUGGUGGCAUCCUCGGCCGCACCAUCAGUGGUGUCAUCCCCGACGCCACUAGGGGGUGUGUAAUCAGGAUCGGUGUCUUCCGCAGCGUCCUCAUAGCGGUGAGGUUGUUCCUCCAUCUCCUGGGACAGCUCCCAGAAUUGCUUGCCGCCCGAACCACCGGCCUCAUCGUUGUGGGCCAUGUUUCGCUCUAAAUAGGAAAAAGAAUUGGUCAAAAAGUUGGUUAUUGUCAAGGAACAAGAUCAUGGUCUCAUCAUUUAGGGUUUGUCGACACCGAGGCACCCUAAAAUCUUAAGCUUUCAUCAUUUAGGGUUUGUCGACGGCGAGGCACCCUAAAAGCCUAAGCGUGCAUCAUUUAGGUUCUCAUCAACACCGAGGCAUCCGGGGCAGCCAAGUUAAGUUUUCAUCAUUUAGGGUUUAUCGAUGCCGAGGCACCCUAGGUUGGGCCUAAUCACUUGGCUCUAUUGCCACCUAUGUUGGGUUUAUCAUCUAGGGUUUAUCGAUGGUAAGGAGAAUUCUAAGUUGGGCCUAAUCACUUGGCUCUAUUGCCACCUAUGGUUUAAUGCAGCAAGAAUAAAGGGGCAGUUGAUCUACUUAGUUAAGUACUAAGAUACCCCGGCCCAUGCAUUAGUCGCAAGUACCCCAUAUGUCCUAUUUUUAGCAAAGUCAUGCUAAAUUUCAUGGAAAAUUUCAGCAUGACCUUUGCUGAAAAUAGGACAUAUGGAGUACCCGAAUUUGCCGGAACGGAAGUUAAUCGACAUUCCGGCAAACUCAAGGGCCUCUCGGGGUACCUGCAAAAUCAUCACGACACGAUGGUCGGAGACAAAACCCAGCAAUAUAUCUUCUUGGGUGAAGACACCAGCACCACUAGAAGGUGUCAGGACUCAAAGAUGCUCCUGCAGAAAAGAUGAACAAACACAUGCCACAUAUAUUACACCACAUUCAUGGAAACAAUAACGAUGGUAUCUUUUCUUAUGGACAGCCCUUUCUUUCUCCUCUUGGCUUAAGCCCUAAACCCUAAAGCUGGUCUUGUGGCCUCAUCCACUAACUAAUGCAGGUCUUGCAUUGCACACUGCCUUACAGCUGGUAAAAAGAGCUUUGAUAGGCUAGUGCAUGGAAGAUAGACAGAAAUGUUUUUUCUGCAUCGAAGCAUGGACACAAAUGUUGAUAUUCUUAGUCAGUGUUUUUUUCUCUUUCGCCAUUGAUUGGCUAGUGCAUGGAAGCUAGAACUCCAAGUACUUGUUUGUGGUAUGGAAGUAACCAGUAGCUUACCAAUUCAUGGUGUUUGGGGUAUGGCGAAAGAACAUGUCUACAACUGUCAGACCAUCACAAGUAUCAACAGAACAUGUCUACAACCAUGUAACAAAUCAUGUCUAGUUGAUAUGAUGUAACAAAUCUGACCAUCACAAAAAUCAAAAGAACAUAUAUACACCAUCAUUCAGGCCAUCAAAAGCAUAACAGAGCAAUGGUGUUUUCUUCAGUUACCUUUGAUCUGGCUGCUUGGAAUCCACUGACCUUCAGAUCCGCUGACCAAUCCACUAACCUGCUGUUCAUCAAAAGGAAAAAUAAAUGAGCAUACGUGGUGAGUAGAAGGGAUUGGGGAUUUCGGGUUUCUGUAUGGGGUUAGAACUAGUCAAGUUUGAAUAUUACACAACCCUGAACAUUACACAAUUCAAACUACAGAACAUACACUGUAUUCAGUGAUCUUUCUAAACAAGCUACAGAACAUACACUGUAUUCAAACUUGCUGCUAUUUAAGCAAGUUUUUGUAAGAAAACUGAUUAGGACCCCCAAAAAACUUGCUGCCUUUCAAUCAGACCAAAUGUUUCACUUAAUUUUAUGAGUUAACUGAAUUUACAUUUAAUUCAGUUAACCAAAAUUACACUGAAUUUUAUUGUCAAUUCCUAACUUCAUCACUAGCUCCCCAGUUUGGUCUAUGGUGUUGGCCAGUGAACAAUCAUGUUUGGUUGUCGCGUGUUUUUUACUCUUAGUGAGCCUCUGCAUCAGUGAACGGUAGUGGCAAGCGUUAAGCAGUUACAGAUGAAGAACCAGGAGGAACUAAAGUGUCUAAUUGUAAAACUCUGAAAUGCUGAAAGUACCUACUGGACAUGUAUGUUUCCGAAAAUGUCAAUUUAUGUUGAAUUUUAUUAAGGUUUAAUUGUUCAUCCAGGAGCAUAUGCUCCUGGAGCCAAAACGCUACCCUUGAUUGUGGAUUGCCACAAGAACAUCAUUACUUCAUUUUUUUUCUCUGAGGGGGAGAAUUACACAACUAUUGCAACCAGAGGAAGGAAGAAGUUCUUCAUAAAGGUCGUCAGACAAUGUGUAGUGCAAGUUCCUCUUGGCUAAUGUAUUAUCUUUAGUUCUCGAUAGAAGGUGUUAUUAUCACCACCAGAGGGAGCAUCAGUCUAAAAGUGCUCGCAACAAAAUGAAUGAAUUAAAAAUAGUCCAGAAAAACAGUGAUUUGCAACUCAAGAAUACUUCGUUCAUUGAUUUUGUAGAUUCAUUAUUCAUCGGUCUAAUCAAGCGACUUAGCUAGUGAUGAAGUUAGGAAAGACGAUUGCUGAAUUUGAAAUCGCCUACCUGGGCUUGAGGGAGGUGUGGGCGGCGAGGUCACGGGAGGAGUACUUCCUUGGCUCGCCGGCUGCUGCGGAGGUGACCGGUGGUGGAGGACGGCAGGGGCAGCUGGGCAGCAUCGAGUUCGGCCGGCUGGGCGCGCCGCGGCGGCGGGCCGGCAGCGGUGGCGGCGGCUAGGAACCCUAGCUGUCGCGCUCGGGAGGGAGGUUGACGCAGGCGGGGCCACGGGGGAGAGGGACGGCGAGGGCGCGGUCGCGGGUGGAGGGGGGACGGUGAGGGAGGUGGUCGGGUGCGGCGGGGGAAGCGAGCACGGCCGGGGACGGCGAGCACGGUCGGUGUGGGGGGAGAUGAGGCAGGGGAGGGAUUAGAGAGAAAUGUGAGGGGAUUGGGGAUUUUAAUUUAGUGUGGGGGAAGGCUUAGCAAUGGCGCACCACCCAGCGGUGCGCCAUAAGUACAUCCAUAGCAAUGGCGCACCACCGAGGGGUGCGCCAUAAGUAAUUUAGCCCGACUUGUCAGGUUAUAUACCACCUAACCCUAUAUACAACAGAACCUACCCACUAGCCCGACUGGUCAGUAUGUAGCACCCACACCAGGAGGUCCUGGGUUUGAUUCCCACGCUCCCCAAUUUUUUAUGCAUUUUAAAUCCUGUUUGAUAUUUAUUUGUGUUUAAAUAUGUUCAAACUUCUUUAAAUCAUAACAGUAAUAUUUUUUUUUAUAAAAACAGUAAUAAUUUUUUAAAAAAUAUGUUCAAAUUUGUUACUUGAAAAUAUCAUCGGCGGCGGCGGUGGAGCGGGGGAGGGUGCGGGGGGUGCCCGUUGGCGGCGNNNNNNNNNNNNNNNNNNNNNNNNNNNNNNNNNNNNNNNNNNNNNNNNNNNNNNNNNNNNNNNNNNNNNNNNNNNNNNNNNNNNNNNNNNNNNNNNNNNNNNNNNNNNNNNNNNNNNNNNNNNNNNNNNNNNNNNNNNNNNNNNNNNNNNNNNNNNNNNNNNNNNNNNNNNNNNNNNNNNNNNNNNNNNNNNNNNNNNNNNNNUCGUCGACUGCGUUGGAGCUAGCGGGGGAGGGUGCGGGUGGGAUCGAGAUCGAGAUGGAGGGGGAUCGAGAUCAAGUGUCCUCAUGAAUUCAAAAAGUGUCCAUGAAAUUUAAAAAUAUUCAUGAUAUCAAAAAGUGCCCAUGAAAUACAAUCGAGAAAUGAAGACUACGAUUUAAAUACAAUCGAGCUAGCUAUCUGUUCACAAUCUUCUUGCCCUUCUUUUUUGCAAAUGGAGUUCUUCUGUGGAAUGGACGUCCUUUAGGUAGGGUGGUCCUGCUUCUUCUUGUUUUGCAUGCUGCUACUUCAUCGUCGUCGUCAUGUUCGAUCUUCGGGUUGCCGUACUUGUUAAAGUCUUGCUCAUUGGCUACUCCAUCCAUUCCGAUGAUCUUCCUUUUGCCUCUCCUCACGACAACACGACUGGGCUUUGGCUGGUCGGUAAUGAAGAAGCAUUGGUCCACUUGGGAAGCCAGUACCCAUGGCUCAUUUUUUGUGGUGACGUUUGCGCCCGCGGUCUUGGAUUUGGCUUCGGGUAUAACCAUGGUGGUGAAAUACCGGUCUUCUUUUAGGACGCUCUUGGCCCAUCUGACACGGAACAUCGGGACCUUCUCUCUAGCAUAGCUCAGCUCCCAGAUCUCCUCGAUCCUUCCGUAGUAUCUGUCCUUGUCGUUGCCGGUGUAAGAUUCCAUCGUUACCCCGGAGUUCUGAUAACCAUCGCUCUUCAUGUCCUUAUCCUUGAUGUAGAAUGUGUAGCCGUUGAUAUCGUACGCCUCAUAGGUCAUCAGGUUGUGCUCGGCGCCCUGUGACAAGGCGAAUAUGAGUUGUUCUUCCGCGGAAGAAUCCUCAUGUAAAGGGUACGCCAGAAGCUUCUGCUUUAACCAACGCGUGAAACAUGAGUUGUGCUCUUUGAUUAUAUCUCCGUCCGUCCUCUGUUGGCCUCGGUCAUUGUAUGUCUUCUCAAUAAAGGUUUUGUGCUCUACCACCCAAGGAUCGACCACGUCUAUGUGUUGUAGAUCGACUAGGUUUGCUCUUUCAAAGUCGGCGAGUCGACCCUCGAAGUCGACAUGCAUUUCGCGGCGACCCUCAUGGUGACCCCAUCCAGCGAGCCUGCCGAGGUGCCUGUUGACGGGCAGACCAACGGGGUUCUCGAUGCCUAGAUAAUUCGUGCAGUAGGAGAUGCACUCUUCGGUCAGAAAGCCCCUGGCUAUACUUCCCUCUGGACGUGACAUGUUUCGAACGUAUCCUUUGAUGACACCAUUCAUCCUUUCGAACGGCAUCAUGCUGUGCAGGAACGUCAGCCCGAGUUGGAUGAUAUCCUCCAUGAUAUGGACCAGCAGAUGCACCAUAAUGUCAAAGAAUGCAGGUGGGAAGUACAUCUCAAGCUCGCAUAGUAUCACCACGAUCUCUUCUUGUAGCCUUCUGAGUUGCCUCAUGCCAAUGGACUUCCGAGAGAUGACGUCGAAAAAGUUGCAUAGGCCAAAUAGCGUUUCACGGACGUGCGCGUCCAUGAUCCCACGGAUUGCAACUAGAAGUAUCUGCGUCAUCAGCACGUGAUAGUCAUGAGACUUCAUGCCACUGAACUUCUGCUUCGCUGGGUCUAGGUAUCUGCUUAUCUUCCCCGCGUAACCGUAAGGAAGUUUUACUCCUAGGAGGCAGGUGAAAAACUGCUCGAUCUCCUCCUGACUUAGAGUGAAGCACGUGGGAGGGUAGUCAUUUCCGGUCUUCUUGGCCUUUUUGCCUUUGCGACGACUUUCUAUGUCCUGCUUCGCCUCAUCAUCAUCAUCAUCAUCAUCAUCAUCAUCAUCAUCAUCAUCAUCAUCAUCAUCAUCAUCAUCAUCAUCAUUAGCGUGAAGCUCCUGCCUGAUGCCCAUUGAUUUGAAGUCUGCCCUUGCUUUCGGCCCAUCUUUGGUCGUCUCUGGCAUGUUGAGCAGGGUACCAAGCAGACUCUUGCACACGUUCUUCGUGAUAUGCAUGACAUCAAGGCUGUGAGGCACACGAUGGAUCUUCCAGUACGGCAAGUCCCAGAAAACAAACCUCGUUUUCCAUACCUUCAGCAGCGGCUCUGGCGCCUUUCGCUUCUUUCCCGGCUCUGGCGCAUUUUGCUUCUUUCCCGGCAGUGGGCAGUCUUUCCAAUUUUUCAACAGCUCGUCUAUUUCCUCACCGCUCCUCGUACAUGGGCGUUUUCGGGGUUCGGUUUCACCAUCGAACAGAUCCUUGCGUUUCCUCCACGGGUCAUCAUCGCGAAGCCACCUUGAAUGUCCCACGAACACGGUUUUUGAAGACCCGGGAUCUCUAUCUAGCUGGCGAUACAUUGUGUCAUCCAUGCACCUUACGCAUCCAGAAAAUCCGUGGACUACCUGCCCCACGAGAUAUCCAUAACCGAGAUAGUCGUGCACCGUCGUGAGCAGUGCGGCUCUCAUAGGGAAAUAUUCUUUCUCUACGGCGUCCCACGUAUUGGCUGGCGUUUUCCAUAGCGUGUCUAGCUCCUCCUUCAGCAGCCCCAGAUACAGAUUGAUGUCGUUCCCUGGUUGUUUCGGCCCUUCAAUUAGCAUACUCAUGUGAAUGUACUUCCUCUUCAUGCACAACCAGGGGGGAAGGUUGUACAUCCACACAAACACAAGCCAGGUGCUAUGUGUGCUUCUCUGGCUGCCAAACGGAUUGACUCCAUCGGUGCUCGCGCCCAGCACGAUGUUCCUUGGAUCCUUCCCAAAUUCUGGGUAUUCGAAGUUCAACGCUUGCCACUGGCUCGCAUCCUUAGGGUGACUCAGCAUCUUGUCUUUUUUAUUUAUCUCCGGAUCAUUUCCGUCAUCUUCCCGCUUCUUCUCCUCCCUAUCUGCGUGCCAACGCAGGAGCUUUGCUACCUUAGGGUCCGUGAAAUACCGCUGCAGACAAGGAGUGAUCGGAAAGUACCACACCGAUUUUCGAGGAGCUUUCUUCCUCUUCUUGUAUCGGGUGACGCCGCACACCGGACAUAUGGUAGACUCAGCAUGCUCGUCCCGAUAAAUGAUGCAAUUGUUCAUGCACACAUAGUAUUUCACGUGCGGUAAAUCCAGAGGACACACGAUUUUCUUUGCCUCCUCGAAACUGGUCGGGCACUUGUUCCCCUUGGGAAGACGUUCGUGCCAGAAUGACAUGUUCUCGUCGAAGCAUGCGUCGGUCAUUUUGUGUUUUACCUUCAUCUCCAGAGCCAUGAGCGUUACUUUUAGGCGGGUAUCCUCGGGCCUGCAUCCUUCAUACAAUGAAGUAACCGCGUCUAUCUCCAGUUGAUGCAGCUUGGCUUUCUCUCGGGCGGCAGCUCUUGCGUUAUCCGUCUGCUUGCGAAGCAUCUCUUGAAUAUGAGGGUCCUGCACCCAGCCUCCAUCGUCGUCUGCUCCGGCAUCUUCAUCUUCAUGAUCAUGCCCUUCGUCUUGAUCUUCCUCAUCAUCAUGUAUGACAUCUUGUACAUGAUGAUUGUGUACAUCAUCACCGUCGUGAUCAUGUCCUGGAGAUUCUUCGUUUUCUCGCUUGCCCUCGCCGCGGUGGUUGUCUUGUUGCCCUUCCGCAUUUCUUGCCCGGCCCCCAUGGACGACUUCAUAGUCAUCUUCAUCACCUUGCCACCGAUAGCCAUCCAUGAAACCACGCAAGAGCAGGUGGUCCCGCACCUGCCCGGAAUCCGGGUCCGCAAUAAGGCUCUUCAGCUUGCAUCUUCGACACAGACAUCUUAUCUACGUCUCGUUCUUUUGAAGCAUCUCGGCCUUCGCGGAGCUCAAAAACCUAUUCACGACGCCUUCGGUCAUCGUGCGGACCAUGGUCGCCUGCGGGGGAGAGCAAAACGAUAUUUUAGAACCAAGAAAAUUUUUGGCAUGACCUUCCCUAAAAAUAGGACCAAAAAGAAUGCAUAGUGCCAAAAUUCUCGCCGAAACGGAAAUGAAUCAACAUUCCGGCAAAAUAUUGGCAACUAUCGCAUUUCAAAUACUGGUACCUACAAACACAAACAUAUAUGCAACACCACAAACACAAGCAUCACCACAAACAUACAUAGAUCUAGCUAGGCCACAAAAAGUGCAUGUGCAUGUUGUUGGAGCGAGCUAGGGAGAAAAAAAGUAGAUCUACAUCAUGAAGAUAGCUUUCCCCUUACUUACCUAUCAAAAAAGGUAAUUUCACCACUUAAUUUUGAUGAAUCUAUGGAGGAAAUGAGGUGAGGAGGAGGAGGCAGCCGAGACAAGCUUGGAGGAGGAGGUGGAGAGAAUGAAGUGGGGAAAGUGAGUGGGUAUGUGGGCUGUCCAAAAUAUCUUGUUGGUCCCAGGUUACUAAUGGCGCACCGCCACAAAAUGCGCCAUUAGUAACCCUGGUUACUAAUGGCGCACCAACAGGCGGUGCGCCAUUAGUACUUUUUGCAGAAAAGUAAAAAAACAUAUGUAUUCUAAUGGCGCACUGUGGGAAAGUGCGCCAUUAGUAGUUUAAACUAGUAAUGGCGCACUUCGACAUGGUGCGCCAUUAGUAGGUUUGCAAAAAAUUAAUAUAUAUAUAUAUAUAUAUAUAUAUAUAUAUAUAUAUACACUAAUGGCGCACUGUAUGGGUGGUGCGCCAUUAUUAGUUCUAACUAGUAAUGGCGCACUUUGGCAUCAUGCGCCAUUAGAGUGUAUGGAAAAAUGGAAAAAAAAUUCAAUACUAGUGGCGCACCGUGUACCUGGUGCGCCAUUAGUGUCUUCCACACUAAUGGCGUACCACCAACCGGUGCGCCAUUAGAAUAUAGUAGUGGCGCACUGCUUGCCUGGUGCGUCAUUAGUAUCAAUCCUAUCUAUAGCCCUUUUCCUAGUAGUGCGGGGGCGAGCUGUUCCUCUGGGUCAAAGCGUGGAUCAGUGCCUCUAACAUGUGUACCAACAGGCAACCAGUAAAUGUUAGAAGUUAAACUACAAUUGCACAAAUGUUGUGAAAUAGUGUAAGACAUGGGAUGCAACUAACCUAGACGGCAAACAAUAGCACCGCCCGUUAUCACCCUACAUAAGUACAUGGACAUGCAUGUUAAGUACAACAGGGUUAGCAUCUACCAAAAAUAGCAAAUGCGCAGAAUCUCUAGUAAUAUCUUGAAUCCUGUUCUUUAAGUUUGUUGCUGGUAUUGGUGAAAUUGAGCUGACAGUUAAUACUUUAACAUCACAGAGUGUGUAGUACUGAAAUAAACAAGGCACGAACAUGCUUAAUACAUCAACCGUACAAAACAUAGCCAUUGCAAGUGGUAUUGGUAAGAUUGAGCUGGCCAGAUCAUACCUGGUAAUUCCUGAGAGAUAGUUGCUGGGACACUUCAUCUGGGCCAAAGCCUUCACCAAGUCGGUGACGGCCGAGGCGAGGUGUUCCUCCGGGUCAACACGCAUAGCGGCCAUCGUGCCAUCGACCGCCAUCAGCUCCUUGACCUCCAUGUGAUAUGUGGUUGGGUUGUGCGGCGAUGCUCUGGAGGUAGGGCGGCGGGGAUUUGGAGGCAUGAGGAUGUUUCGUAGGCGCCACUUAAGCAAUCAGGCCGGUGCCGUGAUAGAGAUCGGUUGGUUACCUGACUGGAUUGACGAUGCUCAGGCAAAACGUAGUUGUGGUUGAAGCUGUGGUUGUAGCGGCGACGGUUUGAGCUGAUGGUAGGGGGAGGGGGAGGGGGAGAAAUUGAGGAAAUUUGACGGGUGGGGAUGUGGUGGGGGGAAUAAAUUCUGAAAUCACGCGUCUAAUGGAAAUUUCAACGUGAAACUUGAAACUUGGGCGGGGGAAACACACAACACAGUCGAAGCGCAUAAAAUACUCGUGCAUGAGAAAAGAGAAAAUUUGCAGAUCCCAUCUCCAAAAAAAUGUACACGUGUAGUGAUUUUUCCAGUCAAUGGUACACUUGGUUUAUUAGGAAACAUCGCACAGGUAACUGACUUAUGGAGCACAAACACAAAAAACGCACACAGGCGCCGUAGAAACCAUGUGUUUUGUGAUCUUAUAAUAAUUCUUAUAUCAAUCGGCAUCUCCAAACGCACCUAAUUUCAAAAAUCUCUUUCAUUGUAUCAGGAUUAUUCAAUGUACAUGAACGAGGCAAGGUGACACCCGAUGAGCAAUCAUCGGUUUAUGAAAUGCAAUCAAGUGUCAACCUUGCUCGCUCACAUAGCCAUAUUUGAUCCUAUGCAACAAGAGAGAAGCUUGCUGCCUUCCACCGGCGUGGCAAUUUAAGCCAGUGUGCGCCCAACUCGCGCGGCCAGCUCUAGUCUCUGGUGGCUGCAAUCGUACGUUUCGGGAGUAUUUAGGGCCAGGGUGUGGCUACAAAACUUCAGUAAACACAUGCUAAUCAACGCUCAAAGUACUCAAAGGAUGCGCCUACCCACAUUGUACGUUAAUAAUAGAUAAUACCAACUUAAAUUAUUACUUGUAAUUUUAUCUAAAACUAGUACAUGUGUAGUACAGGUAGAUGCUCGUAAUUAAUUAUACAAACUUACAUGCUGCCAUCGGGGCAUGCUAGCCAGACGUCGUCAUUCUCCUUCCCGGCCUUGUAGGCGGCGGCCCACCAUGCUUCGAUCUCCACCGAGGUCUCCUCAGCAUGGCGUGCGGCCUCUUCUUUGUUGCAGUGGCGGGACUCUCUUUUCUUGACUGCUUUCUGUCUUUUCUGGUCCUUCUGUGCGGCUUGGCCGCCUCUAGAUCAACCUCCCAUUCGGCCAUGGCAGCAUUAAAUUCUGCCUACGUACUUGUGCCACCACCGCUGGUGAUGAACUUGGCACGGCGAGAUGCCAUCUCUUCCUUCCCAUGUGUGCGGUCGCAGGCAGCGAGGAACGCGGUGCGGUGAGAUGUCAUCGCUUCCUUACCAGUUACUUUGCGCCGCAGUGUCAUGAACGACGCUUGGGGAGAGCUCUGGGACGAAGUGGCGGGACAGCCGUACAGUGCAGUGGUUUCUAAGAGCUCAACGACAAACAACGAAGGAAAUUUGGCUUCCCUUACAAAUUUGCUCGUUCAUUUUCGCACACGGUUCAUCUCCGUCGCCUCCGGAAACAGUGUGCGCUGAGCCUAUUGUGUGUUGCGUUAUGAUUGGCCGGAACCCUAGCCACCAAGAUCGCCCGUGUGCACCAUAGGAUGCGCCUUGAUCAAAAGACAAUCCACGUCCCUCACAUCACAGCCAUGCAGCUUUAGCUGGAUUGGAUUCAUAUUCACUAAAUGCCUAGAAAAUGCACAUAAUCCCCGAAAUAUGGUACAUGAGCCCCCAAAAAAUGCCAAAUUCGAACACGGUGAUUUGUAGGGUGUAUGUUCAUCAUAGAAAAAACUCAAUGGCAAAGAAAGAAAAAAAUUGGAUUCCCCUUCAAUCUUGGUGAUUUCCCUCUCGAAAGCAUGGAACCUCCUCACUGAUGGUUCGAUUUAUGAAGGGCGGGCAUGAUGACAUAAGCCAAACCUUCUCAAAUUUUUACCAGGUCAUGGUAAGGCCAUACCAUGGCACCAUGCCAGGCGCCAUGUUUGUCAAUCAUUUAUUUCAUUUUUCUAUAGUUGAAAACCCAAUAAACAAACAUUUGUUGUUGGCUAUUGCCACACAUUUCAUCGAAAUAUCUGCCCAUUCCCUGUAAAAGGCAUGAGAAUUUACUAAAUGGCAUGAUCAUGGUUUUCCAAGCCAUUAUUGUGCACCCUUUCAUGCAGCGAUUGUUUGAACUUUAAUUAUGUGCAUUAAUGCCUAGAAAAUGCACAUAAUCCCCUAAAUAUAGUAAAUGAACCCGGAAAAGUGCCAAAUUUUAACACGGUGAUUUGCAAUGUGUAUAUUCAUCAUAGAAAAAGUCAUGGAUAAAGGACAAAGGAAAUUUGGAUUCCCCUUAAAUCUUGGUGAUUUCCCCCUCGAAACCAUGAAACUUCCUUGGUGAUGGUUCGAUUUAUGAAAUGCAUGCAUGAUGAAAUAAGGCAAACAUUUUAAAAAAUUUACCAGGGCACAGUGAGGCCAUACCAUGGCAUCACACCUGGCAUCAUGUUUUCCAAGAAUUUAUUUCAUUUUUCUAUAGUUGUUAUCCCAAUAAAAUACGCGUUUGUGGUUGACUAUUGCCACACAUUUCCUUGAAAUCUCUGCCCAUUCCUUGUAAAAGGCAUGAGAAUUUACUAAAUAGCACAAGUAUGGUUUUCCAGACUAUUCUUGAGCACCUUUUCAUGCAUCAAUUCUUGAAAUUUGAAUUUUGUAUAUUAAUGCCUAGAAAAUGCACAUAAUCCCCUAAAUAUGGUAAAUGAGUCCGAAAAAUACCAAAUUUGAACAAGUUGCAUUGGAGGCAGUAUGUUGAUCAUUGGAAAAAAACCGGAAUGACAAACUAGGAUGGAAAUUUGGAUUCCCCUUCAAUCUUGGUGAUUUCCCCCUCGAAACCAUGAAACUUCCUCGCUGAUGGUUUGAUUUAUGAAGGGCGUUCUCUGACAAUAUACUCCGCGGUAUGACCCGACCAGAAAUAUGACCCAGGCAGACUUGGCGGCUCACCAGAGACCCGGCUGACACUUGGCGACUCACUGGUCUGGCGAAACUCACGAGCCCGACGACUCACUAAUGGCCCCGAUGGCGGGUCAUAUAGAGUAUUAGGCCCGAGGUCCAGAAGGCCGGCUCAUGUUAUCACUAUAAGAAAUAUGUCAACUUGUGACCUUCUGUCAGUGACCCUGAAAGAAUUGGUCAUAAAUCUACGACCAUUUGAGACCAAUUGGUCAAAAGCUGUUCGAGGGGCUCCAAACCCUAAACCAUAAUGACCAUUUUGAUAAGAAAGGUCACAAUUUCUUUACACAAAAUGGUCGUAAAGCAGACAACACUGGUCCACUGCCAUAUUUCUAGCUGAUCACGACCAAUAUAAAUAGUCAUAACGUUCUAAACAUGGAUGCGUUGAUAUGACUGGACACCACAUCAUCAAUUCCGCCUACGUGUCUUGUCAUUUUUGCUUAUGUGUCACUUCUAGCAGUUGGUUUGACCACUCACAUAUUAACUAAAAUGAUCUAUGGAACUACCACUAACAUGCGGGGCCAACUAACACAAUGUCAGUGACAUGUGGGACCCUUUGUCCACUCACAUAUUAACUUGUUGAGUACACUGACAUGUGAGGCGUACUACUGAACCAACUAAUACAAUACCUAUGACAUGUGGGACCGUCCUCCCCUGGAAUAAAGGACCUGCAAAUUGGCGAAUCGCAGCAAAAAGUGGCUCCCGUGGGACUCGAACCUGGAACGUCUCAGUCUCAUUUAGAGAACAAACCACCAGGCUACCACCACUUUGGUGAUUGGGUAGCGCGCGCGGCCUACUUAAGGUUUCUCUUCGACUGGGCUUGGGCCUUGUUCGGACGAGGCCACCUCCUAUUUUUCUUUCUUUUAACAUUUCCGUGUGUCGCCUAGGCUUUGGCCCAUUCAGGAAUAAAGGUUAGUGUCGAUGCUAUGCUAGAACUUGGGCCGGCCCAGGCCAGGCUCCCUCUUUUUUGUUAGUUUUUUUUUCUGUUUUCUUUUCCAUUUUUAUUUUUGCUUCAUAAAAAAAAUUCGGGAUUACAAAAAAGAUUAUAAUUCAAAAAAUGUACACUAAUGCAAAACAACAUUCACGAAUUCAGAAGUAUGUUAACAAAUUCUUUAAAUUGAAUGAAAAAAAUAAAUUUCAUGAAAUGUUUUGUAUUCAAGAACAUUUUUUAAUUCAAAGAACAUUUUUCCAAAAAUCAUGAACAUUAUGGAAAUAUUAUGAAAACUUUUUGAAGUCAAUAAACUAUUUUCGCAAAUUUUUUAUCUCUCAAAAAAGGUUCUUCAUUAUAGGAAAAUCUCGAAACAACUUAAAAAUAUAAAAUUACGAGAAUAGGAAAAUGAAAACACCCUACAACUGCGGUCAAAAUGGCAGCAUGACCGUCAUAGCUAGAGGGAGUCUUUCAAAACUUUUGUUGGAUCUCUAAUGAAAUAACUAGUUGCGUACCUAGAAAUGAUUUUUGAAAACAUAAAGAGAAAACUAUGAAACAAAUGUAGUUCAAAUAGCUAGGAGUUGAAUUUUGCAAAACUUUUGGAGUAUCUCUAAUUGAAUAGAUACUUGUGUACCUAAAAUGAUUUUUGAAAAAAAUAAAGAGCAAACAAUGAGGGAGCUGCACUUCAAAUUUGACCCGCUUUCAGCUGAAACGGCGAAAAUUUGUGUUUUUCACAAGAGGUGAAUGCAAAGGUUUUGACACCCAACCAUUUGGUCAAUUGUACAUAAAAUAUGGCCUAAUAUUUUAGAAAAUGAUUUUAUCCAAUUUUGCAACAAAUAUAUGGUAGGUCCUUCACACAAAAAACUCAUUCUGGGCACUCAAAAAAUGGAAAUAUUUUCGUCCAAAGAAAAUGAAAAUUUUGUUAGGCAACAUUGUUUGCCAUUCCAAUAAGCACCCUUAUGCACAAUAUGAGAUCAUUUGAAGAAACUAUGCCAUGAAUCUGGCUAUAAGAUUGAUCAUUUGGCUUAAAAGCCAUGCAUCUUCACACAUGAUAGCUCGUUUCUGAGAACAUUUUUUCAAAAAAAUUACCAUAUUACAAGUUUAUUAUUUUUCCUGGUAAGUUGGUCACAUAUAAUGAAACAAUGCGAAGGUUUUCCAAUUUUUGGAUUUUUUUUAUUUUUUAUGCCCGUCUUAAUAUGUGGUCAAAACGGCGGGCAUGACUGUUCCUAGCUAGUGGUUGAAUCUUGGAACUUUUUUGUGUUUUUAUGAUUAAAUAGAAACUUAUGUACCUAGAAAUGAUUUUUGGAAAAAAAUAAAUAGCAACCUAUGAGGCAGGUGCAGUUCAAAUUUGACCCGCUUCCCACUGAAUCGGCGGAAAUUUGUCUUUUUCACGAGAGGUGGCUCGAAACUUUUGAUACACAAAUAUUUGGUUAAUUGUGCAUUAUAUAUGGCCUAUUAUUUUAUAAAAAUGAUUUGGUACAAUUUUGUAACAAAUAUUUGCUAGGUCCUUCACAAAAAAACUCAUUUUGGAGACUAAAAAAUUAGAAAAAUGAAUUUCUUGUGCAAAAAAAUGAAAACUUCCUUAGGCAACAUUGUUUGCCAUCCCAAAAUGCACCCUUGUGCACAAUAUGAGAUCAUUUGAAUAAACUAUGCCAUGAAUGUGGCCAUAAGUUUGAUCAUUUGGCUUUAAAAGCCAUGAAUCUUCACACAUGAGAGCACGUUUUUUAGAACACUUUUUCAGAAUAAUUGCCGUAUUACAAGUUUAUUAUUUUUCCUAGUAACUUGGUCACAUAUAAUGACACAAUGCAAAGCUUUUCCAAUUUUUUGUUUUUUUUUGUAUUUUUAUGCCCGUUUCAACAUGCGGUCAAAACGGUGGGCAUGACUUGUUUACCUAGAAAUGAUUUUCGGAAAAAUAAGUAGCAAACUAUGAGGCAGGUGCAGUUCAAAUUUGACCCGCUUCCUGCUGAAUUGGCGGAAAUUUGUCUUUUUCAUGAGAGGUGGCUCGAAACUUUUGAUACACAACCAUUUGGUCAAUUGUGCAUUAUAUAUGGCCUAUUAUUUUAUAAAAAUUAUUUGGUACAAAUUUGCAACAAAUAUUUGCUAGGUCCUUCACAAAAAAACUCAUUUUCGAUACUAAAAAUUUAGAAAAAUGAAUUUUUUUGCAAAGAAAAUGAAAACUUCCUUAGGCAACUUUGUUUGCCAUCCCAAGAUGCACCCUUGUGCACAAUAUGAGAUCAUUUGAACAAACUAUACCACGAAUGUGGCCAUAAGAUUGAUCAUUUGGCUUAAAAGCCAUGCAUCUUCACACAUGAUAGCUCAUUUCUGAGAACACUUUUUUAAAAAAAUUACUGUAUUACAAGUUUAUUAUUUUUCCUGGUAACUUGGUCACAUAUAAUGACACAAUGCGAAGGUUUCCCAAUUUUUUUGAAUUUUUUUGAAUUUUUUAUGCUUGUUUCAAUAUGCGGUCAAAACUGCGGGCAUGACCGUUCCUAACUAGUGGUUGAAUCUUGGAACUUUUUUGUGUUUCUAUGAUUAAAUAGAUACCUGUUUACCUAGAAAUUAUUUUUGGAAAAAAUAAAUAGCAAACUAUGAGGCAGGUGCAGUUGAAAUUUGACCCGCUUCCUACUGAAUCGGCAGAAAUUUGUCUUUUUCAUGAUAGGUGGCUAGAAACUUUUGAUACACAACCAUUUGGUCAAUUGUGCAUUAUAUAUGGCCUAUUUUUUAUAAAAAUGAUUUGGUCCAAAUUUGCAACAAAUAUUUGAUAGGUCCUUCACAAAAAAACUCAUUUUGGACAGUAAAAAAUUAGAAAAAUGUAUUUUUUGUGCGAAAAAAAUGAAAACUUCCUUAGGCAACAUUGUUUGCCAUCCCAAGAUGCACCCUUGUGCACAAUAUGAGAUCAUUUGAACAAACUAUGCCAUGAAUGUGGCCAUAAGAUUGAUCAUCUGGCUUUAAUAGUCAUGAAUCUUCACACAUGAGAGCUUGUUUCUGAGAACACUUUUUCAGAAUAAUUACCGUAUUACAAGUUUAUUAUUUUUCCUAGUAACUUGGUAACAUAUAAUGACACAAUGCAAAGGUUUUCCAAUUUUUUGUUUUUUUUGAAUUUUUUAUGCCCGUUUCAAUAUGCGGUCAAAACAGCGGGCAUGACUUGUUUACCUAGAAAUGAUUUUCGGAAAAAUAAAUAGCAAACUAUGAGGCAGGUGCAGUUCAAAUUUGACCCGCUUCCUGCUGAAUUGGCGGAAAUUUGUCUUUUUCACGAGAGGUGGCUCGAAACUUUUGAUACACAACCAUUUUGUCAAUUCUGCAUUAUAUAUGCCCUAUUAUUUUAUAAAAAAUAUUUGGUACAAAUUUGCAACAAAUAUUUGCUAGGUCCUUCACAAAAAACUCAUUUUCGAUACUAAAAAAUUAGAAAAAUGAUUUUUUUUGUGCAAAGAAAAUGAAAACUUCCUUAGGCAACAUUGUUUGCCAUCCCAAGAUGCACCCUUGUGCAUAAUAUGAGAUCAUUUGAACAAACUAUGCCACGAAUGUGGCCAUAAGAUUGACCAUUUGCCUUAAAAGCCAUGCAUCUUCACACAUGAUAGCUCGUUUUUGAGAACACUUUUUUAGAAAAAUUACCUUAUUACAAGUUUAUUAUUUUUCCUGGUAACUUGGUGACAUAUAAUUACACAAUGCGAAGGUUUUCCAAUUUUUUUGAUUUUUUUUGAAUUUUUUAUGCUUGUUUCAAUAUGCGGUCAAAACGGCUGGCAUGACCGUUCCUAGCUAGUGGUUGAAUCUUGGAACUUUUUUGUGUUUCUAUGAUUAAAUAGAUACCUGUUUACCUAGAAAUGAUUUUUGGAAAAAAAAAAUAGCAAACUAUGAGGCAGGUGCAGUUCAAAUUUGACCCGCUUCCUGCUGAAUCGGCGGAAAUUUGUCUUUUUCAUGAGAGGUGGCUCGAAACUUUUGAUACACAACCAUUUGGUCAAUUGUGCAUUAUAUAUGGCCUAUUAUUUUAUAAAAAUGAUUUGGUCUAAAUUUGCAACAAAUAUUAGCUAGGUCCUUCACAAAAAAACUCAUUUUGGACACUAAAGAAUUAGAAAAAUGAUUUUUUUGUGCAAAGAAAAUGAAAAAUUUCUUAGGCAACAUUAUUUUCCAUCCCAAUAUGCACCCUUGUGCACAAUAUGAGAUCAUUUGAACAAACUAUGCUAUGAAUGUGGCCAUAAGAUUGAUCAUUUGGCUUAAAAGCCAUGCAUCUUCACUCGUGAUAGCUCAUUUAUGAGAACACUUUUUCAAAAUAAUUAUUGUAUUACAAGUUUAUUAUUUUCGUGGUAACUUGGUCACAUCUAAUGACACAAUGCGAAGGUUUUCCAAUUUUUUGAUUUUUUUUCGAAUUUUUUAUGCCCGUUUCAAUAUGCGGUCAAACGGCGGGCAUGACCGUUCCUAGCUAGUGGUUGAAUCUUGGAUUUUUUUGUGUUUUUAUGAUUAAAUAGAUACUUAGGUACCUAGAAAUUAUUUUUGGAAAAAAUUAAUAGCAAACUAUGAGGCAGGUGCAGUUCAAAUUUGACCCGCUUCCUGCUGAAUCGGCGGAAAUUUGUCUUUUUCACGAGAGGUGGCUCGAAACUUUUGACACCCAACCAUUUGGUCAAUUGUGCAUUAUAUAUGGCCUAUUAUUUUAUAAAAAUGAUUUGGUCCAAAUUUGCAACAAAUAUUUGCUAGGUCCUUCACAAAAAAACUCAUUUUGGACACUCAGAAUUUAGAAAAAUGAUUUUUUUGUGCAAAUAAAAUGAAAGCUCUAUUUGGCAAUAUUGUUUGUCAGUCCAAUAUGCACACUUAUGCAAAAUACGAAAUCAUUUUGACAAACUAUGCCUUUUGUAUGUUUAGAAAAAAUUUAGUGGAUUGGAUGGACCAAUGAGAUGCGAGGAACCGCCUUCACGUGGAUCACCAAAUUGGACUCAAUCUGAGCCAUCCAUGGCGCACCCAUCCAAUGCUGGAGCUUCUCCCGAGAAAAAAACCUAACUCACCACCCAACCGCUGACCCACUCUCUCCCCCUCCCCUCGACCCCCCAGAUCCCACCUCCUCCUCCUCUCUCUCUCUCUCUCGAUCCCCUGCAGUUCCAGCCGCCGCCGCCGCCGCUCGCCUCCAUCCUCUCCCCAACCCCGAUCGGCCUCCACUGCACUCUACCACCGGCGCCAACCCAACCACCACCAACAUCUACCCCUCCUCUCCCCUCACCCAAGAACGAGAGAGGGAGACAGAGCUGAGGGCCAGAUCCACUCACCAAGUCCCUCUCUGUCACCGCCAUCUAGAUCUAGGCCGAAUGAUUCCGGCUGCGCGCAACACACUCCUAUGCUCAUCGCGCACCUUGCUCGACCCCGUAGACCUCCUCCAUCUCCUCACCUAAUGACUAAUCUCUACCUCGGCUGGAUCUCGGCUGCGUGGUUGGUGCAGGAUCUGCAUUUGCUGGCGGCGAUGGAAACACAUGGCGCACCGGGUGGACAACGACUCCGGCGUCCGGCGUCGGCAGGUCCAAUGUCCCCUCCCACUGCACCCGCAGCGCGUUCUACCUCAAGUACAAGUCCACCAUCGGCGUCGAGUUCGCCACCCGCACCCUCCUCAUGAGUACUCACCACCAUGGGAACGCCGGCAUCCACGUCGGCAACACGUGCUGGGAACUUUACCGCCUCGAGCACGGCAUCCAGGUUCGUCAUACCCCAUCUCCCGCCUCUCGCCCCUUCUCAUGUUGACUCGUAUGCGGUUUCUCGGAUGUGUUGAUUGGUUGGAGAGGGUUUCCCGUUGUGGAUCUUCUCUAGUUUGGAAUAUUUAGCUUGUAAUUGAUGCGCGAUUUGAGCUGUGAUGGGAUUACUCGAUUACCUUUCCGUGCAGGUCUAGUUGUUUUCACGCGAGGAUGCGACAAUUAGUGUUCGAUCCGCGCGACCCUUCUGAAUUGGUCAGGAACAUGAACUGUUCGUAGUCCCUAAUUUAAGCCUCCGGCCUGUGAUGUUUAGUCAUUUCAUUUUGUAUUUUAGAUCUGAUAUGCAAUUGGAGUCCUAGGAUCGUACUUUUUAGGAGAAAUGAAUACACUUCUGCACUAGUUUAGUUGCCACUUUUGUGUGAAAUCUCAGAUCUACUUAGGCCAUUAUCAUGCUUUCCAUGGUCAGUUUUGAUGUGUUCUAAAAUUAUGACCUGCAUCCAACUAAACACCUCAUUGUUCCCUGCUGUAGCCUGAUGGACAGACGAAAUAUGACAAGACCAUCCGGUGAUUCGUUGCUUGCAAACAACAACUAGUAAAUCGGUCACCGUGGGGGCGGGCACAUGAGAUUUAGAGAAGAGAUGCUGCUGCCUGCCUAUACUAGUUCAUAUGUAUCCAGCCUCCUAGAUCUACCAUACUCACCUCGUUUUUCCGUGCAGGUCUAGUUGCUUUUUUUGCUGCACAAUGCUCAUUUUGCUGCUAGUGUCCAUUUAGCAGUUUUUUACUAUGUUUUGGCCUAGUUUUGUUCACGUGUAUAAUAAGCAUCCUGAAUGCUCACUUAGCAGUGUAUUAAUAACACUGCUAGUUUUAUUCGCGUGUAUUCAGAUUAAUACACUGUGUUAUUAAACUGCACAAUGCUCAUCCUGUUGGCUACUUGUCGAUUCUCCGCAUAACGAUAGGCUGCCAUGUCUUUUCCACUUUCCUUUUCACUUUCUGUAAUGCUAACUUGAUGAUAACCCUAUUGUUUGUUGGCUAUUGCAACCCAGCAGCGAUGCUUCCAUUUUAACGCAUGUACUAGUGUGCUAAAACUUGCAAAAGACACAAAUCUUGAGCUUUCUUUACCAGCUUGUUGCUGCUGCUCCUUGUGUACAAUGAUUGAUGUUGCUCUAGUUAGUGUUGUAGAGGAAGAAAGAGGAUGUAUUUAUAUUACUUGCUUCUGCUGCUUAUAUAUAGACAUGUAUGUAUGUUUACUUCAUUUCUUCCUUCUCUCUCCAAUCCCCUCCUAAUGAAUUUGUUUGUUUGAUUUUGAUUAGCAGGCUCGUCCCUGGACCAGAUGUUCAAGUACAACCCCAUCCACCGCAACGACCUGGAGUUAGGUAUGUACUCGUCUUGUUGAACAAAUGGGAUAGAUGCUUCAUGGCCUAAUGAUUGAUGCUAAGCGUAAAUACAUGAAUCUGUAGCGGUCCAGAUGAAGAGUGUGAUUUGAUUUGUUUGGGUUUGAACUGAUCGUGUGCGCGCGCGUGUGUGUGUCUACAAGGGAGCAUUCUUAAGUUACUACUGUACUGUUAUUUUAUGUCCUGCUACAGUUUGACACUAUUAAUUAGGCUUGCUGGACAUGUCAUGGUACAAGCCUUUGCCUUUUCUAGAAUCAACAAAUGUUUAUCUACUGUAAAGUACUCUUGGGUUCCAUGUUAAAACAAACUAAUGGCUAUAUAUCCUAGUAAUAUUAAACAAAGCUAUAUGGCUGUUGAUGAUAUAUCUUAGUAAUUUUAGUUUUGGAUGUGUCCAAUGCAAACAUUACUAUCAACUGUCAACUUGAUUCUAAAAUGUCUCAUGGACUUCAUUAUUCUGUUAUUUAUUGAUAAAUAUGAUGUUAGAUUUACUUCUAUUUUGUUCCUAAAUAUUUUGUUUUGUAAUGUGCAGAUGCUGGGCUUUCAUGUUUCUUCGUGAGCAUCAGUACAAAUAAGUCGGAGGAAGAAUAGUUCUAGCUCAUUGGAGCUAGUUCUGAGAGUAAUGGAGUCCUUUAUGCUGCUCCUAUUUGUAUGUGUGUUAUAUGAUGUAGCAGAAUCUCGCUCAUGUGAUUGUACACUUGUGGAGCUUGUUAUCUGAUUGUAAACUUGAUGUUGAUCACAUUUGUAUGUGUGUUAUAUGAUGUAGCACUUUGAUGGUUGAUAACAUUUGAACUAUUUCAUGUGUUCUGUGUGCCAAUUUAAAUACUAGGUAUUUAUUUGCGUUAAAUUAAAAAAUUGAAGAAUAUUGCCCUGACGGCUAGGACCUGAUAAUGGGGACCCACCUGACUAGUGAACCCACUCUAUGAAAAAAGAAAAAAAUUAAAUUGUUGAGACAAAAAGGCCAUGGCCCAAAAAUAAAAAGACUACAACGUUGGGCUUGAUCCAUGAAGCUGACAACAAAUUCAUAGGUAAAAAAAUAUAAAUGGGCUGAAUUAAUGGGCUUGGCCCAUGUAAAACACUGAAUUGGACUGGGCCGAUUCUUGUGCCACAUCAGAUUGCCACGUCGGAUGCUUACGUGGCUUGGGGAGGCUGCUAGUGACCAAAACUAAAUAGUAGGCAUAUUUUGGUCAUAAACGUCUACGAUCUUCUCACAGAGAAGGUCGUUAAUUUCAGUUUACGACCAUCAGCUUUUAACCAUCUGUUUUUGGUCACAAAAAGGUCACAAAUGGAAAAUAAUGACCAUUAGUGACCAAUAGUCAAGGUCACAAGUUGACAUAUUUCUUGUAGUGUAUGGUGGGCCCGCUUAAGAGGAAAGCAUAAGGAAUAUUCCCUUACAAAGGAAGCAAGACUAGGACUCCACUUGUAAUAGAGUAAUCCUAAUCCUACUAGGACUAGUCAUGUAACCCGCACCUUCAACUUAUAUAAGGAGGGGCAGGGCACCCUAAGAGGGACAAGCAAGAUGUAACAUCCCAAAUUUUCAAUUUAGAAUUUUGUACAUUAGAUUAUCAUUGCAUAUCAUAUUUUAUUGCAUUUUUGGUUGAUCCUAGAAAUUCCACGCAACUCAAGUACCUCCGGAGAGAGUUGGGGAUUUCGUUAUUUUCAUAUUUGAGUUUUCUCAAAUUUUAAAAAGAGGAUCAUUUGGUUUUAAUCAUUUUUCUCUUUGAAUAUUUCUUAUAAAAAAAGAGAGGGGAUAAAAUGACUUAUCUGGAAUAAAGAAAUAUUGGAGGAAAAUAUUAAAAUCAAAUAAUAAAUUUAUUAUGAGUUUAAUCGCUAUUUUAUUUGAAUUAGGAAAAAAUGGAUUUUUCAAAAUUGCAGUAUAGGCCCAAAUAAAUGUUCACUUUGUCCGCAAUAUUAUUAGAGGACCGUGAAAAUUUAUUUCUGGAUUUUUGUAGUCCGUUAAUUAUUUCUUUUGAUUGGUAUUUUUGUGUCAGGAUUAUUUAAAAAAAAAGUGAACCGACCUAACCGGGCCGUGUCCGGCUAGGACUCCCGACCCGGCCGGCCUUAUAAGCCGCCAGCCCACCCCGCACCGAAACCCUAGCCCCGCCCCGCCUCNNNNNNNNNNNNNNNNNNNNNNNNNNNNNNNNNNNNNNNNNNNNNNNNNNNNNNNNNNNNNNNNNNNNNNNNNNNNNNNNNNNNNNNNNNNNNNNNNNNNNNNNNNNNNNNNNNNNNNNNNNNNNNNNNNNNNNNNNNNNNNNNNNNNNNNNNNNNNNNNNNNNNNNNNNNNNNNNNNNNNNNNNNNNNNNNNNNNNNNNNNNNNNNNNNNNNNNNNNNNNNNNNNNNNNNNNNNNNNNNNNNNNNNNNNNNNNNNNNNNNNNNNNNNNNNNNNNNNNNNNNNNNNNNNNNNNNNNNNNNNNNNNNNNNNNNNNNNNNNNNNNNNNNNNNNNNNNNNNNNNNNNNNNNNNGUCGUCCCGCGCCGCCGCCCGCAGUCGCCGACCCCGCCGCCGGAGCCGCUCUCCGCCGCCACCACCAACCCCGCCGCCGACGAGGUAGCGGCGGCCGCCGCCGGUUUUCACCGGAAAACCGAACAUUUUUUUAGAAAACCCUAGAUUCAUUUUUUUAAUCGGUUUGUUUUUUCGGUUUAGUUAAAUAGUGGACGUUAGUCGGUUUGUUCGUUUUAACGAAUGUUGUUCACCCGUUAGCCGCAGACAUCGAAUGUUCAUUCUUUAGCCUGUUCGUCGCGUUUUAUUCUUCCAGGGUAUUUCCACGAUUAUUUUCGAUCGCGAUUUCUGCCCUGAUCUCCGUUUUAGUUUAUCUUUUUGCUCGUUUAUCCGAUUCAGGCGAUUCAAGCACCUAGAUCUUCGACGUGAAGCCCUCUUUCCGUUUAACCAACUUGAACAAGGUUUUGGUUCUGUAAAAUUUGACUUUUGUCUAGAUUAGUAAAUGGAUCUUAUUUCUCAUAGUUUGAGUUUCGUUGCUCCGUUUGAUUUGAUUCUUUUUGCAAACUGGAGUUGUUCAGAUCAACUCUCUGGUUAGAUCUUCUUAUCUGAGUUUUACCCGUGCUUCUAGUUGAGUGCUUAUGUAUGUUAUUGUUUGUUUGUGAUAGAGUACCUGGAGUGUGAAGCGUGCUACUACGAGUCUCUAGGUUUUGCGGAUCAUCAGCAAGGCAAGUAACACUUUGAUCAUACCCCUCUAUUACCCAGUUUUUCUACAUUAGAUCAACCCUCAAACAUUGCAUGGUUAGGAUCUGUUUAAUAUGUGGGUAUUGUGAAGUAGAUGAUGAGGUAGAACCUAUUGUCCUGUUUAUUAUCAAACCUUUGGGAGUUACUUCUACGUUAUGCUUAUAUUGCUAUGCUAUGCUAGUAGACGUGGAUUGGGUGAGUGUAUCCAUGACAGAUGUGAGUAUUGUUAAUUAAAUGGUUAACUUAAGGUGGCUACUUAAAUACACAUUUUGGUCGAUUGGUUGAGGCACCCUGGAGUACCCAAUGGUUGUCAGGGCACCUGGAGAAUCCAGUGUUGUCCUAGGAUAUCCCGGAGGACCCGCGUGAUCAUCCUACGGUUCGCCACCCAGGCUCAAAGGGAUCAUAAGAUGAUUCAUGCUAGAAACUUUUCCGUGUGCAGCCACAAGCCAAUAUGGGCUCUGGCGUAGUUGAGUAAGUUGCUUAAAGCUCUUGAAGAGGUAAACUAGCAGAUGUAGUGGGUUGUAGGUGGUACUGUCUACCCAGAGUAGAGAGUUAAUGCUUCAGAAAGACUAUGUCCCAAUCCUCCGAUCAUUGAUGUGUUCGAAUCUUGUGGGGAAAAGUGUGCAAUCCUUUGCAGAGUCUACAAACUAAUCAUGGUUAGCCGUGUCCCCGGUUAUGGAUAUCUUGAGUAUCUGGUUCUUGGAUUAUCUUGUUGAUCUCAUCACUCUAAAUUAAUUUGUUGGGUUUAAUGAUGAAGCUUAAUUGGGAUUGAGUUAGAGGAACCUUCUCAAUGUUUUUCAACCACCAUGAUAGUUAAAUAAAAUGUAUUCCUCUGUUAUAGGGAAAAAUUGGCUUUAUGAAAAACUGUAACCAUAGAGCUUUCCACCAGCCAUAUAUGCAUGUAGUGAUAGCAUUCAUUCUGCUCAUUACUCUAUGUGGUACAUUGCCAGCAUAUUCCACAUGCUGACCCAUUUUGGGCUGCAACAUUUCAUGUUGCAGACUUUUCAGACGAUGAGUAAGGUGCCAUAGGUCAUUGUCGUUCACUCAGCUAUGCCGCUGGAGUUGAUGGACUCACUUUAUCUUCCAAGCCUUCCGCUGUUAUCAUUUUUAGAUGGCCUUAAGCCAUAUUAUUGUAAUAAGUUCUGUUUUGAGACAUUCCAUGUAAUAAGUUUGUGAUUGAAACUCUGUUAUAAAUCCUCAAGUACUGUGCAUGUCAGCAUUAUCGAUCCAGGGAUGACACUGAUGCACAAAUACUAGAAUGUUUAAGGUAUGGUCGCUACAAGAUGGUAUCAGAGCACACGCUGACUGUAGGACACGACCACUAAGCUAAAACCAUAGGUCACUACUCUCUUCUCAUUUAUCACUCCUCUCCUUUUCUAAUCUAUAGGAUGGCGGAUGCAAGGAACAAGUUUACACAACCGGAUGAAGACACUCCUUUUGGACGACACUUGAAGGAAGUUACUAGGUACCUGAACAUCGGAACACUAAGCUUCACCGGGACCUACAUCGCCACUUUACCAGAAGAGGAGUGUUGAAUGAUUCAAGUUCAAGUUCCAGGAAGGACGUUCAUGCCAGUCACUGAGCCCAUAGAGUUUUCUUUUGAUGCACCAACCUGGAGUAUAGGAAAGAGCAUGGCAGUCCACAUCACCAUGCGAGGCAUUGGAGAAGUUUACCACAAAGAUAUCAAGGAUACCAUCUACCAGAUUUCUGGGUGCCGAUAUGAUCAAUGGGAGAUGAUUAGCACCAGGAGGGAUAGGUCCAUUGCAGCUUUCAUCCAGGAGUUAAACCAGCACAUUCAUCGCCAAGAGAACCAGAUGUGUGCAUGCAUGAUAGAACUGAAGAAGGCAAUGACCAGGAUCACAGAGCUGGAGGAAGAACUCAAGUCUGCACGCGAUGGAUAUGAGGAGGAAAUUAUGACACUCAUGGAGAAGAAUGACAAUCUGACAAGGAAGCUAGGAAUAUGCAUGGGAGACCCCACGCCAGGAGGAGAUGACGACGAUUCCGAGCACAUUUGUUCGGAGGACUACAUCAUCAUCGACGACACCGACUCAGACCCCGACGAUAGCGAUUAUGAAUAUGUUGAUGAAGCUGGAGCGGAUAUCAUGGAGUCUUCUACCGAUUAAAAACUUCUAGUCGACCACCAUAACAGUAGUAGUAUUCCCCCAUGUAUAUAGUAUAACCUGAGCACUUUCGUAACGAUAGUUAGACCGAUUGUAUGCCCUUGUUUGAAUUGAUUGAAGUGGUUUGAUUGUGUUUGUCUCAUGUGCAUAUGGUUCAUGUUUCCCCUUGGAUCUCAUUCUAUUCUGUGUUCUCACCUUUUCAAAACCCAUCGGAUGCCUCCGAGACAUGACAAUGGAUUUGCUUUCCCAACGGAGCUCACUCAGUUGAUCCAAUAGCAGAAUACCCUGAUGCAGCUACUAGUCCAGAAUCAGAAACAGGGGAACAACAACAACAACAACCCAACACCACCACCACCACCUGUUGAUCACUUAGCCCGUUUUCUAAGGCUGAAUCCAUCGGUGUUCUCUAGUAGCACUGAGCCGAUUGUUGCAGAUGAUUGGCUCCGCAAGAUUGGAAAGGAGUUGACCACUAUAGGAUGCACAGAUGUGGAGAGGGUGUGUUUUGCUGCACAUCAGCUUGAUGGACCCGCAGCAUCAUGGUGGGAGAAUUUCACAGCCACUUACCCCAUCAACUCUGUCACAUAGGACCAGUUCCAGCAGGCUUUCCACACUGCCCAUGUUUCAGCAGGAGCUAUGGCCAUGAAGAAGCGCGAGUUUCGCAAUUUGCACCAAGGAGGACGCAGAGUGGGCAGUAUGUGGAUGAUUUUAGUAAGUUAGCAAGUUAUGCCCCGGAUGACGUCGCUGCAGAUGCCUUUAAGCAGGAGAAUUCUGGAUGGACUGAAUGAUGAGCUAAGCAUGCAGUUGAUGGUGGCAACAUUCAACAACUACCAGGAGUUGGUGGAUAGAACUCUCAUGAUUGAAGGGAAGCAGCAGCAGAUUGACAACUGCAAGAGGAAGUAUGGACAAGGGAAGUAUAAUUCAGGAGCUCAAGAGAGGCCCCGUUUUACCCCGAACUCAGGAGGACACAUUCACCAUAACCAUGGAGGCCAUAAUUCCAAUGGAAGAAUUUCGCACAACCAUAGUGGCCCCAAGAAUGGGAAUGGGAAUGGAGGAAGCAACGGCCAGAACUGUUCCAAACCAGCAACGCCCGCCAAGAAGGAUCUAAGUCACAUUACUUGUUUCAAGUGCGGGGAGAAUCGACAUUACACCAUGGAGUGUUCAGAAGCAAAGAAUGGAAAUGGCAAUGGAAGCUCUGGGAAGAAGCCCAACCUUUUCAACAGGGGACAAGUGAACCACGUUAGCGUGGAGGAGGUUGAGGCGCAACCCAAUGCAGUUAUAGGUAAGUUUUUGGUUAAGUCAUUUACUAAAAUCGUUCUUUUCGAUACUGGUGCAUCGCAUUCAUACAUAUCAAGGGGAUUUGUGGAUAAGUAUAACCUACCAACCCAAGACCUUAGGUCACCCAUGUUAGUAACCUCGCCAGGAGCAGAGUAUAUGGCUAGACUAUGGUGUGAUCAGUUACCGUUAAGGAUAGGUAACUACGUGUUCCCCUUAGACCUAAUAGUAUUGGAAUCACAAGGACUGGAUGUAAUAUAAGGCAUGGAUUGGUUAUCAAUGUAUGAAGGGAACAUUGACUGCGCCAGUAAGUCGAUUUUUCUCACCACCACAGAAGGAAGAAGGAUUAAGUAUGUAUCCCGACAUGUGCCGAACAGGACUCAAGUGAAUUCCUUAUCAGGAGUUGUACAGGAGGAAGUACCAGUGGUGAUGGAUUUCCCUGAUGUAUUUCCAGAGAUGUUGCCAGACAUGCCACCGGAUACAGACAUUGAGUUUUUGAUUGAGCUUUUGCCAGGGACAGGGCCAAUAUCUAUGUAUCGGAUGCCCGCAAAGGAUUUGGAAGAAAUUAAGAAGCGGAUUAAGUAGUUACUGGAUAAAGGCUAUAUUCGCCCAAGUUCGUCACCCUGGGGAUCACCAGUGCUUCUAGUGGAGAAGAAGGAUGGAUCGUUGAGGAUGGUUGUUGAUUAUGGGGAUUGAAUGAAGUGACGUUCAAGACUACCCACUACCAAUGAUUAAUGAUUUGUUUGACUAGUUGCAAGGAGCCAAAGUAUUUUCCAAGAUCGAUCUACGAUCAGGAUGCCACCAGUUGAAGAUUCGAGAGCAGGAUAUACCCAAGACAGCUUUUACCACAAGGUACAUGCUAUAUGAGUAUACCGUUAUGUCAUUUGGUCUGACUAAUGCGCCUUCCUAUUUCAUGAACAUGAUGAACAAGGUGUUUAUGGAGUUUUUGGAUAAGUUCAUCGUGGUGUUCAUUGUGGUAUUCUGGUCUACUCAAAGAAUGAAGAGAAGCAUAAGAAGCAUUUGCGUUUGGUACUUGGGAAGCUCAUAGAACAUCACUUAUAUGCCAAGUUCAGCAAGUGAGAGUUUUGGUUGAAGGAAGUUGGAUUCCUUGGACAUGUUAUAUCCGGAGAAGGAAUAGCAGUAGACCCCACCAAGGUUGUCACUAUGACUAAAUGGAAUCACCCACAUCGGGUGGGGAGAUCCGGAGUUUUCUUGGACUCGCAGGAUAUUACAGGAGGUUCAUUGAGAAUUUCUCCAAGAUUGCAAAGCCCAUGACGGAGUUGUUGAAGAAGGACACCAAGUUCAAAUGGACAGAAGAUUGUGAAGCCAGUUUCAAGGAGUAGAAGAAACGUUUCAUUACAGCCCCAGUGUUGAUUCUUCGAGAUCAACGGAAGGAUUAUCAAGUGUAUUGCGACGCUUCUCGUCGAGGACUUGGAGCAGUGCUUAUGCAGGAGAGAAGAGUUGUUUCAUAUGCCUCGCGAUAGCUUAAGCCUCAUGAGCGAAAUUAUGCUACACACGAUUUGGAGCCAAUAGCCGUAGUGCAUGCAUUGAAGACAUGGAGACACUUUCUCAUCGGAAACCAUUGUGAGGUGUACACGGAUCAUAAGAGUUUGAAGUAUAUCUUCACGCAGAAGGAGUUGAAUCUCAGGCAGAGAAGAUGGUUGGAGCUCAUCAAGGAUUAUGAUAUGAAGUUGCACUAUCAUCCUGGAAAUGCUAAUGUAGUAGCCGAUGCGUUGAGUCGCAAGAGUCAUGUCAACACACUUAUGACCGGAGGAUUACCCAAGGAGUUAGCAGAGGAUCUUCGCGAGCUAUGUUUGGAAAUAGUUUCGACAUGCUAUGUAGCAGCAUUGGUAAUUCAGUCUACCUUGAUGGAUAAGAUCAGAGAAGCUCAGAAGACUGAAAAGGAGAUUGCUGAGAUAAAGGAAAGGAUUAGCAAAGGAAAGGCCAAAGGAUUUCGUGAGGAUGAGCCGGUACCUUAUUGUUUGAAGAUCGCGUAUAUGUGCCUAAUGACCCCGAGAUCAGGAAGUUGAUUCUGCAGGAGGCCCAUGCUUCAUCGUAUUCAAUUCACCCAGGAAACACCAAGAUGUAUCUGGAUUUGAAGGACAGUUUCUGGUGGUCCGGGAUGAAGAAAGAUAUUGCUGAGUAUGUAGCGGUAUGUGAUGUAUGUCAGAGAGUAAAGGCAGAGCAUCAGAAGCCAGUAGGAUUGUUACAACCAUUGCUGAUACCCGAAUGGAAGAGGGACAAGCUAGGCAUGGACUUUAUCAUAGGUUUUCCCAGGACGCAUUCAGGCUAUGACUCGAUAUGGGUUGCAGUCGAUCUGUUGACGAAGGUAGCUCAUUUCAUCCGAGUGAAGACCACUUACACCAGCGCUAAGUUGGCAAAGAUAUACAUGACCAGGAUCGUAUGUCUGCAUGGAGUUCCGAGGACCAUUGUAUCAGAUAGAGGAACCCAGUUUACCUCAAAUUUUUGGAAUUAGUUGCAUGAGACUUUGGGUACCAGGCUAGAGUUUAGUACAACCUUUCAUCCAUAGCCAGAUGGACAGACUGAGAGAGUCAAUCAGAUUCUGGAGGACAGUUUGAGAGCUUGUGCGCUAGAUUAUGGAUCUAGUUGGGACGAAAAUUUGCCCUAUGCAAAGUUCUCUUACAAUAACGGUUUUCAAGCCAGUUUGAAGAUGGCCCUUUUCGAAGCUUUGUACGGAAGGAGGUGCAGGACACCGUUGCUAUGGGAUGAAGUUGGAGACCGUCAAGUGUUUGGACCAGAUUUAAUUAAAGAGUCUAAAGAGAAGGUUAAGUUGAUUUGUGAUAGACUCAAGGUAGCCCAGUCCAGGCAGAAGAGCUAUGCGGAUUCUAAACGCAAAGAGACAGUUUACAAAGUUGGAGACAGAGUAUAUCUUCGUGUGUCCCCGCUUUUGGGAGUUAAGCGUUUUGGAGUUAAGGGAAAGUUAGAACCACCUUUUGUGGGACCACACAAAGUUUUGGAGCGUAUGGGAGAAGUUUCUUACAAACUGGAAUUACCAGAAGGAUUGUCAGGAGUUCAUGAUGUGUUCCACGUUUCCCAGUUGAAGAAGUGCCACUCAGAGAUGGCCGAUAUUCCUUUGAGAGAUACAGUGCCACUGGAAGCGAUUCAAUUGGAUAGCGAUUUGACCUAUGAGGAGAAACCAGUGAAGAUUCUCGAGUUUGCUAGCUGAGUCACACGCUAGCAAGUUCUGCAAAGUUCAAUGGAGCCACCAUACCGAGGAUGAAGCCACUUGGGAACGAGAGGAGGACCUACAGAAGGACCACCCGCACCUAUGUUCUAGCCAACCCGAAUCUCGAGGGUGAGAUUCAUCUUAAGGGGGGUAGGUUUGUAACAUCCCAAAAUUUCAAUUUGGAAUGUUAUUCAUUAGAUCAUCAUUGCAUAUCAUAUUUUAUUGCAUUUUUGGUUGACCCUAGAAAUUCUACCAAACUCAAGGACCCGCGGAGAGAGUUGGGGAUUUCGUUAUUUUCAUAUUUGAGUUUUCUCAAAUUUUGAAAGGAGGAUCAUUUGGUUUUAAUCAUUUUUCUCUUCGAAUAUUUGUUAUAAGAAAAUAAAAGAGAGGGGAUAAAAUGACUUCACCGAAAUAAAGAAAUAUUGGAGGAAAAAUAUUAAAAUCAAAUAAGAAUUUUGUUCGGAGUUUUAUUGCUAUUUUAUUUGAAUUAGGAAAAAAUGCGUUAGAGGCCCAAAUAAGUGUUCACUUUGUCUGCAAUAUUACUAGAGGACCGUGAAAAUUUAUUUCAGGAUUUUUGGAGUCCGUUAAGUAUUUCUUUCAUUAGUUUUUCUACGUCAGGAAUAUUUUUAAAAAAAGUGAACCGACCUAACCCGGCCGUGUCCGGCUAGGACUCCCGACCCGGCCGGCCUUAUAAGCCGCCAGCCCACCCAGCCCCGAAACCCUAGCCCCGCCCCGCCUCGACCCCGCCGCAAGCCGCGUCGCGCUGCCACUCGCCGCCGCCGUCGCUGUCCCGCGCCAGAGCCGCCGCUAGGCGUAGUCGCUGACCCCACCACUAAUCCCGUCGCCGAUGAGGUAGUCGCGGCCACCGCCGGUUUUCUUCGAAAAACCGAACGUUUUUUUAGAAAACCCUAGAUUCGUUUUUUGAAUCGGUUCGUUUUUUCGGUUUAGUUAAAUAGCGACAUUCGUCCGUACGUUUGUUUUAACGAACGCUGUUCACCCGUUAGCCACAGACAGCAAACGUUCGUUUGUUAGCCUGUUCGUCGUGUUUUAUUUUUCCCGGGUAUUUCUGCGAUUAUUUUCGAUCGUGAUUUCUGCCCUGAUCUUCGUUUUAGUUUAUCUUUUUGCUUGUUUAUCCGAUUCAAGCGAUUCAAGCGCCUAGAUCUUCGUCUCGAAGCCCUCAUUCUGUUUAACCAACUUGAACAAGGUUUUGGUACUGUCAAAUUUGACUUUCGUCCAGAUUAGUAAACGGAUCUUGUUUCUUUCGUAGUUUGAGUUUCGUUGCUCCGUUUGAUUUGAUUCUGUUUGGAAACCAGAGUUCUUCAGUUGAACUUUCUGGUUAGAUCUUCUUAUUUGAGUUUUGCCCAUGCUUCUAGUUGAGUGAUUAUGUAUGUUAUUGUUUGUUUGCGAUAGAGUACCCGGAGUGCGAACCGUGCUACUACGAGUCUCUAGGUUUUGCGGAUCAUCAGCAAGGCAAGUAACACUUUGAUCAUACCCCUUUAUUACCUAGUUUUUAUGCAUUAGAUCAACCCUCAAACAUUGCAUGGUUAGGAUCUGCUUAACAUGUGGGUAUUAGGAAGUAGAUUAUGAGGUAGAACCUAUUGUCCCGUUUAUUAUCAAACCUUUGGGAGUUACUUCUAUGUUAUGCUUAUAUUGCUAUGCUAUGCUAGUAGACGUGGAUUGGAUGAGUGUAUCCACGACAGAUGUGAGUAUUGUUAAUUAAAUGGUUAACUUAAGGUGGCUACUUAAAUACACAUCUGGGUGGAUUGGUUGAGGCACCCUGGAGUACCCAGUGGUUGUCAGGGCACUUGGAGAAUCCAAUGUUGUCCUAGGAUAUCACGGAGUACCUGUGUGAUCAUCCUAGAGUUCGCCACCCAGGAUCAAAGGGAUCAUAAGAUUAUUCAUUUUAGAAAGUUCCAUGUGUAGCCAUAAGCCAAUAUGGGCUCUGGCGUAGUUGAGUAAGUUGCGUGAAGCUCUUGAAGAGGUAGACUAGCAGAUGUAGUGGGUUGUAGGUGGUACUGUCUACCCAGAGUAGACGGUUAAUGCUUCAGAAAGACUAUGUCUCGAUCCUCGGAUCAUGGAUGUGUUCGAGUCUUGUGGGGAAGAGUGCGCAAACCUCUGCAGAGUGUACAAACUAAUCAUGGUUAGUCGUGUCUCCGGUUAUGGACAUCUUGAGUAUCUGGUUCUUGGAUUAUCAUGUUGAUCCCAUCACUCUAAAUUAAUUUGUUGGGUUUAAUGAUGAAGCUUAAUUGGGAUUGAGUUGGAGGAACCUUCUCAAUGUUUGUCAACCACCAUGAUACUUAAAUAAAAUGUAUUCCUCUGUUGUAGAGAAAAUUGGCUUUGUGCAAAACUGUAACCAUAGAGCUUUCCACCAGCCAUAUAUGCAUGUAGUGAUAUCAUUCAUUCUGUUCAUUCCUCUAUGUGUUACAUUGCCAGCAUAUUCCACGUGCUGACCCAUUUCGGGCUGCAACAUUUCAUGUUGGAGACUUUUCAGGCGACGAGUAAGGUGCCAUAGGUCGUUGUCGUUCACUCAGCUAUGUCUUUGGAGUUGAUGGACUCACUUUAUCUUCCAAGCCUUCCGCUGUUAUCGUUUUUAGAUGGCCUUAAGCCAUAUUAUUGUAAUAAGUUCUCUUUUGAGACAUUCCAUGUAAUAAGUGUGUGAUUGAAACUCUGUUAUAAAUCCUCAAGUAUUGUGCGUGUCAGCAUUACCGAUCCAGGGAUGACACUGAUGCACAGAGACUAGACUGUUUGAGGUAUGAUCGCUACACAAGAAAAUAAUCGCUAAGGCUAGACACAACUUAAGGGGAGCCAUCUUAUGUAGCGACUCCCUCAUGAGCAUAAUGAGACCUAGCCACAAACAACAUGUAGGGUUAUACCGGAUGAUGUUUUUCGGGGCCCGAAGCUGUCUAAAUCCUUGUCUUGUGUGAUGAUCCGCUUCGUGUCUCUCAUCCCGACCAACCCCUCUCCAGCUACCACAUAGAUGUGUUGGUCUCACGACUAAGUCCUCACACUAGGACAGCCGUCGUGACGUUUCCACGACAGUUGGCGCCCACCGUGGGGCCUGCGCACGGUGGUGUUGAGUUCUUGGAGGGAGAUCUUCAAGGAACGAGAAGGUCGCGAUUGACGGAUGAAUAAAAGCUUGUGCAAAGUUUAGGUAUUGAAUAGAUUGCAACAUGAGUGAAUAAAGAAGAGCCAAUAUGGAACAAUACGCAAGAUAUCCCGGCGUGGGACAAAAAUUGGUCAGAGCCAGCAAAUUCACCAUGUUAUGCUCCGAACCAUGAUUAACCUUGGAGCUCGAUGUACGAUGAGGUUUUUGGUCCAAGAGAAACUGAAGUUGCAUCAGAUACGUUGCCGCAAAGCUGCCAAGUUGAUAUAACGGACAAGCGAUGCAGUCCAAAGCCAGAUCGAAUUGUUUGGAGCCGAGAUAAGAAAUGGCGUAGAAGCCCUGACCCCUCCCGCGUCGCCCCGGCGAGGCGACGGGGAGGGCGACCAGAUCCCGUCGAGCGCCCCCUCCUCCUCCUCUUCCCCUACUCCGCCGCCGCCAGAGGGCACGGUCGGGCAAAGCCCGACCGGUGCCGCUGGCGGUGGGGCGCUGGCGUCCUCUUGCUCGAGGGGGGCUACGCGGGCGUGCUUCUUUGGGCCGGUGCAUCGUGCGACGGUGGGCGCGGUGGCGCGGCAUUGGGCGGGUGUGGAGGCUCCGCGGUAUGGUGGCGGCGGCGCGCUAGUGCAGCCUGCGUGGCGGGCACUGCGAUGGUGGGGCGUGCCCGUGCUGCAUCGGCCAGAUCGGGCCGCCGGGCGGCGCGGGCUCUGGCGGCGUGGGCUGGAGGCGGAUCCUGCUCAAGGUGCGGCCUUCGUGGCUGCGGUGGGCAGCGGAUCUGACGCGGCGGUGGCGGUGCUGGUGGUUGCGGGCGAGCCGGGUUUCGGCCAGAUCCGGCUGGAUUUGUCGCCGGGGACCCGGCUGGUGGCGCAGGGCGGUGGCCGGAGCGCGUCCUGGUCGCGGACGCUGGCCGACUCUGGCCAGGGCGCGACGGCGCGUGUGUGGUGGCGGUGGCGGCGCAGGUGUGGUGGCCGAUCUGGUGGCUGUGUGGCCGAAGGACUCAACGGCUGGAGUCCGCGGGCGGCGCGGGAUGGGCAGUAGCCUGGUGUGGCUGCUGCUCCGGCCGUGGAGGGAUCCACGAUAGCUUGGCAUGUCGGCUGCGGCGGCGGCUGACAUGAUUCGGUGUCGGUUCGACCGUAGGCGGCGUGUGGCGGCCUUCGAUUCCUCUCCCCGUCACCCACGCACCACUUCCGUCGAAGGACUGGGCUUUUCUCAGCUGUGGUACAUUGCCGUCUCGCGCCCGGCAGCAGGACCGCGCCCGUCUCACGCCCGGCUGCAGGACCGCGCCUGUCUCGCGCCCGGCAGCAGGAAUGCGCCCCGUCUCGCGCCUGGCGGCAGGAAUGCGCUAGUCUCGCGCCCGGCAGCAGUACGGGCCGAUGGCGGCCAGUUGGGUGCAGCCUUUCCACCCGUCUCUAUAGGUGGCGUGGCGCUUGGUAACUGGUGAGGUGGCAUCAAGGUCUUGGAUUCCGGGGUGGCGGCCCUGGUGGUGGUGUCGUGGUGCUCAUGGGCAAAGCCCGUGCCUUGGUGCUGCCCAGUGACCAUGGUCGUGUGGGCGGCAUGGUCGCUCGGGUGUGACGUUCGGUGGCGGUGAGUAUGGGCCGGGGUGAAAACCUGUCCUAUCUUCGGACGGACCGGCGGCGCCGAAGCUCGCUCCCUUCCUGAAGGCGUCGUCGCGGCCAUCAUUGCCCGUCGUGUUGCUCUAGGGAAAACUCUGACUCCCGGGUCGGGCGGUGACGGCGCUCCGGUGUCGUUUCCUUCCUGAAGGCACCGCCUUGGAGCCCACGGUUCGUCAUAUGCGGCUUCAUCUCUUCGCGGUGACGUGUUCACGGGCGAGGACCCGGCUGCUCUUGUAGUGCUUGGGGUAGUGUUGUUGCGCUCAGCACUUAUGUAUCUUGCCUUGGGUGUGUGUGUUGUGAUGGCGUGCGUUUGUACCGGGUUGUUGUUGGUCGUUGCUUUAUAUAUAAAGCGGGGCGAAAGCCUUUUUGGGUAAUUGUUUGGAGUGGUGAUGCGUGUCGCUGAGACCGGCUGGAUGUCCAUUACGCACCGCCAGAAACUUGACGCUGCAGCACGUAACUUCUGUCCACACCAGCCGUGUUACAGGAACGCUUCAAGUCCUCACGGACGAAUACUACUUUGCUUCUCAGGACGGUUGGAUUGUUGCUAGUUCGUAUGACCAAAAUCGGCGCUCAACGGAAGCCUCUGUGACUGUUUGUACUAUUACUAGUGCCUCACGUGAGGCAAAAAAUCAGCUUUUGGUUCAGUCUUCUAUUGUUACGUGCGCACCUGACCAACACAGCGGCAUUUAUGGUCAAUUUACAAAGAAUCAGUCAAAGCUGUGUCCGAGAUGGACUAGCAUAGGGAUCUGAGGCCAAGACAAAAUUCCACGGACCCGCCGUCUCAAAAACGCUCUAGUCCAGAAGAGUAUGUGCCGUCAAUUCAAUAAAUUAGUACUACUUCAUCACCUGGAGAUCAAGAACUACCAUUGGUUUACGUCAUCACAUCAAGACAAACAUCAGCUAUUACUUAAUUGAUGCCCAAGGCAAAUCCAAGUGAAACUACAGGGCGCAGGUGUCACCCAAAAUAAGAAAAUCAGGCCGGCUUAGGUCCCAAUUAGGAUCAGUGCGUUUUCGUCCGGCGCUUGCGAGUCACCAACUCCGAACCGCUGACGCCAUUCCACAGCUUCAGUACCAACGUCAAGCCGCCACUGUCUCGUGACCCCUGGACUUCACCAAGUCGCCAGGCCGACCGGCUGCCUCCGCCAUGGCUCGCUGCAGUUGCGGCCUUGCGCCCCUGAGCCACCUUGGCCGCUUUCGCAGCUGUCUAUCCAGGGCUGCCUCCUCGUUGACCCGCCGGCAUCGAUGCAGCUUCUACUUCCGUUUCUACCGCAGUCCUGAGCCGGCGGUGUUUCAGUUAUCUCAAAAACCGCCGCCGUAGCUCUAAACAUGUUGGAGUUUAAAAAAAAGAGAGAGAAAUCGAUGCUCCUGCUACUAACAAACCGGGGGCAUUCUAUUAUAUGAGUUAGACCAACUGCUACUAGUCUCCGUCCCAUGUGAAGGAUAAAAUACCAGCAGAGUUUGUGCGAGAAUCAAGAAAUAGUACUACUUUUUGUUGGAUGGAAAGGACCAAGGCGAGAUGCAUGCACACAAAUCAGUCAAGUAUCUCACGUUUGAUUUGGUGAAUAAGUGCACGUACAUCAUGAGAUGAACCGACCAUCUGAUAUUUUAUCAACUAUGUCCAACAUUAUCCAGCGUCGGCGUCUGCGUUCAUCCGAUAAAGAUACCAGGUGCUAUUCACCCAAUCUAUUUUUAUGUACAUAUUAAAACAUCUGAGCAGUACUACUCCGUCCUGCUAUAUAUUUUUGUACGCGUGACAAUUAUUCACUACAUACGUGGUUUAUACCACGGGUAUGGAGCACACACUAGAAGCCUUUGCACCCGGCGUUUGUCUGUGCCACAUUACCCGACUAGUGGAAGCGUGCGAGCCGUCGUCCUUGUGGCCCGGUUUACAUUGAUUUGCCGUAGUUGUUCAACGAACAUGCGCAAGUUGCCGCCUCUAUGGCUCGGUCUACAUCAAAUUGCCGGGUCGGCGCCUGCGAUUGACUCGCCCGUCCGCACCGGCUUACAACGCCGCAACCGACUCAUCUGUAUGAUCCCGCGGCCGACUCAUCUGUGGUUGAUUUCAGCUUCACAUUGGUGAUUAUCAACUCCGCGGUGGAUAAUUUCUGGCCUGACAUAUCAGGUGAAAUCCAUCCAGUAUAUUUUUAUAUUACAUAUUAUUUUCUUCAUAAGAGCAAUUACUUUGGCUUACAAGUUCUCCAAUGCAGGACUCAACCCGGUAUAUAUCACGGUCACCUAUUUGAGUCGUCUUAAAGACUCGGGGGCUACAUGGACAUGGCUCAGUAAAUGUUCCCAGUUUAAAGGCCGUUAGGAAAAAUUCCGGCUCAAGAAGAAUUUAUCUCUCCCAAAGUUCUAGUUCUCAGAAAAAAUUAAAGGGACCAAAGAGAGUCUGUUGCAAGGCACAACUCAAACAUAGGUACCCUGCUUCAAUGACCAACUGAGGGCUGAUCGGCGCAAUGCCAACAUUUCAAGGUCACUUGGGGCUUCCUAUUCAAACAUAGGUGUAUUCACCAAAGAGAACAUAGUUGUCGGUACCCUCUUGAUCGGUGCAAUGCCAAACCAUAUGGUCACUUGGCGGCUUCCUGUUCAAACAUAGGUCGUAUUCGAACCAAAUAGAACAUAGAUGUCGGUACCGUCUUGAUUGGCACAAUGCCAAACCCACUAGUGGGCUUCUUGAUCGUAUUCGAAUUAUAGCAUAACCCCUUUUGGGUCCGACUUUGAUCGUAUUCGAAUCGGAGUCGUUAAAAAAAUCUCAAGGUCAUUUGGGGGCUUCCUGUUCAAACAUGGGUCGUAUUCGAAGCAAAGAGAACAUAGCUGUCGGUACCCUCUUGAUCGGUGCAAUGCCAAAACCAUUAGGGGAUUCCACAUCGUAUUCGAAUCCUAGCUUAACCCCUUUUGGUCCGGCUUACUGAUCGUAUUCGAAUCAGAAGCCUCGCUUUUUCUCUUUGUUUGACUUAAGUUUUUGAAAACAGUCUUUUGGGCUUGUCUUGAGACUUUUUGCUCAUAUCUGAAGCAUAUAUGUGUGGUUUCUAUUUAACCCGGAUCGACUUUGGACGAUAAGUCGCCAGCAUAUGACAAUAUUAAUACUUGGAAGGUUUGGCUUCUAAGUUUUGGGUUGUCACCCUUACAGCACAGGUAUCAUAAACCGGCAGUAUGAUUCAAUAUCACAGGUAUGAUAUUGUGUAUACAUGAUUAUGUUUAAACCGGUCCUGGCUAUGGAAGUCGCCGGUCUAUUUUGGAUUGCGCCAUUCGAAUCAUGCGCUUAUCAAUCAUUGGAUUAUUGCCCUUAUUGGAUACAACGAUGUAAGCUGGCAGUAUGAGCCAAUUUCUACAGGUUUGUUUUCCUUAUUAUAUAAAUAUGCGAGGUUGGAUAACCUGCCCUAGCUUGUGACGUUAAGUCGCCAGUAUGUUUAGGAUUGAAUGGCCUUAAUCCUAGUCUUUUCCAUAAUUGCAUAAAGAUUAUAUUAUGUUUGGGUUGUUACCCACCCUGGCUUUGACGUUAAGUCGCCAGGGCAUAUGUUAUUUAAACUCUGUGCAGGAUUUGCAGAAAUAUGACUUAUAUAAUUGAUUAAGUUCAAGCUCAUCAUUAAAAUUGAUGCAUCAAAAUGAUUAUCCGUUCUGGAUUUUCUCAAAGGCUAUAAGCCGCCGGGUUAUAAAAAUUCCGGCUUAAAAUGGAGGCGUAUUAAAAUGCCAUCGGCCAAGAGCCGCCGAGUAUUUAAACUUUGGAUUUACUUGUCAGCCGGUAAGUGUUAUGAUUGAGGUUUUCAAAGUUUCUUUAGCGCAAUGGCUAUUAUUUUAUCAAUGGAUAUGAUUUAUUCUACAAUAGAAGGAAUAGUCCCGAGUCACUGCAGGCUUAUGACCUGACACUUGGGGGCUACAUUAUUCAGAUUGAGAUUACAUCAAAUAUGCAAGUCUCAUGUCACUGCCAGCAUUCACCAUGGCACUUGGGGGCUAAUGCAAAGUCAUUUUUGGCUCACUUUACUGAAGAUCUGACUCAUCACAUUAUAAUGAGCUGGCCCUUGGGGAUUACCAAUUGCUCCUGUCAAAAAUUCAAGGUACACAAGCCGCAGUCCAUUAUAUUGAAAGAUCCACUACUUAGUUGGUAGAGUACAAAGCUCUUGACCUUAUGGAGGUGGGUUCAAGCCCCAUGGUUGAGAUUACAUCAUAUGAUGUUAUUAUCAAUGAAUUAUACAUAAAGUCCCAGCUCAGUAUUAUCUUACUGAGCCGGCCCUUGGGGGCUACAUGUUGCUGCUCAAGUCUACAUGAUCAUAUUUACAAAGUCCCUGCUCAUUAUUUCAUAAUGACCCGACACUUGGGGGCUACACUAGCUGAUUUUUUUAUAAACAUAAGGCAGUUACAUGUCCCAGGUUGCUCCAAGCAUGCAAACCUGGCACUUGGGGGCUGCAGGUGAUAUACAUUUAAGGGAAAAAAAUCUUCAAAUUCUCAGUUUUGAACAGACCAGAUUGACCCGGUGUCUGCAACAAUCAUGACCCAGCAUCAACAAUAAUUAUGAACCGGCGUCGGCAACAAUUAUGACUCAGCAUCAUUUAUUUAUAACUCGGCAAUUUUGGUAAUCAUAAAUUAGCAAGCUUCUAAGUCUUCAAGCCGGCUAAAAAUCAGAUGAGUAUUUCAAGACCAAUCUUUUUGUCAAGUCAGAGGAUAGAAGGCUGACUCAAAUGGAUUAUUUCUUAUAAUAUUUCUCUACAAGAGCCAAUGUCAAUAAAUUGACUAUGAAGCUGGCCUAUUGACCCGGAUUUUCCAGAAGAAGUGCCCGGAUUUUUUGCAUUGGUAAUGUUUGAAUAUAUCUUCUAAAAGAGAUUUGCUAUGAGAUCAUGGACACACAUCCCGGAGGAAAAUCACAAGGAAUUAAGGUUGAUCAGGUGCCGGCUUACAAGAAUUCUUAACCCGGAGCACAACCUAUCAAAUUUGUUCUUGAGUUAUUCUGCAGGAUGAGUUUAACAUGGAUAAAUCGAAAUUAAACUGGGGGCUAAUGUCGGGGAUAUACCACGCGGUAUGACCCGGCCAGAAAUAUGACCUGACCGAGCAUGGUGGCUCACCAGAGACCCGGCUGACACUUGGCGACUCACUGCUCUGACAAAACUCACGAGCCCGACGACUCACUAAUGGCCCCGAUGGCGGGUCAUAUAGAGGACUAGGCCCAAGGCCCAGAAGGAUGGCUCAUGUUAUGGUGGGCCGGCUUAAGAGGAAAGCAUAAGAAAUAUUUCCUUACAAAGGAAGCAAGACUAGGACUCCACUUGUAAUAGAGUAAUCCUAAUCAUACUAGGACUAGUCAUGUAACCCGCCCCUUCAACUUAUAUAAGGAGGGGCAGGGCACCCAAAGAGGGACAAGCAAGAAUAUAAUCACUAAGACUAGACACAACUAAAGGGGAGCCGGCUUAUGCAGCGACUCCUUCAUGAGCAUAAUGAGACCUAGCCACAAGCAGCAUGUAGGGUUAAUACUGGAUGAUGUUUUUCGGGGCCGGAAGCUGUCUAAAUCCUUGUCUUGUGUGAUGAUCCGCUUCGCGUGUCUCAUCCAGACCAACCCCUCUCAAGCUACCACAUAGAUACGUUGGUCUCACAACUAAGUCCUCACACUAGGAAAACUGACGUGAUGUUUCCACGACAGGCGUGCAUGACGACAUUAACCAAACCUUCUCAGCUUUUUACUAGGGCACGGUGAGGCCAUACCAUGGCACCAUGCCAGGCAUCAUGUUUUUGAAGCACGCAUUUCAUUUUUCUAUGGUUGAUUACAUAGUAAAUGACGCAUUUGUGGUUGACUAUUGCCACACAUUCCCUUGAAAUCUCUGCCCAUUCCUUGUAAAAGGCAUGAGAAUUUACUAAAUACCAUGUGCAUGGUUUUCCAUACCGUUCUUGUUCACCUUUUCAUGCACUGAUUGUUCGAAUUUGAAUUAUGUGGAUUAAUGCCUAGAAAAUGCACAUAAUCCCCUAAAUAUGGUAAAUAAGCCCGGAAAAAUACCAAAUUUGAACACAUUGCAUUGGAGGGGGUAUGUUGAUUGUAGAAAAAACUGAAUGACAAACUAGGAAGGAAAUUUGGAAUCUCGGCCCCUACAAUCUUGGUGAUUUCUCCCUCGAGACCAUGAAACUUCCUCGGUGAUGGUUCGAUUUAUGAAGGGCGUGCAAGACGACAUAAGCCAAACCAUCUCAAAUAUUUACCAGGGCAUGGUGAGGCCAUACCAUGGCACCAUGCCAGCCGUCAUGUUUUUCAAUCAUGUAUUUCAUUUUUCUACAGUUGGAAAACAAAUAAACGACAUGUUUGUGGUUGAAUAUUGACACACAUUUCCGUGAAAUCUCAGCCCAUUCCUUGGAAAAAGGCAUGAGAAUUUAGUAAAUAGCAUGAGCAAGGUUUUGCAGACCGUUCUCGUGCACCUUUUCAUGCAUCGAAUGUUCGAAUUUGAAUUAUGUUCAUUAAUGCCUAGGAAAUGCACAUAAUCCCCUAAAUAUGGUAAAUGACCCCGGAAAAAUGCCAAAUUUGAACACGGUGAUUUGCAGGGUUUAUGUUCAUCGUAGAAAAAACUCAUGGACAAUGGACAAAGGAAAUUUGGAUUCGCCUUCAAUCUCGGUCAUUUACUAUCACACACGAUUCAUCUCCAUGGCCUCUGCGAACCUGUGUGUUCACACACACAUGCAAAAGGAAGAAGAAAACCCUCGCCCACUUCAUCACCACCCACUCGCCACAGACUCCUCCGCAACUCUGCACCUCGUCAACUUCUAUCGCAGCGGCCACCCUAAGAUCGACGGCUAUCGUCGGUGAGCGGAGGUCGAGGUCCAAACGCCACGAGAUUUCUCCCCUACCGCUUGCCGCCGUGUAUCUGCUUCGACUUGCACCAACAUUCUAGUCUUCGGUCGAUGGGGUUUUCUGUGGGAUUGGGCCAGGGAUUUUUCUCAUGAAGAAGGUAAUCAAUUUAGCGAAAUAUUCAUUCAUCUCUUAUCGCAGUCCGUCUGUCGCUGUUAAUCAACCGGUGGAAACCGUGGAUUCAUUUUUCUUCUAGUUGAUUCGAGGGUUUUCAUUCAUGUUUCCACAGUGCGAGCACAAAUCGGGCCAGUGUGGCCGCGGCCAGUCGGAAACGAAGUUCUGUCUCACCAUUCCGGAUGAGUUCAGGGAGCAUCCGGUAUGUUCAAUCUCACCCUGCCAUGGUCGGCAUGACCUAAAUUUGUGAACAUAUACCGUCUAUUUCUACAUCUAGAUAAAAGGUACGGUGCCACGUGCAGCCUGAUGUCGAAGCCAAUUUCUUUCCCUUUAUUAGGCAGAUUUAUGAUGUAUUGUUCAUUCAGUUACUCUCAUAUUUUCAUCAAAUCUUUGUUACAUUAUCUAUUUUUAUUUAUAUAUUUUUUUACUUUGCUUUCACCUAUAUAUUGAUAUGUUUUAUCAGUUAGUCCCAUAUUUGCAUCUUGCUCUGUUAUUUUAGUAUAUCUAAUUUACGAUCUUAAUUUUCAUUUCAACCAGUACAAACCUUUCUUUGCAAGAACAUGAGUAUAAUGAAAUCUUAGGCUUUACAUUAUUGAUGACUCCAUGGAUGUCAUAUUGACAACGCAGCAUGGAUUUUACAAUGACAAUUAGCAUAAAACUUGAUAAAGAUGGCCAAUGCUAUUUUGAUGCGGACCUUUGGAGAAAAAUGUCUAAGUGUUAUGAACUGAAAGCUGGCAAUAAAAUUCUAGUGCGUCCACCACAACAUGGUCUAAUUAACAUGGAUGUUUACUUCCCCAACAUCAUCAGCCAAUCAACGUCUGAUCGAGGUUAGUGUCCUUCCAACUUUCUCCGUGCUGGCAAUAUUACAUAGCAAAAUUGGGGUAUUUGUACUGACUAAUUGAUCACUAAGCAACCAAUUAUGAUUUCAUUUUUUGACUCGGUUCCUAGGCAGUAACAAAUUCUAUUCACCAAUUUAUGCGCACUAUAUAUUCUUCUGCGUUGUUCUGAAUAAAUAAUUACUUUCCACCUUUUAAGCAGUAUAUGUUGGAUGCAUAGUUAAUGAAUCUGUAUGUUACUAAGCGUACCAAAUUUCACUGGGAGGACUUGAAGCAUGUCAUAAACUUUGUUGAUAAUCUGACAGAGAUAGCACAGCGUAUGAACGUUGGAUUUUGGAUGGGAUUAAUUAUACAUAUGGUGCACACAUUGAACAAGACCAAUUGUGUGCACAAAACGCUGGUACAAAGUCUUAUUUUUAUGUUAUGCUCGUAAACUAUAUAUAUCUUCAAUGAUAUGUUACAAUUGGUUUUCAUUCUACAUUUCGACAAAAAUUGCUUGAUGUAGUUAUUCCUAGAUUGAUUUCCUGGCGUGGUCGAAUUACACUUGUGACUGCUAAUAACACCAAAGUGAUUGCAAGGUCCUGCAUUUCCCGCGGAAAUGGAACGAUUCAAAUUAACAAGUUCUCGCUUGUCAUGGCAAUGCAUCUAUGUUGGAAAAUUGGAGACACUAUUAUACUCAUGCUCUACCAUGGCACAUGAGGGUUCUUCCUUUUCAUUGACAAGAUGCCGAGUCCCCGUGAUCAAGCUGCUUCUAGCGGAUGGUUAUGGUUGUUGGCCCUCAGCCUCUUAAAACAUGCUAGCUGUUACUAUGUUAAGUAUGUAGAUAUGGACCAUAUGGUUGCUGGCCCUCAGCCUGUUAAAAUGUGAUAGUUGUUACUAUGUUAAGUAUAUAGAUAUGGACCGUAUGGUUGUCAAAACCGUGUUACGAAGAUCCUCCUUUGGUCGAAUAGUGUAACCACUAUAUAUAUGUUACUCAAAUGUUGUUAGCCAAGUUAUUAAAUUUUCAUGGAAAGUAUUAGUAUCGUACAUAGUUCAUUGAGUUUAAGCGUGUGCCCGAUAGAGCGGUAGAGUUGAGGACGUCCAUGUUUUUGGACGUGGCGAUAAUCACCGAUGUCAAAAAGGCAUUUGCAUAUUAAUUAUCCAUAUUGCAAAUUCACACAUGUGCUAACAUACGGAAACUUAUGUGUAACUUACUAAUCAUCGCACACGAGUACUCGCAGACGCAUCGUGUGCGAUACUCCUAGCCACUAGAAGCAACUAGUUUGCAUUUUUGAAAGUUUUUUGUACACACAGAAUCGCACACGAAUUAACUAUAGUAACCGUCUAUGUUGUAAUUUCCCAUCGCAAACAGUUCAUCUGAUUGGAAUGUUUGCUGCAUAUCACACAUAUCUUGUUUACACCACUCGUUUGUGUUCUUUUGGCUCAUCCAAACAAUUCAUCUAUGUGAACUGUAUGUCACAUAUCACACACAUCUUGUUAAGUUGAACCGUUUCUGUUGUGUUCCCUAAUCGAGAAUAGUUCGUCCGAGUGAACCGUAUGUCGUAUAUCACACACAACUUGAUCUGUCUAACCGUUUCUGUCGCACUCCCUAAUAGCAAAUUGUUCAUGUGAGCAAAUUAUAUGUCGUAUAUCUCACACACCUUGAUAUGGCUGCCCGUUUCUAUUGUUCCGUCUCAUCGCAAAUAGUUCGUAUGGAUCAACCUUAUGCCCUGAAUUGCACACACAACUAAAAUCUGAACCAUGUUUGAUGUCUCUGCCAUUGCAAACGUUUUGCAUCUUUUUUAUGUUUUUUUUACAUCAUCGUUUGAGAUUAAUGCAUUGCACACAUUUUCGUCAAAUGGUCUCUAAUCAUAGUUCGCGUUAGCAGCAUCCAGCCAUAGUGAUGGUUCUAUAUGGUUGAUUCCUCUAGCGAGAGCCACGGAUGUUAUUUCCCCUUCUCUACUGAACCACUGAGGAGGCUAGUUUCCUGGUCGGACAGGGGGCUUUGCCAAGGGGAACCGAGGAAAUUGAAGGCGCUUCAGCGCAAAAUCAGGGCUAUGGUCGGUGAGGGCAUCAGUCAAGUGGAUGUAAUCCAUGUGAUGUUAUAUUGUCCGAUCCUCCCGCUACAAGUCCAAGCUAUUUCAAUGUGGGACUUCAAGACCGAGGACGAGGCGGUGGUUUGAGAAUUCUUCUUUCUACCCCGUUUGAGUUUCAUUUCACGAUUACUCCCUUCUCCUCUAUAUGAAGGUUGACUCCACCCUUGUUUGCCACAUGUUUGGCGUGAGUGGGACAAGAAAAUGAGUUCCCCCGGCUCCGCCUCCAGGGUAUCAAAGGACUCCUGAUAUUGAAAGGCUUCUGGUCGAGGAUCCUUAUGAGGUUCUGGUAAGAGGGAAGGAUAGGAGGAAGAAUAGGACAAAGGAUUCAUUCGUCCGAGAGGACACCCCUCACGUUGCGCAGAUCAAGGAAAGGAAGAAUAGGAUGAGGCAUUCUAUCCUUCAAUAUGGCACCUCGAGUCCGACGUCAGGGGAAUGUCAAGGCGCCGUCCAGAUCAAGGAGUGAAAGAACAUGACAAGGCGUACUAUCCUUCGAGAUAAUACCUCAGACACAAUAUCUAGAACUCAUCAUCAGUUCUUCCUCUCGGCCAAGCUCAACCGUUGAGAGGAGAGGCAGAACAUGACAAGCUCCACCCAUUGAGAGGAGACGCAGAACAUGACGAAGAACUCAUCGGAGUUAUUCCUCUCGGCAGCGUGCCAUUGACUUGACUUUGCCGGCGUGCUCGCCUUCUACGCCACCACUGAUGCUGCCGCCAUGUGCUUGCUUGCCAUGCUUGCACGACUAAGCAAGAGCCUACGGCGCCACUACGGGCUCAUCGUCAUGUGCCCACGCUCUAGUCCGACAAUGCCAUCAGCCCCUAGAUCUCCUCAAACACCGUCGCCGGCGUGCCCAUUGUACUCCAACACCACCGCCACCGCCAUCACCGAGCCAUCUCCGAUCGAGGUACAUAUAUAUUAUGGCUGACCCAUCUACUUCUAGUAACAUGAAACAUCAUUAUUUGAGCAACGCAAGGUGUUCGAUGAAAUGUCUACAACAGUUUAUUUGUGUCACAUCCCUAGUCUUGUAUGCUAUAGACUAGCCAUUGAUGUGUUGCAUCAUGUUUAAAUUUAUUUGAAAUUUGAAAUAGGGAUGAUCAAACCCUGGCAUCAAAGGAAUUCAAAUAGGUUCAACUAAAUAAUUUUCAGUGAACCCAAAGUGGCAAUAAAAAAUGUUCAUCAUUUUUAAAAAAUGCUAGAAACAGUAAGCAGAGAUGAUGCACAUUUUUCCUUGACAUUUUGGAUUUUUGAGUUAACACAUAUUGUAUUUUGAAUUGGAGCAAAUAAACGCUACAAAUAUUUAUUGCUUCGAUAAUUCUGAUUUUUUGUGAGGGACUUUGGAAUAACUCCUUUAGUCCCUGCAAAAAUUAUCUAAAGCAACAAAAUUAUUUAGUUCCUAAAACUCAAUCAAAACAAAUGGCAGAAAAGAAAAAAAAAGAAAACAAAUAAUAAAAAGGGGAAAUUUUAGCUGGAAGCUCACUGGCCGACCUCGCACUGUGAGGCCCACUGGCUCAGUGCCAGUCGUCUCCCUCGUCCUGCCAGUCGGACGGGGCCAGUGCCCGGCGCGCACACGCGCGUUCGGCGCGGUAUGCUGCAACCUGUCUGGCCUCCACUAGCUAGCGCGACGCCACCACUCACCUCCUCGCUGCCGUCCGGAUCUGUCCGACCCCCUCACUCUCCCCCUCGCCCUCUCCUCAAUUGAUCCUCAACACAGCUAAGCUCUACCAUCGCUGCCGCUCGCUGUUACCACGCCCACCGCCACGACCUGCCUCUCUGACAUGUGCACAAGCUUCGCCAAGUCUCCCUCGUCCUCUCCAUCGAGCUGUGCAUUGUCGUACGCCUUGUGGAGCCGCCUAUGCCCUCGUAUUCAUCAUCGGCUGCCCGAGAUUGCCAUCGAUGUUCCGGCUGCACCGAACCUACCCAAAGCUUGUUGUCGACUCUUCCGGAUCCACUGUCAGCCCCGCCACCGUUACCCCAUGCUCCCACGUUUGAUUGCUUGCCCUAGCUACCGCACCCUCCAUGACCACAUCUCGCAUCCGAGCCCUUCUGUGAGCUCAGCAAGUUCCCACGAACCCAACGCCACUGCCUACACUUCCUGUCGUGCUCUGUGCGCUCCGUUUCGUCGAGCCGUAGCUCCGGCUGCCGCAGAUGUGCUCGCCGAAUUCAACUCUGGGCACCCCGCGACCUUGUGCUACCUCCCCUAGAUGUGUGGGAGUGCAGGGCUACGUCUUGGUGGUCUCCCUGCACCCAGCCGCCGCCUGUUACGCAUGUCCGAUGAGUUCCCGCCGGGGUUUCGGUCGCUGCUGGCCUAACUCCAGCGACAACCGACAUGGNNNNNNNNNNNNNNNNNNNNNNNNNNNNNNNNNNNNNNNNNNNNNNNNNNNNNNNNNNNNNNNNNNNNNNNNNNNNNNNNNNNNNNNNNNNNNNNNNNNNNNNNNNNNNNNNNNNNNNNNNNNNNNNNNNNNNNNNNNNNNNNNNNNNNNNNNNNNNNNNNNNNNNNNNNNNNNNNNNNNNNNNNNNNNNNNNNNNNNNNNNNNNNNNNNNNNNNNNNNNNNNNNNNNNNNNNNNNNNNNNNNNNNNNNNAGGCUAAUUUAACCCCCUGUUUAAACCCUGUGUCACUAACGUGUGGGCCUUGCACGUCAGGUUUGACCCCAGUCGGCGUAGUUGAGUUGCCGACACAUGCAUGCCGCAGUGCGGACGCAGUAAAUGAUUUUUUUGCAUUAUUUAUAAUUAAGGAAAUUCCAAAAAAAUAAUUAAAAAAAUAAUAGAAAUUAAACCGUAGCUUGGAUUGAAAUAAUUUAUAUAUGAAAAAUUGUCAAAAAAAUUCAGUCUAUCCAUCUGUAUCAUUUUCAUGCAUGGCAAACCAAGUUAUAUCUACUGAAUAUAGGAAAAUAAAUAAAAAAGACAUUCUAAAGGGUUUAAUCUAGACUUGCAUUUGAACCCUUGGUUCAAAUGAACUUUAUCCAAAGUGAAUGCUAGAUGCAUUACCACAAACCACAUCACAUCUUGAAGCCAAGUUCACACAUCAUAUUGUUGCAUAUGCUUGUGCAUUGAUUGUUGGCACCGUCCUUCUCGAUAGGUCUUGCUCCGGAGACCGUUCCGGAGUACCUGUCAGAGGAGCAAUGCCCCCUAUUGAUCUACCAGGCAAGCAAACCCCCUUUUGGCAUUCCGAUACAACCCUACUCUCUUGCUCUUGCUCUCGUUUAUUGCAUUAGGACAGCAACGAUUCAACUGCUACUUUAUGUUGCGAUAGUUGAACACAUUCCCCUACAUCACCUCUCUUUGCCACAGUAAAUAGUUGAGACCCACUAGCAUGUGUAGGAGUUGAUUUAGCCAUGUUGUGUUCCUACCAUGCCAUGCCUGCUAUUGCUUAGAGUUAUGUUAGGUCUGAUUCAUUGGGAAUGAAUUGGAGUGUUAUGCCAUGUUCUGAUGCUAACAGUUAAGCGUGUGAACAUGAUUUGGUAAAGGUAGUGGUGAGAGGCCAUGUAGGAGUACACGGUGGGUUGUCUCACUGGAACCGUCCUUAAGAACUGAUUUUUGUUUAUGUUGUCCAAAAUUAGCUACUACCACAUGUUGGAAUGCUUAAGUGCCCCUCUUGACUUAUUAACCGACUUGAUCUCUGUCCAAGAGCUGCAACUAGUUUUUGGUGUUUGUAGGCAGUGCUAUUUUUCUACUAGGUGGCACCCGGCAGGGUGGACUUGGGACAGACUAGGCACCAUGGCCUAAUGUACCGUGUGGCACCUGGAUGGUGGGCUUGGGAACCCUGCAGACAUUGUUUGAGGUCGUGAUAAAUACCUCGGUCGGACUUCCCUUGCCGAUACAUCCUCAAAUAGUCAAUAAUCCUAGACUAGAGUCUCGUGUUGUUAGUCAGGUCGUGGCCAACACCCUCGCCAGACUUCCACUUGAAGAUUGCCGAGAUACAUGAGAUGUACAUGGUGUUAUGUGGUGAGAGCGUGUGUGAAGAGGUAAACCCCUACAGGUUAAGAUGAUCUAUUCGAUUAGCCGCGUCCUCGAUUAUGGACUACUUGGAUACUUAUGUGGUACAUAGACAACUUGAAGUGGAUACUCUAAAAUGCUCAAGAUAAGUGUGAGUGCUUUGGAUGGCCUUCUCGUAGGUAGAUGCGAUAUAAUCCAUAUUAGUGUAUUGAUGUGGUGAUUAGUGGACUCGUGUGCGCUAUCUCACCUCAAAGAAGUUACUCGUAGUCGUAGAACAGGAUAGCCACCGAGUCAAAGCUGGCUUGUUGCAACUAAACCCCACAUUGCCUUCUUGAUACUAAUGCAUGUAUGAUAGGAUCUAUUAUAAGUCUUGUUGAGUACCUUUGUACUCACGUUUGCUUAAUUUAUGUUUUGCAGAUUUGAAGAUGAGACUUCUAUCUCACUAGUAAUUCUGCUUGGACUUCGACGAUUAGCUUGUUACCUCAGCUACGAUCUUGUACCCUUGGGAGGGUCUUGUAGAUAGUCAUACUUCUCAACCUUUUUCAUUUGUAGUUGUCUAUACUCAAACAUGUUAUGCUUCCAUUGCUUGUAUGCUCUGUAUGUUGGGUCAUGCAACCCCUGUUUGUAAUAAAUGCUAUGAUAACUCUUCUGGUACUUUAUCUAUAUGAGUUGUUGAGAUAUGUUGUGAUUCCAUGUUGUACAUCACAUACUUGCAUGUUAUGCAUACGUGUAAUGUGUAUUGCUAUGUGUGGGAUCCGAUACCUAGUUGUUUAUUCUUGGUAGCCUUCCUUAUGGGGAAAUGUCUCCUGAUGCUUCCACCGAGCCAUGGUAGUCUGCUACCUCUCCGAAACACUUGGGUUGGCCGGCAUGUAUCCUUCUUUGUUACAGUUUCUGUCCCUUCAGGGAAAGUCACGUUUUGUUCCUUUAAGUCCUUGUAGAUUGCUACGACUUGGGUUCAUACGUUGAUGACCGACACAUUCAUUGUUGGGUUACGUAUGCCUGUCCCUGUAAGUUUGUGACACCAUGGGUUUAUGACUAGUCAUGUCACCUAGGGUUCUCUGUCAUACGGAUGCUAGCGACACAAUUAUAUACGUGAGCCAAAAGGCGCAAAUGGUCCCGGCCAAGGUAAGGUGGCAGCCGUGGGUUACCGUGUGUGAGGCCGCAAAGUGAUAUGAUGUGUUACAUGCUAGAUCAUUGUGACUUAGGAUUGGGGUCCCGACAACUUUGGUAUCAGAGCCUGACUGCUUGUAGGGUUACUAAGCCAAACCGGUCAGAGUUGGGUCUAGAAAUUCUUUAGUUAUAUAAGAGGAAUUGGUUGGGAAGGGAACAUAAGGCUCUUUUUACUCCUCAUACCUUAUGUUCUUCUGAUCUGAGUCAUCCUAUCUUUCAUAUGAUGUUCAGGAACUAGGCAAUAUCUUCUGCCUAUCAGGAUCACGAGUUACUACUCCGUUCUCUCAUAGGAUUGGGUAACUAGAGUCAUAUUCCAGUUUUCGAGUACUUCUAGUGUAGUUUGAUUAGAACUAUCUCAGAACCCUGAGUGAUGUUGUCGAGUAUGGUACUAUCCCAUCUUUUGUCUGAUGUCUCAUUCUGAGCAUUUUACUGCCGUUAUGCUGCCGAAAUUUUCCUAGGAGUUUGAGAGAUUAUAAUUUCCUUGUGCUACUUUCUGCAUCCUUAUGUUGAUGCUGAAUCCAUCCUUGUUUCAUUGCUUUUGUUCUUCAGGAUGUCGCCGAUUAACCAAGGUUCUGUUGCUCAUAGCCGGAACCACGGAGAUGGUAGUGAUGAGGAUCCUCCCGUCUUCGUUGGCAGAGUUCAUGUUAGAGAUUGAGAGAAACAAGUGUGAGUCUAACCGCUUGUUGGCACAUAUUGAGGAGAAAACCGCACACCAGUGCGACGAGUCAGCAACCAUCCAUGACUUCAUCAGCUUGCACCCACUAAUUUGUGUUAGAACUACGUCGGUAUUUACCCAAAGAGGAAGGGAUGAUGCAGUAUAGCGACGGUAGGUUUUUCCCUGAGUGAUGAGACCAGGGUUAUCGAACCAGUAGGAGAACCUCCUCACACCACGUAAACAACACCUGCACACAAAUAACAAAUACUCGCUACCCGACGUGUUAAAGGGGUUGUCAAUCCCUUUCGGGUACGGCGCCUCAAGUAGACAAAUAACAUGAGGUAAAAAGUGGUAGAUAGGAUAAAUAGAUCGCGGAACAAAUAAAUUGCAGCAAGGUAUUUUUGUAUUUUUGGUUUAAUAGAUCUGAAAAUAAAUGCAAAGGAAAAUAGAUCGCAAAGGCAAAUAUGAUGAAAAGAGACCCGGGGGCCGUAGGUUUCACUAGUGGCUUCUCUCGAGGAAAAUAGCAAACGGUGGUGUCGGUGUCAAAACCGGCGGAUCUCGGGUAGGGGGUCCCGAACUGUGCGUCUAGGCGGAUGGUAACAGGAGACAAGGGACAUGAUGUUUUACCCAGGUUCGGGCCCUCUUGAUGGAGGUAAAACCCUACGUCCUACUUGAUUAAUAUUGAUGAUGUGUGUUACAAGAGUAGAUCUACCACGAGAUCAAGGAGGCUAAACCCUAGAAGCUAGCCUAUGGUAUGAUUGUUGUUCGUCCUACGGACUAAAGCCAUCCGGUUUAUAUAGACACCGGAGAGGGCUAGGGUUACACAGAGUCGGUUACAAUGGUAGGAGAUCUACAUAUCCGUAUCGCCAAGCUUGCCUUCCACGCCAAGGAAAGUCCCAUCUGGACACGGGACGAUGUCUUCAAUCUUGUAUCUUCAUAGUCUUGGAGUCCGGCCGAUGACGAUAGUUCGGCUAUCCGGACACCCCCUAGUCCAGGACUCCCUCAGUAGCCCCCGAACCAGGCUUCAAUGACGACGAGUCCGGCGCGUAUGUUGUCUUCGGCGUUUGCAAGGCGGGUUCUCCUUCAUGUUUCAUGUGUUUGCCGGAUAGUGUCCGGUUGCUUCAUAAAUGUUGCACUCCUUGGCUUCUACGUCCAAUAAUGGCCUUCUUCCACGUGUCGUACGAAUGCGAAAAGCCAGGGUAUUCUUACGUUUUACCCCCUAGCUGCGUGAAUAAGCUGCCUAUAAGAGAGGCGAGGAUCCAGAUCCAAAUCACACCAUCCUCCUUCCGCAAGUACUCAUCGAGGCGCAUCUGACAAAAAAUCCAUUCCAACAUGGACAGUCGACGCGGCUCCUCUUCUCGCGCUCCCAGUCCUCAACCAGGAGAUUGGAGGAGAUACUCAGUCCCGCAUAGCGAGUUAGUGACGCUCCAAGCAGAGGGCUACCUGCCCCCGGCCUUUAUGGUUCCGGUUCGAGUCGGACUGGCCACCUACAAGGGUGGGAAGCAGGCAGAGAGCAUCCCCAAUCCCUCCAAAGGAGAGCGGGUAUGCUUCGUCCCCUACUUAAUAAGGGGACUCGGAUUUCCUAUACAUCCGUUUCUCCGGGGGCUCCUGGAGUUUUAUGGACUCCAACUUCACCACCUCACGCCCGCCUCCAUUUUGCACAUCGCGGGCUUUGUAGCUCUUUGCGAGCUAUUCUUGGGCAUCGAGCCCCAUUUUGCGCUGUGGAAGAGGCUGUUUUGCCUCAUACCCCGUUCUUACGAGGGGUCGAUAUAUCAAGUGGGCGGAGCCGAAAUAUGGUGCAUCGCCGGGACCGGAUAUCUAUCCGGAACCCCGAAGAAGGCGUCCGAAGACUGGCCUUCGGAGUGGUUCUAUAUGGAAGACGCCCCGCUGCCGGAUCCAGUUCGGAUCGGCCUCCCGGAGUUUGGCAACGCUCCUCUGAAGAAACGCCUGAGUUGGCGCCCACGGAGCCCUCAACGGGAAGAUGACAGGAGCGUCCACUAUCUGAUGGGCCGAAUACGGUUACUAGCCCAUUCCGGAUUAACUAUGAUUGGAGUCAUGGCCAAAUGCAUUAUGCGAGGGGUGCAGCCGCUCCAAUAUAGGGGCCACCCCAUGUGGGAUUUCAACGGGGAGAAUGACGCCACCCGUCAUGGCCGCACGGGGACGGGGUCGGCCGCCGAUCUGGUGAAAAUCCUGUCCGGCUUGUACAAGGGGGAGAAGGAGGACUUCCUCCGCAUGAAUCCAUUGAAUGGAUUAUCCAUGAAUAACCCUCGGAGCUGGGUAAGCGGACGCUUAUAUAUCUGAUCCGUUCUUUCAAAGAUAAGUGUCUUACUUUAUGAUUUCGACGCAGGAACUGCGCCGGGAUGUGGAGGGCAUAGAAAGCCCAACUCCACAACCCGAGGAUCCGGGAAGAUCCCUUGAUCCGGCCUCCGAAGAGGAUCCGGACAUAAAGGUGGAUUUGAUUGACGGGGUGUUCCACCAGCUCAGCAUAGACAAUGCUUUAGUCACCAUUACGCCUGACUAUCCCGGUUUAUGUCCGGCUUCCCAGGUGAGUACGACCGAAGUCCUGACACUGUUACUUUUUUAAUGCUUAUUCCUGACCACCGUGUACCAAUGGUGCUUCACAGGAGGUGCCUUUACAGCGGGAAGCUGAGCCCGCGGCGACUAACCAAACGAGGUCAGUGCGGCCUAGCAGGCGGAAGAGGAGUGUGGCGCGAAUCGAAACGCCGCCGCAAAGGUAUGGUGCACCAUUGUCUUUUAAGGGAAAGACUCCUGGGAGGUAUAUUAAUGCUCAUGAUUCUUCCAGGAGAAAGAGCGCUCGCAGGACUGAGUCCGGAGAGGGUGCCAACCAAGCCUCCGCCAGCCAGGCUCGAACGCCUGGUCCGGAGGGGGAGGCAAGCGCAAGGCGCGAGCCGGAUGCUCCUCCAACGGAGGAUGCCGACAGGUUAUCCGCCACCAGGUCUGAGGUGGAGAGCGCCAUGAAUCACAGGCGCCGUCGGAUAGUUCUUCAUGACGCGUGUUUCUCCCCAGAGGCGUUGAAUGCCUUUAAUGCGGGAGACGCGCACCUCCGUGCUGCUCAAGAUGGUUUAACCAGAGCCAUGGAGCAGUAUGUAAAAGACAUACGGGUGAGGAAUUUUAAUAGUUAUAUAUGCCAGUAGCCCCCGAGACUUAAAAUAGUUAAACUAACUGAUUUAAGGAUCAUUUGUAACGCAGGAUCUUACCGAGAAGAAUACCCACCUGUCCCAGGAGCUUCAAGAAUGCAAGGCCCAACUUGAGGCCGCACUAGCCGCUGCCGGGGGAGCCACGGAGACCCCCUCUGGUAAUUCAUAUUUUGAAAGGAGAAGUAGUUUAUGAAGUGUGACGUGUGUGUAUAGUCUGACAAUAAUAUUGCAGAGGGUGCCGGACUAGAUCCGGCCAAGCAACAGCUGCUGCACCAGUUGAGGGCCGACGAGAGGGUGCUUAUGAGGGUGCAGCAGGAGAGGAACAAACUCCAAGAUGCCAACACCCAGCUGGGCGAAGAAAUAAAAGAUGUUCGGGUCCAGCUGUCUAACUCCGUAAAGGAGAAUCGGCGGCUUCGCCGCGGCAUUUAUAGUAAGUGCUUGAGCAAACUCUUUUGAAAAGAAGUGUUCGGCGAGGAAGUCGAUUGACAGAAAUGUGUCUGUAGGUGUGCUCACGGGUCGUCCGGCGGAGGAGAUGCCUGGUUCCACGGGAGACCCUCUUCCCGAGCUGCUGCAACUACAUGAACGUGUUCGGCAGGUGAUGAGCGGCGUCGCCCAGGCCUUAUGGCCUUCCGUCUCCCUACCUGAGGGCCUUGGAGGGCUUGCUGAGAAGCUUUAGGGAGUACGGCGACGUCUCUUUCUGUGGAAGAUAUCGGCCUGCCGUCAAGGCGCCAGGGAGGCCUGGGCCAUGGUGAAGACGCGGUACCCGAAGGCUGACCCAAACCACAUGGCCGAGGUCGGACCUAUGGGGCCCGAUGGGAAGGAGAUCCCUGCGAGCUUGAUGUACGGCCAAGUAGAGUUGGCCGCAAAAUAUUCCCAACAAGACUGUAAAUUAGACAGCCUGUUAGAUGGGAUUGAAGAGGAGUACAAUCAGUCAGCUUGACGGUGUAAUUUUAAAAUGACAUAUAGAAUGCCUUCUAGCCGGAUUGUAGAUCGUUUGUCUUUGCGGACCUUUUCGCUUCAACCUCGGGACCCAACGGUCCGGAGUGUGUCUGAAUACCCUUACGGUUAUAAAAGAACCGGGGCGUGCAUGGAGACAAGGCGUAGGGGUCAUAAUUGCUUUAUCGGACAAGUGCCCAACUAGUUAUAUUAUAUUACAUGGUUAGUAAGAAACAUCUUCCAGGGAGAAUAGUUCCGUUAAGUGUUCCUUUCCCUGGGAGGCAUGCCCUAAAGUGCAUGUCUGGACUGCGAAAAUAGCAGAAAAAGCAUCUGGGGGCAGAUAAAUAAGUAAGUAAUAAAUCAUCUUUCAGGUCACCGACCGAAUAGUCCCUUAAGAACGCUAGCCUUCGGCUUCACCCAGUCUGAGGUACACAUCCGGCUGACCCGGCAGUAACAAUCGCAGAGGUGCUCCCUUUACCUCCUAGCUGAACAAUCGGAAACGUAGGGGUAAGCACAGGAGCCAGGCAACCCGGCUUGGCCAAAACUUAAGUCAUUUCGAUGCAUAUAAUGGUGAUCAAAAGGUACAUGUGGAAGUAUGACACAUGUGUUGGGCAUGAAGCCCGUAGAAAUAAGCUUCUGUUAAAGAAGCCCCAAGGUAUAACGAGUGCGAGUAGCACAUUGAGUGAGUGCGAACAAAGCACAGAUCAGCCCUCAAGGGGUUUGGACUGAAAAAGGGAGGAAAAGGGGGGGAAAACAAAGACAACGAAAAAAAUGAAAGGUGGACGGAGGAAGGAGACGAACCCUGAGUCCGGCGCUAGGCGUAAAAUCUUCGGAGAUGGGCUGCGUUCCAUCGGUUUGGCUCGAGUCGGUUGUCAGAUGCGUUGCGUAGACGGUAUGCACUGCCAGUAAGGACUUGGUCGAUGAUGAAGGGACCCUCCCAUUUGGGCUCAAGUUUGUCCUUUUUCUUGUCCGGCAGGCGUAGAACUAGCUCGCCAACAUUGUAAGUUUUGGCCCAUACUUCUCUGCUUUGAUAUCUUCGAGCCUGCUGUUGAUAGAAUGCGGAACAGGAUUUUGCCACGUCGCGCUCCUCCUCCAAAGCGUCCAAACUGUCCUGCCGAUCCAACUCGGCUUCCCUUUCCUCGUACAUGCACACGCGAGGUGAGUCAUGAAUUAUAUCGCAGGGCAAAACUGCCUCAGCGCCGUAUACCAUAAAAAUGGUGUGAAUCCGGUUGUGCGGUUUGGCGUGGUCCGCAGCCCCCAGAGUACGGAGUCGAGCUCCUCUACCCAGUGCGUGUUAGAUUCCGUGAGGGACUGCACUAAUCUAGGUUUGAUGCCGCUCAUGAUUAGACCAUUUGCUCGUUCCACUUGACCGUUAGUUUGAGGGUGGUAGACUGAAGCGUAGUCGAGCUUGAUGCCCAUGUUUUUGCACCAGAGUUUAACCUCGUCGGUCGUGAAAUUCAUGCCAUUAUCAGUGAUGAUGCUGUCGGGGACGCCAAAACGGUGUACUACCCCGGAUAUGAAGUCUAUCACAGGUCCGGAUUCUGCCGUUUUAACCGUCUUGGCAUCUAUCCAUUUGGUGAAUUUUUCCACCAUGACCAAUAAGUAUUUGUGCUUGUGGUUUCCCCCUUUAAGGGGUCCAACCAUGUCAAGCCCCCAGACCGCGAACGGCCAUGUGAUGGGUAUAGUUUUGAGGGCGGUGGGUGGCAUGUGGCUCUGAUUAGCAAAGAGCUGGCAACCGACACAUCGUUGGACUAAGUCCUGAGCAUCUGCCCGGGCGGUCGGCCAAUAAAAUCCUGUACGGAAGGCCUUGCCUACAAGGGCCCGGGCGGCGGCGUGGUGCCCGCCGAGUCUGGCGUGAAUUUCAGCCAGGAGAUUUCGCCCUUCCUCUUCGGAAAUACACCUUUGAAGGACUCCGGUUGUGCUUUUCUUAUAAAGUUCUCCCUCAUGGACCUUGUAGGCUUUAGAUCACCGAACUAUGCAGCGGGCCUCAUUUUGGUCUUUGGGAAGUUCCUGCCUGAUUAAGUAGGCUAGGAAUGGUUCCGUCCAUGGGGCAAUUACUGCCAUUAUUUCGUGCGUUGAAUCUGUUAUUUCAUUGGCUGAGCCACCGAUUGUGUGAGAAUGUUCUAUGUUAGGCGAUGCAGUUGGUUCCGGAUUGUUAUUUCCUGACUCCUCUUCCCAUAAUACGGAUGUCUUAAAGAGCCGCUCCAGGAAGAUGUUUGGAGGGACAGCGUCUCGUUUUGCGUUGAUGCGUGCCAACACGUCUGCUGCCUGGUUAUUAUCCCGGGCUACAUGGUGGAAUUCGAGUCCUUCGAACCGGGCUGACAUUUUUAGGACGGCGUUACGGUAGGCUGCCAUUUUCGGAUCCUUGGCGUCAAAGUCUCCAUUUACUUGGGAUAUUGCGAGGUUUGAAUCCCCGCGCACCUCUAGGCAUUUAAUACCCAUGGAGAUUGCCAUCCGGAGGCCAUGUAGAAGGGCCUCGUAUUCGGCUGCAUUGUUGGAGUCUGUGUACAUUAUUUGAAGCACGUAUUGGACUAUGUCUCCGGUUGGGGACGCCAAGACGAUGCCAGCCCCCAAGCCAGCCAACAUUUUGGAGCAGUCGAAAUGCAUGAUCCAAUUGGAGUAUGCGCCGUACUCUUUAGGGAGUUCGGCUUCGGUCCAUUCGGCGAUGAAGUCAGCCAAAACUUGCGAUUUUAUAGCUCGCCAUGGUUUGUAGGUUAUGUCAAUUGGUAAGAGCUCAAUGGCCCAUUUUGCAAUCCUGCCCAUCGCGUCGCGAUUGUUUAUAAUAUCGUUGAGAGGUACUUCGGAGGCCACCGUUAUGGAACACUCUAGAAAGUAGUGUCACAGCUUCCGGGAUGCCAUGAACACCGCAUACGCUAUCUUUUGAUAAUGUAGGUAACGGGACUUGCAUGGAGUUAAGACAGUGGAUACGUAGUACACUGGUUUUUGAAGAGGGAAUUUGUGCCAUUCUGUUUCUCGUUCGAUGACGAGUGCGGCGUUGACAACUUGAUAUGUUGCCGCGAUGUAUAAUAACAUAGGUUCGCCCAGGUUGGGCGCGGCCAGAACCGGAUUUGUUGCCAAUACGGUCUUAAUUUCUUCGAGUCCGGCCGCGGCAGCAUCCGUCCAUUCGAAGUGUUUGGAGGAGGCGAUAGAGGGGCAGUGCCUUUUCUCCCAAACGGGAGAUGAAGCGGCUUAGAGCCGCCACGCAUCCAGCUAGUUUUUGUAUUUGCUUGAGUUCUUUUGGGAUAUCCAAUUGUGACAGAGCUCGGAUCUUGGCUGGGUUUGCUUCAAUUCCUCUACCGGAUACAAUGAAGCCCAAGAACUUUCCGGCUGGUACGCCGAAAACACAUUUUUCCGGGUUGAGCUUAAUGUCAUAUGCUCAGAGGUUGUCGAAUGUCACCCUCAAGUCGUCUACUAGAGUUUCGACGUGUUUGGUCUUGACGACCACAUCGUCUACGUAUGCCUCUACCAUUUUGGCUAUCUGGGUAGCCAGACAUGUCUGAAUCAUGCGCUGAUAUGUUGCGCCGACGCUUUUGAGUCCGAAGGGCAUUGUGUUGAAGCAGAAUGGUCUGUAUGGAGUAAUGAAUGCCGUUGCGGCCUGGUCUUUUUCCGCCAUCUUGAUUUGAUGGUAUCCAGAGUAUGCGUCGAGGAAGCACAAUGAAUCGUGCCCUACAGUAGCAUCGAUGAUUUGGUCGAUGCGAGGGAGAGGGAAAGGGUCCUUUGGACAGGCCUUGUUAAGGUCUUUGAAAUCGACACAAAGGCGCCAGGCUUUGUCCUUUUUGGGUACCAUUACCAGGUUGGCUAGCCAGUCCGGAUGUUUUAUAUCUCUGAUGAAUCCGGCUUCUAAGAGCUUGGCUAGCUCCUCUCCCAUUGCCUGUCUUUUGGGUUCGGAAAAUCGCCGAAGAGCCUGUUUGACUAGCUUAAAUCCUUUUAGGAUAUUUAGGCUGUGCUCUGCCAGCCUGCGGGGGAUUCCUGGCAUGUCUGAAGGGUGCCAGGCGAAAAUGUCCCAAUUUUCCCAAAGGAAUUCUCGUAGUGCGGCUUCUACAUCAGCAUUUAAUUGUGCCCCAAUGGAGGCCGUCUUUGUGGGGUCCGUUGGAUGGACCUGGAAUUUGACUAUUUCGUCUGCUGGUUUAAAAGAGGUGGACUUAGACCUCUUAUCGAGUAUCACAUCGUCCCUAUCCACCGUGGAGCGCAGCGCAGUGAGUUCUUCUGCCGCUAGGGCUUCGGAUAAUGCCUCUAGGGCCAGUGCGCCUGUCUUAUUUUCAGCGCGGAGUGCUAUAUCUGGAUCACUGACGAGAGUGAUUAUUAUAUUGGGCCCGGGCAUUUUGAGCUUCAUGUACCCGUAAUGGGGUAUAGCUUGGAAGAUUGUGAAUGCCUCUCGCCCUAACAAGGCGUGAUAUCCGCUGCCGAAUGGGACCACUUGGAACGUGACCUCUUCGGACCUGUAGUUGUCCGACAAGCGGAACACUACGUCUAGUGUGAUUUUUCCUGUGCAGCGUACUUCUCGACUAGGGAUUAUUCCCCUGAAGGUUGUGUUGCUUCGCUCAAUGCGGCUCCAGUCAAUUUCCAUUUUUUGAAGGGUUUCCUUGUAGAUGAGGUUUAAUCCGCUGCCGCCAUCCAUGAGUACCUUGGUAAGACGAAAGCCAUCCACUAUCGGACUGAGGAGCAAUGCGGCUGGUGCUCGAGCUGUUCGGAAUUUAGGUUCAUCGCUGGCAUUGAAGGUGAUAGCCGUGUCGCUCCAUGGAUUUGUUGUUACUACUUGGUAGACUUCGGCGAGGCUGCGGAUUGUUCGCUUCCGCAUGUUAUUUGAUGUGAAAGUCUCGAAGACUAUUAAUACCGUACUGGUACUGCUAGGCUGGUUGCCCGGGGCCAGAAAGCCUUCGCCACUUUUGGCCACCUGCCGUAGUAUCCAACAUGCUCGAAGGCUAUGUGUUGAAGUGGCGCCCUCCGUACUGUGGAUUUUGCAGGGUCCGUUGAGCCAUACCUCCAGUACGGUUUCGUGCCCUUUAGGGGGGUUUUUGCUUUUUGGUUUUUAAUCCAGGUGCUUGAGUAUGACGCACCCUUUUAUUUCGGACUGCGGUUGUAUUCAGGGCCAGAUUGUCCCAAAACCUGGUUUCGGUUUUCCAGGCACUCUCCAUCGCACAAUAUUUUUGUACAAUGGUCGCUAGGUCGGUGAAGCGUGUAACUUCGAGACGACUUAUGGCGUUUAUGAUUCCCUUGUCCGUGCAAUUGUUGCAGAAAAUUGAAAUCGCGCUUUCUUCACGACAGUCCUUUAUCCUGUUCAUAACCAGGAGGAAUCUGGCCCAGUAAUGAUGUACUGUUUCAUCGGGCUCUUGCUGUAUUUGAGAUAGAUCGCUUAUGUUUGGGUGGGCGGGUGGAAUUAAGUUCGGAACCCCGCCCGAUCUGAGGCUCAAAGGCCAAGAAGUUUCCGAAUUUGGAAGCUUGGUUUGUUGGAUGCUUUCCAACGAAUCUGGUCUGAUGCCUGACUUUAGGUUCAGUAUUUGAUUGACGUCGGUCCCCCCACGGGAAUCCGGCAUGGAGGGAUCGGGAAUCCGGACAUAGCUAGUUUUUAACAUAGAAGAAGAGUCGCUGCAUUGUUCCUCUACCACAACAACAUGGUGGGUAGCCUGGAAAGAGUUAAUUUCUCUUAGAUCGGUUUUAAGCCCAAUCUGAUGGUAGUCUGUAGCGACUCCCAGAGCUCGUUUACGGAGGAGAGCUCCAUCGGAUCUAGCUGCUCGGCAAAUUCCGAGCUGACGUGAAGAUCGCUUUUGAUGACCUGAGAGGUCAUCGUCGGAGCGGUGACUGAACAGGCGGUCAUAAGGAAACCACCUAGCCGGAUAGUUUGGCCGGCGGCCAAAGCUCCCUUGACGACGAUGCCGUCUUUAAAGACAGGAAAAGGCAUCCUUCCUGAUUGCGACAGCACAGAGGAACUCUCAAUGAAAGCACCAAUGUCAGUGUCAAAACCGGCGGAUCUUGGGUAGGGGGUCCCGAACUGUGCGUUUAGGCGGAUGGUAACAGGAGACAAGGGACACGAUGUUUUACCCACGUUUGGGCCCUCUUGAUGGAGGUAAAACCCUACGUCCUACUUGAUUAAUAUUGAUGAUGUGUGUUACAAGAGUAGAUCUACCACGAGAUCAAGGAGACUAAACCCUAGAAGCUAGCCUAUGGUAUGAUUGUUGUUCGUCCUACGGACUAAAGCCAUCCGGUUUAUAUAGACACCGGAGAGGGCUAGGGUUACACAGAGUCGGUUACAAUGGUAGGAGAUCUACAUAUCCAUAUCGCCAAGCUUGCCUUCCACGCCAAGGAAAGUCCCAUCCGGACACGGGACGAAGUCUUCAAUCUUGUAUCUUCAUAGUCUUGGAGUCCGGCCGAUGACGAUAGUUCGGCUAUCCGGACACCCCCUAGUCCAGGACUCCCUCAGGUGGGAAAACAAUUACUGUUGGGCAAUUGAUAGAACUUCAAAUAAUCAUGAUGAUAUCCAGGCAAUGAUCAUUAUAUACUCAUCAUAUCCAAGAUUAGUAGACCGACUCCUGCCUGCAUCUACUACUAUUACUCCACACAUCGACCGCUAUCCAGCAUGCAUCUAGUGUAUUAAGUUCAUGAGAAAACGGAGUAAUGCAAUAAGAUUGAUGACAUGAUGUAGACGAGACCCGUUUAUCUAUUGCGGUAGAUAUAGAUCUCAUCUUGUUAUCCUUAGUAGCAACUAUACAUACGUGUCGAUUCCCCUUCUGUCACUGGGAUCAAGCACCGUAAGAUCGAACCCACUACAAAACACCUCUUCCCAUUGCAAGAUAAAUAGAUCAAGUUGGCCAAACAAAACCCAAGUAUCGGAGAAGAAAUACAAGGCUAUAAGAAAUCAUGCAUAUAAUAGAUCAAAGAAGACUCAAAUAACUUUUAUGGAUAAAAACAUAGAUGUGAUCAUAAACUCAAAUUUCAUCGGAUACCAACAAACACACCGCCAAAAGAGUUACAUCAUGUGGAUCUCCAAGAGACCAUUGUAUUAAUAAUCAAGAGAGAGAGAGAGAGAGAGAGGAAGCCAUCUAGCUACUAACUAUGGACCUGUAGGUCUACAAAGAACUACUCACACAUAAGAGGACAGGCACCAAUGGAAGUGGUGAACCCCUCCAUGACGGUGUCUAGAUUGGAUCUGGUGGUUUUUGGACUCUACGGCGGCUUGAUCAAUGUUUCGUCGACUCCCCUAGGGUUUUUGGGAUAUUGUGGUAUUUAUAGAGCAAAGAGGUGGUUCGGGGGGCACCCUAGGUCGGCACAACCCUCCAGGGCGCGCUUGGGCCUCCUGGGCGCCCUGGUGGGUGCUGCUCACCUAGUGCAGCCCCUCAGGUGCUUCCUUGGCCCAUUGGAUUUUUCUGGCCCAAAAAAUCCUCCAGGAGUUGCAUUGCGUUUGGACUCCAUUUGAUAUUGAUUUCCUACGAUGUAAAACACAUGCUGAAAACAUCAACUGGCACUGGGCACUAUAUCAAUAGGUUAGUACCACAAAAAUGAUAUAAAAUGACUAUAAAAUGAUUGUAAAACAUCGAAGAAUGAUAAUAUAACGACAUGGAACAAUCAAAAAUUAUAGAUACACGUAUCACCAUCCCCAAGCUUAAUUCCUGCUCGUCUUCCAGUAGGUAAAUGAUAAAAACAAAAUUUUUGAUGUGGAAUGCUGCCUAACAUGUUCAUCACAGUCUUUUCUUUAUAGCAUGGACAUAUGAAUUUUAUAUGAUUCAAAGCAAUAGUCUAGUUUUGAUAUGAAAACAUUAAUACUCAAGCAUACCAACAAGUAACCAUGUCUUUCAAAAUAUCAACACUAAAGCAAGUUAUCCCUAGCCCAUCAUGCUCAAUCACUGAUCCAUUCAUGAAAAACACUCGAAUAUUAGCUACACCCAAUGCUCAAAUACGAUCAUAGUGCCCCUUAGUUGGUGCUUUAUAAGAGAAGAUGGAGACUCAAAUUAAAAAUAAAACUUGCAUAAGGAAAAGAAAGGCCCUUGGCGGAGGGAAGUACUGAUCUGUAGAGGUGCCAGAGCCCAAAGCUUAAAUCGAGAGAUAAAAUAUUUUUGAGAGGCAUACUUUUCCUACCAACAAAAAUGACUUGGAGCAUCCCAACACUUUCCGUGCUAGAUACAUCAUAGGCGGUUCCCAAAUAGAAAAUAAACUUUAUUCCUUUUUCCACCAUAACUUUCACUUUCCAUGGCUAACUGUAUCCACGGGUGCCCUCCAUACCAACACUUUCCAAGGAAUCUAUUAUUUGACAACAUAAAGUAAAUUCAUUUAUUCAUUUCGGGACUUGGCAUCCCUAGUACCUUUGUCGUACUCUUGUGCAAUGACAAGUGAAUAAACAAUCAUCGUGAGAAUAACACAUAUAGCAUGGAAAAUAUCGGCUACCCUUUACCGCCUCCCGAGUAGUAGAGCACAGAAAAGAGAAAAUUAUUUUGAAUAUUAGAGAUGGCACAUGCAAAUUUGCUUAGAAUGUCAUGGAAAUACCGCAUAUAGGUACGUAUAGUGGACUCAUAAGGCAAAACUGGUUUAAAGGGUUUUUGAUGCAGAAGUAGUGAUCAUACUUAGUGCAAAAUGAAGGCUAGCAAAAAGACUGAGAAGUGACCAACCAAAAAGCGAAGAAUCUCGUACCCAAGCAUUAAGCACAAGUAACACCGAAUAAUGAACAAUAAGUAGGAUAUAAAUUUCAUUGCAUGACUAUUGACUUUCGUGCUUGCAUAGGGAAUGAUAAACCUUAACAUCAAUAUUCUUACUAAAGCACAACUACUCAUCAACAUGAUUCACAUAUCAUGUCGUCAUAUAUCAAAACCAUUACUAAGAAUCAAGUUUAUUUUGUCCAAUGAUCUUCAUGAAAGUUUUUAUUAUAUCCUCUUUGGAUAUCUAUCACUUUGGGAUUAUUUUCAUAUGUUGCUUUUGAUAAGCUCAAACAAAUAUAAGUGAAGAUCAUGAGCAUAAUUUUUCUUUCUUUCUAUCAAAAUAAUCUAAGUGAAGCAAGAGAGAAUUUCUUGAAACUUUACUAACUCCCAAAUAAAUCUAAGUGAAGCAUGAGAGCAUUUCUUCAAAAAUAACAAAGCACGUCGUGCUCAAAAAGAUAUAAGUGAAGUACCAGAGGAUGUCCAUGGCUCUAAAAAUUUAAGUGAAGCAUAGGAGCAAGCAUAGCACAAUUUUUGGCUCUCUAAAAAAGGUGUGUCCAGCAAGGAUUCAACACUUAAAACACAAAGCAAAACAAGCAAACACUCAUACCAUACAAGACACUCCAAGCAAAACUCAUAUCAUGUGACGAAUAAAAAUAUAGUUUCAAGUAAAAUACCGAUGGUCGUUAGAAGAAAUCGGGGAUGCCACUCGGGGCAUCCCCAAGCUUAGUUGCUUGCUACUUCUUUGGAUAUUAUCCAGGGGUUCCUCGUGAAGGAAAUAUGCCCUAGAGGCAAUAACAAAGUUAUUAUUUAUUUCCUUAUUUCAUGAUAUAUGUUUAUUAUUCAUGCUAGAAUUGUAGCGACCAGACCUCAGACGGUCAAGUCUCUGUGCAUCAGUGUCAUCCCUGGAUCAGUAAUGCUGACACACACAGUACUCAAAGGAUUUAUAACAGAGUAGCACUCACACACUUAUUACAUCGAAUGUCUCCAAAGAGAACUUAUUACAAUAAAUAUGGCUUAAGGCCAUCUAAUAACGAUAACAGCGGAAGGCAUGGAAGAUAAGUGAGUCCACCAACUCCAGCGGCAUCACUGAGUAUAGAACCAUGACCUAAAGCACCUUACUUGUCAUCUGAAAAGUCUGCAACAUGAACAUUGCAGCAAGAAAACGGGUCAGCACAUGGAAUAUGCUGGCAAUGUAACACAUAGAGAGUAAUGAAAGAAUAAUGCUAUACUACAUGCAUAUAUGGCUGAUGGAAAGCUCUAUGGUUACGGUUUUGCAUAAAGCCAAUUUUUCCCUACUGCAAAGGAAUAAAUUUUAUUUAACUAUCAUGGUGGUUGUAAACAUUGAGAAGAUAGACAUCCUCUCAAUCCCAAUUAAACAUCAUCAUUAAACCCAACAAAAUUAAUUAAAGUAACAUGAUGAGAUUCACAUGAUAAUCCAAGUACUAGAUACUCAGAACAUCCAUAACCAGGGACAUGGCUAACCAUGAUUAGUUUAUACACUCUGCAGAGGUUUGUGCACUUUUCCCCACAAGACUCGAUCUCCUCCGUUGGGAUUCUCGCACUACAUGAUGUUUGAGAAACGGAUGACCGAGACAUAGUCUUUCAGAAGCGUUUGCACCUUACGAUUGGGUAGACAGUACCAACCUACAUCCCGUACAUCUGCUAGUCUAGCAUUGUAAGAGUUCACACGACUUAAUAAACUACGCUAGAGCCCAUAGUAGCUUGUGGCUGCACACGGAAAUUUCUAGCAUGAAUAAUCUCAUGAUCCCUUUGAGCCUGGGAGACGGUCCAUAAAGAAAAACAAGCAAUUGCUGGAAUACCCAGGUGCCUCAAUCCACCCAGAUGUGUAUUAAAGUUGCCACCUUAAAUAACCCAUUAAAUAAAAAUCUCACAUAUGUCAUGGAUACUCUCACCCAAUCCACGUCUACUAGCAUAGCAUGGCAAUAUAAGCAAACGUAGAAGUAACUCCCAAGGGUUUGAUAAUAAAACAUGUAAUAGGUACUACCUCAUGUACUUCCCAAAACCCACAUAUUAAUCAAAUCCUAAUCAUGCAAUUGUUUGAGGGUUGAUCUAAUGCAAUAAAACUGGGUAGUAAAGAGGUAUGCUCAAAGUGUUACUUGCCUUGCUGAUGAUCCAUGAAACCUAGAGAUUCGAAGUAGCAAGCGGCGCACUCCGGGUACUCUAUCGCAAACAAACAAGCAUAUAGUAAGCACUCAUCUAAUGCCAAGUUAACACUCAAAUAAGAGAACUAACCAGAAAGUUCAACUUAAGAACUCUGGUUUGCAAAAAGAAUCAAAUCGAAUGAAGCAACGAAUGUCAAACGGCGAAAGAAACAAGCUUCGUUUACUAAUCUGGACCUAUGUCAAAUUUUACAGAAGCAAAAACUUGUUUGAGUUUGUUAAACGGAAAGAGGGUUUCGAGACGAAACUCUAGCCACUUGAAUCGCCUGAUUCUGAUAAACGAGCGAAAAGUUAUACUAGAACGAAAAUCGGAUCAGAAAUCGCGAUCAGAAAUAAUUGCGGAAAAAUCCGAGAAAAAGAAAAACUGAAGAACAGAUUAACGAACAAACAUUCGUUAACUGAAACUAAACGGUGAACUCGUCCGUUAAAAUGAAUGAUCGAGCGAACGCUCGCUAAAUAAAUAAACCGGAGAAAAAAUAAACCGAUCUAAAAAAUAAAACCUAGGGUUUUCUAAAAAAACGGAUCAGUUUUCUUUAGAAAAUCGAGGCGGCGGGGUGGCUACCUCGGCUCGGGCUCCGGCGAAGUUCAGCGGGGUCCGGGGCUGCGGGGCAGCGUGGGGUGGCGGGGCAGCGGCAACGGGCGUCGGCGGCGCAAGGCGGCGGGGCGGCGGCUUGCAGCGGCGGCGGUUUGCGGCGGGGGCGGCUCUGGCUUGCACUACAAAAAAAUACACUUCCGUGAUGAUACGUGUUUGUCAUAGUAGGUCGCGUUUUUUUCAUGCAUGUACAUCCAUGACAAAUUUAUGACAGUAUCAAGAUAGUCAUAGUUGUGCUGUCGUAGAAGUGUUCCAUGACAUUACCAAAAUUAUCAUCACGGAAGUGUCCACUUCCAUGACGAUAAAUCGCGCGUCACAGAACUGCUUUCUUCAAGGGUGACCGACAUGUGGCAUCCACCGUAACGGAACGCCGUUAAGCUAUCGGGUCAGGUUUUGGAUCCGAUAACCCGUUAACAGCCCCGACCAAUGGGGAUUUUCCACGUGUAAAAUCAUCAUUGGCUGGAGGAAACACGUGUCGGCUCACCGUUGGGACAGAUGUCAUCCACUCAUUGGACAGACGGCACCUAUGAUACGUCGACACCUGGCACGGCCCAACAGAGGCCCAUUCCUAUGAAAAGGCUGGCCCGUUUGACUUGGUCAAAAGGUGGCGGGCCGGCCCACGGAAAGCCUGUUAACGGCCUGUUCGCAUAUAGCCCAUUUACAGCCCGCUAAUUGAGGGCUCGUUACGCCCUAUCCGAAUUAGGCCUAGUAGCGUCAUCUGGGCCGUCCAAUAUGGUUCAGCCCGUUUUAACUUCCGGGCCAUGUGUGGCCCGUGACUUCUUUCGGCCCAUAUGAGGACCUUUGUAACUCUUGGCCCAUUAACGACCCAUUGUGAAACUGGCCCGUAAUGAACAGUGUAUCACUUUAUACCCAUUAACGGCCCGUUAUUCCAUUGGGCCGUUUCCAGCCCAAGUUAUCUUUCGGCCUUCUCAGGGCGCAUUGAUUCUUGGGCUCAUUUGCAGCAUUCGGUUACAUACGGCCCGUUACUCUCAUUUUCUGCUUGUGGGCCAAAUUCAGCCCGUCGUUACAGUUGGCCCGUUUGCGGACCAUUAAUACUUUGGGCCGUUUUCAUGUCAAAAAAACCCAUUGGGCUGUUUUCAUAGAGUUAUCAAAUACUGCCUAUUAACGACCCGUUAUGGUCCACGAAUAGUACGGCCCAUGAUUGGCGAAAUGAUGAUACGCCCCGUAGAAGGCCCAUGGAUCCUACAGCCCGUAUGAGGCCCAUGGAUGGUACAGCCCAAAGAAGGCCCAUGGACCCGACGGCCCGUAGAAGGCCCAUUGAUCACUAAGGCCCGUAUAGAAGGCCGAUGGAUCCUACGGCCCGUAUAGAAGGCCAAUGGUCCUACGACCGAACGAAGGCCCAUGGAUCAUACGGCCUGGAGGAGGCCCAUGGUUACAACAGUCUGUGUGUUGCCAUGAUUAUUUUGUCCUAGUUACCAAAAAUAGGCUAUUGUGGCCACUAGAAAAACACAGACAAAGAACUGCAGUGACUACAAGCAAACAACUAAACAAGACAAUAAGGAAAUAAAUAAGCAAGCAAUUAAGGCUAGCCUAUUACCGCUAUUACACAUAUUAUAUCCACUGGGCAUCAAAGUUCGCCACCAGUGCAAAUAUAGGGAACAAAGCAACAUAUUACAUACACUUGGCCGUCAAAAUUGGCCACCAGUGCAAAUAAACGCGGUAGCAAAACAAGAGCAUACCUGAAACAACUUCAUAAGAGCUCAAGAAACGUUAUCCUGGGUAUCCACCAUGCUGGCAAUAAGCUUAGCAAGCUGAUUAGCUUUGUCCUGUUUGGAGCUAAAAUCCUCCAACGCUUGCUGUUGCACCAGAAAGUAUGCAUCUAAAUGCUCCAGGGACUUCCGCAGUCCUUCCGCUUCUUGUCGCACCACAGCUGAUCGAUGUCUUUCAGCUUGUAGUUGAGACUCAAGAAACCGAACUGAUUCAGACAGUGAGUUUGAAUAGCUUGUGCAUGCGGUAGUGGCCAGUAACUCGAACACUAAACCAACACAGGACUUUGUGGUUGUCUCGCUGUCUUCAAGAUAGUCUUCCUUAGCUGUUUUAUCAGCUUUGAUGGAGACCAACAAUGAUGUGUCACUAUCCUGAACCUUAUCUGCAUUACUUCCUUUACCAUUGCUUAAUAAGGCACUCUUCCCCAAUAUUCUGUCAGCAUUCUAAAAGAAGAAACAAGCAGACACAUAACAAGUUUAGCAUGUAGUAUAUGAAACUCAUUUCGGUGAACCAGUUCAUUAGUAAGGUGGACAUGAUUAAACUACCAAGUCUUCUAUUGCCAAGUACUAGUACAUAAUAAAAGCAUCAAACAAACAUAUAUCUAUGUUCUAUGGUCACUGCAUUGUCUUGCCAAAUCAAAAUAGAGACACGGUUCAAAUCAUAUCAGUUCAAGACAAAGCAACAGUGAAAGAAUACAAAGCAUGGGAAACUACAGGGCACAACAAGAUUUCAGAUGGGUACCACGGGUCUACAUGUACAACAACACUAUUGGCUCUAUUGUGAUGCUAGUAAUGUGCAUGAUAUGAAAGUCAACUGUAUACACAAUUGAAUUUGAAAUCAACAGAGCUAUUGAUAAGAGCAAACCUGUUAAAGAAACAUGCAUGAACAUACCUGCUAUGCCAUUGGAGUUUCGAUUGGAUCCUUCAAUUUAAAAAUAAUCUCAUAUCAGUAAAUAUAGUGAUACAAGAGCAAAGUAAUCAUAGUUAAAAAAGGCGCGCCUUAGCGAGCGCUUAAGCGCGCCUAGGCUCUAGGCGUUGGCAAAACGCAUUGCGCAUAACUAUGCAUAACCUGUGCAUAGCUGCGCAUAAGCAUGCGCUUUGGUCAGUAAAGCGCAAGGCGGUGGCAAAAUGCACAAUUAACGCCUAGCGCUUUUUUGAACUAUGAUAGCAAUGUAAUCUUAAAUUAGAACAGUUGUUCUUCAGGUUUAGGCACUUGUUCUACAUGAACAGAGUACAGUAAGAUGCAACAAUAAAAUACUUAAAAAUACAAAAUGAGCUCAUAGACCUUACCACAUUCUUGGUUCGGGACCAGUACAGAACAAGGCGUUCCCAGUCAUCGUCCAGUAAAUGUGUCUCAGGAGAACGUAAGGGAAUUUGAUGAGUUUCUUUGCCGGUGAAGUAUGUUUUCUUCAGGUAAUUCUGAUACUACCACCAAGCAUUGUUGAAGAUAGCAGAGGUAUUAGCACAGGUUACCUCAUCCUGAGUUCCCAAAUCGGUCCUUCUCUAUAGGGAAAAAUGGGAAAAUUUACUAUAUUAGAACCAUCAUGGAGGUAGGAUGUAUGGGACGAAGCAAAGUAAUUGCCAUGAAUAACAUUACUUACACAUAACUCCUGGUCAAACACCUGCAACUGGCAUUUUCCUUCAUCUUCGAUAUAAUAUUUCCAAGAUGGGAAGAUACGCACAUACGAUUUAACAACAUCAAAUGCGAUAGAUACUAAACUACGACUGGCUGGUUGUGCUUCCUCCACAGGAAUAGGCGUACUAACUGGUGGAGUUGGGGUUCGCCGUGAUAGUACUGGCCCUUUGGGCACUGGAGGUGCCUUACUAACUGUUGUAGUUUGGGAGCUCUAUGGUGUAGAUGGUGCUGUGUCAACAGGAACUGGGUUACUAUCGACUGGGGUUGGGGUUAGAUUGGGUGAAGCUGGUUCUCUGUCCAUCGCAUUAGGGGUACAAUCUGCGAGAGUUUGGGUUAUGUGUGGUAGGGCUGGUUCUUGUGCAUGUACAACCGGGGGUGCUAUCUCCACCAAGAGGUAGCACUGUUUUAUUUGAAGACCGUGUUUUUAUUCCGCUAGAUACUGGCAUCACCUGCUCCAAUUCAAAUGGCUGAUAAACAGGAAACAUAGUUGAAUGUACAGACAUUGUAUGAGAGACAGAUGCAAUAGAUAGUGUGGAAAAAAGAGGGCAUGAAAUAGUUGACAUGUAUAUUGUUUAACUAAAACGGAUAGCAUGACAUAAUUUCACAUAUAUGAUCUCUAUCUAAACUGGAUAGCAUAGCAUAACAUAAUUCAAAGAUAUGAUGAAUAACUAAACAGGAUCACAUGACAUAAUUCAUCUACAUGUUAUCUAAGUAAUCAGGAUCGCAUCAUUUAAUUCACAUAUGUGAUUUAUAUGCUAAACAUAGGGCAUUCGAUAUGAUGUCUGAACUAAGAACAUGGUGUUGAAUAUUGUGUAUAUGAUGUCUAAACUAUGCAAUGCAAGACAUUGUAUGCAUGAUAUGAGCAGUAUAAUCGUGCCAUGUUAGAGCAUACACCUCAGUGGGGGAAUAGGACUGGUCAUCUGUCUCUGAAUCCAUCUCUGAGGAGCUAUCGGGACCCAACAAGAGAUCUGCUUUGACAGGUAGCACUGUCUUCUCUGAAGGCCUUGUUUUCACUCCAGAUUUUUCCAUCUCCCACCGAAAUGGCUGAUUCACAGGAAGAGUAGUUUAAUGUACAAACAUUGUCGACAAAUGGAAAUGUAAUGAAGAAAAGAAUGGGCAAGAUAUCAUUCAAAUAUAUGAUGCCUGGUUAAACAGGAUGGCAUUGCACAUUUCACAUAUAUUAUGGCUGGCUAAAAGACAUGAGACUGCAUAAUUCCCAUAUAUGCUAUAGAAACUAAACAGCUGGCAUUACAGAACAUGUCUAAACUAAGCAGAUGACAUAUAUGAUGUCAAAAGUAGGCACUGCAAGGCAACAUAUGCAUGAUAUGACUAACAUCAUCAUGCCAAGGUAGAGCAAACACCUUGGGGGGUAAAUAGGAGUGGUCAGCGGCGUCUGAAUACGCCUCAGAACAGAUAUCUUCCUCUGGAUCACAAUCUGGAGAGGGUUGGGGAGGGUUUGCCAUUGAACCCACCAUGGAGUGAUGUCUGCAUGACAUUGUAUUGCCGCGCAAAACUCUUCUCUUUUUCUCUACAUGUUCAGCAUGACUGUGUACAAUAUCUGACAUGCAUACGGAAAAAUAUGGUGAGAUUAUGUAAGGAGAGCAUGCAGAAAUUUAGAGUGAUGGUAACAACCAGUGGAUCGACGUUUUUCCGUUGAACCAAAAUAGCCCUAAUGGAUCGACGUGAAUGUAUAGUAAUAACUGACGCAACAAGUGUACAACCUCUUUGCCAUAGCCGUGUCGACCUCAGCAUCAUUGGGUUGGUCGCUGAAGCAGUUGAGGCAUAGGUGGCUGUCGGGGGUGUGGAGGAAGAUCUGAGGAAUCUAUAGACAGCGUCCAGGACACUGCUUUGUUGUCAUGGAUCGUUCUGUCGUUGGUGCAGCUCCGGUGAGCCGUAAGUCGUCAAGGCUGAAGCAGCACAAGACAGACAUCGUCAAUCUCAAGUGGGAUUCUAAUAGCAUCUCCAAUAGAUGAUGAAAAAUGGAUGUAAAAUAAACAUCACCAAAAACCACCUGACUACAACAGAUGAGGUAAAAACUGUUGACUCUGAACUUAACUGUCGAAACUGAAAUUAACUGUGGAAUCUGAAUGCUACUGUCGAAACUAAACGCAAUGUUAGCAGAGAGACACUUGACAUGUAGUUUAGGGAGGGCCUGCAGUUCAUCCUCAACCUGCACACCCCUGAGCCGCCUGCCAGCACUGGACAAACCGCCGGCCCUAGUGCCGCCUCGCCGCCCCAAAACAACUCGCCACCACCGCCCCGGCCAGCCCUCUAGGCCCCCCCCACCCUGAACCGUAAGAUAGAUAGUGGGGUACCUCUCCGGCGAGCCCCCGUCCCCGCUGCGGGUGGUUCUUCCUUAACUCCGGCGAGCCCCCCUCCCCAACCCCUGAAAAUAGAUUGACCCAAAAGUCGAUUCAGUCGACUGAAGUGUGGCUUAAUCCGAGCAGAGCAGCAGCACGAGCGAGGGGGAGAGCAGCAACAGCAGCUGGGCGAGCGAGCAAUCGAGCAAGAGCCGGAGCAGCAGCAGUAGCGCGAGAGAGCGAGCGAGAGCCGGAGCAGCAGCAGCAGCGCGAGCGGGAGCCAGAGCAGCAGCAGCAGAUCUGGCUGGUAUGGACAUCGCCGCCGAAGGGUCCUCGCACUGGGGGAGAGCCGCCGUGGAGAUGUUGCCCGCGGCGCCGGCUUCAAGGUAGCCGCUCCAUGGCGGUGUGGGAUGGAGCACCGUCGGCGCCGGGAGGUCGAGUUAAGGAGAAGGUGCAAUGCGAUGAGUGUACAACCUCUUUGGUGGCGCCGAGUAGGCCUCGGCUUCGUCCGAGGAGUCGGUGAGGAUGAUGCGGUUCCAGUGGAGCAGGUUAAGGCGGCGCUGUCGGGAUGGAGCAGCCGCGAUAGACGAGGCGAUCGUCAGAGCAGCUUCUUGGAGGAGGAGGACGGGGCGGCUGAACUGGCGGGACGAUGAGAUGGACGACGGAUCCUCAUCCGGGGACGUGGAUGAGGGACGUCGAGCUAUUGCGGUGGACGACAUCGUCGGGGAAGAGGCUCCGGCUGGGCAGCGGUGACGUGGCGGACAGAGGAGGGUGGGGUUUCGCGGCUGGAGCGGAGAGGUUAUGGUGGCCUGGGAUUUCGAAUGGCGAAAAGGGGGCGAUGGGAGGGGGUGAAGCAUGACUUAGGGACGCGCUUGUCCAAAAUGUAGGGUGUGUUACAAAAGUACCCCCCACUGAUUUGAACUAGCAGCCCUUUCGUCUCAGGGUUAGAAGGGGGAUUUCGCGUGUCGGGAUUUGGCAGCUGGAGGGAGUUUUUGCGCGCGUUGUAAUUUCAGGAUAGCAAGGUGCGGGUUGUGAAGGCGCCAGUUUUGGGAGCAUGAUAUCUGAAUUUUCGGGAUAUAACAAGAUGCGGGUUGAAUUUUAGGGACAAGCCUAACGUGUAGUAAUAUUGUACUUUUUGUUGACUGCAUAGUAAAAUUGUACUUGUAUGUACCAAAUCAAUUAGCACUUCCCUCAACCAAAAAGAAAACGAAAAAAAUAAAACAUUCACACCACACAAAGAGAGAGUCUUGCCCCGUUUUAUUAUACAAAUGCUAUUCAAAGCUACUCCCUCCUUCCAUCUAUAUAGGGCCUAAUGCGUUUUUUGAUGCUAACUUUGACCAAAUAUUAGAGCAAUGAUAUAUGACAUGCAACUUACACAGAGCACACCGUUAACUUCGUUUGUGAAAGGUUCUUUCAAUGAUAUAAUAUUCACAUUGUGCAUGUCAUGUACUAUUAAUCUUGUCAAUAGUCAAAGGCGGUCUUAAAAAUCUCAUUACGCCCUAUAUAGAUGGAAGGAGGGAGUAUGAAUCCAUGUUAUGUCCGAUUAAUUUUUUUUGCUUUGCUGUAUAAUGCAUGUAACCUACUCAUACCAACAUUUUAGUGCAUUCCAAGUGUAUACUACCGCUGCAAUUCGAACUAAAUUUGAAUUUGUUUCUCUAUUUCAAUAAGAAUCUGCAAUCAUGAUUGUUGCCAACUUCAACCAUCAUAGUUUCCUUGCUAUCCGUGAGAUAUAAAUCGGACGACCUAUAAUGCAGGAUGGCAGGCACACCAUCAUCAACAACUCCGUUUUUUUAUAAGAGUAGAGAUAAAAUAUAUUAAAUGUAGUAUAACAUGUUCAUAAACACACCAUGUGUAUCACCGUUAUAUAUAUUCACACAUACGUCGGUUUAAAACACUAUGAUAAAUUCUUCAAAUAUCCGAAUUCGCUUUUUAUAAUGAAGUAUAUAUGAUCUCUAUUCGUCUUUUACACCCACACAACCCUCUUAUCUUUGUAGCUAGCGCUAACUUUCUCUUGUGGAUGCACACACCCGCAUCCCUCUCACCCUCCCUCAGCAUUCUCUAGCUCCAUCGCGCAAAUUCGUCUUUUCACUUUAGGUCAUUCACCCACGGUGUGUGUAGGCCUCCCAGCUCCUUCUUUACGGCACACAUCAAUCGAUAUGCCUCUCUAGCCAGGUGUGCCUAGCACAAACACAAGCUUCCCCUGUUCUCUUGUCACCAUCCAUGCCUCACUCCCACCACUCUUUUCAUCGUUCUCGUACUCGCACACUCCUCCCCGCUCGAUAUAAUAUGCCUCUCGUACCACCUCCUACAUGCAUCCCUCUAUCUCUAUCCUUCUCCUCGUGCCUCGUUUGCUUCUAACAUACACAUGCAUGUAUACCGAUCGAUCUCCCAACAUAUACCUGGAUCGACUUUAACUACCCCCCAUCGAUCGACGUACCUCACAAGUUAUGUCUCUCAUUUCUCUAACAAAGGGCGAUUGAUCUUCCUAUGUAGUUAUGUCUACUUACCACAGCCACAUUGUCCCCCCUCAUCAUUCGUGCAUGCCUCCUGACCCGUCUCUCACACGCACGUGCGCAGACAACAAGCAGCCAUCUCCUCUCUUAUUGAUAUUGCGGGCGUGCCCUCCGUUUGUCUAGCAAGCUUAUCCCACCAUUUGUUAGAAGCAACUCCACAACCACCCCCUCCAACACUCUAGCUCUGUCUCUCUCCCAACCUUAUUCCUCUCAUGCACAUAUGCAUGGAUGCCGAUCGAUCUCCCUUAAUACAUGAGGCAGAUCGAUCUCCCUAAUACAUGAGGUAGGCCUCUCUUCGCCUCCACACAUAUACCAGCCAUUGUACCUCUAGUUAAUUGGGCCUCCCUCUUCCCCCACCACACACCGAUAGUCGAGCAUUGCAGGUAGGUAUCCAUGCCACAGAGACAAACUACACAUGUCCCCUCUCAUGUUCCAGUAGGCCAGCCACUCUAUAUCUUUGACGUGGGCACACACAAAUUCGAUGGCACUCUUUAUCGAUCGCGCGCGCACACACACACAUCAUCCCUAUUUUCGAUUCUAUGGACACCUCAAGCCGGUGAUACCUCCACUCUCUUCUCGUGGAUCACCCCCUCUAUAUAUAUGUUAUAUCCAGUACUCUAUUUCACACACAUCGCAUAUGUUUCAUUUUUUGAUUGAACCCCCCCCCCCAAAAAAAACUCUCAAGAACCCACACGCUAUAUCUCUCUAGGUUUGUAUCUCUCUCACACAACCCCACGUAGGUGGUGUACGUAUACAAGAAGAGAAUAGGUGCACCAUGCACAUACUCAUGCUUCGUGCCUAGCCACACCCGCGCGGGUACAUGGUGGAGCUCAUUUCUUUAUGAAAUGGCAGCCCACGUGCUAAUUUGAACGCCUGUAGCGGUUGUUUCCCUAGGGAGGUCGUGUACCACGCUUGCACGAAACAAAGUUCGACUUGCCGCGUUGCCGCGUUAUUUUUAAAUAAAGUUAUAGCGCUCAAUGGCACGUACAAAGAAUAUAAAACGAUUUUAUGGAGAAAAAACUAGUACGCUCACUAUAUACAAUGGAGCCUUGCGUGCCUGGUUUGUCGCUCUUCAGAGUAUCUCACACAAGGCUGCGGUGGCCUCUCUCUCUCUCUCUCACCGUUGGUCACUGAUCCGGUCACAUCCCGUCCGCCGGGGGAAAGGUAGUGCAGUGGCCUCUCUCUCUAUCACCGUUGGUCACUGAUCCGGCCGCAUCCCGUGCGCCGGGGGAAAGGGAGUGCGGUGGCCUCUCUCUAUCUCACCGUUGGUCACUGAUCCGGCCGCAUCCCGUCCGCCGGGGGAAAGGCAGGAAGUGCAUCGUUUCUCCGUUCGACGGCGCUGAGGAAGCAUGUCCCGAUCUGUGGUACACGCCGUUCUCUCUGAUCAAGCUCCGGCGCGGCAGGGCCUACGCCACCUGCUCGCAGAUUCCGCCCGCCGCCGCUCACCUAGUUACAUCCCGACGACCUCCAGGUAUCCCCUCCGGCCUUGCUUCACUGCCCGUCUUCCCACGUCGCUGCAUGUGGAUCUUCCAUAGUUCUUUGCCCAAAACGUAGCUCGUCCAACGUACUUUCCAUAUUGCAUUCUCGUCCUCACACCGUUUUAGACAAACACAACCGUGUUGUUAUCUUCCCUUAGGGCAAGGAAUAUGCUUCUUUUUUGUCGUCGGAUGUGUCAUCAACUGUUAUUGGUUUGUAAUUGUUUCCUUUCUACCUCUUUUUUGCAAAUAGGGCUAUCCAUUUCACCUCGUUGCUAUUGCGACCUUUUGGUGAACUUCAUAAAUCACUUUUUUCUUAAGAGUGUUUUGUGCAGUUGUACUAAAAUGUCACAUGGGCAACGUCUCUGCAUUUCAGUGCGACUGCACAAAGGGAGAUUGGUUUUGCUCUAUCCUCCUCAUCCAACUCCGAGCGUAAUCUUCUCCAACUAGUUAGUCUUAAAAGAGACUGCAAAGGUGACCGACUUCUAUUUAUGUGUGUAUUGUUUCAUCAGCAGUCCUCUAUUAUCGUAAUCACACUUAAUAUCUUUGGAACAGGGAUGCUCAGCUCUAUUUUAGUGGAACUGCACAAAAUGAUCGGAAUGUUGCAUGCUCCAGACAGCUACUUUUUUCCCAACAUGCCUUGUUGAUUUAGACAGAGCUGGGGGACGUUGCUGCCAAUGAAAGCAUGGAUCAAUUUUAAUUUAACACCUUCUCACAACUCUGUCUUUAUUUGUGAUGUAAUUAUUAGCUCUGAUCUGCUAAUAAUUGACAUGCAUUAGCAAGGAAGUUAGUUUUUUAUUGUUUCUGAAAGAGCAUCGAUGGCAAGACACGUGAAACAGAAGCUGAAAGCUCACACCAUUGUACAAUUUCAUGUCUUGCUGGAAAAUUAUUAGUAUAGUACGUCAAUUAUGUAAACAAAUGAUGGAAGCUUGAUAGCAUUGCCAGGAGCCUCUUCUUCAUCCGUGUCCAUGUGCCAUGCACAAAAUUAUACUCCUUCGUUCCUAAAUAUUUGUCUUUUUACAAAUUUCAAACGGGCAUAUUGUAGAGUGUAGAUUCACUCAUUUUGCUUUGUAUGUGUACUCCCUCCAUUCCUAAAUAUUCUAUUCGUCUUUCUAGAGAUUUCAACAAGUGACUACAUACGGAGCAAAAUAAGAGAAUCUACACUCUAAAAUAUGUAUAUACAUUCGUAUGUGCCAGUCCAUUUGAAAUCUCUAAAAAGACAAAUAUUUGAGUAGUCACUCGUUGAAAUCUCUAGAAAGACAAAUAUACUCCGGAGUAUAUUUAAGAACCGAGGGGGUAGUGCACAACCGCAUGGGAGACUCAGCCCAGUCAUUGCAGCGCAUUAAUAGUGAGUAAUGAGCAGUCAAAUCGUAAGCCCCACCUUUCCCACUAUAAGUUGCUCUGAAGAAGCAACCAUCAAUAGGAUCUUCUUUGAAUCCGCUCAUACUACUCCAUCCGUCACUGUUUAUACAGCGCGCUUCAGAAAAAAGAAAAAAGAUCUGUGGGACCAAGGCGACUAGUGACCAGCCUGAAAAAUAGCAUUGUUAGUUAUAGCACGGAGUCUAUUACUAGUAGAGGGAAUAAUGCGUACACACAUGCAUGCAGUGCUUCCACCCGGGUACACACAUGCAUGCACUUACUCCAUUCCGUAGUUAGAUGGAGAGAAAAUUGUGGACUUGAUUGCGGUUACCACGCCCUAAUUAAUUGAGCAUUAAACCAAACGCAUCUAAAGUCUCUCUGGUGGUGCAAAUGCAUUGAGAGAAAUGCAUCAUAAUGAAGCGCGCCCUGUAAACUGUGACGGAGGGAGGAGUAGUACGUAUGAAGGUUGAAAACCAAGUACGUGUAUGGCCAGUCGGUCAACGCACCUCCUCUUGGCAUGUCACUGACAUGUGGGACAGGAGUGUGAGCAAACCGAUCCCAAUUGACGGCAAAGAGCCAACCCGCCAUUCCUUGAGAGAGACAAGGAGCGAGAACACACAGACGGGUUCUCAUGGAGGCCAAGAUAUAUUCGGGCAUGGUUGGUUGAUCGAUAUCAUUCAUUACAUGUUGAUGUUGGGCUGCCGUUUUGCGCCCUUCUCUGGAAUAAACGUGUGUACUUUAUCAGAGAUAAAAAGAAAUAAGAGUACAAACGCUCCACCAUGCGGUUCUAGUAGUAGUACUACUCGUACUACUGUGCUUGGCUCUUCGCCUCUUCGUGAAGUCUAACAAUGAUGGUACUCCACAUGUUGGGUACUACAGUGUAUGCCUAUGACAAGCUGACACCGAAUGGACUGAUGCAUGUCCACCGAGGGUAGGUUGCAUUAGUCAAAAGGCGUAAGUGAGCUUCACCUUGUCCUGCAAGCUUCUCCUCGUUCUGCGAGUUGACGGGACACACCAAAAAGUAGUCCUAGUCCAUAUUCCCUCCUUUCUGGUUAAUAUGGCUCAAUCCUUUUGUGGGUAAAUGAGAGAGCUUUAUUCAUAUAUAAGCAUUCUUAGGACGAUCAGCCAACACACUGGUCACUAGGAAGCAAGGUACCCCGCAAAAAAAGAAGUAGGAAGCGAGGUGUUUCAUCAAGCCAGCUCUCGGCCAUAUUCAAAGUGCAGCAAGCACGGUUCGCACGAAGAUGCACCGCAAGGUUUGUUGACCUGUUUACAUGCUGAAUAACAAAAAAAGAGGAAAUAUUACCGAGCGCUACUAUUUGUAACAGGAUAUGAGCCAGAAUUAAGCGAGAAUUGUGGCGACUGUUCCAUGCAAUCAACUUCCAUUAUCACAUGCGAGAACCCUCGAAGAUAACCAAAUGUGUUGAAGAUUGCUUUAUCACAUUUUAAAAUUAUAAUAAGGUGUAGACGCUCCUCCAUCCGGUUCCUAGUACGUACUAGUAUAGUACGUACCUUUAUAGACAAUAUUAUUAAACUUUGCGCUUGGCUGUUCGCCUAUUCGGGAAGUCGAACAAUAGUAGCACUAGUAGUAUAGUGUAUGCUUCUAGCAAUCUGACACCGAAUUAACUGUUGCAUGUCCACCGCCUGAGCGAGGGAGAGCUUGCAUUAGUCAAAAGUUUCUCCUUGUCAUGCGAGCUUCCGCGCGCAAGUAAUGCCAUACUGCCUCCUCUCCGGUUAAUAUGGAUUAAUUUCAAACGAGAUAAAUACACUGUCUGUCACUGUAUAUUUGUAAAAAUACGGUCAGUGGACUUCAUAAUACGCUCAUUGCGCUCAAUAUAUAUAUAUAUUCCGGUGUUUAUACGGUCACUAGCUUACCCUGACUGAGUAUGUGUGUGCAUGCAUGUGUAGGUUGAGCACUUAGCGUGACCGUGUGUGUUCUGUCGUGUGCUCGGACAUGCAUGCAUCAGGGCGUCACGCACGUUUUUGUGUCCAUGUGUACAUGUGACUGUUGCAUACACAUAGGGGGAGUACGUGUAGGGGCCACAAAGGAGCAGUCAAAUCAAACAGUAAAUCACGUCUGUCGUGUUCGUGUCUCAUCCUCUUCCAUGGCUCGACCCCACACGGUUGCUCGGCAUGCCACUCACCGCAAACCAAGUAUACGAUAACUUUGCCGCCUUCUUGUCGAUAGAUCGCGGCAUGGAGUACUACUAGCACUACUGGAGGAGAUUGACGAGUUGGGGGAGGACAGCUAGCUGUAGCACGGACUCCCAAAAACUUUUUACAUGCAUGUUGUAGCCGGCUAUUGCGACCUUUGAACGCGGAGCCGCCGCGUGCACCCGGAAGCGGCGUGGGCGAUUCUCUCUCGGCUGGCGCGCCGCUUCAAUGCCGGCGCCAGUGAGAGGUCGCGUCUGCUCUGGCCGGGCAUGAAUGUGGCACUGACCACGCGCGGGUGAUGAAGAGGGUUCGGGUUGGUCAGGACCGGCCGUGGCAGCGGUCCGGACGUGCGUAAACAAGAGACGUUGUACGUUAAUAUUGCUGCGUAUAUAAUUAACAACGUGAAUAAUGUGGCAGUUGGACAAAUAUGAUUGGAGAUGGAAAUGGAAAUGGAAUUUCAUGUAAACACGGAUAUGCAUGUCUAUGUUUAUGUGUGUGUGCGCGACGACUCUCGCGACCUGGAAGCGGGAGCGUGUUUUUGAUCAAGUUUUCUUUCUUGGUACGUUAGAAAAUUAGUUUGUCCAAUUCACAUCUAGAUGUUAUUUAAGGAUAUCACAUCUAAGCUCCCACAAGUAUAUAAUGUAGCAACAAGAAACAAAAUAAACUAGGACAAAAAAAAUAGACCACAAACUAUCGAUGCUCAUGGUCGCGCCUCAUGGUUGCGUCGGCUGGUGAAGCUAAUCGAUUUUCAGUGAAAACAAGUUGUCUUCCAUCAGUGCUCUUUGCUUGUUACGCACAAAGAUGAUAUCCUUUGUCAGUUCACCUUGGUUGCAGUGGGGACACAGUCGUCUUUCACGUUGGUGCAAUUUUAUCACACAAUUGGCUAUGAACCAAAUGUUUCCUCGAAGAAGGAUCGACGUUGGUACUCAGAGCAUAAGUUUUGUAUUGAUUUCUACGCCUUCUCACAACUUUGUCUCCAGAUCCCCUAUAAUUUUAUUUGUCCAGCUAUUAACUUUGAUUUAAAAAAUGGUGUGGACUAAAAACCCGGAUGGACGUAGUAGCCCUCCAUUUUUAUUUACUCCGCAUAUUAGAUUUGACUGAAGUCAAACUUUGUAAUACUCUCAAACCUUUCCGAUAAUUGAAAUUAAAAUUCUUUAUUUGUACACACUCUCACACGUUUCCGAUAAUUUGGCGCAUGUGUGGUUGUUCACUUAAGGGAGGGUAGUGUACCACACGUGAAGGACAAGAAGUGCGACCAGGACGCGUGGGCGUGGAUCGUUAGUUCAUCGGAAGUAGUACUCCCUCUGUACAUUAAAUAAAGAGUUUCGUUUCGUACUUACACAAUUUCAAACGAUUGUUAUGGAGAGAAUAAGAAAACCACUCCACUAUAUAUUAGUCGUAUACACACGAGAGUACUAUAUGGACGCAGCUUCAUUGACUUAGUGCACAUGCCUUUGGGUUUAUGACAGGUGGGCCCAAAAUGUGGCUGGCUCACCUGUCAUACAGCCAAAAGCAGAUUGAGGGAAGGCACCGGAGCUCAGUCCGUACUACAUUAGUAUAUAUAUAUAUAUAAGUGGGAGCCUCUGUGCUUGUUCCCUAGGGUUUGCACUCUCCACACGCUCGCUGCAAUACAUAUAUGUUACACGCUGGAGGCUCAAUGUUCAUUUGCUAGGGUUUGCUAUAUUCAUUGUUUCUCACCCUCUCUUCACCAGAUCUAAACAAGACUGCGUUGGCCUCUUGUCUCUCUCCCCCCUCACAGCUGGUGAAGGAGGCGUUUGUAUCCCGUCGCACCGGGAAGGGGAGGAGGUGCAACGUUAACUCUAUCGCCUUCGGAGAGGGAGGCAAUCCAUUGCCGUUUGCGUUGUUCUCUUUCACCCAACGCCUGUGCGGGAGUGCCACCGACCCCUUCUUCCUCACUACCAUACGUAGUGUGGGCAGAUCCGGCCUCCCGCCGCACGCCUUGCCACAUCCCGACGACCCUAAGGUAUAAGUUUCUUUGAAACCGUUGUUGAUCUAGCUGCAUGUGGAUCUUUUUCGAUCUGUACUCGAAUCUAGGUCUUGGUUCAAAGAGGAAAGAAACGUGCGGUGGGGUGGAGCAUGAAUCUAGGACGUGGUUCAAUGAGGAAAUGAGGGAGGAAAAGUAGUAUAGACUGGCUAUCCAGCCGCUUUGUUGGUCGAAAAGGGAAAAAGCGGGUAACCCAGUACACACAUAUGUAAGGAACCGAUCUCUUUGUUGAAAAGGGAAAGAAAUAGGGGGGGGGGGUCGGGUAGUUUGUGCAGGACUAGAUUUGCUGCCCUCACAUAGGAAAAAAGUUCAAAGAGAACAAAUAUGGGACCAACACAGAUAUGCUUCUUGGCUACAUACUCUGCAUCACCCAUUUAUACGUGUGGACCCACAUGGUGCUAGCAUGUCCCAUACAGCUAUUUUGCUGUUGUUAAUCUAAGAAUGCCGCCGGAAAAUUGAAGCAAUGCCACUCUUAAAAGUAAAUUACAUUUUUUAACGAAUGUUGUUUCAAGAGUGUCUCUGUUAAUAUGAAUCAAUGCUACCGUUUUAGAAAUGCUACUAUCUUAUUUUGUUUUCCAUCCAAGAUAAGUUAGAUGCUUCUUUCUGUCACCGUUUGUUUCAUCCUCCUUUAUCGGCAAGUAAUUGUUUCCUUUUUUGCCUCUGUUAAAACAGGGGUAUCGAUUCAACUUGUUGCUAUUGCGACAUUUUACUUCGCUACUCGAAACACUUAUGGUUUAAGAGUGUUUUGUGUAGUUCAACUUGAAUGUCACACCGGUGACUUUGCUUAAUUUUGGUGGAACUGCACAAAAGGAGAUCGAGAUUUGUUUCCAUUGUUCCUGUCGAGUUGUUUCAAAUCUUGGUCUCUACCACAUGAUAUCUAUUCAACUUGUUGCUAUUGCGACAUUUUGCUUCGCUACGCGAAACACUUUGCUUGAUUUCAGUGCAACUGCACAAAAUGAGAUUGUAUUUCCUAUUCGUGCUAGCAGAUUCAUAUUUUAUCCUGGUGUUCUCAUGAAAGGUCAACAGGCCUAAUCCACAUGAUUGUGUAGUGUGCUUUGAGAUGUUGUGCUACUUGUAUUGGUACUGUUUUAAAUAAAUGUUGAAUUGAAGCUAUUGUAUUGCUGUCUUUUCCCAUUAAGUAGUGAACAAAAAUGGGACCAACCGAGACAUGAUGCUUGUUGCUUUGUUACAACAAACUCUGCAUCGCCCCCUUUAUAAGUAGAUGGAAGCACAUAUUGUUGUUGCGCCCACUCUCCCCUGGAACUGUUUAUGCUUUUCGUUAAUCUAAUGCCGCUGGUAAAAUUAAGCGAUGCCACUCUCAGAAUUAAUUAACUACUGAAUCUUAGUUCAAAACUCCAACACUUGUUAGGAAUGGUACUAUCCUACUUUGUAGUUCUUUCUACAUGUUUAACCAAGGUAUUGUUAAGAUAAUGUCUCUUUAAAAAUGAAUAAGUUGCAUUGUUUUAGGAAUGGUACUUUUCUGCUUUGUCGUUCUUUAUACAUGUUGAACCAAGGCAUUGUUAAGAUAAUGUCUCAGUCAAUAUGAAUGAAUCACACUGAUGGAGAAUUGCUCCUCUCCUGCUUUGUUUCCCAUUAAGAAAAGUCAUCAACAGUUAUUUCUCAGUAAUUGUUUCCCUUAUACAUAUUGUUGCUUACAGGGAUAUUAAAAUUAAAGCUCGGUUUUAUUCCGACUUUGAUUUUAGUUGAACUGCACAAAAGGAGCCAAUGUGUCCAAGGCAAACUGCUGCGUUACUGGGUCCAGUUGGUCAUUCCACUUUGCAGAAAGAAGCAGUCACUGGAUGCGGUACAUUAUAGAAGGAAUGACCAAGAAGCUUUACAGAGUAUUAUUAGACACCGGUGACAUGACUAGUCUACAAAGACCAUUGGCAAUUUAACAACACGUGGAGUGCCCUGGGCAAAAAGUGCCCAAACAAGUCCAAGACGCUAAGACAGGACACGAUCAUAGGCAUUACAUAUUUUGAAUGGGAAAAGCUUGUCAAAGUUUAAUCAUUGAUGUUAGCAAGAAGAUGUUAGUUUAAUAUAUUGGAAUUGGAAAACCUUGUCAAAAUUUGCUCAUUGAUGUUAGCAAGAAUACAUUAGUUUAAUAUAUUGGAAUUGGAAAACCUUGUCAAAAUUUUCUCAUUGAUGUUAGCCAGAAGACAUGCAUUCGAUAUUUUUGAGUGGGACGCCCUUGCUAUGAGCAGCUUCGAGUGUUUUUUCCUAUUCCUGUGUUCAGUUUAGAAGUAAGUAGUUACUCUGCUGAGAUGUUCCUGUGUUAGGAGUUUGUUCUGAAUAUUGUCUAUGUAAUGCCAGGCCUUGUGUUUGAUUUCAAAGUUGAGCUUGGAAUGUUGUGGCAUGCGGCAUCACGAGCUGUUCACCGUGCCUCCUGAGAAUAAUGCUUUGUAUUGUUUUGCAUGUCGAUCUAAUGCCAGUGAUUUGCUUGUUAAGAAGAUCAUCCUCUUCUGUUGUUUCCGUGCAUAAGAAGUUCAUCGUAUGAUGUUUCAUUCAUAGCCUAUACAACAUGUCGGGUAGAUUAGACGUGAAACCAUAUGAUCUUCCAACCAACUCAUGAUAUUAGGCCGUGAUUGGAUCGUCGUUUUCCAUCCAAAACCGCUUGUAAAACUGAUGCUUGUAAAUUAAAGCAGAUGGUCUCGGGCAAAGGCGCUUGGUUGGUCGAUUUCGACGAGUAAAAUAUCGGAAGUACUUCACACACGAUAAAAACGUUGAACGACACUCAGACGAUUGCUAAUCCAGCUAUUAGCUCCUGUUUCACCCUUGCCCAUGGAUGGCAUGAUACGCACGUCGUGCAUGUAUCGUCUGGUAAUGUCGUCCAUAUAGCAAUGCUCGUAAAAUAUACACUAGUCUCUCAAAUUACAGCGUAACCCGCCGGUUUUACUUACAGACCUCGGGCCUUCCGAUGACGAGUAAAUUACACUUGUAUUUUAAUACAAGUUUGAAAUAAACCAGAGCUCCCAAGGGCGGCCUUACCGUUUCAUGCGUCUCAGUUUCUCGAAGGUGCUCAUAGGUGUCCGAUUAUCCUGGCUUCCUGAAUGAGCAACGGGCGCUGUAUCAGACCUCCAUAGGGCCCGCAAGGCCCUCUCCGUUGUCCUUCGAGUGGUUGCGUUCGCCGUGGCGCCGAGCAUUGUUAACAUGGUCAACAAACAUGAGGAUUCAGGAGAUGAACUUUAUUUUGACUGGAUGACACUAGGGACCCACUAGGGCAUAGCCAUACGUACGCAAGUGCCUCCUUAUUAUGUACAACUAUAUUUUUUUUGCUUUCUCCUGGUUUCCUGACAUCACGGUCCCACACCAUUGUCAACCAAUGUAGUAAAUAUAAACGAGAGAAUUGCACAAUGUGCGGCCGACAGCUGGGACCAAGCAGCUCGAGCAGUAUUUGUGUGUUUGAGGCGUGAUCACUGCAGAGUUUUUCUUGGCAAUGAUUUCGUUGUUGUUCAGAGGAGAGCAGGGUAUUAACUGGGCGGGCUGUGGCCCAUCUAACCCAGGCCAGAUAUCCAGCCCAGAUACUACUUUUUUCAAGAUGAAAAUGGCUAGCCCAGCUAUACGUCUUUUUGAGGAAUACCCAGUCAAGGUCAACUUGUUAUUCUCCGCCCCGCUGUGCUGCAAAUCUUUCCUAGGAGGGAUGCAUUAGGCUUAAUAGAAAAAUGGGAUUUAAAAAUAAUAAAUGGGAUGUAAUUAUAAAAAUUGGGCAGUAACUAUAAAAAAAUGCACCAAACACGAAAUUAGUUUAUAAAAUAUUAUUUAUGGAUUUUGAAAAUCUUAAAUUUUCAUUGUUGCGUGUGCAAUGUUUCGUUAGAUUUUUAUGUAAUACAAAUUUAUAUUUAAUCUGAAUAGAAAUUUCUGGAUAAAAAUAUUUCGGAUCCAAUCAAAAUGUGGGAAAUUUUAUUGAAUUUUGUCUUCAAUGGUUGGUUGAAAUUAUUAAUCGUUGUCCUAGCUAGAAAAUGGGCUGUACUUUUAACAAACUUCAAAUGGGCUGUUGUAAAUUCCAUUAGAAUUCAAAAAUGGGCUGUACAUUCUUACAAAACGCAAAUGGGCUAUAAGUUCUCUGCCACACACUUGUGGGCCUACUAAGUGGCACGUCCCCUAAAAAAAUAAGUUGACGCGUAUGCAAGGCUUUGUAAACUUAUUAUAGUCAACACACGGUUCUAGGAGCAGUGGCCGUUGGAUGUCUAUCCAACGGAUGUCGUGCUUCUUCUUCAAUCUCGGAUAUUCUUAGCUUCGGCCACCCAAAAAAUGAUUCCUCCCCCUGACAUCUGGGGCGCACUGUUCCGGAGGCUGACCUGUGGGCCUACUAAGUUGGAGCGUACAAAGGGCUUUCUCAACUUAGUCAAUAUAAACGAUUCUAGCUUCAGUGAUUGUACGAUGUCCAUCCAACGGCUGUAGUGAUUCUUCAACCUCUGGUCUUCUUGGCCCAGCCCCCAAAGCAGCGCCGGUCGUGCCGCCUGGUCCUGCCUCCCGUGAAUGAUUGUGCUGCCGCGGUGGCCUCACCGCCCCCAUACUACUUCCACCGCUGGCCAGGCCAUCCCUCGACCCACCCACACCCCCUGUUAUUCUGCAACGACGGCAGCCUCACACCGCAGCCAAACCAGUGAACCCUCGUACUCCUCUCCGCACGGGCUUCCACUGUUGCGUCGUCCCCGACUCCGCGUCGUCCCCUUCCUAGCCGUCGCGGUCGUCCACCGCCCUGGUGCUCUCGGCGCGGCUUGGCAACGUGGUCAACGACCGACUUCCAUCGAAAGAGUACUGUACGUGGAGAGGCUGACAGCUGGGUCCACGGCGGACGCAAGGAAGUGCCUCCUUAUUACGCGCAAAAUAAUUAUUCCUCCACCUGACAGCAGGGACCCGCCGGACGGGCCACCUUAUUUCGUGAAAAAACGUUUCCCCCUGACUGCUGGUACCCACCGGACGGGCCACCGUAUUUCGUGAAAAAAACGUUCCCCCCGCUGUCAGCUCGGACCCACCGGAAGUGCCUCUUUAUUACGCACAAAAAAAUGAAUACUCCCCCUGCUAGCUGGGACUCACCUUGGUCGGAAGCUGACUUGUGGGCCUACUAAGUUGACGGGGACGGAGGGCUUUGUCAACUUAGUCAAUAUAAACGAUUCUAGCUCUAGUGACCGUACGAUGUCCAUCCAACGGCCGUAGUGCUUCUUCAACCUCUAGUCUUCUUGCUCCAGCCGCCCAAAGCAGCGUCGGUCGUGCCACCUGCUCCUGCCUCCCGUGGCCGGCUGUGCUGCCGCGAAGGCCUCCCCGCCUCCAUACUACUCCCCCCCUGUUAUUCUGCGGCGACGACAGCGUAGCCGAACCAGUGAACCCUCGUACUCCUCUCCGCGCGGGCAUCCACUGCCGCGUCUUCCCCGGCUCCGCGUCGUCCCCUUCCUAGGCCUUGCCGUCGUCCACCGCCGUGGUGCUCUCGGCGCGGCAUGGUCAAUGUGGUCAACGACCGAAUUCCAUCGGAAGAAUACUGUACGUGAAGAGGCUGACAGCUGGGUCCAUGGUAGCCGCAAGGAAGUGCCUCCUUAUUAUUCGGAAAAUAAUUAUUCCUCCACCUGACAGCAGGGACCCACCGGACGGGCCACCAGUAUUUCACGGAAAAAACGUUUGCCCUUGACUGCUGGGACCCACCCGACGGGCCACCGUAUUUCCCGAAAAAAACAUUCCCCCUACUGUCAGCUCGGACCCACCGGAAGUGCCUCCUUAUUACGCACAAAAAAAUGAAUACCCCGCGUGCUAGCUGGGACCCACCUUGGUGGGAGGCUGACUUGUUGGCCUACUAAGUUGACAGGGACGAAGGGCUUUGUCAACUUAGUCAAUAUAAACGAUUCUAGCUCUAGUGACCGUACGAUGUCCAUCCAAUGGCCGUAGUGCUUCUUCAACCUCUGGUCUUCUUGCUGCAGCCGCCCAAAGCAGCGUCGGCCGUGCUGCAUGCUCCUGCUUCCCAUGGACGGAUGUGCUGCCACGGAGGCCUCACCGCCCUGUAAUAUUCCCACCGCUGGCCAGGCCCUGCGGCGACGACAGCCUCACACCGCAGCUGAACCAGUGAACCCUUGUACUACUCUCCGCGCGGGCUUCCACUGCCGCGUCUUCCCUGGCUUCCCGUUGUCCCCUUCUUAGGCCUCGCCGUCGUCCACCGCCCUGGUGCUCUCGACGCGGCGUGGUCAACGUGGUGAAGGAACGACUUCCAUCGGACGUGGAUUGUAUGUGGAGGGGCUGACAGCUGGGUCCACGGCCGCAACAAGGAAGUGCCUCCUUAUUACGCGGAAAAUAAUUAUUCCUCCCCCCGACUGCUGGGACCCACCAGCUACAUCUUUGCACGCAAGGAAGUGCAUCCGGGCAAAAAAACAAAAUGAUUCGCCCCCCUGACUGCUGGGACCCACCAGCUACAUCUUCGCAGGCAAGGAAGUGCCUGACAGUCGGGACCCACCUGGUCGAAGUGUACGUACCGUUGUCAUUCUGGUUGCGAACGUGUACGUACAUAUUGGUCGAUGUAGAGGCGCGCACGUGUCGUAGAUGUAGAGGCGCGCACGUGUCGUAGUAGAGGCGCGCACGUAGCAUGUACACGUACGUACAUCGGCGAGGGUGCAAGAAAGAAAAUAUGGCCACGUACGUAUAUACGGGCAGGGUCUCUAACGCCUACCGUGCCUACGUACAUGGCUGGGUCGGAACGUAGAAACAUCUUCGUCGUCGUGCUCAUGGGGAGCCAACCGGCUGGGUCGGAACAGAAUGCAUGGUCGUGUUCAUCGGGAGGGCUUGUACGGAACAGGCGAUGGAAACGAGGCCUGGCGUACCGCACAAUAGAGGAAACGGCCUUGUGUUCGACCGGCCACGUUCGAAACGGGGUGCUGUUGAUCGGGAGGGGCCUGGCGUACCGCAAAACUGAGGAAUCGGACCUCCUAUGGUCGAAACGGGGGUCCUGUUGAUCGGGAGGGGUGUGGCAUACCGCAAAACGGAGGAAACAGACCUCCUAUGGUCGAAACGGGGGUCCUGUUGAUCGGGAGGGGUGUGGCGUACCGCAAAACGAACNNNNNNNNNNNNNNNNNNNNNNNNNNNNNNNNNNNNNNNNNNNNNNNNNNNNNNNNNNNNNNNNNNNNNNNNNNNNNNNNNNNNNNNNNNNNNNNNNNNNNNNNNNNNNNNNNNNNNNNNNNNNNNNNNNNNNNNNNNNNNNNNNNNNNNNNNNNNNNNNNNNNNNNNNNNNNNNNNNNNNNNNNNNNNNNNNNNNNNNNNNNNNNNNNNNNNNNNNNNNNNNNNNNNNNNNNNNNNNNNNNNNNNNNNNNNNNNNNNNNNNNNNNNNNNNNNNNNNNNNNNNNNNNNNNNNNNNNNNNNNNNNNNNNNNNNNNNNNNNNNNNNNNNNNNNNNNNNNNNNNNNNNNNNNNNNNNNNNNNNNNNNNNNNNNNNNNNNNNNNNNNNNNNNNNNNNNNNNNNNNNNNNNNNNNNNNNNNNNNNNNNNNNNNNNNNNNNNNNNNNNNNNNNNNNNNNNNNNNNNNNNNNNNNNNNNNNNNNNNNNNNNNNNNNNNNNNNNNNCCGCAAUGCUCACUGUUCAUCCAAUCGAUCGACUUCCGUUAGUAGCACUAGCGAAGGAAUUGCUCCAUCGGGUUCAGUUAACAGCCAUCGAUCGAUCGCUCGGCUUCAGUAACGCGUAGCCUGCAGUGCAAUCGCUCGGGUUCAGCUAGAGCCUAACGCCUCGCUCGGCUUCAGUUAGAGCCAACGCCUCGCACACAUGCGCGUACGUACGAGAGAAACGCGCAUCGCUCCGCCCCCGACCUCCCGCCAUAACCGACAACUCCCCGAAAUUUUCCUCCCCCUCGCUUCUACCACGGUUUUUUCCGUCAUGGACGACCCAAAGAAUGUCAUGCAGCUGCGUCUCCGGCCCGCCCAGGACGAAAAGCCCAUUUUCUGUCAUGAUUUUUUGUCAUAGAAGUAGGAGCCCACCACAUCUAUGAUGAUACCGGGUUUUGUCACAAUUAUCGUCAUAUAAGUGUCAUAUGUAUGACAGAAAAAAAAUCGUUCGGCCCAAAAGGUCACGGAUGUGCCUUUUUUUUCUAGUGUUGGGGCUUCAGGGGGGCCGGGUCGGUUUAUAAAGGGGGGUAGCGGUGGCUUGUGGGAGGGGGCGGUGGCGGCGGCGGCGGCGAUCGGGACUCCGGUCCCGAUCCGGAGUGGGAGACGGCGGCGGCGGCUUGGGCCGGCUCGGCUGGGCCUUCGGCCCAGUCGGGCGCGCGGUAUGUUUUAAAAAAACAAUUCCGCCGAACAGAAAAUAAAUCCUAGAAAAAUAAAUAAAAAACUAAAAAUGCCAAAACAAAUUUUCACUAUCUAAAAAAAUAUUUAGAACGAGACAAACAUUUUCUUGGCCCUAAAAUGCAGUUUUGAAAAACGUGCAAUUUUCCUAAAUUCAAAUGAAUAGAAAAAACUCAAAUAUGAUAGUAAUAAUUGAAGAUAAAAUAAAUCCUCAAUAUUUUGGGAAAUUCAUUUUAUUCCCUCUCUCAUAUUUUUAUGAUAGAAAUAAUUGAAGAUAAAAUAAAUAAAAUCAAAUGAUCCUAUUUUCAAAAUUUGAGAAAACUCAAAUAUGAAAAUAACGAAAUCCCCAACUCUCUCGAGGGUCCUUGAGUUGCGUAGAAUUUCUCGAUCAGGCCAAAAACGAAUAAAAUAUGAUAUGCAAUGAUGAUCUAGUGUAUAACAUUCCAAAUUCAAAUUUUGGGAUGUUACAAACCUACCCCCCUUAAGAUGAAUCUCGCCCUCGAUAUUCGGGUUGGCUAGAAAAUAGGUGAGGGUGGUCCUUUAGCAGAUCUUCCUCUCGCUCCUAGGUGGCUUCAUCCUCGGUGUGGUGGAUCCACUGAACUUUGCAAAACUCGAUAAUCUUGCUACGGGUGACUCGGUUGGCAUACUCAAGAUUCUUGACUGGUUUCUCUUGAUAGGUCAAAUCACUGUCCAACUGAAUCGCUUCCAGCGGGACUGUAUCUCUCAGCGGUAUAUCGGCCAUCUCUUCGUGGCACUUCUUCAACUGGGAAACGUGGAACACAUCGUGAACUCCUGACAAUCCUUCGGGAAAUUCCAAUUUGUAAGCAACUCCUCCCAUACGCUCCAAAACUUUGUAUGGUCACAAAAGGUGGUGCUAACAUUCCCUUAACUCCAAAGCACAUAACUCCUCGAAGUGGGAUACACGAAUAUAAACUCGGUCUCCGACUUCGUAUGCUGUCUCCUUGCAUUUGGAAUCUGCAUAGCUCUUCUGCCUGGACUGGGCUACCUUGAGCCUAUCGCGAAUCAACUUCACCUUCUGUUCAGACUCCUUAAUCAAAUUUGGUCCAAAUAACUUGCGGUCUCCAACUUCAUCCCACAACAACGGGAUUCUGCACCUCCUUCCGUACAAGGCUUCAAAAGGGGCCAUCUUCAAACUGGAUUGAUAACUGUUGUUGUAAGAGAACUCUGCAUAUGGCAAAUUGUCGUCCCAACUAGAUCCAUAAUCUAGCGCACAAGCUCUCAGCAUAUCCUCCAAAAUUUGAUUAACUCUCUCGGUGUGUCCAUCUGUCUGUGGAUGAAAGGCUGUACUAAACUCUAGCCUGUUACCCAAAGUUUUGUGCAACUGACUCCAGAACUUUGAGGUAAACUGGAUUCCUCUAUCUGAUACAAUGCUCCUUGGAACUCCACACAGACAUACGAUCCUGUUCAUGUAUAUCUUAGCCAACUUAGCACUGGUGUAAGUGGUGUUUACUGGGAUGAAAUAAGCUACCUUCGUCAAACGAUCGACUACAACCCAAAUCGAGUCAUAGCCUAAACGAGUCCUAGGCAAUCCCGUGAUAAAAUCCAUGCCUAGUUUAUCCCACUUCCAUUCGGGUAUCGGCAACGGCUGUAGCAAUCCUGCUGGCUUCUGAUGCUCUGCCUUCACUCUCUGACAUACAUCACAUACUGCUACAUACUCCGCAAUAUCCUUCUUCAUUCCGGUCCACCAAAAUGAGUCUUUCAAAUCCAAAUACAUCUUGGUAUUUCCUGGGUGAAUUGAAUAUGGUGAAUCAUGGGCCUCUUGCAGAAUCAACUUCCUGAUCUCCGGGUCAUUAGGCACAUAAACACGGUCCUCAAACCAUAAGGUGUCGUGCUCAUCCUCACGAAAUCCUUUAGCUUUUCCUUUGCUCAUCUUCUCCUUUAUAAAGGCAAUCUCUUUGUCAGUCUUCUGAGCUUCUCUGAUCUUCUCCAUCAAAGUAGACUGAAUCUCCAAUGCUGCUACCUAGCCUCUCGGAACUAUCUCCAGCCAUAGCUCUUGGAGAUCCUCGGCUAACUCCCUUGGUAACUCUCUGGUCAUGAGUGUGUUGACAUGGCUCUUGCGGCUCAACGCAUCGGCUACUACGUUAGCCUUUCCGGGAUGAUAAUGCAGUCUCAUAUCAUAAUCCUUGAUGAGCUCCAACCAUCUCCUUUGCCUGAGAUUCAACUCUUUCUGCGUGAAAAUGUACUUUUAACUCUUGUGAUCCGUGUACACCUCACAAUGAUUUCCGAUGAGGAAAUGUCUCCAAGUCUUCAAUGCAUGCAGUACGGCUGCUAACUCCAAAUCAUGUGUAGCAUAAUUCAACUCAUGGGGCUUACACUGUCUUGAGGCAUACGAAACAACUCUUCCCUCCUGCAUAAGCACUGCUCCAAGUCCUUGACAUGAAGCGUCGCAAUACACCUCAUAAUCCUUGCACUGAUCAGGUAGAAUCAAUACUGGCGAGGUAACCAAACAUUUGUUCAACUCCUGGAAACUGGCCUCACAUUCCUCAGUCCAUUUAAACUUGGUGUCCUUCUUCAACAACUCCGUCAUGGGCUUCGCAAUCUUCAAAAAAUUCUCAAUGAACCUAUUGUAGUAUCCUGCGAGUCCAAGAAAACUCCGGAUCUCUCCAACUGUUGUUGGGGCUUCCUAGUUUGUCACAAUGACAACCUUGGUGGGGUCUACCGCUAUUCCUUCUCCGGAUAUAACAUUUCCGAGGAAUCCCACUUCCUUCAACCAAAACUCACAUUUGCUGAACUUGGCGUAUAACUGACGUUCUCUGAGCUUCUCAAGUACCAAACGCAAAUGCUCCUUAUGUUCUGCUUCAUUCUUUGAGUAGACCAAAAUAUCAUCAAUGAACACCACGACGAACUUAUCCAGAAACUCGUACAGACCAAAUAUGCAGGUGCGUUAGUCAGACCAAAUGACAUAACAUUAUACUCGUACAGACCAUACCUAGUGGUAAAAUUUCUCUUAGGUAUAUCCUGCUCUCGGAUCUUUAACUGGUGGUAUCCUGAUUGCAGAUCGAUCUUGGAAAAUACCUUAGCUCCCUGCAAUCGGUCAAACAUAUCAUUGAUCAUCGGCAGUGGGUACUUGUUCUUGAUGGUCACUUCAUUCAAUCCUUGAUAAUCAACUACCAUCCUUAAUGAUCCAUCCUUCUUCUCCACUAGAAGCACUGGCGAUCCCCAAGGUGAAGAACUUGGGCGAAUAUAGCCUUUAUCCAGUAACUCCUUAUCCGCUUCUUAAUCUCCUCCAAAUCUUUUGCGGGCAUCCUGUAUGGUCUCUUAGAUAUUGGCCCUGUGCCUGGAAAAAGAUCAAUUAAAAACUCAAUGUAUUUAUCCAGUGGCAUGCCUGGCAACUCCUCUGGAAAUACGUCAGGGAAAUCCUUCACCACUGGUACAUCCUCCUAUACAACUCCUAAUAAGGAAUUUACUUGUGUCCUCUUAGGUACGUGCCGGGAUACAUACUUGAUCCUUCUUUCUUCUGGGGUGGUAAGCAAAAUCGUCUUACUGGCACAUUCAAUGUUCCCUCCAUACUUCGAUAACCAUUCCAUACCUAAUAUCACAUCCCGUGCUUGCGAUUCCAAUACUAUUAGGUCCGAAUGAAACACGUAGUUACCAAUCCUUAAUGGUAACCGAUCACACCAUAGACUAGCCAUAUAAUCUACUCCAGGCGAGGUUACUAACAUGGGUGACCUAAGGGCUUGGGUUGGCAGUUUAUACUUAUCCACAAAUCGCCUUGAUAUGUAUGAAUGCGAUGCACCAGUAUAAAAAAGAAAGAGUGCAGUAAAUGAGAUAACCAAAAACUUACCUAUUACUGCAUCUGGCUGGGCUUCAACCUCCUCCAUGUUAACGUGGUCCACCUGUCCCCUGUUGAAAUGGUUCGGCUUUUUCCCAGAGCUUCCAUUGCCAUUCACAUUCUCGGCUUCAGGACAUUGAUUGGCAUAAUGUCUAGUCUUCUGACACUUAUAGCAAGUGACUUGGCUCAGGUCUCUCUUGGCUGGGGUUGAUGGGUUGGUACGGUUCUGGCCGUUGCUUCCUCCAUGACCGUUACCAUUCUUGGGGCCAUUAUGAUUGUGCGAGAUCCCUCCUCCAUGGGUAUGCUGAAAAUGUCCUCCCGAUUUCGGGGUAAAACAUGGCUUCUGCUGAGCUCCUGAAUUGUACUUCCCUUGUCCAUACUUCCUCUUGCGGUUUUCAAUCUGCUGCUGCUUCCCUUCAAUCAUGAGAGCACGAUCUACCAACUCCUCGUAGUUGUUGAAACUUGCUACCAUCAAUUGCAUGCUCAGCUCAUCAUUCAGUCCUUCCAGAAACUUCUCCUUCUUAGCUGCAUCUGUAGCCAUGUCAUCUGGGGCAUAACGUGCUAGCUUACUAAAAUCAUCCACAUACUGGCCAACUGUCCGUCCUCCUUGGUGCAAGUUGCGAAACUCACGCUUCUUCAUGGCCAUAGCUCCUGCUGAAACAUGGGCAGUAUGGAAAGCCUGCUGAAACUGACCCCAUGCUGCGGGUCCAUCCAGCUGAUGUGCGGCAAAACACACCUUUUCCGCAUCUGUGCAUCCUCCAGUGGUCAACUCCCUUCCUGUCUUGAGGAGCCAAUCAUCUGCAACUAUCGGCUCGGUGCUACUGGAAAACACCGGCGGAUUCAGUCUAAGGAAACGGGUUAAGUGAUCAACAGGUGGUGGAGGUGGUGGGUUGUUGUUGUUGUUGUUCCCCUGAUUCUGAUUCUGGACUAGCAAUUGCAUCAACGCAUUCUGUUGCUGGAUCAACUGAGUGAGCUUCGGUGGGAAAGAAAAUCCAUUGUCAUGUCUCGGAGGCAUCUGAGGAUUUAGAAAAGAUGAGAAAAUAGAAUAGAAUGAGGUCUAGAAAGAAAACACUACCCAUAUGCACAUGAGACAAAUGAAAACACAAUCACUUCAUUCAAUCAAACAAGGGCAUACAACGGUCUAACUAUCGAUAUAAAAGUGCUUGGACUAUACUAGAUACAUGGGGAAUACUACUACAGUUAUGGUGGUCGACUAGAAAAACUGCUCCGAUGAAGACUCCAUGAUAUCUGCUCUAGCUUCAUUUACAUAGUCAUCAUCGCUAUCAUCUGGGUCCGAGUCGGUGUCGUCGAUGAUGAUGUAGUUCUAUGGACAAGUGCAAUCAUCAUCUUCUCCUCCAGUCGCGGGAAAUCCCGUGGAUACUUUUAGCUUCUUCUUCAAAUCAUCAUUCUUCUCCACGAGUGUUGCUAUUUCCUCCUCAUAUCCAUCGCGUGUAGACUUGAGUUGUUCCUCCAGUUCCGUGAUCUUGGUCAUGGACUUCUUCAGAUCUAUCAUGCCUGCGCACCUCUGGUUCUCCUGGCGUCAAAUGUGUUGGUUUAACUCCUGGAUGAAAGCUACAAUUGAUCUAUCCUUCCUGGUGUUGAUCAUCUCCCAUUGCUCAUCUCGGCGCCCACAAAUCUGGUAGAUAGUAUACUUGAGAUUCUUUUGGUAGACUUCUCCAAUGCGUCCCAUUGUGAUGUGGGCUGCCAUGCUCUUUCCUAGACUCCAGGUUGGUGCAUAAAAGGAAAACUCUAUCAGCUCAGUGACGGGCAUGAACGUCCUUCCUGGAAAUUGAACUUGAAUCAUCCAACGCUCCUCUUCGGGUAAAGUGGCGAUGUAGGUCCCGGUGAAGCUUGGUACUCCGAUGUUCAGGUAUCUAGUGACUUCCUUCAAGUGGCAUCCAAAUGGUGUAUCUUCAUCUGGUUGCGUGAACUUGUUCCUUGCAUUCGCCAUCCUAAAAGAGUAGAAAAGAUGAGGAGUCCGAAAUGAGAAGAGUGAGUUGUGAUCUAGGGCUUUUGCUUAGUGGUCGUGUCCUAUAGUCAGCGUGUGCUCUGAUACCAUCUUGUAGCGACCAGACCUCAGACGGUCAAGUCUCUAUGCAUCAGUGUCAUCCCUGGAUCAGUAAUGCUGACACACACAGUACUCAAUGGAUUUAUAACAGAGUAGCAAUCACACACUUAUUACAUCGAAUGUCUCCAAAGAGAACAUAUUACAAGGAAUAUGGCUUAAGGACAUCUAGUAACGAUAACAGCGGAAGGCUUGGAAGAUAAGUGACUCCAUCAACUCCAACGGCAUCACUGAGUAUAGAACCACGACCUAAAGCACCUUACUCGUCGUCUGAAAAGUCUGCAACAUGAACGUUGCAGCCCGAAGACAGGUCAGCACAUGGAAUAUGUUGGCAAUGUAACACAUAGAGAGUAAUGAAAGAAUAAUGCUAUACUACAUGCAUAUAUGGCUGGUGGAAAGCUCUAUGGUUUUUCAGCAGUUUUGCAUAAAGCCAAUUCUUCCCUACUGCAAAGGAAUAAAUUUUAUUUAACUAUCAUGGUGGUUGUUAAACAUUGAGAAGAUAGACAUCCUAUCAAUCCCAAUUAAACAUCAUCAUUAAACCCAACAAAAUUAAUUAAAGUAACAUGAUGAGAUUCACAUGAUAAUCCAGGUACUAGAUACUCAAAACGUCCAUAACUGGGGACAUGGCUAACCAUGAUUAGUUUAUACACUCUGCAGAGCUUUGCGCACUUUUCCCCACAAGACACGAUCUCCUCCGUUGGGAUUCUUGCACUACAUGAUGUUUGAGAAACGGAUGACCGAUACGUAGUAUUUCAUAAGCGUUUGCACCUUACGAUCGGGUAGACAGUACCAACCUACAUCCCCUACAUCUGCUAGUCUACCACUGUAAGAGUUCACACAACUUAAUCAACUAUGCUAGAGCCCAUAGUAGCUUGUGGCUGCACACGGAAGUUUCUAGCAUGAAUAAUCUCAUGAUCCCUUUGAGCCUGGGUGGCGGUCCAUAAAGAAAACAGGCAAUCGCUAGAAUACCCAGGUGCCUCAAUCCACCCAGAUGUGUAUUAAAGUUGCCACCUUAAAUAACCCAUUAAAUAAGAAUCUCACAUCUGUAAUGGAUACUCUCACGCAAUCCACAUCUACUAGCAUAACAUGGCAAUAUAAGCAAACAUAGAAGUAACACCCAACGGUUUGAUAAUAAAAUAGGUAAUAGGUACUACCUCAUCUACUUCCCAAAACCCACAUAUUAAUUAGAUCCUAAUCAUGCAAUUGUUUGAGGGUUGAUCUAACGCAAUAAAACUGGGUAGUAAAGAGGUAUGAUCAAAGUGUUACUUGCCUUGCUGAUGAUCUGUGAAACCUAGAGAUUCGAAGUAGCAAGCGGCGCACUCCGGGUACUCUAUCGCAAACAAACAAUCAUACAAUAAGGACUCAUCUAAUGAAUCGCCUAAUUCCGAUAAAUGAGCGAAAAGUUAUACUAGAACGAAAAUUGGAUCAGAAAUCGCGAUCAGAAAUAAUCGCAGAAAAAUCCAAGAAAAAGAGAAACUGACGAACAGUUUAACGAACGAAUGUUCGUUAACUGAACGAAACGGUGAACUCGUCCGUUAAAACGAACAAUCGAGCGAACGCUCGCUAUACAAAUAAACCAGAAAAAAAUAAACCGAUCUAAAAAAAUAAAACCUAGGGUGUUCUAAAAAAACCGGAUCGGUUUUAUUUAGAAAACCGGAUCGGUUUUAUUUAGAAAACCGGAUCGGUUUUAUUUAGAAAACCGAGGCGGCAGGGCGGCUACCUCAGCUCGGGCUCCGGCGAAGUCCGGCGGGGUCCGGGGCUGCGAGGCUGGGUGGCUACCUCAGCUCGGGCUCCGGCGAAGUCCGGCGGGGUCCGGGGCUGCGGGUCGGCGUGGGGUGGCGGGGCGGCGGCGACGGGCAUCGGCGGCGGCGGCUCCUGGCGGCGGCAACACAAGGCGGCGGGGCGGCGGCUCUGACUUGGGGCUCUAGGGGGCGACGGUGUUUAUAAGAGGGGGUGGCGGUGGCUUGCGGGAGGGGGCGGUGGCGGCGGCGUCGGUGAUCGGGACUCCGGUCCCGAUCCGGAGUUGGUGACGACGGCGGCGGCUUGGGCCGGCUCGGCUCGGCCUUAGGCCCAGUCGGGCGCGCGGUAUGUUUUUUUAAAACAAUUCCGCCGAACAGAAAAUAAAUCCUAGAAAAAUAAAUAACAAUCUAAAAAUGCCAAAACAAAUUUUCACCGUCUAAAUAAAAUAUUUAGAACAAGAUGAACAUUUUCUUGGCCCUAAAAUACAGUUUUGAAAAAUGUGCAAAUUUUCUAAAUUCAAAUAAAAUAGUGAAAACUCCAAAAUAAAUCUUAGUUGAUUUUUUAUUAAAUCCUCAAUAUUUCUUUAUUUUGGGAAAAGUCAUUUUAUUCCGUCUCUCAUAUUUUUAUGAUAGAAAUAAUUGAAGAUAAAAUAAAUAAAAUCAAAUGAUCCUAUUUUCAAAAUUUGAGAAAACUCAAAUAUGAAAAUAACAAAAUCCCCAACUCUCUCCGAGGGUCCUUGAGAUGCGUAGAAUUUCUGGAUCAGGUCAAAAACAAAUAAAAUAUGAUAUGCAAUGAUGAUCUAGUGUAUAACAUUCCAAAUUGAAAAUUUGGGAUGUUACAAGAAUUGUAUUAACCGGAAGCUUAGUACAUGUGUGAAUACAUAGACAAAAACUAUAGUCCCUAGUAUACCCCUACUUGACUAGCUCAUUAAUUAAAGAUGGUUAUGUUUCCUAGCCAUAGACAUGUGUUGCCAUUUGAUGAACGGGAUCACAUCAUUAGGAGAAUGAUGUGAUGGACAUGACCCAUCCGUUAGCUUAGCAUUAUGAUUGUAUUGGCUUCAUUACUACUGCUUUCUUCAUGACUUAUACAAGUUCCUCAGACUAUGAGAUUAAGCAACUCCUGAAUACCGGAGGAACACUUUGUGUGCUACAAAACGUCACAACGUAAAAGGGUGAUUAUAAAGGUGCUCUACAGGUGUCUCCAAAGGUGUUUCAGAGAGGUAUCUCUGGGCCCUCUUAGUAAUACUCGUCAUUAUAUGCCUUGCAAGCAUUGUGCCUAAUGAGUUAGUUGCAGGAUGAAGUAUUAAGGAACGAGUAAAGAGACUUGACGGCAACGAGAUUGAACUAGGUAUUGAGAUACCAACGAUCGAAUCUCGGGCAAGUAACAUACCGAUGACAAUGGGAACAACGUAUGUUGUUAUGCGGUUUGACCGAUAAAGAUCUUCGUAGAAUAUGUACGAACCAAUAUGAGCAUCUAGGUUCCGCUAUUGGUUAUUGACCAGAGUUGUGUCUCGGUCAUGUCUACAUAGUUCUCGAACCCGUAGGGUCUGCACGCUUAACGUUCGAUGAUGAUUGGUAUUAUGAGUUUAUGUGUUUUGAUGUACCGAUGGUACUUCGGAGUCCCGGAUAUGAUCACGGACAUGACGAGGAGUCUCGAAAUGGUCGAGACAUAAAGAUUGAUAUAUUGGACAGCUAUAUUCGGACAUCGGAACUGUUCCGGGUGAUUUCAGAGAAAACUGGAGUGCCGGAGGGGUUACUGGAACCCCCCGGGGGAAGUAAUGGGCCUUAGGGGAGAGAGAGGGCAGCAGCCCAGGAGGUGCCCCCCCAAGGGGAGUCCGAAUUGGACUAGGGGAGGGGGGGUGCAGCCCCUCUUUCCCUCUCCCUCUCCCUCUCCUUCCUUCCCACUUCCCCCUCCUAGUUGGACUAGGAAAAGGGGAGUCCUACUCCUACUAGGAGGAGGACUCCUCCCCUCCUUGGCGCGGCCAAGGGCCGGCCGGCCUCCCCCUUGCUCCUUUAUAUACGGGGGCAGGGGGCACCCUAGGACACACAAGUUAACAUUGUUUAGUCGUGUGCGGUGCCCCCCUCCACAGUUACACACCUCGAUCAUAUCGUCGUAGUGCUUAGGCGAAGCCCUGCGUCGGUAACUUCAUCAUCACCGUCACCACGCCGUCGUGCUGAUGAAACUCUCCCUCGGCCUCAACUGGGUCAAGAGUACGAGGGACAUCCUCGAGCUGAACGUGUGAUGAUCGCGGAGCUGCCGGACGUUUGGUACUAAGAUCGGUCGGAUCGUGAAGAUGUACGACUACAUCAAUUGCUUUGUCAUAACACUUCCGCUUUCGGUCUACGAGGGUACAUAGACAGACCCUCCCCUCUAGUUUCUAUGCAUCACAUAGAUAGAUCUUGCGUGAUUGUAGGAAUUUUUUUGAUAUUACCGCAUUCCCCAACACCUGGGCAUCCCCAAUCUUAGCCUUUUGUUUAUCCUUAUUCCUUCAUCCAUCGUAAGAUUGCCCAAAACGUGAAAACUUCAAUCACACUAAACUCAAACAAAACCUUCGUGAGAUCCCUUAGUAUAAGAAACCAAACGACUACUAUAAGUACUGCAGAAAACCUAUUCUUAUUUUGUUUUUUCAUUAUAUAUACAGUAUUCCAACUUUUCUAUGGCAAAAAUGCAAAGAAAACAGAAUCUAUCAAAAACAGAACAGUCUGUACCAAUCUGAAAAUUUCGAAUACUUCUGUAACUCCAAAAAUUAUGAAAUAAAUUGGUGUACAUGAGGAAUCUGUCUAUUAAUCCUCUGCAAAAUGAAUCAUCUCAAAAGUGCUCUUUUGUAAAAAAUGACAAUGAAUCUCGUGAGCGCUAAAGUUUGUGUUUUUCAGCAAGAUCAAAUAAACUUUCACCCAAGUCUUCCCAAAGGCAUGGCUUGGCACAAACACUAACUUAAACACCAAACACAAUUAUAACAGUGGCAUAAUUGUGCUAACACUCAAGAACAGAAAGCAAAAAAGAAAAAAUAAAUUUUAUUCAUUGGGUUGCCUCCCAACAAGCGCUAUCGUGUAUGCCCCUAGCUAGGCAUAACGCGUAGGAUCAAAGUUUUGUCACUCUUAUCCUUGUUUCCCGAUGUCGCUUAAAGCUACAUCGGUAUUUCCCCAAAGAGGAAGGAAUGAUGCAGCACAACGACGGUAGGUAUUUCCCUCAGAUAUGAAACCAAGGUUAUCGAACUAGUAGGAGAACCAAGCAACACAACGUAAACAGCCCCUGCACACAAAGAACAACACCUCACAACCCGACGUGUUAGAGGGGAUGUCAAUCCCUUUCGGGGUACGAUGCCUCAAGAUUGGCAAAGGACGUGAGGUAAAUUUGUAGUAGAUUGAUAGAUCAAAUGCCAAAUAAAAUAAAUAAGAAUAAAUUGCAGCAAGGUAUUUUUGUAUUUUUGGUUUAAUAGAUCUGAAAAUAAAUUCAAGAGAAAAUAGAUGACGAAGGCAAAUAUAAUGAAAAGAGACCCGGGGGCCGUAGGUUUCACUAGUGGGUUCUCUCGAGAAAACUAGCAAACGGUGGGAAAACAAUUACUAUUGGGAAAUUGAUAGGACUUCAAAUAAUCAUGACGAUAUCCAGGCAAUGAUCAUUACAAAGGCAUCACGUCCAAGAUUAGUAGACCGACUCCUGCCUGCAUCUACUACUAUUACUCCAGACAUCGACCGCUAUCCAGCAUGCAUCGAGAGUAUUAAGUUCAUGAGAAAAUGAAGUAAUGCAAUAAGAACGAUGACAUGAUGUAGACGAGAUCCGUUUAUCUAUUGCGGGAGAUAUAGAUCUCAUCUUUUUAUCCUUAGUAGCAAUGAUACAUACGUGUUAGUUCCCUUUCUGUCACUGGAAUCAAGCAACGUAAGAUCGAACCCACUACAGGGCACCUCUUCCCAUUGCAAGAUAAAUAGAUCAAAUUGGCCAAACAAAACCUAAAUAUCGGAAAAGACACAAAUAACUUUCAUGGAUAAAAACAUAGAUCUAAUCAUAAACUCAAAGUUCAUCAGAUCCCGACAAACAGACCGCCAAAAGACUUACAUCAUAUAGAUCUCCAAGAGACCAUUGUAUUGAUAAUAAAGAGACAGAGAGAGAGAGAGAGGAAGCCAUCUAGCUACUAACUACGGACCCAAAGGUCUACAAAGAACUACUCACGCAUCAUCGGAGAGACACAAAUGUAAGUGGUGAACCCCUUCGUGAUGGUGUCUAGAUUGGUUCUGGUGGUUUUGGACUCUCGGCGGCUGGAUAAAUAUUUCGUUGAAUCCUCUAGGGUUUCUGGAAUAUUAGGGUAUUAAUAGAGCAAAGAGGCAGUCCAGGGGGCACCUGAGGUGGGCACAACCCACCAGGGCGCGCCUGGGCCUCCUGGCGCGCCCUGGCGGGUUGUCCCCUCCUCGGGACUCCCCCAGGUGCAACCAGGGCCCAACUUCUUCCUUUUGGUCCAUAAAAAAUCAUCGUAAAUUGGCGUGGCAUUUGGACUCCGUCUGAUAUUGAUUUCUUGCGAUGUAAAAAACAUGCAGAAAAAAACAACUGGCACUUGGCACUAUGUCAAUAGGUUAGUACCAAAAAAUGAUAUAAAAUGACUAUAAAACGAUUGUAAAACAUCCAAGAAUGAUAAUAUAACAGCAUGGAACAAUCAAAAAUUAUAGAUACGUUGGAGACGUAUCAGCAUCCCCAAGCUUAAUUCCUGCUCCUCCUCGAGUAGGUAAAUGAUAAAAACAGAAUUUUUGAUGUGGAAUGCUGCCUAACAUGUUCAUCACAUUCUUUUCUUUAUAGCAUGGACAUAUCAAAUUUUAUAUGAUUCAAGGCAAUAGUCUAGGUUUGACAUGAAGAUGUUAAUACUCAAGCAUACCAACAAGCAACCAUGUCUUUCAAAAUAUCAACACUAAAGCAAGUUAUCCCUAGUCCAUCAUGCUCAAUUCAUGAAACACACUCGAAUAUUAGCUACACCUAAUGCUCAAAUACGAUCAUAGGGCCCCUUAGUUGGUGCUUUAUGAGAGAAGAUGGAGACUCACACUACUAGGGAAAACCCUAGUGGUAGCGCAGGUUUUGAGGCUAGCAGCAGCGCGGGUGGCCGCGCUACUAAUAAGGCGCUACAGCUAACUUAUAGUAGUAGCGCGGUCCGUACCCGCGCUACUACUGUUGACGAUAUCAGCAACACUUUUUUAUGAACGUGCUACUAUUACUUGGCUGUAGCGAUUUCACAGUCGCUCGCUACUCCUAUAUCUUUCAUCAUUUCCCCCCGUACCGCUUUCCCUUUCAGUUUCCCUUUUAGAUACUAGAUACUAGGUACUACUAUUAGAUAUCAAAUUCAUAAACCAUUACUGGGUAGUACUCCCUUCAUUCCAAAUUACUCGUUGUGGUUUUAGUUCAAACCACGACGAGUAAUUUGGAACGAAGGGAGUACUAGAUAACAAUUUCAUGCAUAGUCAACUUGCAUCCUCAAGCAUUACAAGGUGAUAUCAAUGGCGAUCAUCAUAUGUAGUUCUAGAUGAUAUCGACGACGAUCAUCAUAUGUAGUUCUAGAUGAUAUAGCCACACACACAUAUGUAGUUCUAGAUUAUAUAGCCACACACACAUAUGUUGUUCUAGAUGAUAUCAAAGACAAUCAUCAUCCUCAAGCCUGGGCGGUUGGUCUUCCUGAUAGUAAUUAGGAUGGCAUGUCCAACAUGAAGAUUCUUGCCAUCGAGGAAUUUCUUCCACCCAACCGAGUUUAAAUGUGUGCGACCGUUCGUGUCCACGCGGUAAGUCCAGCAGAGCCUUCUUCAUCAGGCUCGAUACCAUAACUCACAGAUAUGCUCUUUGCCAAUUUCUGAAUAAGAAAACAUAUCAAUUAAUAAAUAGCCUCGCAAAUAAGUACAUAUGGAUUAUCUACACUAUUAAUAGUUUCCUUAGAUUCUACACUAAUAAGCAUGUGAUCAAACUCUACACUAAAACAUAUCAUCGACUAGAUUCCACACAACAUACUAUAUCAUUGGACUGUACACUAAGUAUUUCAUCGGAUAAUUUGCAUUUGUAAGUAUAGCAUACCAUAUCAUGUCGAUCAACCAUGGUAUUUGUCAGGCAGGUCACGAAUGGCACCCCGACAAAGUCAGCACGUGGCGGAAUUAUAUCCCACAGGUUGGACACCUCCUCCUCGCUCAGCCUUGUUCUUUGAGCUACGAUGGCUUCAUGAAGUGGGUACUCAUCAUUUUCAUUGAGUGGGUCCUCAUUAUCUUCAUCAUCUUCAUCAUCUUCAUCAUCUUCAUCAUCUUCCACCAGGUUGAGAUAAAUGACAGCCAGCUUGGGUCUUUCUGCUCUGAGGGAGAAGCUGAUCAACUCAUCACCACUAAGACGCAUGCGAGCGAUGAAACGGGCCCAUCCAUCUCCUCCAAUCUGCGACAUAUUGCGUCCUUUCUCGACCUCCAUAGUGUAUGGCUCCCCAGGAGCCUCAAAUGUCACAGUGUCUCCUGUCAGCUUGUUGAAUUUCAACCUCACAUUGCAUGGGACGAUCUGUGUAAAAUAAGCAAAAUGACACAAUGCAGUAAUGCCAACACUAAAAAUAAAAUAGUUAUUACAUUUCAUCUAAUUUCUUACGGCCGCAUGACGAAAACAUGGCUGGAAGUAGAUGCCGAACAGCUUGCCAGUUGCAAGGCUGCUGGCGCACCUUGACUUGCACAGUCGGCAUAGUGGUGGUGGUGGUGGCGCCAUUUUUCCUAAAGCAAUAUGAGCAAAGUAUUAACGAUCCACUUCACAGGAAAGAAAAACAGUAGCAUGUGAUAUUUUUGGUUCUUUCGCGAGAAGCAAUUUGAUGGACAAUUAUAAUCCUAAGAUCUAGUAACAUAUUAGAAGACAAGGUACCACCUACAUUUGGCCAAAAAGUAACUUAUUAAAAUAACAAAAGCAACUAUGUACACAUCCCUGUACAGAAAAAAUAACAAUAAAAUGGUGCAUACUAAAUCAACUAAGUGAACUAGCCUACUAAAUCAACUAAAUCAAAAUGUUCUAAAUCAACUAAAUGAACUAGCCUACUAAAUCAACUAAAUCAAAAUGUUCUAAAUCAACUAAAUCAACUAGUCUACUAAAUCAACUAAAUCAAAAUGUUCUAAAUCAACUAAAUGAACUGGCCUACUAAAUCAACUAAAUCAAAAUGUUCUAAAUCAACUAAAUCAACUAGCCUACUAAAUCAACUAAAUCAAAAUGUUCUAAAUCAACUAAAUCAACUAGCCUACUAAAUCAACUAAAUCAUAUCAACUAAAUCAAAAUGUUGCAUAUGAACUAGCCUACUAAAUCAAAAUGUAGCAGGCAGGAGGGAGAAGGAGGGGCGACUCGAGGAGGGAGAAGAGAGUAGGACGGAGGAGGAAGGCGGAGCGAGGAGGGGCCGACCGGCGGCCAGUGAGGGAGGACGGAGGAGGAAGGCGGAGCGAGGAGGGGCCGACCAGCGGCGAGUGGAGAGGGAGGACAGAGGAGGAGGCUGGUACCGAGUCCAGCAAGGAGGAGGAGGUGACGGCGGUGCAGAGGGAGGCGGGGCGACGGGGGAGGACCGGCGCGGGGGAUUGAGAGGGGAUCCAGUGAGUGUUUGACUGUGAGUGGAUCGGAUAGAGGAGAUGGGGGUGGGAGAUGGAAUGGCUUAGAAGUAGCACACUGUAGAGAAAGACGCUACUGCUAAACUCCCUAGCAGCAGCGCCUUUCACACAGAAGCGCUACUGCUAUGUGUCAGCAUGUAAAAAUAGACUUAGUUCAAUGUAUCAAAAACACAUUGAUCAUCAACGAUCUUUUUGUGUACAAUCUGAUUUGUCAAUAUGAGUCCUCAUCGGUUUAGGAACAGGUGAAGACUCAUAUUGCAGCCACAAAUUCUACACAUAUAGUUCAAUGAAGACCAAGUGCUUGUCAAAGUUUGAGAAGUAACGUAUUUAAGGUGGUACAAACUCUCUUCAUGGAGCGAGGUGGGACUAAAUUUUUGUAGUAAACUUAGCAGUAGCGCUUAUUGGCGAAAUGCGCUGCUACUAUGCUACGUAGAAGAAGCGGCCGUCGUUAUAACGCGUUGCUGCUAUAACUAGCCUCGCGGCAGCCUCGUGGGAAUUAUGGCAGUAGCGCGUCUUUGAGCGGGCGCGCUACUGCUAUAUUUAUUUCAGCAGCGAGUUAUUCUUGAGCUCGCUACUGCUAAUUAGUAGCAGCGCCAUAUUUUAAAGUGCGUUGCUGAUAAGAUUCUGUGUAUAGGCUUUUCCCUAGUAGUGUCAAAUUCAAAAUAAAAAUUGCAUAAGUAAAAAAAGGCCCUUCGCGGAGGGAAUUAGUGAUUUGUAGAGGUUCUAGAACUCAAAGCUUAAAUUUAGAGAUAAAAUUAUUUUUGAGUGGCAUACUUUUCCUACCAAUGAAAACGAUUUGGAGCAUCCCAACACAUUACAUGCUAGAUACGUCAUAGGCGUUUCCCAAACAUAAAAUAAAGUUUAUUCCUUUUUCCACCAUAACUUUCACUUUCCAUGGCUAGCCGUAUCCACGGGUGCUUUCCAUACCAAGACUUUCCUAGGAAUUUAUUAUUUGACAACAUAAAGUAAAUUCAUUUUUCAUUUCGGGACUGGGCAUCCCUAAUACCUUUGCCGUAUGCUUGUGCAAUGACAAGUGAAUAAACACUCAUCGUGAGAAUAACACAUCUAUCAUGGAAAAUAUUGGCUACCCUUUACCGCCUCGCGAGUGCUAGAGCACACAAAAGAGAACUUUAUUUUGAACGUUAGAGAUGGCACAUGCAAAUUUGCUUAGGACGACAUAGAAAUACCACAUAUAGGUAGGUAUAGUGGACUCAUAUGGCAAAACUAGUUUAAAGGGUUUUGGAUGCACAAGUAGUGAUCAUACUUAGUGCAAAAUGAAGGCUAGCAAAAAAGAUUGAGAAGCGACCAACCAAAAAGCAAAAAAUCUCAUACCCAAGCAUUAAGCAUAAGUAACACUGAAUAAUGCACCAUAAGUACAUAUAAAUUUCAUUGCAUAACUAUUGACUUUCGUGCUUGCAUAGGGAAUCACAAACCUUAACAUCAAUAUUCUUACUAAAGCACAAUUAGUCAUCAACAUGAAUCACAUAUCAUAUCGUCAUAUCUCAAAACCAUUACUAAGAAUCAAGUUUAUUUUGUCUCAUGAUCUUCAUGGAAGUUUUUGUUAUAUCCUCCUUGGAUAUCUAUCACUUUGGAACUAUUUUCAUAUGUUGCUUUUGCUAAGCUCAAACAAAUAUAAGUGAAGAUCAUGAGUAUAAUUUUUUUCGUUCUCUCAAAUUAAUCUAAGUGAAGCAAGAGAGAAUUUCUUCAAAAUUUACUAACUCCCAAAUAAAUCUAAGUGAGGCAUUAUAGUAUUUCUUCAAAAUUCACAAAGCUCACCGUGUUCAAAAAGAUGUAAGUGAAGUACUAGAGCAAGUCCAUGGCUCUAAAAAUUUAAGUGAAGCAUAGGAGCAAGCAUAGCAUAAUUUUUGGCUCUCUAAAAAGGGUGUGUCCAGCAAGGAUUCUAAACUUAAAACACAAAGAAAAAUAAGCAAAGACUCGUAUCAUACAAGACGCCCAAGCAAAACUCAUAUCAUGUGAUGAAAAAAAUAUAGUUUGAAGUAAAAUACUGAUGGUCGUUAGAAGAAAGCGAGGAUGCCACUCGGGGGCAUCCCCAAGCUUAGUUGCUUGCUACUUCUUUGAAUAUUGUCUUGGGGUGCCUCGGGCAUCCCCAAGCUUAGCCUUUUCCUUAUCCUUAUUCCUUCAUCCAUCGUAAGAUAACCCAGAACUUGAAAACUUCAAUCCCACAAAACUCAAACAAAACCUUCGUGAGAUCCGUUAGUAUAAGAAACCAAACCACUACUAUAAGUACUGUAGCAAACAUAUUCUUAUUUUGUUUUUGCAUCAUAUCUACUGUAUUCCAAGUUUUAUAUGGCAAAAACUCAUUAAAGAAAACCGUAGAAUCAUCAAAACAAGCACACAACGCAAAGAAAACAGAAUUUGUUAAAAAUAGAACAGUCUGAAGCAAUCUGGAAAUUUUGAAUACUUCUGUAACUCCAAAAAUUAUGAAAUAAACUGGUGGAAGUGAGGAAUUUUCUAUUAAUUCUCUGCAAAAAGAAUCAAGUUAAAAUCAAUCUUCUGUAAAAAUGAUAACAAAUCUUGUGAGCGCAAUAGUUUCUGUUUUUCAGCAAGAUCAAAUAAACUUUCACCCAAGUCUUCCCAAAGGCAUUGCUUGGCACAAACACUAACUAAAACACAUAAAACACAGUCAUAACCAUAGCAUAAUUGUGGUAACACUCAAGAACAGAAAGAAAAAUGCAAAACAAAUUGGGUUGGCUCCCAACAAGUGCUAUCGUUUUACGCCCCUAGCUAGGCAUUGAUAAUUUUGAUGAUGCUCUCAUGAAAGACAAGAAUUGAAGUACAAAGAGAGCAUCAUAUAGCACGUGACAAACACAUCUAAGUAUAAUAUACUUCCUAUGCAUAGGCAUUUUAUAAGCUAACAAAUUAUCAAGGCAAGCAAAAACUAGCAUGUGCAAGGAAGAAGAAAGAAACAUUAGCAAUCUCAACAUGAAGAUAGGUAAUUUAUUAACAUGAAAAUCUCAACAACCGUAUUUUCCUCUCUCAUAAUAAUUACAUGGAGGAUCAUAAUAAAAUUCAACAAUAUAGCUAUCACGUAACACAUUGUCAACACGAUCCACAUGCAUGCGAAUUUGACACUCUUCCAAAAUAGUGGGAUUAACAUUAACUAAAGUCAUGACCUCUCCAAACCCAGUUUUAUCAAAAAAUUCAUAAGAUUGAACAUUCUCCAAAGUAGUGGGAUCUAAAGUUGACACUCUUCCGAAGCCACUUUAGAUAUUAUUGCAAACAUUAUUAUCAAUCUCGUAUUCAUCAUGGGGCUUAAAUAAAUUUUCAAGAUCGUAAGAAGAAUCACCCCAAUCAUGAUCAUUGCAAUAAGUAGUGGACAUAGCAAAAUUAGCAUCCCCAAGCUUGGGGUUUUGCAUAUUAUUAGCAAAAUUGACAUUAAUAUAAUUUACAGUAAAAUCAUUGCAAUCAUGCUUUUCAUUCAAAGAGCUACCAUGAAUCACUUCAUAAAUUUCUUCAUCACAAUUUUCAGAUUCAUGAAUCUCAAGAAAAACUUCAUAAAGAUAAUCUAGUGUACUCAAAUCACUAGCAAUUUGUUCAUGAUAAUUGGAUCUCUUAAAAAGAUUAGCAAGUGGAUGAGGAUCCAUAUCGAGAGAUAUUUAGCAAGAAAAUAGAAGACACAUGGCACACAAGCAAAGAAGAGAUCUGAGGAGAAGACGGUGAACGAAAAAGAGGGCGAGUAAAAUGGCAAAUUAUUGUGAAGUGGGGGAGAGGAAAACGAGAGGCAAAUGGAAAAGAAUGUAAAUUGCAACGAGAUGAGAUUUGUGAUUAGGAACCUAGUUAUGUUGAAGAUCCUCCCCGGCAACAGCGCCAGAAAUUCCUUUUGAUGUCGCUUGAAGCUACGUCGGUAUUUCCCCAAAGAGGAAGGGAUGAUGCAGCACAACGGCGGUAGGUAUUUCCCUCAGAUAUGAAACCAAGGUUAUCGAACCAGUAGGAGAAUCAAGCAGCACAAUGUAAACAUCCCCUCCACACAAAGAGAAACACCUCGCAACCUGACAAGUUAAAGGGGUUGCCAAUCCCUUUCGGGGUACGGUGCCUCAAGAUAGGCAAAGGACGUGAGGUAAAUUUGUAGUAGAUUGAUAGAUCGAACGCGAAAUAAAAUAAAUAAGAAUAAAUUGUGGCAACAUAUUUUUUUAUUUUGGUUUAAUAGAUCUGAAAAAUCAAUGCAAGAGAAAAUAGAUCGCAAAGGCAAAUAUAAUGAAAAGAGAUCCGGGGGGCCGUAGGUUUCACUAGUGGCUUCUCUCGAGAAAAAUAGCAAACGGUGGGAAAACAAUUACUCUUGGGCAAUUGAUAGAACUUCAAAUAAUCAUAAUGAUAUCCAAGCAAUGAUCAUUACAUAGGCAUCACGUCCAAGAUUAGUAGACCGACUCCUGCCUGCAUCUAUUACUAUUACUCCACACAGUGGCCGCUAUCCAGCAUGCAUCUAGUGUAUUAGGUUCAUGAGAAAAUGGAGUAAUGCAAUAAAAAUGAUGACAUGAUAUAGACGAGAUCCGUUUAUCUAUUGCGGGAGAUAUAGAUCUCAUCGUUUUAUCCUUAGUAGCAAUGGUACAUACGUGUCGGUUCUCUUUCUAUCACUGGGAUCAAACAACAUAAGAUCGAACCCACUACCGGGCAUCUGUUCCCAUUGCAAGAUAAAUAGGUCAAGUUGGCCAAAAAAAACCACAAUAUUGGAGAAGAAAUACGAGGCUAUAAGAAAUCCUGUAUAUAAGAGAUCAAAGAAGACUUAAAUAACUUUCAUGGAUAAAAACAUAGAUCUGGUCAUAAACUCAAAGUUCAUCAGAUCCCAACAAACACACCGCCAAAAGACUUACAUCAUAUGGAUCUCCAAGAGACCACUGUAUUGAUAAUCAAGAAAGAGAGAGAGAGAGAGAGAGAGAGAGAGAGAGAGAGAGAGAGAGAGAGAGAGGAAGCCAUCUAGCUACUAACUACGGACCCGAAGGUCUACAAAGAACUACUCACGCAUCAUCGGAGAGGCACCAAUGGAAGUGGUGAACCCCUCCGUGAUGGUGUCUAGAUUGGAUCUGGUGGUUCUAGACUCUGCGGCGGCUGGAUGAAUAUUUUGUCGACUCCUCUAUGGUUUCUGGAAUAUUGGGGUAUUUAUAGUGCAAAGAGGCGGUCUAGGGGGCACCCGAGGUGGGCACAACCCACCAGGGCGCGCCUGGGCCUCCUAGCUCUCCCUAGUGGGUUGUCCCCUCCUCGAGACUCCCCCGGGUGAAACCAGAGCCCAACUUCUUCCUUUUCGUCCAUAAAAAAUCAUCGGAAAUUGGCGUGGCAUUUGGUCUCCGUCUGAUAUUGAUUUCCUGUGAUGUACAAAACAUGCAGAAAACAGCAACUGGCACUUGGCACUAUGUCAAUAGAUUAGUACCAAAAACGAUAUAAAAUGACUAUAAAAUGAUUGUAAAACAUCCAAGAAUGAUAAUAUAACAACAUGGAACAAUAAAAAAUGAUAGAUACGUUGGAGACGUAUCAUUUCCCUUGGAGGUAUCUAUGUCGGGAGGUUAUGUAAAUAAGACAUAAAACACAUUAUCCAUGGAAACUUUAGCACUAUCAAGUUGCUUUUUAUCAUAACCCCUUUGAUUUCCGGUAGUGAUCCAAGAAUAGUGUUGAUUCACAUCGUUAAAAAAUUGUUGGAUCAUAUCUAAAAGGGGACUUGCUUCUUAAGAUUCUCGUCAAAGAUUUGGUUAUCUCCAAGCAAAUGUCUCAAAGCAUAAUCACUAUUAUAAAGAAUUUCAUCAAUCAUGGGUUUUUCACGAUUCUUGCCAUAAAAAUAAGAGAUUUGUCUAUCUUCCCGUAUUAUGUAGUCAAAUUCAUUCAUCAAAACAAGAGUGGCUAACUUUUUAGCUUUAGGAUCCUUUAUAAAGGGUAACUCAUAAAAUAAUCUUUGCAAGGUAGGAUGAGUACGAAUAAAUCUAGUUUCAAGUUUCAAAACAAGUGCUGAAAUAGCCUCCGUGUCAGGACCCCGACUCAAUGCCACAUCGAUCUAGCAUGUAACACCUCAUAUCACUUUGCGGCCUCACGCACGGUAUCCCCACGGGUGUCGCCUUACCUUUGCCCGGGACCGUUUGCGCCUUUUGGCACACGUAUAUGAUGGUGUCGCUAGCAUCCAUAUGAUAAAGAGCCCGGGCUGACAUGGCUAGUUGUAAACCCAAAGUGGCACAAACUUACAGGGACAGGCAUCCAUGACCCAGCAUCGAACGUGUCGGUCAUCAGCGAGCGAAUCCAGGCUGUAGCACUGGGCUAACAGGACUCCGGUGAACCAGGCUGUAGCGGGCUAACAGGACUCCAGUAUUCAUCGCGUGACAUUUCCCCGAAGGGACAGACACAGGAUCGAAGAAGGACACAUGCCGGCCAGCCUAAGUGUUCUGGAGCAGUAGCAAGCUACCAGGGCUCAGUGGAAGCACUAGGAGACAUUUCCCGGUAAGAGAGGCUACUAAGGAUAAACAACUAGAUAGUCAGAUCCCACACAUAGCAAUACACAUUACACGUACGCAUAACAUGCAAGUAUGUGUUGUACAACAUGGCAUCACAGCAUAACUCAACAACUCAUAUAGAUAAAGGCUCAGAAGAGCCAACAUAGCAAUAUUACAACCAGGGGUCACAUGACCCAACAUUCAGAGCAAUCAAGCAACAAACGGAAGCAUUACAUGUCUGAGUACAGACAUCUAUAAAUGAAAAAGGCUGAAAGCCUGACUAUCUACAACGUCCGAUCAAGAUCGUAGCUGAGGUACUAGCUACUAGUCGAAGUCCACGAGAGCACUAAUAAGACCGAAGUCUCCGCUGCAAAAACAUAAAUAAAGCAACAUGAGUACAAAGGUACUCAGCAAGACUUACAUCAGGUCCUAUCAUACAUGCAUCUGUAUCAAGAGGGUAAUGUGGAGUUUAGUUGCAGCAAGCCAGCUUUGACUCUGUGGCUAUCCUAUUCUACGACUACCAGAAACUCUUGAGGUGAUUUGGCGCACACGAGUCCACUAAUCACCACACAAUACACUACUAUGGAUUCAUCCCCGUCUCCCUACGAGAAGGCCAUCCAUAGCACUCACACUUGUCUUGAGCAUUUUAGGGUAUCCACUUCAAGUUGUCUAUGUACCAUGUAAGCAUCCAAGAAGUCCAUAACCGCGGACCCGGCUAUUCGAAUAGAUCAUGUUAACCCUGAGGGGGUGUACUUCUUCACACACGCUCUCGCCACUUACCGCCAUGUACACGUCAUGUAUCUCGGCAACCUUCAAGCGGAAGCCUGGCGAGGGUGUCGGCCACGACCUGACUAACCACACAAGGCUCUAAUCCAGGUUUAUCGCCUAUUCGGGUUCCAUCCGCAAGGAGAUCCGGCCGGGGUUUCACUCACGGCCCCAAAUGAUGUGUGCAGGGUUCCCAAGCCCACCUCGCCGGAUGGAUCUACGCUUGGUACACCGUGCCACUUGUGCCUAGUCUGUCCCAAGCCCACCUGGCCGGGUGCCACUUGGUAGACUACUAACACUGCCUACAAACACCAGAAACUAGUUGCGACUCCUGGACAGAGAUCAAGUUGGUUAAUAAGUCGAGAGGGCUUGGAGCGCCCGGAGCCCAAUGUGUGGUAGUAUCGAGUCAUUGGACAACAUACAUAGAACUCAAUGCUUAAGGACGGUUCCAGUGAGACAACCCACCAUGUACUCCUACAUGGCCUCUCACCGCUACCUUUACCAAAUCGUGUUCACACACUUAACUCUCAGCACCAGAAUAUAUCGUAACACUCCAAUUCAUUCCCAAUGAAUCAGACCUGACACAACUCUAAGCAAUAGCAGGCAUAGCAUGGUAGGAACACAACAUGGCUCAAUCAACUCCUACACAUGCUAGUGGGUUUCAACUAUUUACUGUGGCAAUGAUAGGUCAUGUAGAGGAAUGGGUUCAACUACCGCAGCACAAAGUAGCAGAUGAAUCGUUGUUGUCCUAAUGCAAUAACUGAGAGCAGGAGCGAGAGAGUAGGAUUGUAUCGGAAUGAACAAGGGGGUUUGCUUGCCUGGUAAAUCAACAAGGGAGGCACUGCUUCAUAGACAGGUACUCUGGAACACCUCCGGAGCAGGACCUAUCGAGAAGGAACGGUGCCAACAAUCAAAACACAAGCAUAUGCAACACAAUGAUGCAUGAACAUGGCAUGAAGAUGUGAUGCUGAUUCUGCUAAUGCAACUAGUACUCAUUUGGUUUGAAGUCCAUUUGAACCAAAGGUUCAAAUGCAUCUCCAAAAUAAGCUCCUAUAUAUGCCAUAAUGUGUUUUCUCAUAUUAAGCAUGUAUAAGUUGGUUUGUCAUGCAUGAAACUAGUACAGAUGGAAAGAUUGCAUUUUUCUGAUAAUUUUUCAUAUAUAAAUUAUUUUAAUCUGAGCUACGGUUGAAUUGAUAUGAAUUUUUGAAGUUUAAAACAAUUUCUGGAAUUUCCUGAUUUAAUUUAAAUCCAGAAAUCAUAUAAUUGCGCCAGCAUGACGUCAGCAUGACGUCAGCAGUCAACUACGGCUGACUGGGGUCAAACCUGACGUGUGGGGUCCACACGUCAGUGACACUGGGGUUAACCCCGAGUCAAACCUGGGCUGAUUAGCUUUGACUAAGCCCUGGGGCCCACUGGUCAGCGUCAGUAGGUGGGGAUUAGUGCCUAAUUAACAAAGCCACGUCAGCCCGCCGGAGUUCUGGCCGGCGGCGACCAAUAGCGCGGUGGCGACUCGCCGGACUUGCGCUACAAGCGGCGUUUGGUCGCGCGAAGACCACCGGGGCGUAGCCCGUCGUCGUCCGCAACCAGGGAAGCUGGUGGGGGGCUGCGGGGGCGCCGGAGCUCGUCGGAGCAAAGCUCGCGGCGGCGGCCGGAGCUCGGCGACUUGCGGCCGCGGCGUUGUGGUGCACGGCAGUGGAAGCGGAGGGCCCCUACGGCCUCCUGGCGUCACCAGGAACACGGUGACGCGCGCGGGAGUGGCUGGCUUGGGCUCAUGCCACCGUGGCGCCAUGGCCGGCGGCGAGGAACUCUCGGGCUCAACGGAGCCCGCAGUUGGAGGAAGAAAUCGGCAUCGGGGAGGGGGAGGUUCGGUGCGGGGCUCACAGCGAGACCAGCGAUCACGAGGGCGAGGUCGGGGAUGCCCGGUAGCUCCCGAAUCGACGGCGAGGAUCCACGGCGGCCGGAGGCGAAGUUGGCGACGGCGACGGCUCCACGGGGUGCUCCGUCUUGCGUGGCUCGACGAGGAGGUAGAGGGGGUCGCGGCGGAUCUGGGGAGCGUGUCGGGGAGGCGAGGGGAGGCCGGUGGCCGCGGCAACGGCGAGCGGCGGCGGUGAUGGCGCUCGGUGUGCGAGGGAGAGAGCAGGGGGAGAGGAGGAGGGUGAGGGAGAGUGCGAGAGGGGUCGGGGUGGCUGCGUGGCGUCUCCGGGGCAUCCAGACGAGGAGGGGAGAGGGCAGGCAGGCAGAGAGGGAGGUGGCUUGGCGCGGUGGCGCGCGCGCGCGCCGGGCACGCAGCUGCUUGGCGAGGUGGAGAAGACGACAGAGGAGGAGGCGGGCUGGGCCGGCCUGCUGCUGCUGGGCUGCACAGGGAGGAGGCCCAGGUAAGUCUCCCUCUUUUAUUUUUUUGUUUUCUAAUUUUUCUGACAUUUGUUUUGAUUUAAUUAAAAUAUUAAAUCAUUUUAUUUACUUAUGCCAUUUUUUAUGGAAGCUAGUUAUAUUAUUCCAGAGCUCCUUUAUAAAUGGCAUAAUUUUUGGACAUAUAUUUUAUAUAUAUAAUUUUAUAUAUCCAAGGCAAAUAAUUAUCGGUUUAAUCCAAAUGGCCAAAAUUAAAUACUUAUGCGAUCCUAAAAAUAUUGGUUUGAUUUUUAUCUCUGCCCAAUAUUUUCAGAGAGCAACAUGAGCAUUUUCUUGGACCCUUUUGGAGAAAUUUUUAUUUGGGUCAUUUUUAAAAAAUGAUUCUGAGGGUUCCACCAAUCCUCAUUUCAAAUUUAAAUGGAAUAUAAACAUGAUGCACAAAUGACUAGCUAGUCUAGGUCAUACCAGAACUAGGGAUGUGACAACUCGCCCCCACUUGAAAGAAUCUCGCCCCGAGAUUCAGGGGUCGACGGAAAGAAAGCGGGGUACUCCAGUCGAAGACGAUCUUCUCGCUCCCAAGUAGCUUCUCUCUCAGAAUGAUGAGACCACUGAACUUUGAGAAACUUGAUGUUAUGACGUCGGGUAACACGCUCUGCUUGAUCAAGAAUGCGAACCGGGUACUCUCGGUAGGUGAGGUUAUCUUGGAGAUCAAGCGUUUCGUGGUCCACUCCGCGGAUGGGAUCCGAGAAGCAACGCCUGAGUUGAGAGACGUGGAAGACAUCAUGAACUCGAGAAAGAUGUGGGGGUAGUUCCAAUUGGUAGGCAACCUCUCCUCGUUUAGCGAGAAUACGAAAAGGACCAAUGUAACGAGGAGCCAACUUGCCCUUGAUACCGAAACGAUGGGUACCCUUCAAAGGAGUAACCCGAAGGUAAGCUUUUUCGCCAACUUCAUAAGUCAUAUCCUUAUGAUGACGAUCAUACUGACUUUUCUGACGAGACUGGGCUGUUUUCAAAUUCUCACGAAUGAUGCGAACUUGCUCUUCUGCCUCCUGGAUCAUGUCCGGUCCAAAGAAUUGUCUUUCGCCGGUUUCUGACCAGUUCAAAGGUGUUCGACAUCUUCGUCCAUAGAGAACCUCAAAAGGAGCUUUCUUGAGGCUGGAUUGAUAGCUAUUGUUGUAAGCAAACUCGGCAAAAGGAAGACAUUUCUCCCAAUCCAUACCGAAUGAGAUAACGCAAGCUCUAAGCAUGUCCUCGAGAAUUUGGUUGACCCUUUCCACCUGACUACUUGACUGAGGGUGGAAAGCAGUACUAAAGGAAAGAUGGGUUCCCAUGGCAGUUUGGAAACUCUCCCAGAAAUGAGAAGUGAAAAGACUGCCACGGUCUGAAUUGAUCUCCAGUGGAACACCAUGGAGUGAUACUAUUCGAGAAAUGUAUAAGUCAGCAAGCUGACUAACAGUGAUACUCUCUCGAACAGGAAGGAAGUGAGCCACUUUGGAAAGUCGAUCAACGACUACGAAGAUAGCGUUAUUCCCUUUCUUGGUCCUGGGAAAGCCGGUGAUGAAGUCCAUACCAACUUUAUCCCAUUUCCACUCAGGAUUAGCUAAAGGCUGAAGAGUGCCAGCAGGCCUUUGAUGCUCUGCCUUAACGCGCCGACAAACGUCACAGUUAGCAAUAAACUGAGCGAUUUCUCUCUUCAUCCUAGUCCACCAGAACCUCUGGCGUAGGUCCUGAUACAUCUUAGUACUACCGAGAUGAAUCGUGAGAGGAGAUUCAUGCGCCUCCUUAAGAAUCAGUUGUCGAAGAUGUUGAUUCUUGGGAACCACCAAGCGAUUCUCAAAGAAAACAACACCACGAUCAUCCAUAGUGAAACAUCCACCAACUCCCUUCUUAAUGUUUCUCUUGAUCCGGGAAAUUCCUGUGUCUUGCUUUUGAGCUGCGAUAAUCUGAUCCUUAAGAUCAGGUUUCGCCACCAGGGUAGAAAGGAAUCCGUGAGGAGCAAUGUGAAGAUUAAGCUUACAGAAUUCCUCAUGGAGAAGUGGUUGGCCUUGCUGCAACAUGAGAUUGUUGCAAUAGGAUUUACGGCUUAGAGCAUCAGCCAUGACAUUGGCUUUGCCUGGGGUGUAAGUAAUCCCUAGAUCAUAAUCUGUGAUCAACUCCAACCAACGUCUUUGCCUAAGGUUUAGAUCCGGUUGGGUGAAGAUAUACUUGAGACUCUGGUGAUCGGUGUAGAUCUCGCAAUGUUUACCAAGUAGGUAAUGUCGCCAGGUCUUGAGUGCAUAGACUACGGCUGCAAGCUCUAGAUCAUGUGUAGGAUAAUUCUCCUCAUGUGGAUGCAACUGUCGAGAUGCAUAGGCAAUCACAUGACGAUCCUGCAUAAGAAUGCAACCUAGUCCCUGUCGUGAGGCGUCGCAGUAGAUAAUAAAGUCUUUAGUGAAAUCCGGUGGCACAAGUAUGGGAGUAGAAGUCAGGCGUCUUUUCAGUUCCUGAAAACUGUGUUCACACUGUGGGGACCACUCAAACUUUUUAUCUUUCUUGAGAAGUUCCGUGAGGGGUUUGGCUACUUUGGAGAAGUUUUCAACAAAGCGGCGACAAUAGCUGGCUAGACCAAGGAAACUCCUAACUUGUUUAACGGUCUUAGGUGGAGUCCAAUUGAGAACGGCCUUAACUCUCUCGGGGUUGACAGCAAUGCCCUUGCCAGAGAUUACGUGGCCAAGGUAGGUCACUUCUGGCAACCAAAAUUCACACUUGGAGAACUUGGCAUAAAGGCGGUGCUCUCUGAGUUUUUCUAACACAAGUCUAAGAUGUUCGGCAUGCUCUUCCUCGUUCUUCGAGUAAAUAAGAAUAUCAUCGAGGUAAACCACGACGAACUUAUCUAAGUACUCCAUGAAGAUCGAGUUCAUCAAGCGGGAGAAAGUAGAUGGAGCAUUGGUUAGGCCAAAGGACAUGACGGUGUACUCGUACUGGCCAUAACGAGUGACAAAAGCUGUCUUGAGAAUGUCCCCGUUUCUGAUCUUGAUUUGGUGGUAGCCUAACCUUAAAUCCAUCUUGGAGAAGACUGAGGAUCCAGCGAGCUGAUCAUACAGGUCGUUGAUCCUGGGGAGCGGAUACUUGUUCUUUAUCGUAACCAAAUUAACGGGGCGAUAAUCUACAACCAUCCGAUCCGUACCAUCCUUCUUCUUGACGAAGAGGACGGGGCAAGCCCAAGGAGAAGAACUGGGACGGAUGAAACCCUUUUGCAAGGACUCAUCAAGUUGUUUCUUAAGCUCGGCUAGUUCUAAGGGUGCCAUCUUGUAGGGUCUCCUAGAGAUUGGAGCAGUUCCUGGGAUAAGAUCUAUGAAAAACUCUACAUCUCUGUCAGGCGGAACACCUGGCAGUUCCUCUGGAAAGACAUCCGGAAAGUCACGGACUACCGGAAUAUCUUCAAGGUCUGGAAGAGGGCUGGCAUUAAGGGAAUAGAGCUGACGCUUUGCAACUCUAGUGGAGACAGUGACUAUCUUGCCAGAUGGGUGUGUGAGCUGAACAGCCCUGGUGAAACAAUCAAUCUUGGCAUGAUGAGCUGUCAUCCAGUCCAUACCCAAGAUGAUGUUAAUAUCCGAAGACUUGAGAGAUAUCAAGGAAGCAAGGAAUACAAGUCUGUCAACAAGGAUUUCAUUGCCAUAACUUAUCCUAGAAGUUUGCCAUUUGGAUCCAGGAGUUUGAAUAACUAGUGGGGAGGGCAUAUCACAAAAUGACAUGUCGUGCAAACGGGCAUAGCUUUCAGAAAUGAAGGAAUGAGACGCUCCAGUAUCGAACAAAACCGAUGCUGGAUGACAGUUGACAAGGAGUGUACCAAGAACGGCAUCUGGAUCAUCAUGAACGUCUUUAGCUGAGACGUGAUGCACACGUCCAUGUUCAGUGGGAGCUGACUUGGCACUGAUCAUCUUGCGUGAUGGCUUACCAUGGCCAAUAGACUUCUCGGGCUGGAGUGGAGCAACUCGGGUCUGAGUGCAAAUACGGGCAAUGUGGCCUAGCUCUCCGCACUUGUAACAAAUCUUGGAGGUAGGAUGUGGACCUGCAUUGGAAGGCGGUCCACCAAUAGACUUGGGUGGAGCAUACUGCUGAACUUGAUGAGGUGCCACAUAAGAUGGCCUCGGUACAUAUUCGGUAGGAAGAGCGGAGUUCGGAACCCAAAUCUGGCGCUUCUGAGAGCUAGAACCGGAGGAAGAUCCCAAAUCACGAGUGUGCUUAGGAGACUCCUCGUAAGUGAGUCGAGUUGUCUCUGCAUUAAUGGCCUUGUUCACAAGGGCUUGGAAUGUAUCACAAUGAUGCAGGUGGAGAUCACGACGCAACUUGGGGUUGAGACCCUUCCGGAACCUAGCCUGCCUCUUGGCGUCCGUGGACACCUCUUUUGUGGCAUAACGGGCGAGGUUCUCAAACUCUCUACUAUAGGCAUCAACAGCCAUCUUACCCUGGGUGAAACUACAGAACUCUUCUCUCUUGCGAUCAAUGAGGGCUUCAGGAAUGUGAUGCUCGCGAAAAGCCUCAACGAAAUCCCUCCAGGUGGAAGUCUGACCAGCUGGAAGCAUAGCCUCAUAGUUCUGCCACCAAAGACUAGCAGGACCUUCCAGGUGGUAUGUGGCAUAAGUGACCUUGUCAUCUUCAUCUACGUUCGCGGAAUGCAGCUUAUGGGUGAUGCUACGGAGCCAGUCAUCUACAUCGAGUGGCUCAAUGGGAUGAUGAAAGGUGGGUGGGUGCAAGCGGAUAAAGUCAUGAAUGGUCACAGAUCCUUUGAACUGAUGUGUGGUGUUCUCCUCGAUACGUGCCAACAAGCGGUUAGACUCACGCUUGUUCCUCUCCAUCUCUAGCAUGAACUCUGUCAACGAAGGCUGGUCGGGAGGAUCCUCAUCCCUACCAUCUCCGUGGUUCUGGCUACGAGCAACGGAACUUCGCUUAGCUGAUGACAUCCUGAGAAACGAACCAAGGACGGAAUCAGCAUCAACUAUGGACUGUAGAAUGUAGGACAAGGAAUUAGUAUCUCUCGAACUCCUAGGGAAAUUUCGGCAGCAUAACGGCAGUAAAAUGCUCAGAAUGAGACAUCCUACUAAAAAUGGGGUGGUAACAUACUCAUCAGCAUUACUCAAGGUUCUGAGAUCAUACUAAACAGACUACACCGGAAAUACUCAAAACUAGGGUAUAACUCUGAUCAACCAAUCCUAUGGGACUACGGAGUAGUAACACGUGAUCCUGAUAGACGGAAGAGAAAGCCUAGUUCCUUAACCCCGUAGAAAAGAUAGGAUGACUCGGAUAAGAAGACCAAGAGGUAUAAGGAGUAAAAAGAGCCUUACGUUCCAACCCACAAUCAAUUCCCUUACAUAACUAAAGAUUUUCUAGACUCAACUUCGACCGGUUUGGCUUGGUAAUCCUACAGGCAGUCAGGCUCUGAUACCAACGCUGUCAGGACCCCGACUCAAUGCCACAUCGAUCUAGCAUGUAACACCUCAUAUCACUUUGCGGCCUCACGCGCGGUAUCCCCACGGGUGUCGCCUUACCUUUGCCCGGGACCGUUUGCGCCUUUUGGCACACGUAUAUGAUGGUGUCGCUAGCAUCCAUAUGAUAAAGAGCCCGGGCUGACAUGGCUAGUUGUAAACCCGAAGUGGCACAAACUUACAGGGACAGGCAUCCAUGACCCAGCAUCGAACGUGUCCGUCAUCAGCGAGAGAAUCCAGGCUGUAGCACUGGGCUAACAGGACUCCGGUGAACCGGGCUGUAGCGGGCUAACAGGACUCCGGUAUUCAUCGCGUGACAUUUCCCCGAAGGGACAGACACAGGAUCGAAGAAGGACACAUGCCGGCCAGCCUAAGUGUUCCGGAGCAGUAGCAAGCUACCAGGGCUCAGUGGAAGCACUAGGAGACAUUUCCCGGUAAGAGAGGCUACUAAGGAUAAACAACUAGAUAGUCAGAUCCCACACAUAGCAAUACACAUUACACGUACGCAUAACAUGCAAGUAUGUGCUGUACAACAUGGCAUCACAGCAUAACUCAACAACUCAUAUAGAUAAAGGCUCAGAAGAGCCAACAUAGCAAUAUUACAACGAGGGGUCACAUGACCCAACAUUCAGAGCAAUCAAGCAACAAACGGAAGCAUUACAUGUCUGAGUACAGACAUCUAUAAAUGAAAAAGGCUGAAAGCCUGACUAUCUACAACGUCCGAUCAAGAUCGUAGCUGAGCUACUAGAUACUAGUCGAAGUCCACGAGAUCACUAAUAAGACCGAAGUCUCCGCUGGAAAAACAUAAAUAAAGCAACAUGAGUACAAAGGUACUCAGCAAGACUUACAUCAGGUCCUAUCAUACAUGCAUCUGUAUCAAGAGGGUAAUGUGGGGUUUAGUUGCAGCAAGCCAGCUUUGACUCUGUGGCUAUCCUGUUCUACGACUACCAGAAACUCUUGAGGUGAUUUGGCGCACACGAGUCCACUAAUCACCACACAAUACACUACUAUGGAUUCAUCCCCGUCUCCCUACGAGAAGGCCAUCCAUAGCACUCACACUUGUCUUGAGCAUUUUAGGGUAUCCACUUCAAGUUGUCUAUGUACCAUGUAAGCAUCCAAGAAGUCCAUAACCGCGGACCCGGCUAUUCGAAUAGAUCAUGUUAACCCUGCAGGGGUGUACUUCUUCACACACGCUCUCGCCACUUACCGCAAUGUACACGUCAUGUAUCUCGGCAACCUUCAAGCGGAAGCCUGGCGAGGGUGUCGGCCACGACCUUACUAACCACACAAGGCUCUAAUCCAGGUUUAUCGCCUAUUCGGGUUCCAUCCGCAAGGAGAUCCGGCCAGGGUUUCACUCACGGCCCCAAAUGAUGUGUGCAGGGUUCCCAAGCCCACCUCGCCGGAUGGAUCUACGCUUGGUACACCGUGCCACUUGUGCCUAGUCUGUCCCAAGCCCACCUGGCCGGGUGCCACUUGGUAGACUACUAACACUGCCUACAAACACCAGAAACUAGUUGCGACUCCUGGACAGAGAUCAAGUUGGUUAAUAAGUCGAGAGGGCUUGGAGCGCCCGGAGCCCAAUGUGUGGUAGUAUCGAGUCAUUGGACAACAUACAUAGAACUCAGUGCUUAAGGACGGUUCCAGUGAGACAACCCACCAUGUACUCCUACAUGGCCUCUCACCGCUACCUUUACCAAAUCGUGUUCACACACUUAACUCUCAGCACCAGAAUAUAUCGUAACACUCCAAUUCAUUCCCCUGACACAACUCUAAGCAAUAGCAGGCAUAGCAUGGUAGGAACACAACAUGGCUCAAUCAACUCCUACACAUGCUAGUGGGUUUCAACUAUUUACUGUGGCAAUGACAGGUCAUGCAGAGGAAUGGGUUCAACUACCGCAGCACAAAGUAGCAGAUGAAUCGUUGUUGUCCUAAUGCAAUAACUGAGAGCAGGAGCGAGAGAGUAGGAUUGUAUCGGAAUGAACAAGGGGGUUUGCUUGCCUGGUAAAUCAACAAGGGAGGCACUGAUUCAUAGACAGGUACUCUGGAACACCUCCGGAGCAGGACCUAUCGAGAAGGAACGGUGCCAACAAUCAAAACACAAGCAUAUGCAACACAAUGAUGCAUGAACAUGGCAUGAAGAUGUGAUGCUGAUUGUGCUAAUGCAACUAGUACUCAUUUUGUUUGAAGUCCAUUUGAACCAAAGGUUCAAAUGCAUCUCCAAGAUAAGCUCCCAUAUAUGCCAUAAUGUGUUUUCUCAUAUUCAGCAUGUAUAAGUUGGUUUGUCAGGCAUGAAACUAGUACAGAUGGAAAGAUUGCAUUUUUCUGAUAAUUUUUCAUAUAUAAAUUAUUUUAAUCUGAGCUACGGUUGAAUUGAUAUGAAUUUUUGAAGUUUAAAACAAUUUCUGGAAUUUCCUGAUUUAAUUUAAAUCCAGAAAUCAUAUUAUUGCGCCAGCAUGACGUCAGCAUGACGUCAGCAGUCAACUGCGGCUGACCGGGGUCAAACCUGACGUAUGGGGUCCACACGUCAGUGACACUGGGGUUAACCCCGAGUCAAACCUGGGCUGAUUAGCUUUGACUAAGCCCUGGGGCCCACUGGUCAGCGUCAGUAGGUGGGGAUUAGUGCCUAAUUAACAAAGCCACGUCAGCCCGCCGGAGUUCUGGCCGGCGACGACCAAUAGCGCGGCGGCGACUCGCCGGACUUGCGCUACAAGCGGCGUUUGGUCGCGCGAAGACCACCGGGGCGUAGCCCGUCGUCGUCCGCAACCAGGGAAGCUGGUGGGGGGCUGCGGGGGCGCCGGAGCUCGUCGGAGCAAAGCUCGCGGCGGCGGCCGGAGCUCGGCGACUUGCGGCCGCGGCGUUGUGGUGCACGGCAGUGGAAGCGGAGGGCCCCUACGGCCUCCUGGCGUCACCAGGAACACGGUGACGCGCGCGGGAGUGGCUGGCUUGGGCUCAUGCCACCGUGGCGCCAUGGCCGGCGGCGAGGAACUCUCGGGCUCGACGGAGCCCGCGGUUGGAGGAAGAAAUCGGCAUCGGGGAGGGGGAGGUUCGGUGCGGGGGCUCACAGCGUGACCAGCGAACGCGAGGGCGAGGUCGGGGAUGCCCGGUAGCUCCCGAAUCGACGGCGAGGAUCCACGGCGGCCGGAGGCGAAGUUGGCGAUGGCGACGGCUCCAUGGGAUGCUCCGUCUUGCGUGGCUCGACGAGGAGGUAGAGGGGGUCGCGGCGGAUCUAGGGAGCGUGUCGGGGAGGCGAGGGAGGCCGGUGGCCGCGGCAACGGCGAGCGGCGGCGGUGAUGGCGCUCGGUGUGCGAGGGAGAGAGCAGGGGGAGAGGAGGAGGGCGAGGGAGAGUGCGAGAGGGGUCGGGGUGGCUGCGUGGCGUCUCCGGAGCAUCCAGACGAGGAGGGGAGAGGGCAGGCAGGCAGAGAGGGAGGUGGCGUGGCGCGGUGGCGCGCGCGCGCCGGGCACGCAGCUGCUUGGCGAGGUGGAGAAGACGACAGAGGAGGAGGCGGGCUGGGCCGCCUGCUGGCUGGGCCUGCCUGCUGCUGCUGGGCUGCACAGGGAGGAGGCCCAGGUAAGUCUCCCUCUUUUAUUUUUUUGUUUUCUAAUUUCUCUGACAUUUGUUUUGAUUUAAUUAAAAUAUUAAAUCAUUUUAUUUACUUAUGCCAUUUUUUAUGGAAGCUAGUUAUAUUGUUCCAGAGCUCCUUUAUAAAUGGCAUAAUUUUUGGACAUAUAUUUUAUAUAUAUAAUUUUAUAUAUCCAAGGCAAAUAAUUAUCGGUUUAAUCCAAAUGGCCAAAAUUAAAUACUUAUGAGAUCCUAAAAAUAUUGGUUUGAUUUUUAUCUCUGCCCAAUAUUUUCAGAGAGCAACAUGAGCAUUUUCUUGGACCCUUUUGGAGAAAUUUUUAUUUGGGUCAUUUUUAAAAAAUGAUUCCGAGGGUUCCACCAAUCCUCAUUUCAAAUUUAAAUGGAAUAUAAACAUGAUGCACAAAUGACUAGCUAGUCUAGGUCAUACCAGAACUAGGGAUGUGACACUCCGCAUAAGAUUUAGUCCUUUUAUUUAUAGGGAUAUCAUCAAGACUUAAUUUUCCAACACAAUUGAAAAACUCUUGGACAUGUUCUUUUACCAUAAAAUUCCCUUGCCCCGAAACAAAAGUUUUGGCAUCCAGAUACUCGUACGCUCCACUUUAGGAGUUAGGCCAUCAUCUGUUUCUGCCAUACCGAAGUCACUCAUGGUGACAAGUUCAAGCAAAUAAAAGAUCUGACGAGAAAACGGUGAAUGAAAAAUAGGGCGAAUAAAAUGGCAAAUUUUUGUGAAGUGAGGGAGAGGAAAACGAGAGGCAAAUGGCAAAUAAUGUAAAUUGCGAGGAGAUAAGAUUUGUGAUUAGGGACCUGGUUGAUGUUGAAGAUCCUCCCCGGCAACAACACCAGAAGGCAUGUUGAUGGAAGACUAUCUUGAGGUGAUGCUACCCAGCAACGGCACCAGAAAUUCCUUUUGAUAUCUACUAGAACUACGUCGGUAUUUCCCAAAAGAGGAAGGGAUGAUGCAAUAUAGCGACGGUAGGUCCUCAGUGAUGAGACAAAGGUUAUCGAACCAGUAGGAGAACCUCCUCACACCACGUAAACAUCACCUACACACAAAUAACAAAAACUCGCAACCCGACGUGUUAAAGGGCUGUCAAUCCCUUUCGGGUACGACGCUCAAGUAGGCAAAUACCCAUGAGGUAAAAAGUGGUAGAUAGGAUAAAUAGAUCGCGUAACAAAUAAAUUGCAGUAGGGUAUUUUUUUAUUUUUGUUUUAAUAGAUCUGAAAAUAAAUGCAAAGGAAAAUAUAGAGCAAAGAAAAAUAUGAUGAAAAUAGAACCGGGGGCCUUAGGUUUCACUAGUGGCUUCUCUCGAGAAAAAUAGAAAAUGAUGGGAAAACAAUUACUAUUGGGCAAUUGAUAGAACUUCAAAUAAUCAUGACGAUAUCCAGGAAAUGAUCAUUAUACAUGCAUCACAUCGAAGAUUAGUAGACCGACUCCUGCCUACAUCUACUACUAUUACUCCACACAUCGACCGCUAUCCAGCAUCCAUCUAGUGUAUCAAGUUCAUGAGAAAACGGAGUAAUGCAAUAAGAACGAUGACAUGAUGUAGAAGAGAUCUAUUGCGGCAGAUAUAGAUUUCAUCUUGUUAUCCUUAGUAGCAACGAUACAUACGUGUCGGUUCCCCUUCCAUCACUGGGAUCAAGCAUCAUAAGAUAAAACCCACUACAAAGCACCUCUUCCCAUUACAAGAUAAAUAUAUCAAGUUGGCCAAACAAAACCCAAAUAUCGGAGAAGAAAUACGAGGCUAUAAGCAAUCAUGCAUAUAAGAGAUCAAAGAAGAGUCAAAUAACUUUAUGGAUAAAAACAUAGAUCUGAUAAUAAACUCAAAGUUCAUUGGAUCCCAGCAAACACACCGCCAAAAGACUUACAUCAUAUGGAUCUCUUAGAGACCAUUAUACUGAUAAUCAAGAGAGAUAGAGAGGAAGCCAUGUAGCUACUAACUACGGACCCAUACGUUUACAAGAACUACUCACGCAUCAUAGGAGAGGCACCAACGGAAGUGGUGAACCCCUCCAAGACGGUGUCUAGAUUGGAUCUUGUGGUUCUGGACUCUGCGGCAGAUGGAUCUAUAUUCCGUCGACUCCCCUAGGGUUUCUGGAAUAUUGUGGUAUUUAUAGAGCAAACAGGUGGUUCCGGGGCACCCGAGGUGGGCACAACCCCCUAGGCCGCGCCCUGGUGGGUGCUGCUCACCUCGAGCAGCCCCUCAGGUGUUUCCUUGGCCAAUUGGCUUUCUUCUAGCCCCAAAAAAAUUCUCCAGGAGUUGCAUUGUGUUUGGACUCCAUUUGAUAUUGCUUUCCUGUAAUGUUAAAAACAUGCUAAAAAUAACAACUAGCACUGGGCACUAUGUCAAUAGGUUAGUACCAAAAAAUGAUAUAAAAUGAUUGUAAAACAUCCAAGAAUGAUAAUAUAACAUAAUGGAACAAUAAAAUUUAUAGAUACGUUGGAAAUGUAUCACCCACCUACCUUCCGUCAUUCCAUUGAGCCACUUGAUGCAGAUGACUGGCUCCAUAGCAUCACUCAUAAUCUGCGUUCCGCUAUCGUGGUCGAAGGUGAUAAGGUCACCUAUGACACAUAUCACUUGGAGGGUCCUGCUAGUCUUUGGUGGCUGAACUAUGAGGCUAUGAUUCCAGCUGGCCAUAAGCCUACUUGGUGAGAUUUCACCGAGGCUUUUUGUGAGCAUCACAUUCGUUAGGCCAUCAUUGAUCGCAAGAGAGAAGAGUUCUGUAGUUUCACAUAGAGUAAGAUUGUUGUUGAUGAUUAUAGUAGUGAGUUUGAGAACUUAGCCCGGUAUGCUACAGAGGAUGUGUCCACGGACACCAAGAAGCAGGCUAGGUUCCGAAAGGGUCUCAACCCUAAGUUGCGUCGUGAUCUUCACUUGCACCAUUGCAAUACAUUCCAGGCUCUUGUGAACAAGGCCAUAAUUGCAGAGCUAGCUUAGUUCACUUACGAGGAGCCUCGUAAGCACACUCGUGAUUUGGGUUCUUCCUCUGGCUCUAGCUCUUAGAAGCACCGCAUUUGGGUUUUGAACUCUGCUCUUCCACCCGGGUAUGCACCAAGGCCAUCUUAUGUCGCGCCUCACCCAGGUCAGUUGUAUGGUCCACCUAGGCCUAUUGGUAGACUGCCUGUCAAUGCGGGUCCAUGUUCUACUUCAAGGACUUGCUUCACAUGCAGAGAGCCAGGACACUAUGCACGUGACUGAUCUCAGGCCAGUUAUGCUCCAUCCUAGCCUGAGAAAGUCUGUUGGCCGUGGUAAGCCAUCUUCCAAGAUGAUUAGUGCCAAUCCAACUCCCAUUGAACAUGGACGUGUGCAUCACAUCUCAGCUAAAAACGCGCAUGAUGAUCCGGAUGUCGUUCUUGGUACACUCCUCGUCAAUUGCCAUCCAACAUUGGUUCUUUUCGAUACUGGAGCAUCUCACUCCUUCAUCUCUGAAGGCUAUGCUUGUUUCCAUGACAUGUCAUUUUGUGAUAUGCCAACUCCACUUGAAAUCCAAACUCCAGGAUCUGGAUGGCAUAAUACCAGCGUAAGCUAUGGCAAUGAAAUCCUCGUUGACAAACUUGUAUUCCUUGUAUCACUUAUAGCUCUCAAAUCUUCAUACAUCACCAUCAUCCUGGGUAUGGACUGGAUGACAGCUCAUCCUGCCAAGAUUGAUUGUUACACCAGGUCUGUUCAGCUCACACAUCCAUCUGGCAAGAUAGUCACUGUCUCCACUAGAGUUGCAAAGCGUCAACUCUAUUCUCUUAAUGCCACCCCUCUUUGAGGCCUUGAAGAUAUCCAUGUAGUAUGUGACUUUCUGGAUGUCUUUCCAGAAGAACUGCCAGGCAUUCCACCUGAUAGAGAUGUAGAGUUUGUCAUAGAUCUUAUCCCAGGAACCGCCCCAAUUUCUAGGAGACCUUAUAACAUGGCACCCUUUGAGCUAGCUGAACUUAAGAAACAACUUGGCGAUUCCCUGCAAAAGGGUUUUAUCCGUCCUAGUUCUUCUCCUUGGGCUUGUCAUGUCCUCUUCAUCAAGAAGAAGGAUGGUACGGAUCGGAUCGUUAUGGAUUAUCAUCCCGUUAACUUGGUUACGAUAAAGAACAAGUAUCCCCUCCCCCGGAUCAACGACCUGUAUGAUCAACUCGUUGGAUUGUCUUUAUUUUCCAAGAUGGAUUUGAGGUUAGGCUACCACCAAAUUAAGAUCAGAAAUGGGGACAUUCCUAUGACGGUUUUUGUCACUCGUUUUGCCCACUAUGAGUACACUGUCAUGUUCUUCAGUCUAACCAAUGCUCUAGCUACAUUCUCACGCCUGAUGAACUCAAUCUUCAUGGAGUACUUAGAUAAGUUCGUCGUGGUUUACCUCGAUGACAUUCUUAUAUAUUCGAAGAACAAGGAAGAGCAUGCCAAAUAUCUUAGACUUGUGCUAGAAAAACCCACAAAGCACUGCCUUUAUGCCAAGUUUUCCAAGUGUGAAUUUUGGUUGCCAGAAGUGACCUAUCUGGGCCACAUGAACUCUGGUAAGGGCAUUGGUGUCAAUCCCUAGAGAGUUAAGGCCAUCCUGGAUUGGACUCCACCUGAGUUGGUUAAGAAAGUUAGGAGUUUCCUUGGUCUAGCCAGUUAUUGUCACUGCUUCAUUGAGAACUUCUCCAAAGUGGGCAAACCUCUCAAGGAACUUCUCAAGAAAGAUAGAAAGUUUGAGUGGUCCCCAUAAUGUGAGCACAGUCUUUAAGAACUGAAAAGAUGCCUGGCUUCUGCUCCCAUACUUGUGCCACCGGAUUUCACUAAGGCCUUUGUUAUCUACUGCGACACCUCACGACAGGGACUAGGUUGCAUUCUUAUGCAGGAUCACCAUGUAAUUGCAUAUGCAUCUCGAUAGUUGCAUCCAGAUGAGCAGAAUUAUCCAACACAUGAUCUAGAGCUUGAAGUCGUAGUCUAUGCACUUAAGACAUGGCGACAUUACCCGCUUGGUAAAUGUUGUGAGAUCUACACCGAUCACCGGAGUAUGAAGUAUAUAUUCAACCAACCAGACUUGAACCUUAGGCAAAGACGUUGCUUGGAGUUGACCUCGGAUUACGACUUAGGGAUCAGUUACACCCCAGGCCAUGCCAAUGUCAUGACUGAUGGACUAAGUCACAAGUCCUACUGCAACAAUCUCACGUUGCACCUGGGCUAACAACUUCUCCAUGAGGAAUUAUGUACGCUUAACCUUAACAUUGCUCCUCGCGGAUCCCUUUCUACUUUGGUGAUGAAAUCUACACUUGACGAUCAGAUCAUUACUGACCAGAAGUUUGAUAAGGGUGUUAUUCCGCAUCAAGAGAAACAUUAAGAAGGGAGUUGGUGGAUGUUUCUAUAUGGAUAAUCGAGGUGUUGUUUUCUUUGAGAAUCGCUUGGUGGUUCCCAAGAAUCAACAUCUGCAACAACUGAUCCUUAAGGAGGCUCAUGAAUCUCCUCUCACGAUUCAUCUCGGUAGUACUAAGAUGUAUCAGGACCUACGCUAGAGGUUUUGGUGGACGAGGAUGAAGAGAGAAAUCGCUGAGUUCAUUGUUAACUGCGAUAUUUGUCGUCUCAUUAAGGUAGAACAUAAGAGGCCUACUGGCACCUUUCAUCCUUCAGCUAUUCCCGAGUGGAAAUGGGAUAAAGUUGGUACGGAUUUCAUCACCAGCUUUCCGAGGACCAAGGGAGGGAAUAAUGCUAUCUUCGUAGUCAUUGAUCGUCUCUCCAAAGUGGCUCACUUCCUACCUGUUCGAGAGAGUAUCACUGCUAGUCAGCUUGCAGACUUAUAUAUUUCUCGAAUUGUAUCACUACAUGGUGUCCCACUAGAGAUCAAUUCAAACCGUGGUAGUCUUUUCACUUCUCAUUUCUGGGAGAGUUUCCAGACUGCCAUGGGAACCCAUCUUUCCUUCAGUGCACUUUCCACCCUCGGUCAAGUGGUUAGGUGGAAAGGGUCAACCAAAUUCUUGAAUACAUGCUUAGAGCUUGUGUUAUCUCAUUUCGUCUCGAUUGGGAGAAGUGUCUUCCUUUCGCCGAGUUUGCUUAUAACAAUAGAUACCAAUCCAACCUUAAGAAAGCACCCUUUGAGAUUCUGUAUGGACAAAGAUGUCGAACACCUUUGAAUGGUCAUAAACUAGGGAAAGACUAUUCUUUGGAAUGGUAUGAUCCAGGGAGCAGAAGAGCAAGUUUGCAUCAUUCGUGAGAAUUGGAAAACAGGCCAGUCUUGUUAAAAGAGCAAGUAUGACCGUCUUCAUAAGGAUGUGGCUUAUGAAGUUGGCGGCAAGGCUUAUCUUCUUGUUACUCCUUUUAAGGGUAGCCAUCGUUUAGGUACCAAGGGCAAGUUGGCUCCUUGUUACAUUGGUCCUUUUCGCAUUCUCACUAAACAAGGCGAGGUUGCCUACUAAUCAGAAAUACCCCCACUGUAGUGACCAGACCUCAAACAUUCUGAUCUCUGUGCAUCAGUGUCAUCCCUAGAUCGGUAAUGCUGACACGCACAAUACUUGAAGGAUUUAUAAUAGAGUAGCAAUCACACACUUAUUACAUCGAAUGUCUCACAAGAGAACUUAUUACAAUAAAUAUGGCUUAAGGCCAUCUAAAUACGAUAACUGCGGAAGGCUUGGAAGAUAGAGCGAGUCCAUCAACUACAACGGCAUCACUGAGUGAAAGAUCACGACCUAAGGCACCUUACUCGUUGUCUGAAAAGUCUGCAACAUGAACGUUGCAGCCCGAAAAUGGGUCAACACAUGGAAUAUGCUGGCAAUGUAACACAUAGAGAGUAAUGAACAGAAUAAGGCUAUCACUACAUGCAUAUAUGGCUCGUGGAAAGCUCUAUGGUUACAGUUUUGCAUAAAGCCAAUUUUUUCCUACAACAAAGUAAUAAAGUUUUACUUAACUAUCAUGGUGGUUGUUAAACAUUGAGAAGGUAAUCCCCCUCUCAAUCCCAAUUAAGCAUCAUCAUUAAACCAAACAAAUUAAAUUAAAUAACAUGAUGAGAUUCACAUGAUAAUCCAAGUACUAGAUACUCAAAACGUCCAUAACCGGGGACACGACUAACCAUGAUUAGUUUGUACACUCUGCAGAGGUUUGCACACUUUUCCCCACAAGACUCGAUCUCCUCCAUUGGAUUCUCGCACUACAUGUUGUUUGAGAAAUGGAUGACCGAGACAUAGUCUUUCAGAAGCGUUUGCACCUUACGAUGGGUAGACAGGACCACCUACAUCCCCUACAUCUUCUAGUCUACCACUGUAAGAGUUCACACGACAUAAUCAACUAUGCUAGAGCCCGUAGUAGCUUGCGGCUGCACACGGAAGUUUCUAGCAUGAAAAAUCUCAUGAUCCCUUUGAGCCUGGGUUGCAGUCCAUAGGAGAAUCACAUGGUACCCUGGGAUUUCCAAAAAUACAGGCAACACUGGGUUCCCCAAGUGCCUCAAUCCACCCAGAUGUGUAUUAAAGUUGCCACCUUAAGUUGAACCAUUAAUUAACAAUACUCACAUCUGUCAUGGAUACACUCACCCAAUCCACAUCUACAAGCAUAGCAUAGCAAUAUAAGCAAACGUAGAAGUAACUCCGAAAGGUUUGAUAAUAAAAAGGACAAUAGGUGCUACCUCAUCUACUUCCCAAAAUCCACAUAUUAAUCAGAUCCUAACCAUGAAAUUGUUUGAGGAUUGAUCUAAUGCAAUAAAACUGAGUAGUAAAGAGGUAUGAUCAAAGUGUUACUUGCCUUGCUAAUGAUCCGUGAAACCUAGACACUCCUAGUAGCAUGUUGCGCACUCCGGGUACUCUAUCGUAAACAAACAAGCAUACAAUAAGAACUCAUAUAAUGCACUUCUAAAUCUCAAAUAAGAGGUCUAACUAGAAUUGUUCAACUCAAGAACUCCAUUUUGCAAAAAGAAUCAAACCAAAAGAAGCAACAAAACUCAAACGGCGAAAGAAACAAGCUUCGUCUACUAAUCUGGACCUAAGUCAAAUUUUACUGUUGCAAAAACUUGUUUAAGUUGGUUAAACAGAAAGAGGGCUUCAAGACAAAACUCCAGGCGCUUGAAUCGCCUGAUUCUGAUAAAUGAGCGAAAAGAUAAACUAAAACGAAAAUCAGAGCAGAAAUGUCGAUCGAAAAUAAUCGCGGAAAAUCCCUGGAAAAAGAAAAACUAACGAACAGGCUACCGAACGAACGUUCGCUGUCUGCGGUAAAACGGUGAAGAUCGUUCUAUAAAACGAACGAACAAACGGGAAAAAAAAAUAAAACCGAUCUAAAAAAAUAAAUCAGGGUUCCUAAAAAAAACAACGGUUUUCUCUUGAAAACUGCGGCGGCGGUGGUGGCUACCUCCGGCGGUNNNNNNNNNNNNNNNNNNNNNNNNNNNNNNNNNNNNNNNNNNNNNNNNNNNNNNNNNNNNNNNNNNNNNNNNNNNNNNNNNNNNNNNNNNNNNNNNNNNNNNNNNNNNNNNNNNNNNNNNNNNNNNNNNNNNNNNNNNNNNNNNNNNNNNNNNNNNNNNNNNNNNNNNNNNNNNNNNNNNNNNNNNNNNNNNNNNNNNNNNNNNNNNNNNNNNNNNNNNNNNNNNNNNNNNNNNNNNNNNNNNNNNNNNNNNNNNNNNNNNNNNNNNNNNNNNNNNNNNNNNNNNNNNNNNNNNNNNNNNNNNNNNNNNNNNNNNNNNNNGGGCGGAGUCCGGGCCGAAUACGGCCUGAAGUCGGUUUGACUUUUUUUUAAAAUAAUUCCAACAUGCAGAAAAAGAAAGAAAAGAAAUACUAAACGAACUCCAAAAAUUCCAAACUAAAUUUUCCCCGUCAUCUAAAAAUAUGUCAGACAAGGUGAACCUUUACUUGGGCCUAAAAUGCAAUUUUGAAAAAUGCACAUUUUUCCUAAUUCAAAUAAAAUAGCGAUAAAACUCUGAAAUAAAAUCUUAUUUGAUUUUAUUAUUAAAUCUCCAAUAUUCCUUUAUUUUGGGAAAGUCAUUUUAUUCCCUCUCUUUUAUUUUUAUAAAAGAAAUAUACAAAGAUAAAAUAAUAAAAAUCAAACGAUGCUCUUUUCAAAAUUUGAGAAAACUCAAAUAUGAAAAUAACGAAAUCCCCAACUCUCUCCAUAGGUCCUUGAGUUGCGUAGAAUUUCUAGGAUCAAACCAAAAUGCAAUAAAUAUGAUAUGCAAAGAUGAUCUAAUGUACAACAUUCCAAAUUGAAAAUUUGGGAUGUUACAAACCUACCCCCCUUAAGAUGAAUCUCGCCCUCGAGAUUCGGGUUGGCUAGAAAAUAGGUGAGGGUGGUCCUUCCGUAGGUCUUCCUCUCCCUCCCAGGUGGCUUCAUCCUCGGUAAGGUGGCUCCACUUAACUUUGCAGAACUUGAUAACCUUGCUGCGCGUCACUCUACUGGCAAACUCGAGAAUCUUGACUGGUUUCUCCUCAUAGGUCAAAUCGCUAUCCAAGUGACCAGUGGCACUGUAUCUCUCAGAGGGAUAUCGGCCAUCUCUGGGUGGCACUUAUUCAACUGAGAAACGUGGAACACAUCAUGAACUCUUGACAAUCCUUCAGGCAAUUCCAAUUUGUAAGCAACUUCUCCCAUACGUUCCAAAACUUUGUAUGGUCCCACAAAACAUGGUGCUAACUUUCCCUUAACUCCAAAAUGCUUAACUCCUCGAAGUGGGGACACAUGAAGAUAAACUCUAUCUCCGACUUUGUAAACUGUCUCCUUGCGUUUAGAAUCCGCAUAGCUCUUUUGCCUGGACCGGGCUACCUUGAGUCUAUCACGAAUCAACUUAACCUUCUCUUGAUACUCUUUAAUCAAAUCUGGUCCAAACAACUAACGGUCUCCAACUUCAUCCCACAACAACAGUGUCCUGCACCUCCUUCCGUACAGAGCUUCAAAAGGGGUCAUCUUCAAACUGGAUUGAUAACUAUUGUUGUACGAGAACUCUGCAUAAGGUAAAUUGUCGUCCCAACUAGAUCCAUAAUCUAGCGCACAAGCUCUCAACAUGUCCUCCAGAAUCUGAUUGACUCUCUUGGUCUGUCCAUCUGUCUGUGGAUGAAAGGCUGUACUGAACUCUAGCCUAGUACCCAAAGUUUCGUGCAAGUGAUUCCAGAACUUUGAGGUGAACCGGGUUCCUCUAUGUGAUACAAUGGUCCUCGGAACUCCAUGCAUACAUACGAUCCUAGUCAUGUAUAUCUUGGCCAAUUUUCACUGGUGUAAGUGGUCUUCCCUGGGACGAAAUGAGCUACCUUUGUCAAAAAAUCAAGUACAACCCAUAUCGAGUCAUAGCCUGAACAUGUCCUGGGCAAUCCCAUGAUAAAAUCCAUGCCUAGUUUAUCCCACUCCAUUCGGGUAUCGGCAAUGGCUGUAGCAAUCCUGAUGGCUUCUGAUGCUCUGCCUUUACUCUCUGACAUACAUCACAAACUGCUACAUACUCCGCAAUAUCCUUCUUCAUUCCGGUCCACCAGAAAGUGUCCUUCAAGUCAAGAUAAAUAUUGAUAUUUCCUAGGUGAAUCGAAUAUGGUGAAGCAUGGGCCUCUUACAGAAUCAACUUCCUGAUCUCCGGGUCAUUAGGAACAUAAACGCGAUCCUCAAACCAUAAGGUAUCGUGCUCACCCUCACGAAAUCCCUUAGCUUUUCCUUUGCUCAUAUUCUCCUUUAUCCCGGCAAUCUCCUUUUCGGUCUUCUGAGCUUCUCUGAUCUUAUCCAUCAAUGUAGAUUGAAUCUCUAAAGCUGCUACAUAGCCUGUCGGAACUAUCUCCAAACAUACCUCAUGAAGAUCCUCGGCUAACUCCUUGGGUAACUCUCCGGUGAUGAGUGUGUUGACAUGACUCUUGUGGCUCAGCGCAUCGGCUACUAAGUUAGCCUUUCCUAGGUGAUAAUGCAAUCUCAUAUCAUAAUCCUUAAUGAGCUCCAACCAUCUCCUUUGCCUGAGAUUCAACUCCUUCUGUGUAAAGAUGUACUUCAAACUGUUGUGAUCCGUGUACACCUCACAAUGGUUUCCGAUGAGAAAUAUCUCCAGGUCUUCAACGCAUGCACUACGGCUGCUAACUCCAAAUCAUGUAUGGCAUAAUUCAACUCAUGGGGCUUAAGUUGUCAUGAGGCAUACGAAACAACUCUCCCCUCCUGCAUAAGCACAACUCCAAGUCCUCGACGAGAAGCAUCGCAAUAUACAUCAUAAUCUUUGCGCUGAUCUGGCAGAAUCAACACCGGUGAUGUAACCAAACGUUUCUUCAACUCCUGGAAACUGGCCUCACAUUCCUCAGUCCAUUUGAAUUUGGUGUCCUUCUUCAACAACUCCGUCAUGGGUUUUGUAAUCUUCGAGAAAUUCUUAAUGAACCUCCGGUGGUAUCCUGCGAGUCCAAGAAAACUCUGGAUCUCUCCAACUUUUGUGGAUGCUUCCCAGUUUGUCACAGUGACAACUUUGGUGGGGUCUACUGCCAUUCCUUCUCCGGAUCUCACAUGUCCGAGGAAUCCAACUUCCUUCAACCAAAACUCACACUUACUGAACUUGGCAUAUAGCUCAUGUUCUCUAAGCUUUCCAAGUACCAAACGCAAAUGCUCCUUAUGCUCCUCUUCGUUCAUCAAGUAGACCAAAAUAUCAUCAAUGAACACCAUGACGAACUUAUCCAGAAACUCCAUAAACACCUUGUUCAUCAUGUUAAUAAAAUAGGCAGGUGCGUAAAUUAGACCAAAUGACAUAACAGUAUACUCAUAUAGCCCGUACCUUGUGGUAAAAGCUGUCUUAGGUAUAUCCUGCUCUCGAAUCUUCAACUGGUGGUAUCCUGAUCACAGAUCAAUCUUCGAAAAUACCUUAGCUCCUUGCAAUUGGUCAAACAAAUCAUUGAUCAUCGGCAGUGGGUACUUGUUCUUAAUUGUUACUUCAUUCGAUCCUCGAUAAUCAACAACCAUCCUCAAUGAUCCAUCCUUCUUCUCCACUAGAAGCACUGGUGAUUCCCAAGGUGACGAACUUGGGCGAAUAUAGCCUUUAUCCAGUAAGUCCUUAAUCUGCUUCUUAAUUUUCUCCAAAUCUUUUGCGGGCAUCCUGUACGGUCUCUUAGAUAUUGGCCCUGUGCCUGGCAAAAGCUCAAUCAAAAACUCAAUGUCUCUAUCCGGUGGCAUGCCUGGCAACUCUUAUGGAAAUACGUUAGGGAAAUCCUUCACCAUUGGUACUUCCUCCUGUACAACCCCUGAUAACGAAUUCACUUGAGUCCUCUUCGGCACAUGCCGGGAUACAUACUUGAUCCUUCUUCCUUCUGGGGUGGUAAGAAAAAUCGACUUACUGGCGCAUUCAAUGUUCCCUCCAUACUUCGAUAACCAAUCCAUGCCUAAUAUCACAUCCAGUCCUUGUGACUCCAAUACAGUUAGGUCUGAGGGAAACACGUAGUUACCAAUCCUUGAUGGUAGCCGAUCACACCAUAGACUAGCCAUAUACUCUGCUCCUAGCGAGGUUACUAACAUGUGUGACCUAAGGGCUUGGGUUGGAAGUUUAUAUUUAUCCACAAAUCCCCUUGAUAUGUAUAAAUGCGAUGCACCAGUACCAAAAAGAAUGAUUGCAGUAAUGACUUAAGCAAAAACUUACCUAUUACUUCAUCUGGCUGGGCUUCAACCUCCUCCAGGUUAACGUGGUUCACCUGUCCCCUGUGAAAAGGGUUCGGCUUCUUCCCAGAGCUUCCAUUGCCAUUUCCAUUCUUAGCUUUAGGACAUUCAUUGGCAUAAUGUCCAGUCUUCUGGCACUUGUAGCAAGUGACAUGGCUCAAAUCCUUCUUGGCUGGGGUGGCUGGGUUGGUACGGUUCUGACCGCUGCUCCCUCCAUUCCCAUUGCCAUUAUUGGUGCCACUAUGGUUGUGCGAACUCCCUCCAUUAUGAUUAUGGCCUCCAUGGGUAUGCUGAAAAAGUCCUCCCGAGUUCGGGGUAAAAUGAGGCUUCUACUGAGCUCCAGAAUUGUACUUCCCAUGUCCAUACUUCCUCUUGCGGCGGCCAAUCUGCUGCUGCUUCGCUUCAAUCAUGAGAGCUCUAUCUACCAACUCCUGGUAGUUGUUGAAGGUUGCCACCAUCAACUGCAUGCUCAGCUCAGCAUUCAGUCCUUCCAGAAACUUGUCCUGCUUAGCUGCAUCUGUAGCAACGUCAUCUAGGGCAUAACGUGCUAGCUUACUAAAAUCAUCCACAUACUGGCCAACUGUACGUCCUCCUUGGUGCAAAUUGCGAAACUCGCGCUUCUUCAUGGCCAUAGCUCCUGCUGAAACAUGGGCAGUAUGGAGAGCUUGCUGAAACUGGUCCCAUGUGACAGUGUUGAUGGGGUAAGUGGCUGUGAAAUUCUCCCACCAUGAUGAUGCUGGUCCAUCAAGCUAAUGUGCGACAAAAUGCACUCUCUCUCCGCAUCAGUGCAUCCUGCAGUGGUCAACUCCCUUCCAAUCUUGCGGAGCCAAUCAUCGGCAACUAUCGGCUCGGUGCUACUACAGAACACCGACAGAUUGACCCUCAAGAAACGGGCUAAGUGAUCAACAGGUGGUGGUGGUGGGUUGUUGUUGUUGUUGUUGUUGUUCCCCUGAUUCUGAUUCUGGACUAGUAUCUGCAUCAAUGCAUUCUGCUGCUGGAUCAACUGAGUGAGCUCCGAUGGGAAAGCAAAUCCAUUGUCACGUCUCGGAGGUAUCUGAGGGUUUAGAAAAGAUGAGAAAGUAGAAUAGAAUGAGGUCUAGAGAGAUAAACACUACCCAUAUGCACAUGAGACAAACACAAACAUAUCACUUCAAUAAAUUCAAACAAGGGCAUACAACGGUUUAACUAUCAUUAUAAAAGUGCUCGGACUAUACUAUAUACAUGGGGGAAUACUACUACUAUUAUGGUGGUCGACUAGAAAAAUUGAUCGGUCAAAGACUCCAUGAUAUCUACUCAAGCUUCAUCAACAAAGUCAUCAUCUCUAUCGUCAAGGUCAGAGUCGGUGUCAUCGAUGAUGAUGUAGUUCUCCGGGCAAGUGGAAUCGUCGUCAUCUCCACUUGGCGCGGGGUAUCCCAUGAAUACUCCGAUCUUCUUUAUCUGGUCGUCAUUCUACUCCAAUAAUGUUACGAUUUCCUCCUCAUGUCCAUCGCGUGUAGAUUUUAGUUCUUCCUCCAGCUUGGUGAUCUUGGUCAUUGCCUUCUUCAGAUCUAUCAUGCCUGCGCACAUCUGAUUCUCCUGGCGACGAAUGUGCUGGUUUAACUCCUGGAUGAAAGCUGCAAUAGAUCUAUCCUUCCUGGUGCUGAUCAUCUCCCAUUGCUCAUCUCGGCGCCCACAAAUCUGGUAGAUAGUAUCCUUGAUAUCCUUGUGGUACACUUCUCCAAUGUGUCCCAUAGUGAUGUGGGCUGCCAUAUUCUUUCCUAGACUCCAGGUUGGUGCGUCAAAGGAAAACUCUAUGGGCUCAGUGACUGGCAUGAACAUCCUUUCUGGAAGUUGAACUUGAAUCAUCCAACGCUCCUCUUCUGGUAAAGUGGCGAUGUAGGCCCCGGUGAAGCUUGGUACUCCAAUGUUCAGGUAUCUAGUGAGUUCCUUCAAGUGGCGUCCAAAGGGUGUAUCUUCAUCUGGUUGCGUGAACUUGUUCCUUGCAUCCGCCAUCCUAAAGAGUAGAGAAGGGAGAGGAGUUAGAAAUGAGAAGAGAGUAGUGAUAUAGGGCUUUAGCUUAGUGGUCGUGUCCUACAGUCAGCGUGUGCUCUGAUACCAUGUUGUAGCGACCGGACCUCAAACAGUCUGAUCUCUGUGCAUCAGUGUCAUCCCUGGAUCAGAAAUGCUGACACGCACAGUACUUGAAGGAUUUAUAACAGAGUAGCAAUGACACACUUAUUACAUCGAAUGUCUCAAAAGAGAACUUACUACAAUAAAUAUGGCUUAAGGCCAUCUAAAUACGAUAACAACGGAAGGCUUGGAAGAUAAAGCGAGUCCAUCAACUCCAACGGCAUCACUGAGUGAAAGAUCACGACAUAAGGCAUCUUACUCGUCGUAUGAAAAGUCUGCAACAUGAACGUUGCAGCCCGAAAAUGGGUCAGCACAUGGAAUAUGCUGGCAAUGUAACACAUAGAGAGUAAUGGAGGCUAUCACUACAUGCAUAUAUGGCUAGUGGAAAGAUCUAUGGUUACAGUUUUGCAUAAAGCCAAUUUUUCCCUACAACAAAGGAAUAAAUUUUUAUUUAACUAUCAUGGUGGUUGUUAAACAUUGAGAAGGUAAUCCCCUCUCAAUCCCAAUUAAGCAUCAUCAUUAAACCAAAAAAUUAAAUUAAAUAACAUGAUGAGAUUCACAUGAUAAUCCAAGUACAAGAUACUCAAAACGUCCAUAACCGGGGACACAACUAACCAUGAUUAGUUUGUACACUCUGCAGAGGUUUGCGCAAUUUUUCCCACAAGACUCGAUCUCCUCCGUUGGAUUCUUGCACUACAUGUUGUUUGAGAAACGGAUGACCGAGACAUAGACUUUCAGAAGCGUUAGCACCUUACGAUGGGUAGACAGUACCACCUACAUCUCACUGUAAGAGUUCACACGACUUAAUCAACUAUGCUAGAGCCCAUAGUAACUUGCGGCUGCACACGAAAGUUUCUAGCAUGAAAAUUCUCAUGAUCCCUUUGAGCCUGGGUUGCAGUCCAUAGGAGAACCACAGGUACCCCGGGCUUUCCAAAAAUACAGGCAACACUGGGUUCCCAAGGUGCCUCAAUCCACCCGGAUGUGUAUUGAAGUUGCCACCUUAAGUUGAACAAUAAUUAACAAUACUCACAUCUAUCAUGGAUAGACUCACCCAAUCCACGUCUACAAGCAUAGCAUAGCAAUAUAAGCAAACGUAGAAGUAACUCCCAAAGGUUCGAUAAUAAACAGGACAAUAGGUACCUCAUCUACUUCCCAAAACCCACAUAUUAAACAGAUCCUAACCAUGCAAUUGUUUGAGGAUUGAUCUAAUGCAAUAAAACUGGGUAGUAAAGAGAUAUGAUCAAAGUGUUACUUGCCUUGCAGAUGAUCCGUGAAACCUAGAGACUCGUAGUAGCAGACUACGUACUCCGGAUACUCUAUCGCAAACAAACAAGCAUAAAAUAAACACCCAUCUAUUGAACGGGUAAAACUCAAAUAAGAGGUCUAACCAAAAAGUUCAACUCAAGAACUUCGUUUUGCAAAAAGAAUCAAAUCAAACGAAGCAACGAAACUCAAACGGCGAAAGAAACAAGCUUCAUUUACUAAUCUGGACCUUUGUCAAAUUUUCACUGUAGCAAAAACUUGUUUAAGUUGGUUAAACAGAAAGAGGGCUUCGAGACAAAACUCUAGGCGCUUGAAUCGCCUGAUUUCGAUAAACGAGCGAAAAGAUAAACUAAAACGAAAAUCAGGGCAGAAAUCGCGAUCGAUAAUAAUCAUGGAAAAUCCCUAGAGAAAGAAAAACUGACGAACAGGCUAACGAACAAACAUUCGCUGUUUGUGGCUAAAUGGUGAAGAUCGUUCGUUAAAACGUACUAAUGAAUGGGCGUUCGCUAAUUAAACUAAACCGGGAAAAAAUAAAACCGAUAUAUAAAAAAUAAAACGGGGUUCCUAAUAAAACCAACGGUUUUCUCCCGAAAAUCGCGGCGGCAGUGGCGGCUACCUCCGGUGGUCAACGUCGGCAGCGACGGUCAACGGGCGGCGGCGGCGGCGGUCGNNNNNNNNNNNNNNNNNNNNNNNNNNNNNNNNNNNNNNNNNNNNNNNNNNNNNNNNNNNNNNNNNNNNNNNNNNNNNNNNNNNNNNNNNNNNNNNNNNNNNNNNNNNNNNNNNNNNNNNNNNNNNNNNNNNNNNNNNNNNNNNNNNNNNNNNNNNNNNNNNNNNNNNNNNNNNNNNNNNNNNNNNNNNNNNNNNNNNNNNNNNNNNNNNNNNNNNNNNNNNNNNNNNNNNNNNNNNNNNNNNNNNNNNNNNNNNNNNNNNNNNNNNNNNNNNNNNNNNNNNNNNNNNNNNNNNNNNNNNNNNNNNNNNNNNNNNNNNNNNNNNNNNNNNNNNNNNNNNNNNNNNNNNNNNNNNNNNNNNNNNNNNNNNNNNNNNNNNNNNNNNNNNNNNNNNNNNNNNNNNNNNNNNNNNNNNNNNNNNNNNNNNNNNNNNNNNNNNNNNNNNNNNNNNNNNNNNNNNNNNNNNNNNNNNNNNCUCGGGGCGCGCUAUAUAAAGGGGCCGGCCGGGCGGAGUCCCGGCCGAAUAAGGCCCGAAGUUGGUUUGACUUUUUUUUAAAAAUAAUUCCGACGUGCAGGAAAAGAAAGAAAAGAAAUACUAAAUGGACUCUAAAAAUUCCAAAAUAAAUGUUCCCCGUCCUCUAAAAAUAUGCUGGACAAGGCGAACAUUUAUUUCGGCCUAAACUGCAAUUUUGAAAAACUCACAUUUUUCCUAAUUCAAAUAAAAUAGCGAUAAAACUCUGAAAUAAAAUCUUAUUUGAUUUUAUUAUUAAAUCUCCAAUAUUUCUUUAUAUUGGGAAAGUCAUUUUUUCCCUCUCUUUUAUUUUUAUAAAAGAAAUAUACGAAGAUAAAAUAAUUAAAAUCAAAUGAUUCUCUUUUCAAAAUUUGAAAAAACUCAAAUAUGAAAAUAACGAAAUCCCCAACUCUCUCCGUGGGUCCUUGAGUUGCGUAGAAUUUCUAGGAUCAAACCAAAAUGCAAUAAAAUAUGAUAUGCAAAGAUGAUAUAAUGUAUAACAUUCCAAAUUGAAAAUUUGGAAUGUUACACCCACAUCUUUCUCGAGUUCAUGAUGUCUUCCACGUCUCUCAACUCAGGCGUUGGUUCUCGGAUCCCAUCUAUGGAGUGGACCGUGAAACACUUGAUCUCCAAGAUAACCUCACAUAUCGGGAGUACCAUGUUCGCAUUCUUGAUCAAGCGGAGUGUGUCACUUGACAUUAGAACAUCGAGUUUCUGAAGGUUCAGUGGUCUCAUCAUUUUGAGAGAGAAGCUACCUGGGAGCGAUAAGAUCGUCUUUGACUGGAGUACCCCACUCUUUUUCCGCCGACUCCUGAAUCUCGGGACGAGAUUCUUUUGAGUGGCGCGAGUUGUCACAUCCCUAGUCUGGUAUGCUCUAGGCUAGCCAUUGAUGUUGCAUCAUGUUUAACUUUGUCUGAAAUUUGAAAUAGGGAUGAUCAAACACUGGCAUCAAAGGAAUUCAAAUAGGUUCAACUAAAUUAUUUUCAGUGAACCCAAAGUGGCUUUCAAAAAUGUUCAUCAUUUUUUAUAAAUGCAGGAAACAGUAAGCAGAGAUGACGCACAUUUUUCCCUGACAUUUUGGAUUUUUGAAUUAACACAUAUUGUAUUUUGAAUUGGACCAAAUAAAUGUUAUAAAUAUUUAUUGCUUCUAUAAUCCUCUUUUUUGGUGAGGGGCUUUGGAAUAACCCCUUUAGUCCCUGCAAAAAUUAUCAGAAGCAACGCAAAUGAUUUAGUUCCUAAAACUAAAUAAAAACAAAUGACAGAAAAAAAAAAGAUCAGAAAAAAAAUAAGAAAAAGGGGAAACUUACCUGGCAGCCCGCUGGCCGGCCUGGCACUAUGUGGCCCACUGGCCCAUUGCUAGUCGUCUCCCUCCUCCCACCAGUCGGACGGGGCGCGUGCCUUGCGCGUGCGCGCAUUUGGCGUGGCAUGCAAUAGCCUGCCUGGCCUCCCCUGGCCAGUGCGACGCCACCGCUCACCUCCUCGCUACCGUCUGACCCCCUCACUAUCCCCUGGCCCUCUCCUUGCUCGAUCCUCGCCACGGCUGAUCACUACCGUCACUGCCACUCACUAUUGCCGCACCCACUGCCAUGGCAUCGCCUCUCUAACGUGUCCACAAGCCUCGCCGAGUCUCCCUCGUCAUCUCUGUCGAGUUGUGCGUUGUCAUACGCCAUAUGGAGCCCCCUAUGCCCUUGUCUUUAUUGUCGGCCGCCCGAGAUCGCCCUCGAUGUUCCGGCCGCACCAGACCUCCCUCGAGCUUGUUGUUGACUCUUUCGGAUUUGCUUUGAGCCCCGCCGCCGUUCCCCUUGCUCCCACGUUUGAUUGCAUGCCCUAGCUGCCACACCCGCCAUGGCCAAAGCCUCUCUGCCGCCGUCCAUGGUGCCACCGUGACAACCACGGCUACAACUCACAUCAAAGCCCUUCCGCGAGCUCAGCAAGUCCCCACGAACCCAACUCCACCGCCUACGCUUCCUGUCGUGCUCCGUGGGCUCGGUUUUGUUGAGCCGUAGCUUUGGCCGCCGCGGAUGUGCUCGACGACGUCAACUCCGGGUGCCCCACGACCCUAUGCUAUCUUCCCUGGAUGCGCGGGAGUGUGGCCUAUGUACUGAUGGUCUCCCCGCGCCCAGCCGCCGCCUGAUGCGCAGGUCGGGCGAGUUUCCUUCGUGGUUUCGGUCGUCGCCAGCCAAACUUCAGCGACAGCUGACGUGGUAUGUCAUUAUGACCAACCCCCCCCCCUAAUUAGCCACCUCACUGCCACUGAUAGUGGGCCCCGACGCGCCUAAUCUUUUAGUUAUGCCAAUUUAACCCCCUGUUUAAACCCGUAUCACUGACGUGUGUGCCCUGCAUGUCAGGUUUGACCCCAGUCAGUGCAGUUAACUUGCUAACGUAGGCAUUACGCGGUGCUUAUGCAGUAAAUAACUUUCUAGAUUAUUUAUAAUUCAGGAAAUUCUAGAAAUUAGUAAAAACAUCAAAAGUUCAUAGAAAUUCAGACUGAAAUAAUUUAUAUAUGAAAAAUUAUCAGAAAAUACCAGUCUAUCCAUCCUUACCAUUUUCAUGCAUGACAAACCACUUUAUACCUACUAAAUAUAGGAAAACUCAUAAAUGGCAUUCUAAAGGGUUUAAUCUAGAGUUGCGUUUGAACCCUUGGUUGAAAUGUACUUUAUCCAAAAUGAAUGCUAGAUGCAUUAGCACAAACCACAUCACAUCUUAAUGCCAUGUUCCUGCAUCAUAUUGUUGCAUAUCCUUGUGUAUUGAUUGCUCGCACCGUCCUUCUCAAUAGGUCCUGCUCCAGAGAUAGUUCUAGAGUACCUAUCAGAGGAGCAGUGCCCCNNNNNNNNNNNNNNNNNNNNNNNNNNNNNNNNNNNNNNNNNNNNNNNNNNNNNNNNNNNNNNNNNNNNNNNNNNNNNNNNNNNNNNNNNNNNNNNNNNNNNNNNNNNNNNNNNNNNNNNNNNNNNNNNNNNNNNNNNNNNNNNNNNNNNNNNNNNNNNNNNNNNNNNNNNNNNNNNNNNNNNNNNNNNNNNNNNNNNNNNNNNNNNNNNNNNNNNNNNNNNNNNNNNNNNNNNNNNNNNNNNNNNNNNNNNNNNNNNNNNNNNNNNNNNNNNNNNNNNNNNNNNNNNNNNNNNNNNNNNNNNNNNNNNNNNNNNNNNNNNNNNNNNNNNNNNNNNNNNNNNNNNNNNNNNNNNNNNNNNNNCCACUCUUAGGCUCGUGCUCUCUUUUACUUCAUUAGGACAACGACGAUUCAACUGUUGCUACUUUAUGUUGCGCUAGUUGAACCCAUUCCUCUGCAUGACCUAUCUUUGCCACAGUAAAUAGCUGAAGCUCACUAGAUGUGUAGCAGUUGAUUGAUCCAUAUUGUGUUCCUACUAUGUUAUGCCCGCUAUUUCUUAGAUUUAUGUCAGGUCUGAUUCAUUGGGAAUGAAUUGGAGUGUUAUGCCAUGUUCUGAUGUUGAAAGUUAAGCGUGUGAACAUGAUUUGGUAAAGGUAGUGGUGAGAGGCCACCUAGGAGUACACGAUGGGUUGUCUCACUGCAAUCAUCCUUAAGAACUGAGUUUUUUGUAUGUUGUCCAAGACUAGCUACUACCACAUGUUGGAAUGCUUAAGUGCCCCUCUUGACCUAUUAACCGACUUGAUAUCUGUCCAGGAGUUGCAACUAGUUUCUAGUGUUUGUAGGCAGUGCUAUUUUUCUACCAGUUGGCACCCGGCAGGGUGGAAUUGGGACAGACUAGGCACCGUGCCUAGUGUACCAAGUGGAACCCGGAUGGUGGGCUCGGGAACCCUGCACACAUUGUUUGAGGCCGUGAUAGAAACCUUGGCCGAACUUUCCCUUGCAGAUACAUACUCAAAUAGGCCAUAAACCUGCACUAGAGUCGUUUGUGGUUCGUCAGGUCGUGGCCGACACCCUCGCUAGGCUUCCACAUGAAGGUUGUCGAGAUACAUGACGUGUACAUGGUGAUAAGUGGUGAGAGCAUGUGUAAAGAAGUACACCCCUGCAGGGUUAACAUGAUCUAUUCGAAUAGCCGCCUCCUCAGUUAUGGACUACUUGGAUACUUAUGUGGUACAUCGACAACUUGAAGUGGAUACUCUAAAAUGCUCAAGAUAACUGUGAGUGCUAUGGAUGGCAUUCUCGUAGGGAGAUGGGAUAGAAUCCAUAGUAGUGUAUUGCUCUGGUGAUUAGUGGACUCGUGUGCGCUAUCUUACAUCAAAGAAGUUACUCGUACUCAUAGAAUAUGAUAGCCACUGAGUCAAAGAUGGCUUGCUGCAGUUAAACCCCGUAUUGCCUUCUUGAUACUAAUGCAUGUAUGAUAGGAUAUUAUGUAAGUCUUGCUGAGUACCUUUGUACUCACGUUUUCUUAAUUUAUGUUUUGCAGGUGAGACUUCUGUCUAGCUAGUAGUUUUGAUUGGACUUCGAUGAUUAGCUUGUUACAUCAGCUAUGAUCUUGUACCCUUGGGAGCGUCUUGUAGAAAGUUAGGCUUCUCUGCCUUUUUUAUUUGUAGUUGUCUAUAGGAAGACAUAUUAUGCUUCCAUUGCCUGUAUUCUUUGUAUGUUGGGUCAUGUGAACCUUGUUUGUAUGAUGGCUCUUCUACGCCUUUAUCUGUAUGAGUUGUUGAGUUAUGUGGUGAUUCCAUGUUGUACAACACAUACUUGCAUGUUACGCAUACGUGUAAUGUGUAUUGAUAUGUGUGGGAUCCAAAACCUAUUUGUUUAUUCUUGGUAGCCUUCCCUACGGGGAAAUGUCUCAUGAUGCUUCCAUUGAGCCAUGGUAGUUCGCUACUGCUCCUUAACACUUGGGUUGGGAAACAUGUAUCCUUGUUUGUUCAUAUGCCUGUCCCAUCAGGGAAAUGUCACGUGUUGUUCCUUUAAGUCCUUGUAGCUUGCUACGACUUGGGUUCAUACGUUGAUGACCGACACGUUCAUUGCUGGGUUACGUAUGCCUGUCAUUAUAAGUUUGGACACCUUGGGUUUAUGACUAGUCAUGUCAGUCCGGGUUCUCUCUCAUAUGGAUGCUAGCGACACAAUCAUAUAUGUGAGCCAAAAGGCGCAAACGGUCCCGACCAAGGUAAGGUGGCAGCCGUGGGUUACCGUGCGUGAGGCCACAAAGUGAUAUGAUGUGUUACAUGCUAGAUCGGUGUGACUUAAGAUCAGUGUCCCAACAAUUUGAAUGAAUUAAUAUGAGAAAUGUUGUUUAAUUUCUAUUUCGUCAAAUUUCUGUCACUCAAUAUGCCCUACUUUUAGCAAAGAUCAUGCCAAAAUUUUAACACUUUGUCAAUUUUGCAGUUGGAGGAAUGGAUCCCCACACGGGAGCAUCAUUUUAAGAUGAACUCAAUGACAACAACCUUGACAUUGAGAUGGGCACCACAGACGUCGAGACGGGCAACGACCAUCAUGAAGAACCACCCAUCGGGCAAGAAGAAAUGAGCUACGUCGAUGAGACUUCAUUUGGCACCUCCACCGGCAACAAGACCACGCAUAAGGGCUAGGCAACCGAACAAGCUUCACGAAGGUAUCAUUAUAAUAACCGUAUUGGCCAAACAUGAGAGCCCAUCUCCCUAGAUGUCGCGGCAAAGACAUAUAGUAAAAUGCUAGGUUGCAUCUUGAGAAAAAAAACGUCUCGAUCGGUUGCAAGGAUAUAGGCAGACAUAAGCAGAAGCUACUCGAAGCGUUACACCAGAGUUAUGCAUUUCUGUGUGACUCUAAAAAAAGACCGAAGAGUAUGCCAUAUCAAAAUGGUCGAAAAUGUUUAGGGACUGGAAGACCAGUCCCAGUUGCAAUCUCAUGGACAAGGACUUCGAGACCGUUAAGUGGCUCAAUCCAACUAUGGAUCAAGAAGAAUGGACGAAGAUUUUUGAAUCAUCGGGAAGUGAGUCAAGGAAGGAGGUAAGCGAUCAUUUUCGUAAUUUACAAAAAAAUCUGCCAGGCAACCACCUUCUGGGCCCUGGUGGUUACAAAGCUACAAUAUCCAAGUGGGAGAAGGAGGUUGUUAACUUCGAAGCCACGGGUAAACCACACCCAUUCUUGGAACAUCAAGAUCGUCUGCGUGACUUCCAUUUCCUAAGGGCCCGUGCAGUUCGAGACCCAGAGACUAACGAGUUCGUCCUCCCGACACCGCAACUUUGCUCGAUGGAGGAGAGCCUGGUAAUUUCAUUGAAGACUAAUAAUUAGUAGCUACUACAAUUAUUAUCAUACUCAUCAUUUACCACAACUUUUGUACUUUUUGUAGAGAAAAAUGAAGGAGUAAUUGGACUUGGUGUUGAUGAAUCUCCCUACCGCUAUAGGUAUGAAGACCAUCUUACAUGGGCUGAGAACGAGGGAUUUGGGGUUGACAGGAAGCCCAAGGCUGGACGUGUGUUGGGAGAAGGUAGGAUGUUGUGGGACCAGCGUAUUCUCAAACCAAAGAGUUAAAGAAAUAUAGAAGGAAAAUCAAGGUUGAUGACAAGAUCGAUGCCAAAGUAGAUGCAGCAAUUCAAAGAAGGCUAGCUGAAAUAUUCCCGGCUGGCCAUGAGCAUCAUCUGUAUAGUAGCACCCAACAGCCACAAGCAUCGCAGGAUGUUUCAUGUUGGUUGCUAGCCAAAGUAAAUGGCGUGCCGAGGAAGGUUGUCAAGGGGCAAAUAAUUCCAUUUACAGAUGGUACUAGAAUGAUGCACGGGGUCGUCCUACCACUGGACAUGACGAGGGUACUAGUUCAGUACGUAAUGCCGGGCUUUGAAUACUAUUUGUUGCCUCACCCCCUGAUGAAGGCAUCACUAUGUUAGGACAAGUAAUAGGGGGGUGCGUACCUGCUUAAGUGGCCACUCGGUGAUAUAGAGGAGAUUAGUCCACACAGAUUCUCAGGUAAUGACUUCGAUCCCGCCUUCGCGAACCUUGACCCCCUUUUCAACAUUGACAACACUGGAGACAACAUAGCUAAGGAUAUUCCACAAUCAGCGAGGUAGGAUCUACCAGUUGAUUGUGGACCAACCGCAGACAAGCCACCUAUGCCAAUUUUCUUCCCCGAAGGACAUAAAUGGAAUCAGUAUAAACCCAGUGAAUCGUCGCUAUUGGACUCUACGUUGAUGACCCUCACGACAGAUCUUAAUGUUCUACACAACGACGUGGUACGUAGAUCAAAAGAAGAAGGUCAACAAGGUUACAGGUCCAAAGUUCUACAAGGUUAUAAUUUCGACCUUCAGUUUUCGGCCAAUAUAAUUGAUGUGCCAAUUAAUGAGGUGAUCCAUGCAAAUACCUUCUAUGUGAGUGCACUAUCUUAGGUGUUAAUGAGGCUUUGGGCACUUCAUCGAUAGUUAGACCCCCUACUCGGGCAUAGUAAAGUGUCUUUACUUGAUCCUUUUUACUUAACCGCCACAACCUCGAAUCUGUAAUUAGCCAAGAGCUCAUCUCAAACUACCUAUUCCCGUCAUGAUUUCGAUUCACCCGCAAAAGGACACCUUUCUAUUGCCAUAUUGUGACAAGUAAGUUUUUAACGUUCACUCAUUUAUUAUGAAACCUAUAUAGUUAACCUUCUAGUUUGAUCUCAUCCAUGCUUAUUUCUUUGUUUAUUGCGCAGUGACCAACAUUGGAUCGUAAUCGCACUAUUGUUGAUGUAGGGCUUGGCAUGUUUCUUCAAUUCAAAUAGAGACCCUUAGAAGCAAUGAACAAAAUUGAAGUUGGUUCUCAAUGAUGCUCUAAGCAAGUGGAAGAACUUCAAUAACAAGAUAACGCCGUACUCAGAAUUCAAGUUCAUUUUUCUAUCAAGAACCAAAUGUCAGAACCUUCCAUAUGUCCGGCUACUUUGCAAUGGUUGUCAUGACCGACUAUUUGAAGAAAAGUUAAUAUUUACGAAAUCAUAGCCAGAUCAUCAAGUGGUCUAAGGAUAUGGAGAAGGACAUUUCCAUAAGGGAAUUAUUAUGUGAGCCUAAGCGUAUUCGAAAGGUGCUGGCCAAAAUCAUCAACAAGGAGGUUGUAAAUGAGGAUGGGAAGUACCACUCCGUGCCACAGUCACAUGAAGAACAAGUUCACCGAGUCCAAGACACAUUCUCGUCAUUGGUUGCCAGCGAGUAGCCUACUCAAGACACACAUGUUUUUUUCUCUGACACUUUCUAUACUCAACUACUUUGCUUCACUAUUACUCUUAUUUAUUAUGGCGACAUUGUAACAAUUAAUGUGCUGCAUGAUUAUUUGAAUGAUGAGACAACAUUCUAUAUUUGUAUUGCAAUGUGAUGAUUGAGUGCUAAAUACUCUAGCCACCUAAUUAAAAUGAUGGGACGAUAGCCAAAAAUGCUGACGCGACAUCAAUUCUACUAUAUGCCAAGACCACUACCAAUGGCGGGCGGAGAAAACUGUUGUGGCGGGCAACAAAUAGUGCCAGCCACUAGACUACACCCACCAGUGGCGGGCGCCCGCCUGCCACUGAUGCCAUAAUAGUAGUGGCAGGAGGUCGGUGGCGGGCGGCCCUAGGAGCCUUGCCCGCCACUGCUAGCCUUUUCCCACCCGCCACUGCUAGGCAUUCCUGUAGUAGUGAGUAAACAGGUUGUUUGGGUUGUAGAUAGAAAAGAACAUAUGAGAUCCAUAAUAUGUUGAUCAAAAUGUCAUACAUGGACAUAAGAGGUCUAUAGUCCAUACAACAUACGUAGUACAUUUUCUUGUGGGAAAAACUUCUAAUCUAUUCAUAAACUAUCAAGGAAGCACAAAUAAUACCAAGAGAAACAUAAAUUACAUACAGGUCCAUAGACCGCCUAGGUACGACAACAAGCACUGGAGAGAUCCAAAGGAGCACCACCAUCAUCGCCCCUCUGAUGGAAACAAAACAAACCUUAUUGUAGUAGACAGUUGAUAAGUUGGUAUGGAGCAUCCUAGGUGCAUCGCCAUGGACACGGCUCCAUCAGCAAGGGACACGUGCAUCACAUAUGCGAAGGUGAAUCUUCUCCUUUUAGAGUGUCUAUUUGCGCCCUUCGAGGAUGGUAUACUACUUGACCCCUGAUGCAUGUAUAGGUUCGAGACGAUCGUUACAUGAGUCGAGGAUGAGUGCAAGCACAAGAGUACACCUACACCAUUCGUGAGGGAAACGAAGGUGGAAGUGCAAGUCGAAUGCUGAGCUGCCACAGGAAGUGCACAGUCGGACAUCCGGGCUCUGGUUGGACAUGACUCCAUCGCCAAGGGACAUGCGCAUCGCAUGAGGAAGUGAACUGCACUAGGGUAGGCUUGACCCUUUGGGCCAGAAGGGAAAAUUCUUUUUUUAAUCUCUUGCAUCAUGAACGAUGAUUUUAAGGGAUCCCCCUUACAAACUUGUUCUUUGUUUCCUUCCAAAUGAUCGAAGCUCUGACAAUAAAAAUGUCCAGAAAUAUUGGCUUGUUCCACACCUGUUUAAUGAGCCGUGUUGAUGGAGAAUGGUUAAAAGGCCAUAUGUUUAAUUUGAUUUUAUUUCUUAAUUGUUCAAAUGAUGUCUUCACUUAUAUCAUGUAGGUCUUAUUUGUUAGAAAAGACUAGUAGAAUUAAAAAGAGCGGGAAUAUACUGCCACAUCAUAGAACGAUACAAGUCGCUGAAGUACUUACGAUAAAACUCAAGUGAGGUUCUAUAACACUAAAUUAUAUAUACCCCUUCCUUCCAAAUAUGCAAUACCUCAUCAAAUUGUGAACCUAACUUUGACUAAAAAAUAUGAUCUAUAGGAUAAAAACUAUAACACAAUAUGCAUACUUAUAUGAAGUUUCAAAUGCUAUAAUUGUCAUUGCAUAUAACUUACAUUUUGUUAUUACGAUGCAUAGUAAAAUUUAGAAUCAAAAUUUGAAGGGUGUUAUAUAUUUUGACGGAGAGGGAGUCGAUGAAUCUUAGGUGUAUUUAUAGGAAUGCAUAAAAAUCAGUUUCAUGUUAGAUGGGUGUAACGUGUAUCUAAAAUAAUAUAACACACAUUGUAAGAAAAAGUGGAGAAAAAUAAUAAUUGAUAGAUGAUCAUGGUCCAACAAAAAGUUAAUGAAUUUUUAAAAGCAACUCUUAUUUUGUUUUCUCCUCAAUGCAGUACAGAGGUGGUUAGGACAAUGCAGGAAACAUUACAGGCGAUUGCGAUUUUGUAGCCACCUUUAAUUUCUCAUCAGUGCAAAGGAUUUCUAUUUCUACCACCUAUGCUUGGUCAGAACCUUAGGGGCACGUCCUUUUACUAUACUAGAUGACCCGGUUGCGCCAAUGGCGCAAGAAGCGAAUUAGAAAGAAUGUAAGAAGCGAAUUAGAAAGAAUGUUAGUAGUGAGUAAGUAAAAGAUGUAACUGGAAAUAUAAUGCAGUGUGGAUUGUAUUACAUCAUGUAUUAACCACAAAUCAUGAAAUCAAUACCAGAGAACCAACUAAUGUCACCACCUCUGUACUAACAACCAACAUUUAGUAUCACAGGAGUGUUUACUUGCAGAUCAGGAGUAUCACAAUUACAACUAAAGAGGCAUUGUCCUCACUGCUGUCCUGAGCCCUUCACAAGGAGAGUUCCAAGCCUCGCAACUUCUUCCUUCAGCUCUACACAUGACCCUUAGUUACGAAGCUCGUCCCUCAGCUAUGAUUAUUUCAAGAUGAAAUCAACAUGCUAUUUCUCUCACAUGGAACAUGUUCAGAAUUUAGCCAGUCUUGCUAAUCUUUCAGCUACAAAGGCAGAAAGAAAAAUGGCAUGAUGAAUAACUAAAAAAAACUGGACCAAUAAUACUUGUAGCAUUAAAAAACCGAGAAAGUGAAUUGAGGACAACAGAACAAUUAUUUGUAACAAGGGCAAGCUUGGCUGAUGCAAAAUGAUCACUCUGAAACUAUAUUUUAGAACCAAAUUAAAAAGGAACAAAAUAAUCUAAUACUCCCUCCGUUCCAAAAUAACUGUCUCAACUUUGUACAAAAACAUCAUGUAUCUUUAGGACCAAUUUUUAGACGAUGGUACCACAUAAAUCAAGAAUUAGACAUAUCAGAUUGCAACGUAUUCAUGGUCAUGUAUCUUUAGGACCAAUUUUUAGACGAUGGUACCACAUAAAUCAAGAAUUAGACAUAUCAGAUUGCAACGUAUUCAUGGUCAGUUACCAAUCAUGUCACACCAAGGAUUUGCACAUACAACCUGAAAUAACUGCAGCUAGCUUGAAGUCUGAAAUCUACCAGGUGACAGACAAAGGCAAUACCACCAAACCUUAUUCUUAUUGGACAAGCACAAGAUUUAAGAGAAGAUAACACAUAAAAAAUCCUAUUUGGUUUCUGGAUGCAUGCACUUUCUGGAUUGUGCACAUCAAAGCAUGGAAGAACAUUCCUAGGAGAGCCAUUGUAGCACAACAAAGUAAACCAAAAAUAAAAAAAGAAGUGAGUUUGUAUCAUGUAAUUUAGCAAUGUAUCAGCCCAUAUCACCAUUUAUUUUUCAGAGACCAAAGAAAAUGACAGAAGUUUCCCUAUUCUUUCCUGUACCUUUCUACCAGAAUGCUCUCUAUUUACAAGCGCCACACAGACUAUUUCCACUUGGCGGCAGGUUGGGCACAACAAUCCUUGCCGCGAGCUGCAGAAGAACCACACACGCACAUACGUCAGACCAGGACAUACGAACACGGGCACCGUGAGGGGGAACGGAACGGACCGGAAGGGGAGAGACAGAUCGAAAGAGGGAACGUACGGAGGCAUAGUCAGGCUGGGAGGCCGUGAGCGCGGCGGCGGUCUCGGCGGCGAGCUCGUCGAGCUGGCUGGUGGUGACGCCCAUGUAUACCCUGACGCAGACCGAGCACGGGGUCGCGGUGCUCCUGGCUGAGCCCAUAGCUGAGCUUCUUGAACCACACCGUGAUCUUGUCGAAGUGCACCGUCUCCGUCCGCCCGUCCCGCUUCACGACAUACAUCACCGAAAACUAACAAAAACAUACUCAUGUGCAUCAUCCAAACAGGCAAUGGUUUUGCAUGUUUGUACAUCAGAAUCAAUAAUUGAAUUAUCAACAGAUUGGUAUAUGCAACAUGCUUAAAUAUCAUGCCAAGAGAAUAAUUAAAUGCCACAUUUAUGAAUAACUGAACAUUAUGAAUGCCAUGCUGCAUUUUGUAAUGGUAAUGAUCCAAGAUAGUUAAAUAGAUGGUCAUUAUUAGGAAUGCUCCAUAGGAUCUAAAGACACGUGUGCAUGUUUCUUAAGUGUGCUUUCUAAAAUUGGAUACCCAUUUAGCUCUAUUAGCUUGACUUGAAGCGAUGGGGACACCGCAAAGUUGAUCCCGUACUAAUAGUCACAGACAACCUUGUAGAAGAUCAUGCCCACCCUUGGUCCUUAGAGGGACGUGUGUUGUAGUGGUAACCACAUCAGUGAACUUGAAAGGUUAUACAUGUUCCUACAUUACAGAAAUGAAACAAUAAGCAUCUUCACAAUAGGACUGCAUCACUCGGCCAACAGGGCAUUUAACGCAAAUGCAUUGGCUAAUGCCAAUGAUGUCUGUUCCUUACACAGGAUAGCCAUGAAAUUGUUAAUCGUAUAAAAGUACAGGAAUGCAAAGAAACCAUGAUCGUUCUACAAUUGUUGAAGCAAGCUAUUAUCUUUCAAGAAAUCCUAUAGAAAAUAAGCAAUGUAAAAAGGGGAAACAGCUAGGCACGCACUAAGAAACUGACGAACAAUAUCUGUCCAACUAAACUUCUACACAUGAUGAAAUAAAUAUCCUUGCAGAGGGCCCUUUAUAAUUGGAACAAAGAAAUAAUUUUAAAAAACAGUACCCCUCUGUCAUCACCAUAGUCUAGCAGAUUAAUUUAACACAAUUUAGGAUGAGUAGCACUAUAAUAUUAAAACUGAACUAAUUGUUCCUGCUACUUGUGCUUUCUGAUGCCUUGUACAUAUUCAUAUAUGAUACAGUAACACUGGCAGCAAUUUCUCAAGCGCAAGAACACAUAUUUUUUUCAACUAACAGAUUGUAUCUAAAGUCCCCCCAAAAGCUGACUUAGAAUCUAAUCAAAUAAGUCAAAAACUCUUUUUUAGACUAAAUAAGUAGAAUCCUGCCUUCUUGUGGCUACAGUUUAGUCUUGGCUAGAAUUUAAUCUAACAAGCAGAAACCUCAUCAGAAUUUAAUACAGAAUAUGAAUGACAAUAAAACAAUUCUAAGCAAAGAGGAGGAAGAGGGGAGCGAAGCUGACAGGGAAAGGUUGUCGGGGCGAGCUGAGGGCUUGCUUUCAGAAAAACUCUCCCACAGGCUUGCUCUACACUCGCCGUUGCUCUCAACCGCGACCGUAAAUUUCUGGGAAUAUAUGUUUCCUCUAUAUAAUUAUGCUGGAUUUUUGGAGAGAUGCAUCACAUAAUAUCUUUCAGUUUCAAAUCCAUGAGUUUGUGUAGAUUUCGUUUGUAAAACUUUGUAUAGCUUAGGUUCUGAACUAUCUUUAUGAAACCUUAUGUAAGAUCUGAAGUCAAUCUUGUCGAUUGUGUACAGAUCCGAUGAAUAAAUGGGCAAGGAAACCAAGUGGUGUCCGGGGAUUGAUGGCUCGGAUAGCCUGGUAAUGAUAUCAAUAAGUAAUUAUUGUGCAAACAAUAACUAAUGCAGGUUCCAGGAUCUCGUGUGUUGCUGCUGAUUACCGAAGGCAUAUUAGACAAACUCUAAUCGAUCUAGCCAGUCCAGGCACAACAAGAAUGGGCCGCUGCAUUGUAAGGUAUAUCCAAGAUUCAGAAACAUAUGAUUUCGCUGCUUUCGACUCAGAACUGAACUAAGCUAGGCACCCGAACACCAUGCUAGAAUCCAGAGGGAAGCAUAGCGCAAGUGCGACUCUCGCUGACCACCUAGAGGCACGGUACCAGUAAUGCACCAAGAUCUGUCUAUUCAAGAGGUAAACAAGAACACAUCCUCGUUUGAUAUCAUGAUAUGCAAGUAAGUUUCAAGCACAGGGUUGAUAUGCAAACAAAUAUCACACACACAGGGAGACCGCCCAAACAAGCACAUCAGCUCACAUCACUUUUAGUAGACAAAAACUAAGCAAGAGAGACCCAACCUUGUUCAUAAUGACACGAAGGACCCAACAAACAGAGAACAUAGAUCAGCCUGCAAGUAGAAGAAAAAAUAAGAGAAUGAACAACAUACCAGCUCAUAGACAUUUCAUGAAACACGUCAGGAGUAUUGUAACGGAAGAACACCUCCUUCAUAUGAUAAUAAUGAGCAGCAGUAGAAUGGAAGGAUCACUGGCAAAUUGAACGAAUGAGAGCAGCCCCGACGAUCUAAAGCUUCAGACCACCAAUAUCAUCAUAAACCAUGUUUGUCGGCAUUGCUAAAAAAACAGUAGAAUAAGCAAACAAAAUCUCAGUUAACCACCUGGUACACAAAACAAAGGGCAUUUAAAUCCCCAAACCUGAAGAUAUGCUACAGGAGCACAUGUACAUUUGAUAAAAACCAAUGUACAUGUAUAUGCAUGAUUACUAAAUAUGGCAACAAUACAUAUGGCACAAUAAUUUACCCCCGUCACUGAAAUCUGAAGUCAGUGUGCGUGUGUAUGUUUAUACACCCAGCUAAAAAUCUACGAAACGCAAAAUAAGAAUCUGGAUGCCCAAUAAAAAUUAAUCUGGCUGGGCAACUCGGCUACUCCGAGCUCCCCCAGAUUGAAAACUCGCUGGUCGUCCGAUUCUGUCUUUUACAUCGUCUGAGCCAUCUAAUUUUCACAAUCUAUUUUCACUUUGUGGUUAUUUUUCCUCUUCUAUGACUAGUGGGCUUAUUAUUGUGCUUUACCUGAUUAUUAGUGAUUUGAAUGAUUAGUAAUUUACCUGAGUAUAAGUGUCACAAGUAUAUUCAUUAACUGCCCCCGUACAACCUGCAAAUUGAUUAUGGAAUGAGCUUCUGACGGGAAAUAGAAAACAAAAAGCACAAAAGAACAGUAGGCACCUGACAUAGCUCUAGCGUGGUAAACUUUUUUGAGUGCUUACAGUCAUCUUUGGUGCUGACUCGUAUCUGACCAUUGCCCUGCCAAUCGAGGUCACUGUUGCACCACGACUCACGGCAAGGCCCAUUUACCUAGUAUGCUCCAACUGCCAGCAGACAAGCAAUGUUGCAUAAACCAAUUGAGGCCUUUUCACUAAUUAAAUCUACAAAACCAUUUAGUAAAAUCCACUGGAACUAUCCAACUAUAGGACUGAAUCAAUGAAACAUAACAGCAGCUGCAGAAACCACUCUAGACCUUUUUCAUAAACUAAAGGAAACAUUUUAGGUUCUAAUUAACCCUGGGGGCUGCAGCCGCUGUUAUGAAAAUCACUCUCUUCCUAUCAAUUUUCAGAAAAUGGUUUAGAGUGGUUUCUGAAAAUGGUCCAGAGUGGGUCCGGAUUAAAUUGAUAGGAAGAGAAGGAAUGGGGGUGUUUUAGAACGACUAGAUGACCCGUUGCGCCAAAUGGCGCAAAGACCCGUUUGAAAACCAUGUUCGUGUUGAAUUUUUUUUUACAUUAUUUGAUAACUUUAUGUUUGAGCAAGAGUAAAGAUCAUGUGAAACCAUAAGUGUUGCUAAAAUUAGGAUUUCACCAAGUAAAAAAAAGGUUUCAGCAAUGAUACCAAUUUUACCUAUUUUAAAGGCAAGUCCUGAGGUAGAUACCACAAAAAUUUGACAAAGGAAGAAUACAUUCAACAUAAGAUACUAUUCCUAAAAUCGAAGGACAUCAUAUACAUGAACAACAUCAGAUUAAAGAUAAGUAUGGAUCUUAAUCUUAUAGAACCAAAUUAAAUAGAACAAAAUAAAAAAAUGGGGACCAUAUAUCCACACUGAGAACCAAAAAAGGACAAAAUAUAUGACCAAAUAGAAGUGUACACCACAGUACUAUUCUCACCAGCAUCGUUCAAUUUUAAAAAGUAAAAAAAAACAUCAAACAUGGGAAGCUUACCGCCCAUCCGAAAAAUCAUCAUACUCAUGGCUAUCAUACAUCAUAUAACUUUUUUUUUACUGAGAAGCCACUAUUGAGAAGCCAUGUGACAAUUAACCACUGCAUUGUAUUUCCCAUCACACAAUGGACAUACAUAACUAUCCCAUAUAAACCCAAUCACUACUUUCUCCAGUGGCUAUUACCGACAAAAUUGGAGCUUCUCAUGUACACCGGACAAGAAGGAACAAGCAGCCGCACAGCCACCGCACGGCAAAGCAGACGAAGAAGCCCUACAAACAACAACAAAGAAGAAGAAACAAACAAGAACAAAUCAGCAGACAACAGCAGCAGCGGGGAUCGAACAUUGAUUAAACUGAAUAAAAGAAGAAGCUCACCCUCCCUAACCAAACGCAACAGCAGCAGCGCGGGUAUCCUUAUCUGAAAGCAACCACACAGUUCAUUUGUCAGAUGCAGUCAGUGGUAAAAGAAAGAAGAAUGUUAGUAAAUUAGAACUACACACACACCUCCAAUAGUAUUUUGGCCUGUGUAGGAGACAAGUGUGCGUUUACAUCCAGGAAUUUAAGCAUCUGCCCAGAGCAAUCCCGACCCUCUUCUUAACAACCCCAGGCUGCUGAAAGAAACCUGCAAAAUCAUCCAAACCAACAAAGAUGAUUUUAGGAAUCUAUAUAUCAAAGAGACAAAGCAGGAGCAUCACAACAAACAGUAAGUCUUAGUCAUGUCUGUAUCCAUGCUCUACAAUUGUUGACCCUCAUUUAUUCUUACUCAUGGCCACACCUAGGGCAUGCUUUCUCAAUGAAGGGUUCAAGCUAUAAAUUUCAAAUGUGAAAACAGAAGACAUUUACCUGUUGCAGUCCUUACAUCCAUCGAAGAGGAUCCUACUAAUUCCUAUGAUGGGUUGUGCAUGAGCAAAAAUCAACAUUAACCAACUUGGAACCUACAAAGAAGAAGAGGACAUUAAAUUUCUGCAAACAACAUAUAUCCACUGUGCCAAAGUUGAUUCUUCUCCUUUUAUGAUGAUUUAUAAACUGACAAACAGCUAAGUAUCAAUCAACCAUCAAUAAAAAAAAGAACAUUUACCCAAUGUAUAUAGAUAAAAAAACGCAGGUGGGGGCAAAGAACCACAUGUAGUAUCCUCCUUCCAACAGUAAAAGGCUACACGUCACAAAAUUAUAGAAAACAUUUUGCACGUAAGCAUGAAAUCCCUUACUUUCAAAGAUCUGCCCCAGAGUAGGCAAUGGACAUGAUUAUGCCACAUGCUGCAAGGCCGACAAUGACGCCACCAUCGCUGCUGCUGAUGAGCGAGGGAGAAUAUAAAGAGGGCAAUAUUGCCAUAGGUGGGCGCAAGGUUAAAGUUCUCCUUAUCUGAAAAAUAUAAAGAAAUCAUUCAGGAAGAUGCUAUCUUGCAAGCAAAUAACUAACACAACUGUACUACAAGGAAAUGAAUUAGUGAAGAAUAAUUGACCUGUAUUCUCUGGCCGCAAAUUCAAGUCAUAAAAUGGUAAAUGUAUUUAAUGGGCACAAAAAAUGAUACAACAAGAAUUUAACACAAGCAUCAAAUUCGUCCCCCAAAUUACCCAAACAGAAAUAGUCACCCUAAUUAACAUCAGGGACAAGAAUCCCCCAAACACCUCGAGCUCCUUGCCCAGUGGGGGUGGAGGCAGAGGUGGCACCUCGGUACCAGCGCCGCCCAGGACGGUAUUGAGGUCAGAGGAGACGAGACAACGACCAAUUUGGGAAGCAACGUCACAGCACAGUGGUUGGGGAGCAGCAUCGGCGAGAGAGAAGGGGGUGCAGGAGGCUGUGGCUGCAUCGUUUCCUCUCAGAUCGAGAGAGAGAGAGUACCUGAGAGAGAGAGCGCGCACACACGGAGCAGCCGCAGCUCGGCGUCGAGGAGGCACAGAGACGGCCGGCCCCCACCUCCCUUCCUCCUCUCCCGAUCCAGGAGCGGAUCGAGCCGCCAAACAUUGAAUACAUGUAUAAGUAGAAGUAAUUUGAGGUGUGCCAACAACACACUUGGAAGGUAGAAGGAAUGAUUUAAUGAACAAAACAGUCUUGAACUAUACUCCAUUUAGAAAAGUAUGACUGAAACCAAUGCACAGAUUUAAUAGGAUUCCACAUAUACAUAACAGUAAUUUGCCACUUGCAAAAGAAGAAGCUACCAAAAUACAACAACCGUAAGGAAUUUUCUCACAACACUGGUAUUGACUAUUGAACCAACAAGAAGUAUUAAUUCUGUUACCUGGUAAACUGACCAGGAUAUGAAAGAACAUAUUAGGCAUCCAGGGACCAACUUCAUCUUUGUUGUUAUUUAAUUUGUGAAUAGGAAAAUAUAUAUUUUAGUGGCAAAUGAAUAAUUUCUGCAAUUGGUAGUAUGCAGCCAUACUAUUGUGUACUAAAAUAGAGAAAAGAGCAUGGAAGUGGAUAUGUUUUAACAGAGAAAAAUCGUAGAAAUACACUAUGUUAGACACGGUAAAAAAACAAAAACCAUCUUGCUAGUACGACCAAUAAGCAGGGAAAAACUUGAAUAAUAGUGGAAGCAAGGUGAAAUGUAAAUUUAUUUGACAUUGUAGUUAUUACUACAACAAAAAUGGUUUACAAUACCAACGAACCUAUGAGAGGAAGGCAACAAACAAUACGAUAAGCCAAGGCCCCCCGCUAGCAACUGAGGAAAAGGGUGGCAGAACAAACAAUGCAGUAGACACAACAAAUAAAUAGCGGAGAGGCAGCGAGCAGACAAAAUCCUCAGAGCCGCGGGAAGGUGGUACAGAAAAAUCACAUAUGCUCCUGCCUUCAUGAGCUAAGAAAGCAUGGCUAAAAAAUUCAGACCUCAUUUUAUCUCAUCACGUCUAGUACAGAAUCCUGACCCUGAAACAUGCAGCAAAAAAUCAGAUAUAGUUCAGCCUUUAUGAGCUGAAACGCAUGGCUAAAAAAUUCAGAUUGUGUGAGAGAGAGGAGAUUGGCUACACCCCAAAUUAACAGGAACCAAAAAUUCCAUUAUUAUGCAUGAUAGAUUAAGCUGUAAAUUCAUUAGUAUGAUAAAGAAAAUGUCAUUACUACAACCUUUAAAUUAAUAGGAACCAAACAUCCAUGCCAAAUCACGAAAAGCAUCAAGGGCAAUGUAUCUUAGAGUACACAAUACACCUCAAGAAUCAAAGGCGGGUUGUGGGCGUUCACCUAAGCCACCAAAACAAAUAAGUAAAAUUUACAUUAGUAAAAGCAGGAAUAGCAAGUGACCUCAAUACUGGCAGCCAUGGUUUCAAUUGGAGGAAUGAAAAGAACAGUGAUCUGUGAGAGAUGACAUAGGCAUGCAUAGCUCUAGAUUUGACCGGGGCAUGAACUGGAAAAUAAAAUUGUGAACUGAUGUCAACACAAUAGGUCAAAUAUAGACUUCCAUAAGGACCCAUAACUAACAAACAAUAAUCCCAUUUUAUUGACUGAAAACAUCAAAUAAGUUGCUCCAGAAGUUAUUGACUGAAAACAUCAAAUAAGACUAUACCUCCUAUGAUUCUGAUAAAAGUUGUCAAGUUGGUAGUAGGAAUAAAUUGGCUGCUUCGUAUCCUUUGUAACCUGCAUGGUAACACCCAGAUCUCAUUUUGGCUAAGAGACUGAUAGAAGGUGCUUACUGAUAGCUGCACACGCAACACAAUUCUAGAAACUUGAAAAAAUACUGUAAGAAAAUCGUUCAGUUAUGUAUUACCGUGAGAGUCCUUGUGCACUCUUUGGAUAUAGCCUCAUUCUGGAUGUACGCAAGCUUAUUAUCAGUCAUGUUAGGUGGGACACAUGCAUGAUCAUACCGAUCAAUAAUCUCAACAACCUGCAGUCAGUCAACAUAAGUGAAGUCAGAAACUGGAGUGUGUGUAUAUAUGUUAACACAAGGUGUAAAAGAUACUCAGCGCCGUACAUCUUGUGCAGCCAAAGAUUACACCCACAAACAAGAAAUCCAAAUCCAGAUCGAGAACCNNNNNNNNNNNNNNNNNNNNNNNNNNNNNNNNNNNNNNNNNNNNNNNNNNNNNNNNNNNNNNNNNNNNNNNNNNNNNNNNNNNNNNNNNNNNNNNNNNNNNNNNNNNNNNNNNNNNNNNNNNNNNNNNNNNNNNNNNNNNNNNNNNNNNNNNNNNNNNNNNNNNNNNNNNNNNNNNNNNNNNNNNNNNNNNNNNNNNNNNNNNNNNNNNNNNNNNNNNNNNNNNNNNNNNNNNNNNNNNNNNNNNNNNNNNNNNNNNNNNNNNNNNNNNNNNNNNNNNNNNNNNNNNNNNNNNNNNNNNNNNNNNNNNNNNNNNNNNNNNNNNNNNNNNNNNNNNNNNNNNNNNNNNNNNNNNNNNNNNNNNNNNNNNNNNNNNNNNNNNNNNNNNNNNNNNNNNNNNNNNNNNNNNNNNNNNNNNNNNNNNNNNNNNNNNNNNNNNNNNNNNNNNNNNNNNNNNNNNNNNNNNNNNNNNNNNNNNNNNNNNNNNNNNNNNNNNNNNNNNNNNNNNNNNNNNNNNNNNNNNNNNNNNNNNNNNNNNNNNNNNNNNNNNNNNNNNNNNNNNNNNNNNNNNNNNNNNNNNNNNNNNNNNNNNNNNNNNNNNNNNNNNNNNNNNNNNNNNNNNNNNNNNNNNNNNNNNNNNNNNNNNNNNNNNNNNNNNNNNNNNNNNNNNNNNNNNNNNNNNNNNNNNNNNNNNNNNNNNNNNNNNNNNNNNNNNNNNNNNNNNNNNNNNNNNNNNNNNNNNNNNNNNNNNNNNNNNNNNNNNNNNNNNNNNNNNNNNNNNNNNNNNNNNNNNNNNNNNNNNNNNNNNNNNNNNNNNNNNNNNNNNNNNNNNNNNNNNNNNNNNNNNNNNNNNNNNNNNNNNNNNNNNNNNNNNNNNNNNNNNNNNNNNNNNNNNNNNNNNNNNNNNNNNNNNNNNNNNNNNNNNNNNNNNNNNNNNNNNNNNNNNNNNNNNNNNNNNNNNNNNNNNNNNNNNNNNNNNNNNNNNNNNNNNNNNNNNNNNNNNNNNNNNNNNNNNNNNNNNNNNNNNNNNNNNNNNNNNNNNNNNNNNNNNNNNNNNNNNNNNNNNNNNNNNNNNNNNNNNNNNNNNNNNNNNNNNNNNNNNNNNNNNNNNNNNNNNNNNNNNNNNNNNNNNNNNNNNNNNNNNNNNNNNNNNNNNNNNNNNNNNNNNNNNNNNNNNNNNNNNNNNNNNNNNNNNNNNNNNNNNNNNNNNNNNNNNNNNNNNNNNNNNNNNNNNNNNNNNNNNNNNNNNNNNNNNNNNNNNNNNNNNNNNNNNNNNNNNNNNNNNNNNNNNNNNNNNNNNNNNNNNNNNNNNNNNNNNNNNNNNNNNNNNNNNNNNNNNNNNNNNNNNNNNNNNNNNNNNNNNNNNNNNNNNNNNNNNNNNNNNNNNNNNNNNNNNNNNNNNNNNNNNNNNNNNNNNNNNNNNNNNNNNNNNNNNNNNNNNNNNNNNNNNNNNNNNNNNNNNNNNNNNNNNNNNNNNNNNNNNNNNNNNNNNNNNNNNNNNNNNNNNNNNNNNNNNNNNNNNNNNACACCAGCCAUGCUCUCUUUUGGCAGUGAGAGAUGCAGCCCGAUCUAGAAUCACGAUGUGUGGUGGCGCCAGAUCGAGAACGCGGGAAGAGAAAGAGGCCGGGGAAGUGAGAGGGCACAGAGGGGAGAGGGGGAGUACCUCCGUGUGUGAAGGGACAAUAAUCCCAUUUUAUUGACUGAAAACAUCAAAUAAGUUGCUCCAGAAGUUAUUGACUGAAAACAUCAAAUAAGACUAUACCUCCUAUGAUUCUGAUAAAAGUUGUCAAGUUGGUAGUAGGCAUAAAUUGGCUGCUUCGUAUCCUUUGUAACCUGCAUGGUAACACCCAGAUCUCAUUUUGGCUAAGAGACUGAUAGAAGGUGCUUGCUGAUAGCUGCACACGCAACACAAUUCUAGAAACUUGAAAAAAUACUGUAAGAAAAUCGUUCAGUUAUGUAUUACCGUGAGAGUCCUUGUGCACUCUUUGGAUAUAGCCUCAUUCUGGAUGUACGCAAGCUUAUUAUCAGUCAUGUUAGGUGGGACACAUGCAUGAUCAUACCGAUCAAUAAUCUCAACAACCUGAAGUCAGUCAACAUAAGUGAAGUCAGAAACUGGAGUGUGUGUAUAUAUGUUAACACAAGGUGUAAAAGAUACUCAGCGCCGUACAUCUUGUGCAGCCAAAGAUUACACCCACAAACAAGAAAUCCAAAUCCAGAUCGAGAACCGGGGGGGGGGACAAGAGGCAGAAGAAAACAUGUGAAGCCAAAGAUGUGCAACAGAGAUUGGGGAACGACGACCCACGAGCAGCAGCCCAUAGUGAUGGUCGGCUCCAUUCCACCUUGACGCGAGCGACGCCGGAGCUCUGGCCUGACUGCUCCUUCCCAUGCCCGUCCUACUCAUCCUCCCUUGCUCCUCUUCAUGAAGACAACACCAGCCAUGCUCUCUUUUGGCAGUGAGAGAUGCAGCCCGAUCUAGAAUCACGAUGUGUGGUGGCGCCAGAUCGAGAACGCGGGAAGAGAAAGAGGCCGGGGAAGUGAGAGGGCACAGAGGGGAGAGGGGGAGUACCUCCGUGUGUGAAGGGACAAUAAUCCCAUUUUAUUGACUGAAAACAUCAAAUAAGUUGCUCCAGAAGUUAUUGACUGAAAACAUCAAAUAAGACUAUACCUCCUAUGAUUCUGAUAAAAGUUGUCAAGUUGGUAGUAGGCAUAAAUUGGCUGCUUCGUAUCCUUUGUAACCUGCAUGGUAACACCCAGAUCUCAUUUUGGCUAAGAGACUGAUAGAAGGUGCUUGCUGAUAGCUGCACACGCAACACAAUUCUAGAAACUUGAAAAAAUACUGUAAGAAAAUCGUUCAGUUAUGUAUUACCGUGAGAGUCCUUGUGCACUCUUUGGAUAUAGCCUCAUUCUGGAUGUACGCAAGCUUAUUAUCAGUCAUGUUAGGUGGGACACAUGCAUGAUCAUACCGAUCAAUAAUCUCAACAACCUGCAGUCAGUCAACAUAAGUGAAGUCAGAAACUGGAGUGUGUGUAUAUAUGUUAACACAAGGUGUAAAAGAUACUCAGCGCCGUACAUCUUGUGCAGCCAAAGAUUACACCCACAAACAAGAAAUCCAAAUCCAGAUCGAGAACCAGGGGGGGGGACAAGAGGCAGAAGAAAACAGGUGAAGCCAAAGAUGUGCAACAGAGAUUGGGGAACGACGACCCACGAGCAGCAGCCCAUAGUGAUGGUCGGCUCCAUUCCACCAUGACGCGAGCGACGCCGGAGCUCUGGCCUGGCUGCUCCUUCCCAUGCCCGUCCUACUCAUCCUCCCUUGCUCCUCUUCAUGAAGACCACACCAGCCAUGCUCUCUUUUGGCAGUGAGAGAUGCAGCCCGAUCUAGAAUCACGAUGUGUGGUGGCGCCAGAUCGAGAACGCGGGAAGAGAAAGAGGCCGGGGAAGUGAGAGGGCACAGAGGGGAGAGGGGGAGUACCUCCGUGUGUGAAGGGGAGGCUGGCCUCGCCGGCGUCCGUCCCUCCCGCUCCAGAUCUAGGAGAAGGUGAGAGGCUCCAGAUCGGGAACCUGGGAGAAGGCCGGUGAGGAGAGGCGACGGUCUCCCGAGGCUCUUUCCUCUCACUUCGUCCAUCGUGGGCGGCGGCGGCGGCGGCGGGAGGAGGAACGAGGGUCGCGGGGAGAGGCGCGGGGAGACGCGGGCCAGGUCUCUGGCUGCCCGCUCGCUUUGCCCCUUCUUUUUCCCUCGCUGCUCGCCCUUGCUGUUUUUUUCCCACGCGUGGCGCGGUGCGGUGGUGGGCGCGGUGCGGUGUUUUUUCCGGUCGUGUGGUGUAUAGCUGGCCAAACGGGCCGGCCCGGCCCGGCACGGCACGGCCCAUCCUAAUCGUGCCUGGCAUGGCCCGGCCCGCCUAGGCACGAUUAUUAUACGGGCCGUGCCGUGCCAGCCCGCGUGCUGCAGCCUGCAGCCCAGGCACGGCCCGUAUGCUAAUCGGGCCGGCCCACCGGCACGCCGGGCCCACUAAUCUAGCUGCUAUUUUGCGCAUUGAGCGUUUUUUAGCCUAUUUUUACCUGUUGGCCCAUAUUAGAAUACAUAAAAAAAUAUAAAAAAGUUAAUCGGGCGGUGCCGUGCCGGCCCGCGUGCUCGCCCUUCAGGCCCAGGCACGGCCCAUGGCGUGCCGCGUGCCGGGCCCGGCCCGUUUAGCACGUGCCAUGUCGUGCCAGGCCCGUGCCGUGCCGGCCGUGCUACCGGGCCGGCCCAACUAUCCCAGCCCGUUUGGCCAGCUAUAGUGUGGUGCGGUGCGCCCUCGCUCCCACGCGCUGCGGUGCUUUUUUUCCUUCGGGUGGUAUCAUGCGCUGAAGCCAUCGGUUGUGACUACGAACCCUUUCAUCCUUUAUAAGUUAGAUUGCUACACAUAUGGCAUACAUCUGAAAAAGGAAAAAAGAACACCCUAAAUCAAACCUGAAGAAAACAGGAUAAAAUAACCCGAUGUAUGAACUGUAAACUGACGAGAUUGUUAGUAGACAUGAUAAAAUAUGUAUGUACAAGUCAUUAAUUAAUAGAUUAUGAAUAGCAAGGAUGAAAUUAAAUCAAAUCUGGCAGAAAUAUGUGCAAAGAACAGCAAGACACCACCGCCGCUGUUGAAAUCAAAUCUGACAGAAAUAUGAUGAAAUUAAUUAAUCCACGCUGGCCAUUCCCAUCCACGAGAUGAGAGAGACAGUGUGUGUGUGCUGUGUACGCAAGGAUGGGAGGGGCUGGGGGAAUCCACACCUUGGUCCUCUGACCGUUGCAACCCGUGGUCGAAGGUGAAGAGGCGGUGGCGCAGGGGUGGUUGGGGGAUUUUUUUCGGGGCUCUUCGUCCAGCGGCGGUCGUCCAGGUCGAGUUCCUCCUCCGGCGGCUUCUUGGCAGUGAGCGCCCGGGGCGCUGUUGACCGGGGAUCCUCCUCCGGCUACCGUCGUCCCGGUAGAGAUUUGCGGAGGAGAGCCCACAGUUUCUUGUCCGCGCCGCCGCCCCGGCCUCGCUGCUCCUGGCCCGGCCUCGUUAGUGGAGAAGGAGAGAAAGGAGGGGAGGCGGCGUUGGGUAGAGGAGGAGAGAAGGGAAGGCGCCCGAACCCUAGCCCGAAUCCUAGCCGCGGGGGAGAGAGAGAGAGGAGGGUGACGAGGAGGGGGAGGCGAGUGGGACGGGAAAAGAAAAGACGGCUCAGAUCGGGAAUCACCGCUGCAGCCUGAAGACGAGCGAUGGGAAGGCAAGGAGGGGGAAGAGGCGAGGCGGUGGAGGAGUAGCAGUCGGCGGCGGGGCUCCUAGAGCGUAGGAGGAGGAGGAGGAGGAGGUGGGAGGGAGUGGCGGCGGACGAGGGAGGGAGGAGUGAGGGGCGCGGGGCUGUUUUUCCUCUUGCUCGAUUGCUGUGGCCCUAGCGCAGUAGCGCGACCGCUCGCUUGCUCGUGUGGUGCGGUGCGCCCUUGCGUUUUUUUCGGUGGUUUUUACCCCUCGCGUGGUGCGGUGCGAUGGUUGUGCCUAGCACUUUUUGAGGGUUUAUAUGUUUAAUUAUUCCUCAAAUUCACAUUGGCCUUCCCCGAUCUAUGCCCAACCGCAUAGUAGCAUCAAUGACCUAGUCGCACGUCCACCCAUACGGGGUGACGCUCCGCCCGAUAGCGGCGGUCAUCCGCCCAUCCGCGGUGACACAGUGGAUGAUCCGCCCAUCCCUGAUGGUGAGGUAAAUGAUACACCCAUGUGAUGUGCCACGGUGGCACAUCCUCCCAUCUGUCGUGUCGCAGUGGAAGAUCCGCCCUUCUGCACCGGCGAGGUGGAUGAUUUGCUCGUCCGUGGUCGUGAGAUGGCUGAUCUACCCAUCCACAAUGGCGCGGUGGCACCUUCCCCUAUCCACUACUUUGCGGUGGAAUACCAGCCCAUAUAAGGUUUCACGAGGACACAUCCACCCAUUGACGAGGUGCGAUUGAAGCUUUGGCUCGGUCCAGGCUGGUUGGCGGAGAGGGGGACACCUAAUAGCCAUGGGUCGGGCGAGAGAGUAGAGGUGGCCUUCCACUUGCCUGUGGCUGGUGGUUGGCUUUCAUCUUAUUCUUCGGCUCCUCUUCCUCGACUUCGACCUCGUCGGUCAUGCCUUCGAGAAGGUCGGUGAGAUCUUCGACAUUGGCGAUGAUAUAGGUGCUGGGUUAGUCAAAAACAUCGACUCUGAUGGGGAGUUCCAUGAUUCAUUUUGAUUUACGGAUUGGGGCAUCUGACUUUGUGAUUUCCUAAAUUUAAUCUAACAUCAAAUCAAGGAGAAAUUUCUAACACUUGGCCAACGGGUCGCGACUUUGGUACCUGAUCUGACCUAGCUCCCGAAAUAGGUUUCUAACACAUGUCUCGGGCCUGAUCCGAUAUCGACCAUAGGGGAAACCGCUUUGGGGACCGAUCUGACACCAACCUUGGCAUGAAUUUCUCUUGCUCAUCUUUUAUCAUGUCUGAGAUUUGAACCAGGAAGAGAAAAUUCGGGCCCCGAUCUGACAUCAGCCCUGACAAAGGCUUCUAACGCUCCUCAAGGGCCAGAUCUAACAUGGGGCCCAAAGGAAGCGACAUGUGUUGCUCCUAGAGUUAGGGAGAAACCAAGCCUGUGAAGAUUGAUUCACCGCGGACAUCCGCAGUAUACUCCAUGUUGCCGAAUCUUGUGAUUUGACCUCGAGCAGAGAAUUUGACCUGGCCCAGGAGGCCAAUCGAGUUGGUGACAAAGGUGUGCAGCCAAAGGCGAACAUCUGGCUUAUCAAAAAAGUCAUGUCGGUGUCGGUCCAAGCUUUGAUCUUGACACCCAUCGAACCACGACGAUUACCUAGAAGGACCUGUGUGGGCCACCACUGUUAGUGCUAAAUCCAACAGACCUCCUAGUAGGGGAUUCUAAGCUAGGUGUCUUGGAAUGAUGGUAAAUAGGACACAUGAUUUACGGAUGUUCAGGGGCUGUGAGGAAAUAAAACCCUACAUCAUGGUUGUGUUUUACUGUGUUGGAGUAUGUAUAUAGCACACGUAAACUAGCAAGAUGUUUUCUUUUAUGUAUCUAUUGGGCCUGGAACCUCGGUUUAUAUAGGAUACCGUGUGGUACUAGGGUACAUGGAUCCAAGUCGGCUAUAUCUGAGGAGGUAGAUUCCUCCACAAAUCCAGCAUCUUGUCUUGCACAAGUCUUCUGGAAUCUGCCUUGUGUGUUCCAUGGGUAGCCCAAAGUGGGCCAGGACAAAAAUGACAAGGGAUCCUUAAACUGGCUCACAUGGCCGGGAGUUUACGUGGUGAGACCUUAGCUAGGACACCGUCAAACGGGAGCAAAUUUUCUUCCUUUUUCGUAGAGCCUAGCAUUUAAUAAAUGACGUGAUUUUUGGAAGGGAAAGGAAUUCGUUAUUGCCGCUGCUAUUGAUGUGCAUAAUUACCGGUCCACUUAUGGUUGUGUCAGGAUAAAGUUGAGUUGGUUUCAAACAACAAAGGUAAUGGAAUGGUGGGAUGGUUAAUGGCCGGCCAUGCUCCAUUAAAAUAUAUGUGGUUUCAUAGCCUCUUCUUGCUAACUAUAUCAAGAUCUAUGUAGAAACCAGAGUUUUCUGGAGACUAUGAGCGCCCUUGGUGUGGGGGUUGCUGCUAGAAACUCUUAUAGCAAAGUCAUCAUCUCUUCGACAGGAUUUUAUUCGCCGGUGUACUAGUCUUAAUGAAGCUAAGCUUCGGGUUUUCUUGCUGGGAAUUAUAUUGGUAUCACUCUUCACAAGCCUAUUAUUAUGGGGAUUGAUUGUGUUUUUGUAGUUUCUUUUCCAACAAAUGGAAACCUUGACAGGUCUCCUCUCGUUGAUCUAAAUAUUAAGGCAUUGAGGGUCGACUUCUCCAGAACUAUAACAUUUCAAAAACUUAAUCGGCUUACCGAUGGAAUGACACACGAGAUAGCGAAGUAUUGUUUUGAUAGUCACUACUAGGGAAAACCUUAUACACAGAACUUUAGCAGUAGCGUGGGUCAAAAAAGCACGCUGGUGCUAAGUAGCAGUAGCGCGCCUGAGAAAACUGCGCUGCAGAUAAAGAUCUAGCAGUAGCGCGUCUGGCUAUAAACACGUUACUACUAAAAUUCCAACGGCUUAGCCGAUAGGCUACACAUAGUAAUAGCGACCUAUGACGAACCAAGCUACCGCUACUUUAUUUGUAGCAGCGCGUUUUAAUAUAAACUCGCUACUGCUAAAGGUUAUAAAAUUAAAUGGAAAGAAAAUAGAAAGGUAAUUGAAAAUGAAAGAAAUAGAAUAUGGUGAAAGGAAAAAAAAUAAAAUGUGAAGAAAACUAAAUGAAAAAGGAGGAAAAAGAGAAAGGAGUAGCAGUAGCGUGUAUCACAAAACGCGCUGUGAUGGGGUUAUGUACCUAGGGUAGGGUCAUGGACCUGAUCCAAGUACCUUACCCAAGGACAUCCUUAGAAGAGGUCGCCUUCCAGUCGACCAACGAAGGACUCACUCGACUGACUUGAAGGACUCGACCACGAAGACUCACUCGACCACCAGGAGGUCAAGAGGCACUCUGCACUGCAACGGCCUGUAAUUAAGUAGGCUUUAUGAUAGUAAAGACACUUUAUGUGGGGCGUUACCAGUAACGCCCCAGACUUAACUCACCUUAAACCCUCUCCUACGUGGGCUGGCUGGGGUCCUGGCGCACUCUAUAUAAGCCACCCCCCUCCACAGGCAGAAGGGUUCGGCACCUUGUAACUCAUAUACUCAUAAUCCACUCGACCGCCUCCGGGCUCCGAGACGUAGGGCUAUUACUUCUUCCGAGAAGGGCCUGAACUCGUACAUCCCUUGUGUUUACAACCUCUCCAUAGCUAGGACCUUGCCUCUCCAUACCUACCCCCCACUCUACUGUCAGGCUUAGAACCACGACAGUUGGCGCCCACCGUGGGGCAGGUGUUUUAGCGAUUUUGUGGAGAAGUUGCGAUUCUUCCGAGUACUUUCAUCAUGGUGUCUGCUGGAGUUUUGGUCGGGGGUCAAGAGAUCCGUCUCGGCACUCUCACCUUCAUCGCCGACGACUCCGCGUGGCUCCAGGAGGCUCCACUCGACGUAGAUGCGCUCCCCGUCCACGGUGCGACGCAUUUUCGCGCAUGUGUCCGCGGCAUUCUGCUGCGGCAACCGUCGACCCAGUAUCGGUCGGCUCCUCCAUCGUCCACCCUCCCGGUCUCCCGCCAGCGCAAGUGUUCGGGCCGGUUGAGGCUUCAGCGAUGGGUGAGGCACGCGGUGGCUCGCCAAUCGGCCACCACCCAAGUGGCGGCAAUCGAGCCCGACGAAUCCCUCUACGGCUUGUUCGAUCUGUCGACUGGCUCCGUAGAGACUGCAUCCGAGUGCGGUAGCAGUGAUGCAGCGGCGGAAAUCUUGAUGGUCGACGGGCCCCGCAGUCCCCCUGGCUCCGCCCGUGAUGGUGGAGCAGGUGACGGAGGCGACCCCGCACGAGGCCACGAAGAGUACCAGCCCGAGCCACUCGACUCUCUGCAAGGAGAGGAACUUCGCCGCAGGAAAGUGGAUGCCCUGCGUACUCCCAUCACAGGAGAAACCCCCGAGGCUCGUGCCUUGGAGGAGGCACGUCUGGCCAAUUUGGCCGAACGCACUCGACUGGAGAAUCUUCAGCGAGCACUCGACGAGCGCGCGCGGCAAUGAGUUCCCGACACCAGUCGACGUCAACUCUUCCCGCCGACUCAGGUAUAUUGAACCCCAAUCCAGAAUUUAGCAGCUGCGACCCGUAUAGCAGAGUCCAUCCAGCCUUCACAGUCGGAAGCUGGCAGAGGUUUGCUGCAGAUCAGGGAUCUGCUCCGGGCAGCAGGAGAUCAGAAUUCAGCCGUGUCUCAGUCGCGCAACAGAAUUCACAGUCGAUCCGUCAUUGCGAAUACGGUUCAGUCGGCUCACAGCCCCAGAUCGCCUCCGCGGCGUGAAGGGCGCGAGAAUCGGCGAGAUCAAUAUGGCGACCGACUCGACCGAGAUGAUAGGCGUCGAGCGCCCAAUUCCCCUCCGAGGGGUGGGUCUUACGCUCCUCGGUGGCAAGAUGACAGGCGUCAGUACAGUACAGGGCGAAGGGUUCCAGUCGACCCCAGAGAACCAGGCUUCGAUGCGCGAUCCAUUAUCGUGCAAGGUUUGGUCGACCGGAACAGAGCCCAUCGGGGCGGACUCGACAGAGAUGCACCCACAAGCAGUCGAGUGCAUGUUUCUGGUCCUGAAUGUUUCAGCAGAGCUAUCAGGGCCGCAGUUAUCCCUCCCAAUUUCAGGUUGGCAACAGGAGUCAGCAAGUUCACUGGUGAGUCUAAGCCUGAAACUUGGCUUGAAGACUACCGAGUGGCAGUUCAGAUUGGUGGUGGGAACGACGAGGUGGCCAUGAAGCAUUUGCCCCUCAUGCUGGAAGGUUCUGCCAGGGCAUGGUUGACUCAAUUACCUCCUAGCAGCAUUUACGCUUGGGAAGAUCUGUCCCGAGUGUUCAUCAGAACGUUUGAAGGGACUUGCAAGCGACCAGCUGGAUUGACAGAGUUGCAAGUCUGCGUGCAGAAGGCUAAUGAGACUCUCAGAGAGUAUAUUCAGAGGUGGACCACUUUGCACCACACUGUGGAGAAUGUGUCUGAUCAUCAGGCAGUCUGCGCCUUCAAAGAUGGUGUCAAGAACAGAGAACUGAGUUUGAAGUUUGGUCGAACCGGUGACAUGACCUUGAGUCGGAUGAUGGAGAUUGCUACCAAGUACGCCAACGGCGAAGAAGAAGACCGACUCCGAAGCGGCAAGCACAAGCCGAGUCAGUCGGAAAAAGGAAACACCAGUCGGAAACAGAAGCAGAAGGCUGAACCGGCAGCUCCUGGAGAGGUUCUGGCCGUGACUCAGGGAAAGUUUAAGGGGAAACCAAAAGGAUCCUGGAACCCCAAGAAGGUAAAGGAUAAAGAAGGGAACGACGUAAUGGAUAUGCCAUGUCACAUCCACACGAAGAAAGACGAAGAGGGGAAUAUCAUCUACCCGAAGCACACCACUCGCCAAUGUCGACUCCUGAUCCAGCAGUUUCAGGGAAAACAGUCUAAGGACAAGGAGAAGGAGUCGGACAAGGCUGAAGACAAGGAGGACAGUGAGGAAGGAUAUCCGCAUAUCAACUCCACUCUGAUGAUCUUUGCAGAUGUGGAAAGCAAGAGUCGACUGAAAGUCAUUAACCGAGAGGUGAACAUGGUUGCCCCAGCAAAAGCAAAUUAUCUGAAAUGGUCUCAAAUACCCAUCACAUUCGACCAAUCUGAUCACCCGACUCAUAUUGCCACCCCUGGGAGGCAAGCUUUGGUGGUCGAUCCAGUUGUCGAAGGCACUCGACUGACAAAGGUGCUGAUGGAUGGUGGAAGCGGGCUGAAUUUGUUGUAUGCAGACACACUGAAAGGAAUGGGCAUUUUGAUGUCCCGACUGAGCACUAGUAACAUGAGCUUUCAUGGAGUUAAAACAGGGAAGAAAGCCGAGUCACUCGGCCAAAUAGCUUUGGACGUGGUGUUUGGUGAUUCGAAGCAUUUUCGCAAAGAAAAGUUGACGUUUGAGGUCGUGGAUUUUCAGAGUGCAUAUCAUGCCAUUUUGGGGAGACCAGCUUACGCAUGGUUCAUGGCUCGACCAUGCUACGUGUACCUCAAAUUGAAGAUGCCCGGCCCCAAAGGAGUGAUCACUGUCACCGGUGAUCGGAAAAAGGCAGAAGAGUGCUUUCAGAAGGGCUCCAAGAUUGCCGAUUCCCAGGUGACAGCGGUCGAGUUCGAAGAAUACAAGCAAAACGCAGAUCCGAGUGACUUGCUGCGAUCAAAGAAACCCGCCACAGAGUCUGCAUUCCAGUCGUCCGGUGAGACGAAGCCUGUUCACAUUCACCCGACCGACCCCGAUGCAGCUCCGACCCGCAUCUCCACAACACUCGACCCAAAAUAGGAAGAAGCGCUCAUCCAGUUCCUCCGUGAGAACUGGGACAUUUUUGCAUGGAAGCCCGCUGACAUGCCAGGUGUUCCUAGGGGACUGGCUCAGCAUCGCCUAAGAGUCGACUCAUCUGCAAAACCAGUCAAAGAGCAUCUUCGGCGGUCCGCCGUCCAGAAGAGAAAAGCCAUUGGUGAAGAAGUGGCUCGACUAUUGGCGGCCGGAUUUAUCCGAGAGAUAUACCACUCCGAGUGGCUCGCUAAUGUCGUCAUGGUUCCUAAGAAGGACAAGUCGCUCCGAAUGUGCAUUGAUUUCAAGCACAUCAACCGGGCCUGCCCGAAAGAUCAUUUUCCUCUCCCUCGCAUAGAUCAAAUUGUUGACUCGACCGCAGGAUGCGAGAGGCUAUCUUUUUUAGAUGCCUACUCCGGGUACCACCAGAUCCGUCUGUACGGAUCCGACGAGGUAAAAACAGCUUUCAUCACUCCAUUCGGGUGCUUCUGCUAUAUCACCAUGCCAUUCGGCCUCAAGAAUGCCGGAGCCACAUUUAUGCGAAUGAUUCAGAAGUGUCUACUCACUCAAAUCAGUCGGAAUGUGGAAGCAUAUAUGGAUGAUAUCGUUGUCAAUUCACGAAAAUGUUCCGACCUGCUCGCUGAUCUCGCCGAAACAUUUGCCAACCUCAGAAGAUAUGAUAUCAAGCUCAAUCCAUCAAAGUGCUCAUUUGGAGUUCCUGGUGGCAAGUUACUCGGUUUUCUCGUUUCCGAACGGGGAAUCGACGCUAACCCAGAGAAGAUUGGCACUAUUCUCCGAAUGAAACGCCCUGUGCGAGUGCACGAUGUCCAGAAGCUUACUGGAUGCUUGGCCGCAUUAAGUCAAUUCAUAUCACAACUCGGUGAAAAGGCAUUGCCUCUUUACCGACUGAUGAAGAAGACAGACAAGUUCGGGUGGACUCCAGAAGCUGAUGCAGCGUUUGCCGAGCUAAAAACUCUGCUCUCCACCCAGCCGGUGCUUGCUGCUCCAAUCAGCAAAGAGCCUCUGUUGCUCUAUAUCGCAGCCACAGGACAAGUCGUCAGUACUGUGCUAACGGUCGAGCGGGAAGAAGAAGGAAAAGCUCUCAAAGUUCAGCGCCCAGUGUAUUAUUUGUCUGAAGUCUUGACUCCAUCCAAGCAGAGAUAUCCUCAUUAUCAGAAGCUUGUGUAUGGAAUAUACAUGACCACAAAGAAGGUUGCUCAUUAUUUUUCUGAUCAUUCCAUCACAGUCGUUAGGGACGCUCCACUAUCAGAGAUUUUGCACAACAGAGAUGCAACUGGUCGAGUGGCCAAAUGGGCGAUUGAACUUCUUCCCCUUGAUAUCAAGUUUGAGGCAAAGAAAGCCAUUAAGUCCCAGGCAAUAGCAGAUUUCCUCGCCGAGUGGAUUGAACAACAGCAGCCGACUGAAGUUCACUCGGAGCAUUGGACCAUGUUCUUUGAUGGCUCUAAGAUGUUGAAUGGUUCCGGUGCUGGGGUUGUCCUGGUUUCCCCCAGAGGAGAUAAGCUCAGAUAUGUGCUCCAGAUUCACUUUGAUUCCUCCAACAAUGAGGCAGAAUAUGAGGCCCUCUUAUAUGGGUUGCGCAUGGCCAUUUCACUCGGCGUCCGUCGCCUGAUGGUCUAUGGCGACUCGGAUUUAGUGGUCAAUCAGGUGAUGAAAGAGUGGGACGUGAGAAGCCCAGCCAUGACUGGAUACUGCAGUGCAGUGAGGAAGCUGGAAAAGAAGUUCGAGGGGUUGGAGCUCCAUCAUAUACCCCGACUGAAAAAUCAAGCAGCUGAUGAUCUAGCAAAGAUAGGUUCCAAGAGAGAAGCCAUUCCGAGUGGUGUGUUCUUGGAGCAUAUACACACUCCGUCAGUCAAAGAAGAUCCUUUCACCGAAGAAACUCCACAGCCCAAGAGUGCCACAGAUCCGACUGAAGUUGGAGUCCCAGCGGUGGUCGACUUGAUCAUGGAGGUUUUGGUGGUCAUUCCCGACUGGACAGUUCAGUAUGUCGCAUAUAUCCUGAGAAAAGAGCUUCCGGAGGAUGAGGAAGAGGCUCGAUAGAUCGUCCAUCGAUCUAAGGCCUUUACCGUAAUCAAAGGACAAUUAUACAGAGAAAGCGCGACUGGAGUUGGUCAGAAGUGCAUAACACCAGAAGAAGGUCGACUCAUCCUCAAUGAUAUUCACUCGGGGACCUGUGGUCAUCAUGCGUCCUCUCGGACCAUCGUGGCCAAAGCAUACCGAUCCGGAUUUUACUGGCCAAAGGCGAAUGAGAUGGCAAAAGAUAUAGUGGAUAAGUGCGAGGGAUGUCAGUUCUACUCGAAUAUGUCGCACAAGCCUGCGUCAGCCCUGAAGACCAUCCCACUCGUCUGGCCUUUCGCAGUAUGGGGACUGGACAUGGUCGGUCCUUUGAGAACAGGACGAAGUGGCUUCACGCAUGUACUGGUGGCAGUCGACAAGUUCACCAAGUGGAUCGAGGCUAAACCAAUCAAGAGCCUUGACACCGGUACUGCUGUUAGCUUCAUCAGGGAACUAAUAUUCAGAUAUGGAGUCCCGCACAGCAUCAUUACGGAUAAUGGGUCGAACUUUGACUCAGAGGAAUUCAGAGAUUUCUGCAACUCCCAAGGCACACGGGUCGACUAAGCUUCAGUCGCCCAUCCGCAGUCGAAUGGACAAGCAGAGCGAGCUAAUGGACUGAUUCUUAAGGGAUUGAAGCCUCGACUGAUGCGUGAUCUCAAACACGCGGCUGGAGCUUGGGUCGACGAACUUCCCUCAGUGCUUUGGGGGCUGCGGACCACACCUAAUCGGUCGACCGGAAGAACUCCAUUCUUCUUGGUCUACGGAGCUGAAGCAGUCUUGCCGAGUGAUCUUCUCCACAAUGCUCCUCGAGUUGAAAUCUACAACGAAGCAGAGGCUGAACAGGCGCCGCAGGACGCAGUCGACCUUUUAGAGGAAGAAAGGGAGAUGGCUCUGAUCCGGUCGACCAUCUACCAACAAGAUUUGCAUCGUUUCCACGCCAGAAAUGUGAGAGGUCGAGCCUUCCAGGAAGGGGAUUUAGUUCUCCGAGUGGAUCAGCACAAACCACACAAGCUUGCUCCUUCUUGGGAAGGUCCCUUCAUCGUCACCAAGGUUCUCCACAACGGGGCGUACCAUCUUUACAACGUCGAGCAUAAUAUCGACGAGCCCCGAGCUUGGAACGCGGAGCUACUCCGCCCAUUUUACACUUAAGUUUUAUCACUCGGAUGAGUUGCAAUAAAGUACUUCUGUAGUUCGUGGACCUCAAAAUAAUAGUGUCAUAGUUCCUCCAUAAUUUCGGUCACUUUUUAUUUUUGUCCAAAUAAAAUUCCUCCUCGGUGGGUGACUUAGCCGCGAAUCCGUUUCGCCUAAGUUUGUAAAAAUCCUACCGAGUGGUGAGCCAGACUCUCACUCGGAGGCUUAGCUGCGAAUCCGUUUCGCCUAAGUUACAAAAAUCCUACCGAGUGGUAAGCCAGACUUUCACUCGGGGGCUUAGCUGCAGCCCUGUGCUCGCCUAAGUUGUAAAAAAUCCUACCGAGUGAAGAGCAAGCCUCUCACUCGGGGGCUUAGCUGCAGUCCAAGCACUCGCCUAAGUUACAAAAAAUCCUACCGAGUGAAGAGCAAGCCUCUCACUCGGGGGCUUAGCUGAAGUCCAAGCACUCGCCUAAGUUGUAAAAAAUCCUACCGAGUGAAGAGCAAGCCUCUCACUCGGGGGCUUAGCUGCAGUCCAAGCACUCGCCUAAGUUACAAAAAUCCUACCGAGUGAAGAGCAAACCUCUCACUCGGAGGCUUAGCUGCAGCCCUGUGCUCGCCUAAGUUAUAAAAAUCCUACCGAGUGAAGAGCGACCCUCUCACUCGGAGGCUUAGCUGCAGUCCAAGCACUCGCCUAAGUUACAAAAAUCCUACCGAGUGAAGAGCGACCCUCUCACUCGGAGGCUUAGCUGCAGUCCAAGCACUCGCCUAAGUUAUAAAAAUCCUACCGAGUGAAGAGCAAACCUCUCACUCGGGGGCUUAGCUGCGGCCCAGUGCUCGCCUAAGUUAUAGAAAUCCUACCGAGUGGUAAGCCGGGCUUCCCCUCGGAGGCUUAGCCGCAGCCCAGUGCUCGCCUAAGUGGACUAAAGAAUAAGUCGAUUGCAGUAAAGGCGCCUUGCUUUGAACCUACAAAAGACAUUUCGAGCCAAAGGCAAUCAUAUUCAAGCACCAAAUUCAAGUUUGAAUCGAUAUCUAAAGGAACCGAAAGUGCUCAGGCGUGAAGCCUGUUAAGGUUUAUCGGUUACAAUUCCACUCGGCAUACCGAGGCAAAUUUAAAGCGUCGAGCCAGAAGAAGUUUUUUACCCCUCCUGUGGAGGGCUGGAAGGUGCAACGAAUUCAUCAAGGUCAAUUCCGUCGGCGAUCCGAGUGGCAGCUGCAAGGAAAGUUUCCAUAAAGGACCUGAAGUCGUGUUUCUUGGUGUUGGCCACCCGAAGAGCCGCCAGCUUCUCUUCUCGCGCAUCUUUACAGUGGACUCGGGCCAGACACAGAGCAACAUCUGCACCACACCGAGCCGAGUACUUCUUCCAUUCCUGCACUCGACCAGGGAUCGUGUUCAAGCGGGUCAUCAGCGACUCAAGGUCAUUCUGAAGUGUCUCCUCAGGCCAGAGCGUCGAGUCGAUGCGAGAUGUGGCGGCCUUCAGCCUUGCGAGAUAGUCCACGACAGCUGCAACACGAGACUCCAGUCGGAAAACAUCCAUGGCAACUUCGUCGUUCACCGGAGAAUUGACGGGGUCGAGGUUUGGCUCCAGCCGGCUAGUUUCUUCUUCAAAGUUUUGACAAAAUUCUGCAAGGAUGAUCACUAAGUCAAGGGGAUGGUCGAAUGGAAAAACCACAAUUGGAAAUGUUUGCCAAGCAUAGAGGUUUACCUUCAAGCAUAAGAAACAGCUUCUUGGCAAGACCACUCAGGAAGGCCUCCAGAUCAGUUUUCUUCCCAGUCAAUUUGCUGACUUGGUCGGUCAGGGCAGCUUUAUCAGUUUUCAGUCGACUGACCUCCUUGUUGGCGAUCCCAAGAGCAGCUUUCAGAUUGGUAUUGUAUUGUUCAAGCUUGGUGACUGAAGCUAACUUCUCGUCAGCAAGCUUGAUCUUCUCAGCUAGUUCGAGGUCUUUCUUCUGUUGGGCCUCCCUUACCUUACCUGCAAGUUACAGCAAGGUCAGAUUUUUGAAACAAGCAAGGGGAAAAGCAGUCGUCAGGGUCUCACCAAACAUACCUUCGGUCUCCUCCUUUGCCUUCGUCAGCUUCUCCUGAACCAGCUUCAAGCUCAGCUCGAGUUGAGUGUGCUUGUUUUCCAGCUCAGAGUAGCGAGCCACAAGAUCACAAGAGUUCUGCGAAGAACCAAUCGACUAAAUGUCAAAUAUAAUUCACUUCCGAGUGAAAAAGGAAAAAACACACGUUUCUAAGACUACAGCCGAAUACAAGCAUUCGACCGUAGUCUCGGGGACUACACCCAGUGGGUGCACUCAGCGUGCCCCCACUAAUCCUGUUGAAGACAAAGUCGACCAGUCGACCUCAAAAAAAAAGUGAGAUGUAUUCUUUAAGACUGUGAUCAACUGCAAGCAGUCGACCACAGUCUCGGGGACUACACCCAGUGGGUGCACUCAGCGUGCCCCCACCGGUUUGUGAAACCAGUCGACAUAGUCGACUGACAGAAAGAUUGACAUCAUAAAGUCUAAGGCUGACUACCAGCAGUCGACCUUAGCCUUGGGGACUACACCCAGCGGGUGCACUCAGCGUGCCCCCGCUAACACGGAGUUUAAUCGACACACCCAGUGGGUGACUACUAUAAAUUCCGGAAAGGAAAAGUUUUUGGUAGCAUAUCCAACAGAACAAAUGGUGGUCGACUGACCUGAACAAUGCUUUGGAGGGCAGAACUGGCGUCAUAAGCUGCCUGGCUCGCAUCCCGGAUGGUCUUCAACUGCUCCAUCAUGAUUCCCGCCUGGCGUAUUGCCUCCUUCGCCGCGCCAGCUUGGUCCUCUGGGACGUGGUGCGUCGUGAAGAGGGAGGGCUGCUGAGCACUCGUCAAUGGAUCUGCGAAGGACACCGUAUGUCGAGUGGUGUUCUCUUCCUCCGCAAUCAGAAUCUCAGGCGCCGUCACAUCCUGGGACACCUUGCUGGCAGACGCUUUCCUGCUCCUUCUGCGCUUCAGCGGUUCCUCAUCCUCAUCAUCAUCAGGGAGAUUGAUAACAGCGGUGGGUGGAGCUACAAAGAAGAAUCAGGAUCAGAGAUCGCGAGUCAGUCGACUAAGAACGGCGUUAAGAAUACAGUACCUGGUUUCGAAGUUGCUGCGUCCUCCAUCUCAUGGUCAUCAGCCCGGGCUGAGGUUUCAGAAGUAGCAGCACUGCAACUCCAAAGGAUCAGUCGACUAACUUCAGCGUCGACCAGAGACAAAGUUCACACAAAAUAAGAAGAUUCAAACAGCACGAUUACCCUGAUAUGGUAGGGAUGGACACCUUCAUCUUCGGUAGGAGCUUGAUCGUCUUCGACGGGGCCGCCCUGGGCUGCUUCGGCGCCUUUUCAGUCGGCACCGGAGAGGUGGUUCGAGGGCGCUUGGUCGACUGAACAACGGUCGCAACCCCCUUGCCACGUUCAGUCGAAGGGUCGUGGACAAGCUUCGACCGCCUUUCUGAGCGCGGUGGUACGACCUCCUCCUCCUCUUCUUCCUCGUCCUCAACGUCAUCUUCAUCACCGUCAUCAUCAUCAUCGUCGUCAUCAUCCUCUACAACGUCCGAGUCCCAUUCCUCCUCUUCCUGGCUCUCGCCCCCACUCGCCUCACCCUCCUCAGUCGGAGCUUGUGCCCCAUUGGGCAUCGAGUACAGUUCGGUGAGAGCCUAGCAGAUAUCAAGACAAGGAUCAGUCGACCAGUCGACAGGAUAAACAGAAAUGAAUGCGACAAGAACACAGUGGAGAGCAGAGCAAAUGUACCUUGUUUGGAUCAAUGUUGUGGUCGAGUGGGGGAAUCCUUCUGGCUCCGCGUGGGUUAUCCUAGUUUCCGGUAACGGCUACCAUCCAUCUUUCCAGAGUGACAUCGUCGACUGCUUCUGGAUGGACUCGAGUCUCGUCUUCAGUCCCACAGUACAACCACAUGCAGUGGCUCCGGAACUGAAGGGGCUGGAUGCGACGCCUGAGGAAGACCUCCAGGAGGUCCAUGCCCGUCACUCCCUCCUGAACCAACUGCACCACGCGCUCCAUCAACAUCUUCACGUCAGCUUUCUCCUCCGGAAUCAACUUCAGAGAGGAUGGCUUGUUCACUCGGUCCAUGGUAAACUGUGGGAGUCCACUCGACUGCCCCGGCGUCGACUGGUCCUGGCAGUAGAACCAGGUCGACUGCCAGCCUCUGACUGACUCGGGAAAGGUCAUGGGCGGGAAGGUGCUCUUAUUCCUCACCUGGAUGCCCAGACCCCCACACAUUUGGACGACUCGGGUCCUUUCAUCGCCUGGGCUCGCCUUCUGCAUGGUCUGAGAGCGACACGUGAAUAUAUGCUUGAACAAACCCCAGUGCGGUCGACAGCCCAGGAAACCCUCACACAUGGACACGAACGCGGCAAGAUAGGCAAUAGAAUUUGGGGUAAAGUGGUGGAGCUGCGCUCCGAAGAAGUUCAAGAAGCCACGGAAGAAAAUACUCGGCGGCAAAGAAAAUCCACGAUCAACAUGGGUGGCCAAGAGCACACACUCACCCUCUUCUGGCUGGGGCUGCCACUCCUUCCCCGGAAGCCUCGCAGCUCCAUGAGGGAUCAAGCCCUCGUUGGCCAUGUCGAGGAGGUCUUUCUCUGUGAUGGUCGACUGGAUCCAGUCUCCUUGGACCCAGCCCUUCGGCAGGCGGGAUCUGGACGAGGACCCGCCGCGGCUGGUAGAUCUCCCCUUCGCCUUCUCCGACGCCGACGCCUUCUUCGCACGUUCCAGCGCCACCGUCUUCUCCUUGGCCAUGAUUGCUGGCGAGAUGCGCGUGGGGAAGUUGUGCGGGGGCGAGAGCGAGCGCGCUGGACGGGGACGAAGGGAGCAGAGAGAGAGAGAGAAUGCUGAGGCACAGUACAGAAAUCCUCGCCGGGCGCAUUUAUAAGGUCCCUUCCGAGUGGAUGACAGGUGGGCCCGGUCGAUCUAAUCAUAUCCGGGAGCAGUUAUGCAGACGGGAUACAUGGCGAAGAAAGCGGCGCGGAGAUCGAGGCGUCUAUGUCCCGUCCCAUCCGAACGCCGCGGUCCGCUCCGCUUCGCGCGCGUCCCCAAAUUUUGCAUCCCGCGGAAUCCGCGAACAAUAGAUCAGUCUGUCAGACACGGGGUUUCCUGCGAUCCGUCGCUCGGAGAUCGUCGAAGCCCGAAAGAUCACUCGACGAAAGAAGAGAAUGGAUCGAGUCGACUGAAGACAAGUUGCUCACUGUCGACGAAGAGAUUCUUUGGUCCAGAACAGUGUUGGAAAUAUGCCCUAGAGGCAAUAAUAAAAGUAUUAUUAUUAUAUUUCCUUGUUCAUGAUAAUUGUCUUUUAUUCAUGCUAUAACUGUAUUAUCCGGAAAUCGUAAUACACGUGUGAAUACAUAGACCACAAUAUGUCCCUAGUGAGCCUCUAGUUGACUAGCUCGUUGUGAUCAACAGAUAGUCAUGGUUUCCUGGCUAUGGACAUUGGAUGUCGUUGAUAACGGGAUCACAUCAUUAGGAGAAUGAUGUGAUGGACAAGACCCAAUCCUAAGCAUAGCACAAAGAUCGUGUAGUUCGUUUGCUAGAGCUUUGCCAAUGUCAAGUAUCUCUUCCUUCGACCAUGAGAGCGUGUAACUCCUGGAUACCGUAGGAGUGCUUUGGGUGUAUCAAACGUCACAACGUAAUUGGGUGACUAUAAAGGUGCACUACAGGUAUCUCCGAAAGUAUCUAUUGUUUUAUGCGGAUCGAGACUGGGAUUUGUCACUCCGUGUAAACGGAGAGGUAUCUCUGGGCCCACUCGGUAGGACAUCAUCAUAUGCGCAAUGUGACCAAGGAGUUGAUCACGGGAUGAUGUGUUACGGAACGAGUAAAGUGACUUGCCGGUAACGAGAUUGAACAAGGUAUUGGAUACCGACGAUCGAAUCUUGGGCAAGUAACAUACCGAUAGACAAAGGGAAUUGAAUACGGGAUUGAUUAAGUCCUUGACAUCGUGGUUCAUCCAAUGAGAUCAUCGUGGAACAUGUGGGAGCCAUCAUGGGUAUCCAGAUCCCGCUGUUGGUUAUUGACCGGAGAACGUCUCGGUCAUGUCUGCAUGUCUCCCGAACCCGUAGGGUCUACACACUUAAGGUUCGAUGAUGCUAGGGUUAUAAAGGAAGCUUGUAUGUGGUUACCGAAUGUUGUUCGGAGUCCCGGAUGAGAUCCCGGACGUCACGAGGAGUUCCGGAAUGGUCCGGAGGUAAAGAUUUAUAUAUAGGAAGUCCUGUUUCGGCCAUCGGGACAAGUUUCGGGGUCAUCGGUAUUGUACCGGGACCACUGGAAGGGUCCCGGGGGCCCACCGGGUGGGGCCACCUGCCCCGGGGGGCCACAUGGGCUGUAGGGGGUGCGCCUUGGCCUACAUGGGCCAAGGGCACCAUCCCCAAGAGGCCCAUGCGCCUAGGGAACCCUAGAGGGAAGAGUCCUCAAGGGGGAAGGCACCUCCGAGGUGCCUUGGGGAGGAUGGACUCCUCCCCCCCUCUUGGCCGCACCCUUUUCUUGGAGUAAGGGGCAAGGCUGCGCCUCCCCCCUCUCCCUUGCCCCUAUAUAUAGUGGAGGGGUGGGAGGGCAUCCAUACCUGAGCCCUUGGCGCCUCCCUCCCUCCCGUGACACCUCCUCCUCUCCCGUAGGUGCUUGGCGAAGCCCUGCAGGAUUGCCACGCUCCUCCAUCACCACCACGCCGUUGUGCUGCUGCUGGAUGGAGUCUUCCUCAACCUCUCCCUCUCUCCUUGCUGGAUCAAGGCGUGGGAGACGUCACCGGGCUGUACGUGUGUUGAACGCGGAGGUGCCGUCCGUUCGGCACUAGGAUCAUCGGUGAUCUGAAUGACGACGAGUACGACUCCAUCAACCCCGUUCACUUGAACACUUCCGCUUAGCGAUCUACAAGGGUAUGUAGAUGCACUCUCCUUCUACUCGUUGCUGGUCUCUCCAUAGAUAGAUCUUGGUGAUUCGUAAGAAAAUUUUGAAUUUCUGCUACGUUCCCCAACAGUGGCAUCAUGAGCUAGGUCUAUUGCGUAGAUUCUUUGCCCGAGUAGAACACAAAGUAGUUGUGGGCGUUGAUGUUGUUCAAUAUGCUUACCGUUACUAGUCCAAUCUUGUUUCGACGGUAUUGUGGGAUGAAGCGGCCUGGACCGACCUUACACGUACUCUUACGUGAGACAGGUUCCACCGAUUGACAUGCACUUGGUGCAUAAGGUGGCUAGCGGGUGCCAGUCUCUCCCACUUUAGUCGGAACGGAUUCGAUGAAAAGGGUCCUUAUGAAGGGUAAAUAGCAAUUGGCAUAUCACGUUGUGGUCUUGCGUAGGUAAGAAACGUUCUUGCUAGAAACCCAUAGCAGCCACGUAAAACAUGCAACAACAAUUAGAGGACGUCUAACUUGUUUUUGCAGGGUAUGCUAUGUGAUGUGAUAUGGCCAAAGGUUGUGAUGAAUGAAUAUAUGUGAUGUAUGAGAUUGAUCAUGUUCUUGUAAUAGGAUUCACGACUUGCAUGUCGAUGAGUAUGACAACCGGCAGGAGCCAUAGGAGUUGUCUUUAUUUUUUGUAUGACCUGCGUGUCAUUGAAGAACGCCAUGUAAACUACUUUACUUUAUUGCUAAACGCGUUAGCCAUAGAAGUAGAAGUAGUCGUUGGCGUGACAACUUCAUGAAGACACGAUGAUGGAGAUCAUGAUGAUGGAGAUGAUGGUGUCAAGCCGGUGACAAGAUGAUCAUGGAGCCCCGAAGAUGGAGAUCAAUGGAGCUAUAUGAUAUUGGCCAUAUCAUGUCACAACUAUAUAAUUGCAUGUGAUGUUUAUUAUGAUUAUGCAUCUUGUUUACUUAGGACGACGGUAGUAAAUAAGAUGAUCCCUUACAAAAUUUCAAGAAGUGUUCUCCCCUAACUGUGCACCGUUGCUACAGUUCGUCGCUUCUAAGCACCACGUGAUGAUCGGGUGUGAUGGAUUCUUACGUUCACAUACAACGGGUGUAAGACAGUUUUACACAGCGAAAACACUUAGGGUUAACUUGACGAGCCUAGCAUGUGCAGACAUGGCCUCGGAACACGGAGACCGAAAGGUCGAGCAUGAGUCGUAUAGUAGAUACGAUCAACAUGAAGAUGUUCACCGAUGAGGACUAGUCCGUCUCACGUGAUGAUCGGACACGGCCUAGUUGACUCGGAUCAUGUGAUCACUUAGAUGACCAGAGGGAUGUCUAUCUAAGUGGGAGUUCAUAAGAUGAACUUAAUUAUCUUGAACAUAGUCAAAAGACUCUUUGCAAAUUAUGUCGUAGCUCGCGCUUUAGUUCUACUGUUUAGUUAUGUUCCUAGAGAAAAUAUAGUUGAAAGUUGACAGUAGCGAUUAUGCGGACAGUAGAACGCUUAUGUCCUUAAUGCACUGCUCAGUGUGCUGAACCCCAAACGUCGUUUGUGGAUGUUUCGAACAUCGAACAUACACGUUUUGAUAACUACGUGAUAGUUCAGUUAAAUGGUUUAAGUAGAGGCACCAAAGACAUUUUCAAAACGUCGCGGAACAUAUGAGAUGUUUCGAGGGCUGAAAUUGGGAUUUCAGGCUCGUGCCCACGUCAAGAGGUAUGAGACCUCCGGCGAUUUUCUUAGCCUGCAAACUAAGGGAGAAAAGCUCAAUCGUUGAGCUUGUGCUCAGAUUGUCUGAGUGCAACAAUCACUUGAAUCAAGUGGGAGUUAAUCUUCCAGAUGAGAUAGUGAUGUUUCCCCAAAGUCAUUGCCACCGAGCUGCUAGAGCUUCGUGAUGAACUAUAACAUAUCAGGGAUAAAUAAGAUGAUCCUUGAGGUAUUCGCGUUGUUUGACACCGCGAAAGUAGAAAUCAAGAAGGAGCAUCAAUUGUUGAUGGUUGGUGAAACCACUAGUUUCAAGAAGGGCAAGGGCAAGAAGGGAUACUUCAUGAAAUGGCAAUUCAGCUGCUGCACCAAUGAAGAAACCCGAGGUUGAACCCAAACCCGAGACUAAGUGCUUCUGUAAUAAGGGGAACAACCACUGGAGCAGGAUUACCCUAGAUACUUGGUAGAUGAGAAGGCUGGCAAGGUCGAUAGAAGUAUAUUGGAUAUACAUUAUGUUAAUGUGUACUUUACUAGUACUCCUAGUAGCACCAGGGUAUUAGAUACCGGUUCGAUUGCUAAGUGUUAGUAACUCGAAAUAAAAGCUACGGAAUAAAACGGAGACUAGCUAAAGGUGAGCUGACAAUAUGUGUUGGAAGUGUUUCCAAGUUUGAUGUGAUCUAACAUCGCACGCUCCCUCUACCAUCAAGAUUAGUAUUAAACCUAAAUAAGUGCUCUUGCACCUAAAGGAAUGGUUUAUUGAAUCUUGAUCGUAGGGAUACACAUUUUCAUGCCAAAAGAUAUAAGAUAGUAAUGAUAGUACCACUUACUUGUGGCACUGCCAUGUAAGUCAUAUUGGUAUAAAACGCAUGAAGAAGCUCCAUGUUGAUGGAUCUUUGGACUCACUCGUUUUUUGAAAAGUUUGAGACAUGCGAACCAUGUCUAUUGGUGUAUAUGCAUGAAGAAACUCCAUGCAAAUGGACCGUUUGAACUCACUUGAUUUUGAAUCACUUGAGAUAUGCAAAUCAUACCACAUGGGCAAGAUGACUGAAAAGCCUCGGUUUCAGUAAGAUGGAACAAGAUAGCAACUUAUUGGAAGUAACAUAUUUUGAUGUGUGCAGUCCAAUGAGUGCUGAGGCAUGCAGUGAAUAUCGUUAUGUUCUUACUUCACAGAUGAUUCGAGUAGAUGUUGAGAAUAUUUACUUGAUGAAACACAAGUCUGAAUUAUUGAAUGGUUCAAAUAAUUUCAGAGUGAAGUAGAAGAUCAUUGUGACAAGAGGAUAAAAUGUCUAUGAUAUGAUCAUAGAGAUGAAUAUCUGAGUUACGAGUUUUGGCACACAAUUAAGACAUUGUGGAAAUUGUUUCGCAAUUAAUACCGCCUGGAACACCAUAAUGUGAUGGUGUGUCCGAACAUCAUAGUUGCACCCUAUUGGAUAUGGUGCGUACCAUGAUGUCUCUUAUCGAAUUACCACUAUCGUUCAUGGGUUAGGCAUUAGAGACAACCACAUUCACUUUAAAUAGGGCACCACGUAAUUCCGAUGAGAUGACACCAUAUGAAUUAUGGUUUAGAGAAACCUAAGUUGUCGUUUCUUAAAGGUUUGGGGCUGCGACGCUUAUGUGAAAAAGUUUCAGCUUGAUAAGCUCGAACCCAAAGCGGACAAAAUGCAUCUUCAUAGGAAACCCAAAAUAGUUGGGUAUACCUCCUAAUUCAGAUCCGAAAGCAAUAUGGAUUGUUUCUUAAAUCGGGUCCUUUCUCGAGGAAAGGUUUCUCUCGAAAGAGUUGAGUGGGAGGAUGGUGGAGACUUGAUGAGGUUAUUGAACCGUCUCUUCAACUAGUGUGUGGCAGGGCACAGGAAGUUGUUCCUGUGGCACCUACACCAAUUGAAGUGGAAGCUUAUGAUAUUGAUCAUGAAACUUCGGAUCAAGUCACUACCAAACCUCGUAGGACGACAAGGACACGUACUACUUCGGAGUGGUAAGGUGAUCCUGCCUUGAAGGUCAUGUUGCUAGACAACAAUGAACCUACGAGCUAUGGAGAAGCGAUGGUGGGCCCGAAUUCCGACAAAUGGUUAUAAGCCAUGAAAUCCGAGAUAGUAUCCAUAUAUCAGAACAAAGCAUGGACUUUGAUGGACUUGCCCGAUGAUCGGCAAUCCAUUGAGAUAAAUGGAUCUUUUAAGAAGAAGACGGACGUGGAUGGUAAUGUCACCAUCUAUGAAGCUCGACUUGUGGCGAAGUGUUUUCCGACAAGUUCAAGGAGUUGACUACGAUGAGAUUUUCUCACUCGUAGCGAUGCUUAAAGUCCGUCGGAAUCAUGUUAGCAUUAGCUGCAUUUAUGAAAUCUGGCAGAUGGAUGUCAAGACAAGUUUCCUUACUAGUUUUCGUAAGGAAAGGUUGUAUGCAAUACAAUCAGAAAAGUUUUGUCGAUCCUAAGGAUGCUAAAAGGUGUGCUAGCUCCAGCGAUCCUUCUAAGGACAGGAGUAAGCAUCUCGGAGUUGGAAUGUACGCUUUGAUGAGAUGAUCAAAGAUUUUGGGUCUAUACAAAGUUCAUGAGAAACUUGUAUUUCCAUAGAAGUGAGUGGGAGCACUAUAGAAUUUCUGAUGAGUAUAUGUUGUUAACAUAUUGUUGAUCAGAAAUGACGUAGAAUUUCUGGAAAGCAUAUAGGGUUAUUUUGAAAGUGUUUUUCAAUGGAAAGCCUGGAUUAAGCUACUUGAACAUUGAGCAUCAAGAUCUAUAAGGAUAGAUCAAAACGCUUAAUGGUACUUUCAAAUGAGCACAUACCUUGACAUGAUCUUGAAGGUAUUCAAGAUGGACCAGUCAAAGAAGGAGUUCUUGCCUGAGUUGUAAGGUACGAAGUUAAGACUUAAAGCUCGACCACGGCAGAAAAGAGAGAAAGGACGAAGGUCGUCCCCUAUGCUUAAGACGUAGGCUCUUCAGUAUGCUAUGCUGUGUACCGCACCUGAAGUGUGCCUUGCCAUGAGUCAGUCAAGGGGUACAAGAGUGAUCCAAGAAUGGCUCACAGGACAGCGGUCAAAGUUAUCCUUAGUAACUAGUGGACUAAGGAAUUUUCUCGAUUAUGGAGGUGGUAAAAGAGUUCGUCGUAAAGGUUACGACGAUGCAAGCUUGACACCUAUCCGGAUAGCUCUGAGUAGAGAGACCGGAUACAUAUAAUGGAGCAAUAAUUUAGAAUAGCUCCAAGUAGAACAGUUGUUUGGAAUAGCUCCAAAUAGAGCGUGGUAGCUGCAUCUAGGAGAUGACAUAGAGAUUUGUAAAGCAGACACAGAUCUGAAAGGUUCAGACCCAUUGACUAAAACCUCUCUCACAAGCAACAUGAUCAAACAUAAAACUCAUUGAGUGUUAAUCACAUAGUGAUGUGAACUAGACUACUGACUCUAGUAAACUCUUGGGUAUUAGUCACAUGGCGAUGUGACCUGUGAGUGUUAAUCCCAUGGCGAUGUGAACUAGAUUAUUGACUCUAGUGCAAGUGGGAGACUGUUGGAAAUAUGCCCUAGAGGCAAUAAUAAAAGUAUUAUUAUUAUAUUUCCUUGUUCAUGAUAAUUGUCUUUUAUUCAUGCUAUAACUGUAUUAUCCGGAAAUCGUAAUACACAUGUGAAUACAUAGACCACAAUAUGUCCCUAGUGAGCCUCUAGUUGACUAGCUCGUUGUGAUCAACAGAUAGUCAUGGUUUCCUGGCUAUGGACAUUGGAUGUCGUUGAUAACGGGAUCACAUCAUUAGGAGAAUGAUGUGAUGGACAAGACCCAAUCCUAAGCAUAGCACAAAGAUCGUGUAGUUCGUUUGCUAGAGCUUUGCCAAUGUCAAGUAUCUCUUCCUUCGACUAUGAGAGCGUGUAACUCCUGGAUACCGUAGGAGUGCUUUGGGUGUAUCAAACGUCACAACGUAACUGGGUGACUAUAAAGGUGCACUACAGGUAUCUCCGAAAGUAUCUAUUGUUUUAUGCGGAUCGAGACUGGGAUUUGUCACUCCGUGUAAACGGAGAGGUAUCUCUGGGCCCACUCGGUAGGACAUCAUCAUAUGCGCAAUGUGACCAAGGAGUUGAUCACGGGAUGAUGUGUUACGGAACGAGUAAAGUGACUUGCCGGUAACGAGAUUGAACAAGGUAUUGGAUACCGACGAUCGAAUCUCGGGCAAGUAACAUACCAAUAGACAAAGGGAAUUGAAUACGAGAUUGAUUAAGUCCUUGACAUCGUGGUUCAUCCGAUGAGAUCAUCGUGGAACAUGUGGGAGCCAUCAUGGGUAUCCAGAUCCCGCUGUUGGUUAUUGACCGGAGAACGUCUCGGUCAUGUCUGCAUGUCUCCCGAACCCGUAGGGUCUACACACUUAAGGUUCGAUGACGCUAGGGUUAUAAAGGAAGCUUGUAUGUGGUCACCGAAUGUUGUUCGGAGUCCCGAAUGAGAUCCCGGACGUCACGAGGAGUUCCGGAAUGGUCCGGAGGUAAAGAUUUAUAUAUAGGAAGUCCUGUUUCGGCCAUCGGGACAAGUUUCGGGGUCAUCGGUAUUGUACCGAGACCACCGGAAGGGUCCCGGGGGCCCACCGGGUGGGGCCACCUGCCCCGGGGGGCCACAUGGGCUGUAGGGGGUGCGCCUUGGCCUACAUGGGCCAAGGGCACCAGCCCCAAGAGGCCCAUGCGCCUAGGGAACCCUAGAGGGAAGAGUCCUCAAGGGGGAAGGCACCUCCGAGGUGCCUUGGGGAGGAUGGACUCCUCCCCCCCUCUUGGCCGCACCCUUUUCUUGGAGUAAGGGGCAAGGCUGCGCCUCCCCCCUCUCCCUUGCCCCUAUAUAUAGUGGAGGGGUGGGAGGGCAUCCAUACCUGAGCCCUUGGCGCCUCCCUCCCUCCCGUGACACCUCCUCCUCUCCCGUAGGUGCUUGGCGAAGCACUGCAGGAUUGCCACGCUCCUCCAUCACCACCACGCCGUUGUGCUGCUACUGGAUGGAGUCUUCCUCAACCUCUCCCUCUCUCCUUGCUGGAUCAAGGCGUGGGAGACGUCACCGGGCUGUACGUGUGUUGAACGCGGAGGUGCCGUCCGUUCGGCACUAGGAUCAUCGGUGAUCUGAAUCACGACGAGUACGACUCCAUCAACCCCGUUCACUUGAACGCUUCCGCUUAGCGAUCUACAAGGGUAUGUAGAUGCACUCUCCUUCUACUGGUAGCUGGUUUCUCCAUAGAUAGAUCUUGGUGAUGCGUAGGAAAAUUUUGAAUUUCUGCUACGUUCCCCAACAAACAGCGCACGACCAGAGCGCAAAGGUUAAUCGGAAACGACAUCAACUCCUUCCUCACUCAAAGCCUCAAUCCAUUCGGGGGCUAAUGAUGGGGUUAUGUACCUAGGGUAGGGUCAUGGACCUGAUCCAAGUACCUUACCCAAGGACAUCCUUAGAAGAGGUCGCCUUCCAGUCGACCAACGAAGGACUCACUCGACUGACUUGAAGGACUCGACCACGAAGACUCACUCGACCACCAGGAGGUCAAGAGGCACUCUGCACUGCAACGGCCUGUAAUUAAGUAGGCUUUAUGAUAGUAAAGACACUUUAUGUGGGGCGUUACCAGUAACGCCCCAGACUUAACUCACCUUAAACCCUCUCCUACGUGGGCUGGCUGGGGUCCUGGCGCACUCUAUAUAAGCCACCCUCCUCCACAGGCAGAAGGGUUCGGCACCUUGUAACUCAUAUACUCAUAAUCCACUCGACCGCCUCCGGGCUCCGAGACGUAGGGCUAUUACUUCUUCCGAGAAGGGCCUGAACUCGUACAUCCCUUGUGUUUACAACCUCUCCAUAGCUAGGACCUUGCCUCUCCAUACCUACCCCCACUCUACUGUCAGGCUUAGAACCACGACACGCUGUAGCUAAGAUAGCAGCAGCGCUUUUUCUGGAACGCGCUACUGCUACUUCUGACUUAACCAUGGGGUUCGUCCUUCCCCACACGGCCACUUCCCCGAAAUCCAACUCUCUCCACUCUCGCCGCCGCCGUCGCCCGUCGGCCGCUGCACGCUCUCCGCACCCUCUACGCCGCCCCGACCCCAGAUUCAACGCCGCCCCUGCCCCCGACCUCAACGCCGCCCCGGACGCCGCCCCCGACCCCGACCUCAAUGCCGGCCGCCAUCCGCUGCGCGCCCGAGCCCCGACCCUGACCUCGACGCUGCCCUGCCCCUCCCUCGUCGCAGGCACCCGAGGUGAGCACGCCCGCUCCUCCGUCUCCCUACCUCUGCCUAGGGUUUCUUUAUAUUUUAGUUGCAUCAAAUUAGUUAGGGUUCAUGUAAGAGUGGAAACAAAUCGGAUGCGGAUGCGGCUCAAAUGAGUUAGGGUUCAUGUAAGGCUGAAAACGAAUCAAAUUUAUAAGAUGAAUCAUAAAACGAGUAAAAUUUGACCACUUAUUUCACUUUAUAGUUGGAUAAUUGAAAUAUAUGCUACCACUUUCCACCCCUAUAGGUUCAUCAAAUUAGAUGGUAAUUAGGGCAGUAGUUCCUAGGUACUAAUUAGUUAGUAAGAACUAGGUACUAAAUAGGUACUAGAAUAUUUUUAUUUAUAGUAAGUUUAUUUUUAGUAAGAACUAGUUGAAUUAAUAGAACUAGUUAGUAAGAACUUGUUGCUAUUUUUUAGUUAAAGCAAUUUUUCCCGCCUUGACGUGGACGAUGCCUAUCCCGCAUCCUCGUCGUCGAGUCGGCGGAGGACGACACCUGCUUGACCAGAUCGGCCAUGUCCGGGACUGGGCUCCGCCGCAGUGGUACUGGGAGGCGCUACCUACCGGGGGCGCGGGUUGGUGAGGAGCGAGCCUGUCGUUGACCCGAACCUUCUUUGGUGGCGGUCGCGUGGGCCAGUGACGAUCCAGAGGCUCGAGGACUCCGCGGAGGUGGUGCGUCCCCGUGUCAGUGAGGAGGACGCGCACGUCCAUCGCUACUUGUUUGCAUUGGAGCACAGGUCGUUCUCCAAUACCUUGCAGGUUCUCCGGGGAUCUCACUGGAGCUAUGAUCCCAUGAUGGUUCCUUCUCUGUGGGUGUCCACCGCCCACGCCGAUACCCGUCGUGUGCUAGGGUUUUAGUUGUAUUAGUGAUGUUAUAUGUAUGACACUAUUUGUGAUGUAUUAGUGAUAAUAUUUGACGAUGUACGGACGCAUGAGAUGAUUUACUUUUGCUUAUUGAAUGCAUGCUAAUUUGAGUCCUAUAAGAUAUUUUGAAAUGUAUAUCUUGUGUUGCUCAAUAUCCAAGUGGCCGGUCAUGUUUGCAGGUUACACCUCCGAGUGGCCUAUGUUUUGCCGGAGUGUUGAUUCAUUUCCGUUCCGGCAAAUUUCAUGCGCUCGAUAUGUCCUAUUUUAGCAAAGGUCAUGCCGGAUUUUUCCGUGAAUUUUAGCAUGACUUGUGCCAGAAUAUGUAGGAAAUAUCGAGUGCCCCGGAUUUGUGUGUUGAGUAUCCUGGUAGUUGUCUUCAAUCGAUUUUCAAUUAAUGUUUUAACUAUGAACAUAGGAAAUGUCUGACGACGAAAAGGAUUUCGGUAUUUGCAAAUACUGCGAAGACGAGCGCGGCCUGUGCGACGGAAUCUUCCUAGAUGAUGAUAGGCGCUUCAGCAUCAAGCUGGACGAGAACUUCGAAUUGGAUACAGUAUGUCACAAUGACAAGUCUUUUUCGUAAUUAAGCAUGACAUCUGCUUCAUUUGCUUCAACUUAUAUUUUUUUACUAUUCUACUAGCGUAUCCCCUGCCAUGCAAGAGUUUUUGUAUUGGAUAAGAUAGGUUUCAGUCAUAGUACGGAGGAAAAGGAAGUUUACUUAAAGACCGAGCAUGGUUAUAUUUUCCAUGCAAAAUUAUACAAUUCAGACGACUACCCCUAUUUUGGAUGCAAAACAUGGCGAGCACUAUGCAAGACUUAUGCAUUUGAGCCUGAUAUGGUUAUCACCUUUGAUAUUUGUCCGAAAGAUGAUAUUGAAGAUAAUACCGACAUAUGGGUCGAUGUGCAGAUGCCUCCAGUUAUACCAUUAUGUAAGUUUAUCAACCAUAAUUAUGUCUUUGAUAUUGUUUAUUCAAAAAUAGUUGACAACUAAUUUGUAUUGUCAGCUUAUUUCGGUGCAAGCAAACAUGUCCUGCGCUUGGUAGACAGGACCGUAUACUGUCCUAGGGCUGAACUCAACUGCGAGGAGCUCAGUUAUUAUGUUUCAUGGCUUGAGGAUCUUAAUACUGUCAAGACAAAAUUUCUUCCUGUAUUUAGAAAUGUUAGUACUGAAAAUCUGCGACCAAUAGUGUUCGUAAUGAACUACGGUCACAUCUAUUUAGGAAGGAUGGUAAGAUUUUUACUAUUUGUCCUUAGUGCAUCUUUUCUAUACAUUAUUUUUGAAGCUAAACUUCACUGCUAAGUAUGUUACCAUACGAUGUCCUUCAACAGGGACUCCCGAUGAAUGUUGUGCCUUAUGGGAUUGAGACUAAAGGUACCAUGGGUAUUAUCAGCUUACGGCCAAGAUAUCGUACAAAUUAAUUUAGUGCAUUCAAGAUUAGCGACGGAUGCUUAAUAGUGCAAAACUGGACCAAAUAUGUGAUGGGGGAGCGCAGAGAAGUACUAGGAUGCAGCAAACAGAUGCGCUACCCACGAUUAGGAGACAGGUUCAUCUGCAUGCUCCAGCUUGAUCAAGGAGGAGAGCUAUACAUGUUUUAUGUUAUUUGACCUAAGAGAGAGCAGCAGGAGUGAUUAGCUAGCUAGAAAUGAGUUUGAGGAUGAUGAUGUGCUACACUAUUACUAUGAUGAUAAAAUAGCUAGUGUUGGUGGUAAUGACUAUGAUGAUUAUUAUUAGCUAGUGUUAGUGGUGAUUAAAUAAAUACUGUUGGUGGUAAUGACUAUGAUGAUGAUUAAAUAGCUUGUGCUGGCGGAUUAGAUUCAAGUGGAGGCAACAUGUGGUGCACAUCGAAAGUACUACUAGUCCAAACUAGAUCAAGUUUGGAUUAGUAGUAUACUUUUGACAUGCACCACAUAUUGCCUCCACUUGAACCUAAUCCACCUUCAUUUGACACACUGUUAUGGACAUAAUGAUGUAAACCUCAUAACUGGUCUUGUACCAAUAUUUGUACGAUGGCGCAUAAAUACACUAAAAAUAAAAAUUUAAAAAAGAAUACUAGUAGCGAUGGACAGAAAACACGCUGCAAGUAGUUAACUUAGCAGUAGCGUGGUACUGAACAAACGCUGCAGCUAUUUGUCCUAGCAGUAGCGCGUGCUAAGCAAUAGCUGUAGCGCCUUAUUAGUAGCGCGCCUACCCGCGCUACUAGUGAGCACAAAACCAGCGCUACUGCUAGGGUUUUCCCUAGUAGUGAGUAGGUCUGAUGGUGUUCUUCUUAAUAGUUUGCUGCCCAGUGUGGCAUAUGCUUGAAUUAAUGAUUUGCAAUAAAAAUUUAUUAAUUAACUUAUAAGGUGUCUAUAAAAACAAUGGAAGUUAUAAUAGAAAUCAUUUGGUUGCACCACAUGAAAAGAUAGAAACUUUCUAUCAUGAUGCAAUACAUGACAUGGUUGGCCGAGACACAUAUGAAAAAUCCCCAAAGAUCUCACAAUUUGAUGGAAAUCCUAUGGCAUCCUAUUGUAGAAAAAAAUCAUAGGAUUUUCGAAGGAUUCAAUCUUUGACAUUUUCUAUUCUCCGCGGGAUUUCCUAGAAAAAAAUUACAGCCCUCGAAAGUUAAUGUGAAGAGGUGAUAUUAGCAUAAAUAUCUAAGAGUUGAGGAAACUUAUAGAAUUUUCUCGGCUAAUAUACAAUUUCUAUAUCAGGUCGAAUAUGUUGUUUCACGUCGGUGGCCCACCAAAUGGGUGCAUAGUUAUCGGUCCUCCCGCCUCCUCCCCGGCGUCAGCUCCUUCAUCAUGCUAGUUGUUAGCUAACCCCCUCAUGGCGUGGCAUUCGUUUUGUAAUGCACACAUGCAGGAUUAAUUAAUACUGCUCACUUCAUUAAUUCAUGGACAAGUUAAAUUGAGAAACUUGUCUUCGGACAUGGACAAUCAUAUUCAUAUGAUCUGAGUAUUUGUCAUUAACUAUCUUAUUCUUGGUACUUACCCCAUGAUGGUGCAUUGUGUUGUACAAAGGUGCUAAUACGUCCGAAAACUAUCAAGUUUACUUCUAGAUUUAUGAUGUCUUUUCGUGUCAUGUACUUCUUGCAUACUUAUAUUUUCAUCUAUUGCAUUACUUAAUUUCAAGUAUAACUGGUAGACAUGACAAUUCAUAUGAUCUCCCUAUUUGUAGAAAACAUCAAAAGAACAAUGCCAAUAAAUAGAAAAUGCCCAAAUAUCAAAUAAUAUGAUGACAAAGAAACUAGUACGCGAAUUACACUUACGGGAUGCAACAAGAGGUAGGGCCCACCAGUUGCUCCGCUGCCCUCAUCCAAUCAUUAUUGCUACCAUUCUAGAUUGAAUACAUCAUAAGGACUUCAUUUUUGGUUGUAUUUAUAGAGUAAUGUGGGGGGGGGGGGAGAUGACCCACCAACAAAGAAAUGUUCUCCGGGGACAAAAUAUUGCCCAACUCUCUUUUCCGCCGAAUCCAUGAUAGAUUGCAAAGGAUUGGUUUGUACCCAUGGUAAUGAUCCAAUCCACAAACCCUCCACGAUGAUCCCAUAAUGUGUGAGUAGUCCAUCAAGACUAUGGGGGUUCUUUAAUAGUAGACAUGUCGAUUUCUCCAACAUUUGCUUGGAUCUAGGAUUAUUUGUGAUUCUGCUGAAGUGAUACUAUUAUGGUUGUGCCAUAGUUACAUUGUUAUUCUAACAAGGAUGUUUAAUGAUUGAGAGUUACAUCUUGGUCAUAUCAUUGCGUCUUAUACCCUUUAUAACUACAUCCAUAAUUUAACUCCAUCAUGCUAUUAUGGGAUGAUAUAUUAUGUACAUGUAUUAAUGUAUUUGGCAUGGGUUUGCAUGGACUUCAUUGGCCCCUCAUUUCGUGUAAUUUUUGGAAACCCCGAGAAGGAAAUAGUAAUGUGACAAAAGCUAUGUCAUGUUUUUCUUUGCGCCUAUCGUUAGUAGUACAUGGUAGCAUCCUUUUUGGUUAGCCAACAACAUAAAUAGCUGAAGAGAGAGAGAGACAAAGACACACAAAGAGAGAAAUUAUGAAACUGUUGACCUUCUUGCUGCUUAUCUCUUAAUUUUUUUUAUUUUAUGUGACAACCAUUUUUUACAAGUCAGUUAAUUGAGAAAUGGAUACUUGAAGGUUUUUCUUGCACACCCACUUAUUAGUUUACCUUGUUUUAGGUUAAAAGGAGAAAAGUCAACCUACACUUGCAUGUGUCUGGUACUCAUUGCGUUGCUAUUUUCCCGACAAUAAUCAUCUGGUGUAGCGUACGCAUCGGUGAUCUCAGUAGUGCACCUAAGGAGAGAGUUACAUUGAAUCUCGGAUCGAGGUAAUACCCUACUUCCUGCUUGUUCGGGUUGAUUUCCCUAGACUCAUAUGAGAACUAUGGUUUAUGUGUACAUGGGGUUCGGUCGCUAGAUCAUAUGUGGUGUAUGAAGCUGAGAUGAUUUUGUACCAAUUCAGGGGAGGGGGCAGGGUGGGGGGUGUCUGACGCACCUUAUGUACCUGCCCAUGGCUACUAUUGCAUGAGUCCCAAGUUGGUUGAUACAUGCACAAUAUAGUAGACCUACUCCAGAUGGAAAGUAGAGUCAUUGUAUUGUACUUCAAGGUGGCGAUGCGUCCUCUAACAUCUGAGAACUUUGAGUAGCAGGCCUAGGCCACCCUGUGGUUGUUGGGCUUCUUCGAUCCUACAUGGCUAUACUUAGUGGGGUCAGUGGGCAUGGCAUCGUGACUUAUCUAUUAUACAUAAAAAGUACUUAACGGGCUAACCUGAAUAAGGAGAAUUAUGAUAGAAAUUUCUGUAGAAAUUAGAAACAUCUAACCGUUAAUUGGGUUUCUCAUAAAACUACAAUGUUUAGAUCAUAAUAUAAUUAUAUAAAAUGACCCACCAAUAGCAUCAUCAAUGAGGCACCUCCUAUACGCUAAACUUAUUUGCCCGUUCAAUCAAUCUAAAAAAAUCACCCAUAUGUUCUCUCUCCUACACGUCUAGCAAUGCCCAUAAGCGAAUGCCCAAAGCAAAGCCGAUCAGCUGUGGCUCUGCUAUGUCUUCUUUUCCCAAUAGGUAUCCACCCCAAUCACAGACAAUAUAUCUCAAUCACCGCCUUUACCACUCAUAUUAAAGAAGAUCACGGCCCGGCAGUACAAAGCUAUUGAAGAUCCACAAUUUUCUAACCCUAAUUUAUUUUUCUAAUGUUGCUCUCUCAUGUUUGUCUAGCAAUGCUACUUUAAUAUAUUUUUCUGUAGUUAUGGUCUCAUGGUUGGCAUGUAAAGCUGGAGCAAGGCAAGCUACCAUCGUCGCCUCCCCGACAUCUUCUCUGAAACCUCAAGAUGCAUGUCCUUCGUGUCUGGCGAUCUCCUCAUAUUGGAUGCUUCAAAAGGAUAUCCAACAUCCAGCCGUGCACAUACCAUAACAUAACAUUCGACCGAUUGGUGGUCGGCCAAUUGAUCAAGCCAUCAUGCACUCUCAUGAAGGCAGCUAGCAGAAUUAGAUGUGUAUCUCGCUGCUAAGAUUCCGAAUAACAUGAGUACAUAUAUGCAUGCACGCGUUGUUUCUUAACGUGUGGCAUGAAGUAGUGCAUAACUAUAUAAUUUGACGGCAAGCAAUAUUUCUACAAAGGCUCUUCUCAAAGGGACGUAUGAACAUACAUAAUUAUAGUAGUACACCGCACACAUCUCAUUGCAUGAAGCAUUAAUUAAUACCAUAAUUUUGUCUUCUGUCUUCUCACACAAACCAAAAUCUUGUUUUGCACAUUCAAAGGUGUAGACCUAAGAUGUCCUGUUAGCUCUGCAAGUAACAAUACUGGAUUUCUACAAUACACUAUGUAGUGACAUGCUGAAAUAUUGCUUGUAAGGUUCAGUUAAGACAAGAGCUCUGUUUCCUCUGUGGUGUAUUCUAUUCAGGAUGCCAUGCUUCAAAGAUUCCAUCAAUUCUAAUGAUUAGUAUUUAUAUCGGAAUAUGAAUGACAAUAGUUGAUAAAGAAAUAGUUAUGUGUUAUUCGGACCAGUUGCAAAUAAGUAUCAGCGACUGCACUUCAAUUAAGGAAAUAUGCACAUGUUCGUUUGUUUUAUUAUAUAUAUUAUGUUGGUAAUAUCUCAUUCACUAUAUAUGUGAUUAGAUAACUUUACCCAGAUAAUGUAGGACAUCACCCUAUGCUUUACAUUUAUACUGACAAACUAGCGAUAUUAUGAUAUUAACUUUAUAAGCUACAUAAUUUGAUGCUUGACAUAAACAUGCAACUAUUUUCUAUUGUGAUUUUCAGGGUGAUAUAUAGGCCAUGAAGCACUAAAAUUUAAUGAAGACUUACACACAUGUUUGUGGUUGCUUUGAAAUUUCUCUGAAAUAUAGCAAUUUGUAUAUUAAUUCUGCUAUACAUUUUCCUUACGUGUAGCGUCAUUAGUAUGAAUACUUCAUUUCUAAUAUUCUAUGAUGUUGCUCCUUACUGGCAAAGCUAAUUUUUUAUUUAUUAUCUAUCAUUCCGGUUCGCCAGAUAAUAAUAGUUCAAUGUACGUUUGAGUUUAAUAAAAAUCUAUUGUAAGUUGUAACUGAUGUCACGCUCAAACUUUCUUGUAUUAAAUCUCUCUAACGGCGCAACUAUACUAGCAUGCUUAUUAUAAGGAGGACACAGAUGGUGCAAAGGGGAGACAUCAACGAUAUGAUAUUAUGAUGUGUCACCUUGGUAGCUUAAAUCAUUUGAAGUUGGAGUAACAUAUUUGUAUCUCACAAAAUGUGACUCUACUAUUUGUUUUUGUUUAGAGCUACCAUGUAGCUUACUUGAGACAAGUUCUUCUCAUAGAGUGUGUGUGGAAUCAACAAGGAAACUAUAUAAUUACGAAAUGUUAACCAGCCUGGGUUUUAAAUGUAGGCUACACUUGAUAAUAUGGACUUAGCUAGAGUGUUCAAUAUGGAUUAUACAUGUUAAUUCACUUUCCGCGUCAAGGAGCCGUGGAUCCAUACAAAGGUUACCAGCAACCUCUAUUUUUUGAAGAAAAAAAAACUGAGUGUGUCCUUACAUUCUCUGCUCUCCAAUAUUUAUGUGUUGAUGCUGCAUUUAGUUCUAAUAGGUUGUCAAAGGUAACUGUGAAAGUUGAAAGUUGUGUACAACCUUCACUCGAUUCUAAAAGGACUUCGGGGAAAUUUUUACCUGAUCCCGUCUUUCAUCAACCUUUCUUUAUAUGUUACAUUUCUCUAUUCUUGUAUAUAAAAGUAAGUUUGUUUCUUUCAUUUGAGUUGAUUAGGAACUAUAAGGUAAACAUAUUUGAUAAAUUCCAUUGUUUGCAUAGAUGUGAAAGACCAUGCAUCCACACUUGGUACUGGGAUGAUCUAAUCACAACUGCCUUCUUUUAUAUUCCAGUUAACAGAGGGUGCAUAAAAUGUUUAUAGGUGAUGUACAAUGGAGGUAUUUGAGGAAAAAUAUACUCUCUCAAUGGCAAUACAUAUUACCAGACAUGAUAUUACCUCAUAGUUUUUACUCUUAUAUAAUAUUGCUAUGAAAGAAUAAUUUGUGCUUACUUCCAAAUGCUGGUACUACUGACUAUCUAUGGAGCGAGUGUAUCAAGUGGCAUAGGAUAGUGGAUUUCAUCCGUAAGCUAUAUUUUUAUGGUCUUCCUUUUCACUGUUUACAUGUUAUAUUCAACUUAGUGUUGUAACUCUCAUUCAUGUUAUAUUCAACUUAGUGUUGUAACUCUCAUACCUUUAAAUAAUUUACUAUACAUAAUAAACUUUUUCAUAUCUGUUGCUUAAUUUUUUUAGUUGCAUUUUCUAUGAUUCAUUAAAAUUUAGCAAGAGUGUUUAGUUUAUUUUUUUCACCUUUCACUUCUCAUAAAUGAAAAAAACUGCAUGUUCAAAACCAAGAGGCCGAAUCAUGAGGGUAGGCUUCAGCCUGUUGACGCAUGCCUACGCUGCUCUUGUGUAUACUCCAAUGUGUUUUAUUCUUCAGAAGGCCUUUGUGAGUACGAAUAAAAUAUUUCUAAUGGUCUUUUCUGAAAUGUAAUCUUGUAUGGAAAUGUAUAAUGAGUUUUACAUCUUAUCUUAAUAGCGUGCUAGAAAGAGGUGAGACCUCACUGAUAUUAACCUUUAUGUUUCAUAUAGUUUCUAUCCUCCUAAUUUUUGGUUUUCCUAAUACUAUCUUUUAGUAUAUCAUCACAUCCCUAAUUCUACUUUCUUAUAUUUUAAAUUCUUAGAAUCCUAUGUUCAAACUAAUUCUUUCAAAAACAUUUGUACCCUAGGAACAUUUGUGGUUGAAAUAAUUUCAGAAAGAGGGCUGAUAUUGUGGAUAAAUAUGUACAUUUUUAUGUUCUAGUAUAUCCAAAAGAUCAUAAACGUGUCGAGAUGAGUGCAUGAGAAAUAUCACUAAAGAGAGGUGAAAAAAUGACCCAGCAUUUGUUUGCUCACUUUCAAUGAAUACAUCCUUUAAUCCAAAUUAAAAGCCUGGAAAAAAGUUCACGGGCAGCCAUAGGAUAUGCAUUAUUUUGAAAUUUUGCAUUCUAAAAUUCAUAGUCGUAAAAUGAAAAGAUAAGUUCAUAUACAAAUAUAAUAUAAGUACUCAAUAUGUUACCAUCUUCUCUACCCAUUAAAAUUAUGCCCUCGCAAAUAUGCUAGUUCUAAUUAAAAGAAGAUGUACAACAACCCUGUGGACUUUCAGGAAUGAUUGUGGGUCACAUAAUCAAGCUCUUUUAUAGUGCCAUUGCUAGGGAAGAAUGCAUUAAGCUCCGAUGUCAUCACAACCAGCAUCAUGGAACGCUGGCUUCUCAGCCUCUUCAUGUAGAAGUUUCGAAGAAAAAAACUUGUAGGCAGAACUUGCUCUGCCAGAGAUGAAAAUAAGCAACACCCAUGUGAGCCAGGCAUGUGCACACACUAUGAAGACCUUUUGCCUAUUCCCAAACCCCUUGCCUGUCAUGAUCGCCAUCAUCAUAUCUGAUCUUAGAAUUAGGUGUUGUGGUCAUACACAUACGAGCAAGUCCAUAACUAGUUCAUUUUUUAAUUAUUUUGAGCACAAUUUCAUUUUAUUUAAUCACAUACUUCACUACAAUUUUACCACUAUCAAUAAGGUACUCCCUCCUAUUUGGAGGUGGUACACCUUAAAACUUAUGUUCAAGUACCAUAUAAGAUUGGCUAUUAGAUUAGGAUGGAUGUGUGGCUCAUAUCAAUUUUGAGGUACUGUAAAAGAGCAUGGUUCAUAUGGAUUAAUUAGAAUCCACCAAAAGUCUUAUUGUUUAAAAUCCUCUAAACCAAAGAGAACCUAAUGUGACAAUGACAUGCAAGAUACUGAAGGAAGGAAUUUUCUUUCUAGUCGAAGAGUCUUUCCCAACUCAGAAUCUUUCUUGACCCUAUUUAAAAUGUGAGAAUUUCACAUGAAUUUGGUAGGAGAGUACAAGUCAAAAUGAACGAAUCCAAAUCUUCCAUUUUUCUUUUUAAGAUUGUUAUUUGCAAAGACACAAAUUCUUUUUCCAUGUGCAAAUACACAUUGACAUUAUAGCUGUUUUGAAAUCUGAUGUUCACUUCAUGUACCGUAUUCUAGUCUGAAACGUGUAGCGGAGAUAAAACCUUAGGAUGCUGCAGGGUAGAUAGUGGGGACAAAAAGUAGCACAAAAAGUUUGACCUAUAUAUGAGAGUGCCGUCAUUUUCUGCUCAGCCACAGUUGCCUUUGUAAUAAGUGGACCAGUAUCAAAGUGGCGAUGCAAGGGAUGCAUGCAUGCAUGCAGCUGAACGAUAAUCUAAUCCGUGCAGUGCAAACGGCAGGAACGAGAGGAGCGUGUGUUUCAUCUUACACCAAAGAUCUAAGAAAACAUAUCACCACCAGCAAUUGACAGUGGUGGAAGCUUUCGAAAAAAUAUAGACCCAUGAUCCAUCAUCCAUCUCCAGCGCAGUGCAAAAUGGUUGGCUUGCAACCCACCCACUGAUUCUUAACGCUUUUCGGGUAAUAUAACGAAAUGUGUUUCACACGGACAUUUAUCGUACGAAUGGUAAUCAUCGUGAAGCAAUAUGGUAGUGAAUUAUGAGAAAAGAUUCAUCUCCAGCCCGCUGCCAAAACGGUUAGGAAGGUAGCUAGCUAGUUUUCUCAAUUCACUAAUCAAUCACCAUUAACUAAUCUACUUGCGUGUCGACUGACCUCCUCCCUUUUGUGUUUAACACAUGAUCUAGGAGAGGCCCAGUGGAGUCUGCACAAACAAGGUUGAGUUACACAUGAAAGGGCGUAUGUACAAAUUAAGUGAUGUGUCAAGCUCGUGCAUAAAUUGAUCAUAAAAAACCGAAUCAAUUGUAUCGUUUUUAUUUGUCGGGGAACUAACCAAUGAUCUUGAGGUUGAGGGUCACCUUUGGCUCUUGUUCAUAUCUUCUCUGCAGCUCUGGAAACCCCUGAGUAAUUGUUGUCAUGCCUUUGCUGCUGCAGUGAUGGUACUCCUAUAUAACAUUAAGAAUGCACGCACUGCAGCAAGCUGACCGCUCGCUCUGACUGCUUUCUGCCAACCGCUGAGUCGAUCCGAUCCAUGAACCGUUGGCUGCCGGCGUGCCAGAGAAAUUCCUUCCUUGUCUAAAAAUAUGACAGCGCCUGCGAGAAGCAGUGCAUGUCAGUCGGGGCCAUUGAUGGCCACGUCGUCUUCUACUUCUUCACCACGCACGUCGGUUGCCAGUGCGUUCCUGUCUUCACGCUCCCUGACUGUGAUGUGCUCCACGGCCUUGCAUUAUCCCAGCACUUGCCGAUUCAUAGGCGACAGAGCAGCCAAUUUGGCAUAAUUCUUGGGUAUGAGAUCAACUCCAACGGGGCGAUCCAUUUCGUCUGCAGGCGUCCGUUUGGGUCGGCGCGGACACAAAAUUUGGCCCAAUGCGCCGAUCCAAACGGACGCGUCUCCGCUUGGUGUCCGUCUACCGACCCAUCCCGGCCCAUUUCUGAGUCGGAUUUGCGUCGGCGCGGACACGAGGCGGACGCGCACACGCCUUCUCCUCCCCCCGGGCCCGCUGGUCGGUGGCAGUCUUCACCAUUUUCCUCCAUUCCCCCAAGAACCCUCCUGCCGGCGCGCGCUCCCGCCCCAUCCCCACCAUGGAGGACAACCUCGACGCCGCCACCGGCCUCGCCUCCCUCGCCUCGUCCGGCAUGCCGGCCGUCCCCUCCGGCAAACGCAAGCCUCGCGCCCCCCGCAAGACCACCGCACCCAAGCCGAAGAAGGUGGCGCCCAAACAGCAGGCAAAUGAGUCGACUGAGAGGAAGGAUCGGAGGCACGCGACGGACGCGAGGGAUGAAGACAUCGCGGCGGCGGCCGUCGCCGCCGCCGCGCAGCAGGAGGUCACCAACACCCGCGACACGGCGGCAACGAGGGAGGCACUCUAUAUGCUAAGGUUAAACCGUGGCCAGCAUGGCCUUGUCAACUCCGCCGUGGCCACGGCCAGCACCGGCUCAUCCGCGCGACUCGCCCAGCUUCCACGUCUACCCGCAGGGAGUGCUCGCCUGGGGUGAGCGUGGUCGUGCCUUCCACGCCCGCGCCCGCGCCCAUCGACCUCAGCGCCACACCGGUGGCUGGUGGCUCGUCAAACCGGAGGCGCAAGGAAACGCGUGCGGUAGACGCCAGCCGACAUGCUGCCGGUCGCACGCAGCCUGUUCGACGGAAUGCUGGACGCCGGCGAUGACGACUACAUCCAGAACAGGAUCUUCGAGGGUGGUGCGCAGGCCGCUGGCUUCGAUCCCGAUGAGACGCAAUGCCAGGAUGGCCAAGGGGCGUUCACGCCGUCCGCUAGCUACAAUGAAGAUCAGGCGGCCUUCAUGUGUGAUCAGGUCGUCCUGGACAUGGACGGCUUCCCUCUCGACCAUGAGUUUUCGGAGGACUACGAGCUAGAGGAAGAGGACGAGUGCGACAUCAGAGGAGGGCCUCUGUUCGAGGACGAGCUCGCCAACCAAGCCGCCGUGUCGAAGCCGAAGCGCAAGAGCAAGCGGACCAAGGCAUACACGGCGGCCGAGGACAAGCUUCUUUGCGAAUGUUGGAGAGACAUUGGGCAAGACCCCAAGAUGGGCGCCGAACAAUAGCAUUCAACUUUUUGGAUUCGUGUCUACCAUGAGUUCCAUGAGCGCAAGAAGUUUCUGCCAUACCAAAUAGUCAGUGCGCGCGGGUGGGUGUCCAUUUCGUAGCGAUGGAGGGUGACCCAACAAGAGUGCAACAAGUUUUGUGCCACUCUUCAGAGUAUCAAGGCCCACCCCUUUAGCGGCAUCAACAUGCAAGACAUGGUAUGCUAGCAAGCCGCCCUCUUUUGUGUCAUCAAGUUUAUGCGUGCGUGUUCAUUUGCAUACCAUUUUGCCAAUAUGCUUGCAUGAAAUACAUUUUUAGGCAUUUCAAGCUUUGGAUGCAUUAAAGGUCCAACAAAAUGGCAAGUGCGUCAACCUCUCCCAUUGCUUUAGGGUGAUCAAAGAUGAGGAGAAGUUCAAGGCGCAAUAUGGCGCCCUCAAGUCGCGUGGUGGGAAGCAAGCCGUGGAGGAGGUUGGGGAUAACGAGAAGGCUCAACCGCGGGGGAAGACCAACUCCAAGAAGGAGGACAAGCGGGAUGCGGCAUCAAUCGCCUUGAUCACAACCGUGGAGGGCAUGAUCACCAAGAAGGACUCAAGGGAGGAGAAGUGCCGUCAAGAAAGGGAAGAGCAAAUGAACACCUUCAUGGAGAUCCAAAGGAGGAGGCUUGAGAUAGACUCGGCAAAGCAAGCAAGGAUGCUUGAGAUGGAGGCGGAGAAGCAAGCCAAGAUGCUAUAGAUCGAGCCCGCCAACGCCAAGACCAAGGCGAAAGAAGUGGCUCUCGUGAGCAUGAUGACUGGGGUCGAGAUCAUGAAGGUGGAUCAUAACACCAUGUCACCAAGGAAGAGGCCGUGGUUCGAUAAGAUGCAGGCCGACAUGCUCAAGUUCGAUGAAGAGUGAUCUAUGGCGGCAAACGCCAUCUUUUUUGUAUGCCGACAGGUGUGCUGGCAUGACCACGGGGGGCGCGAUGGCGUGGUCAAACUCAAGUCCCACCUUUAUUUGUGUGUUGGCAUGUGUGUCGUCCGGUUGACGAGUGCACCAGCAUGAACUGUGGUGAUAUUUUUUGAAGCCGGCAUUGUAUGCCGGCGCUGGCAUGGUGCCAGCAUGAGACAUGGCUGCUGGCAUGAUCAGCCGCGGGCCUUUCUUAAAAAAAGUUGAGUGCGGAUAUGAACUGGGUCGACACGUUGGACGCACUGCCGACCCAAAUCUAAAACAUUGCAGACGCCGGGCGGCCGACCGAUCCAAACAAAAACAAAGCGGACAAAUUCGCCGUCCAUUUGGUCGGCCCGUUGGAGUGACUCUGACCAUACGGUUCACUGAAUUCUGUACUACUACUUGUAGAUCGCCACAUGUCCGUGUCAUCCAGCUCCAGGCACGACUCUCCAGGUGCACGCACCGAAAAGUGUGUGUGGUGGAUGGCAGGCAAAGGCUCCAGAACAGGAUCAAUGAUAUCAUACCACUUUUUCUUGCCCAGAAGGAUGAAAGUAAAAGCUAUCUCAAUGAAUGACACACUCACACGUUGAAAUGUUACAAGAGACAUACAUUUUUUGUGCGGCAUUCAACUAGCACAUUUUUGGUUUUUGCUUGUCUAUUCACUUGGCCACUACUUGACCCAUUCGGUUACAAAUAGGAAGGGAGAAACACAUGAGUGAGACCGAGCUUCAUGGCAAUGCCAUCCCAAAGCCACUCACUCGACAACCCCAACAUUGCUGCCGCAAUCGCUAGGUCUCAUGCCAUCCCAUAUAGCAACCACAACAGUCUACAUAAAGAAAUAAACCAGCAGCCAAGUCGUGUACAUACACACACAACAUGGUGCGUUAUUUGCUAGCCAAGGAAUAAAGCGACACUAGGGUUCAUGUCAUAUUGACUAACAUAGAAGACGUUGUGCUUAGUCGUGGGUAAAUUGGGGCUACAUGCCAUUACGGUAGAGACCCUCUUUAAGAUAGGCGGUGGCAUGGCGGAGUUUUUCCUUGAGCCACAUAUUCUCUCUAGACAGGCGUUGGUGCUCCGAGGUAUUUUGAGUUUUUAGCAUCACCCCUGCGCAUUUGAGGCAUGUCUUGUUUUCAACAACCCACUUGAUGGCUUGGUUUUCAUCUUUUAGCAUCUGGUUCUCUCUCUGAAGAUUCUUGGUGU
rnacentral:lncRNA from 1 species